rnacentral:lncRNA from 1 species
CAUCUUUGAGGUUAUUGGAUCUCUCUUCCAACCUAUUCUCCGGAAAUCUUUCUUCCCCUCUGUUACCUAAUCUCACAUCCCUGGAGUACAUCGAUCUCAGUUACAAUCAUUUUGAGGGUUCAUUCUCUUUCAGCUCUUUUGCUAAUCACUCCAACCUUCAAGUGGUCAAACUUGGAAGGAAUAACAACAAAUUUGAGGUAGAAACUGAAUAUCCAGUUGGUUGGGUUCCCCUGUUUCAGUUGAAAGCUCUUGUGCUAUCCAACUGUAAGCUCAUCGGUGACCUUCCUAGUUUCCUUCGACACCAAUUAAGAUUAACCGUGGUUGAUCUCUCCCAUAAUAACUUGACUGGAAGUUUCUCCAUUUGGCUGCUUGAAAACAAUACAAGACUAGGAUCUCUAGUUCUGAGGAAUAACUCUUUAAUGGGUCAACUACUUCCCCUGAGACCUAAUAGUCGUAUCACUUUAUUGGAUAUCUCAGACAACCGACUUGAUGGGGAACUUCAACAAAAUGUGGCCAAUAUGAUUCCAAAUAUUGAGUUUCUAAAUUUAUCCAACAAUGGUUUUGAAGAUAUUCUCCUAUCCUCAAUAGCCGAAAUGAGUUCCUUACAGUCAUUGGAUUUGUCUGCUAAUAGUUUCUCAGGGGAAGUACCAAAACAAUUGCUUGUGGCAAAAUAUUUGUGGCUUCUGAAAUUAUCAAAUAAUAAAUUUCAUGGUGAAAUAUUUUCAAGGGAGUUUAACUUGACUCAGUUAGGGUUUUUACAUUUGGACAAUAAUCAGUUCAAGGGAACACUGUCAAAUGUAAUCUCCAGAAUCUCUAGGUUAUGGGUGUUGGAUAGGUAACAUGACCGAUUUGACUACCCUAGUGUUGGGCAACAAUAGUUUUAAAGGCAAAUUACCACCUGAGAUUUCUCAAUUGUUGGGGAUGAUAUUUCUUGACCUUUCUUAAAACGCUCUUUCAGGAUCUUUUCUUUCUUUGAAGAGCCUGGAGUAUUUAGAGCAUCUACAUUUGCAAGGGAACAUGUUUAUAGGAUUGAUACCUAGAGAUUUUCUCAAUUCCUCAUAUCUAUUGACUUUGGAUAUCAGAGACAACAGGUUAUUUGGAAGUAUUCCCAAUUCAAUCUCUAGACUUUUAGAGCUAAGAGGAAACCUUUUAAGUGGUUUCAUUCCAUAUCAGCUCUGUCAUUUGACUAAAAUAAGCUUCAUGGAUCUUUCAAACAACAAUUUUUCUAGGUCAAUUCCUGGAUGCUUUGGUCAUAUCAGAUUUGGAGAUUUCAAAACUGAGCACAAUGUGUAUAUACCGAUGUUGGAUUCGUAUUCAGAAAGCAAUCCUUCUAUAUAUGCGGGUUACUUAAUAAAAUUUUAUUUUUCUCUAGUGAACUCCCUAAUGAAGUAGAUGAAGUUGAGUUUGUUACCAAGAAUAGGUAUAGCUCCCACAGAGUAGAUAAAUAUAUUUGUUGGGAAUUUAGAUAUUUUUAUAGAAAAGUAGACAAGUAUUCUAAUUUAUAAAAAUAAUGCAUUUCUUUAGUUUGGUAUAAAAAAAAUGAAAUGAUAUGUAUUGGUAAUUUUUUUUAAAGUAACAAACGUUUUAUUUUAUUUGUAUUUAAGAACAAUUUUUUUUCUUAUACUAGUUAUUUUAAUUUUCUUUUGACAGAUUUUGCAAGCUUAAGCAAUUUGGAGAUGCUAGAUUUGAGUUAUAAUUCCUUAAGUGGGAUUAUUCCAUUAUCUAUAAGAUUGAUGCCUCAUCUCAAGUCUUUAUCCUUGGCCAGAAAUCACUUCAAUGGUUCUUUACAAAAUCAAGGUACAUAUGUUAUGAUUUGUUUGUUUCAUAUAGAUUAGAGAAGAUGAAUAUUGUUAAAAAAAAAAAGUUGUUGUUAAUGUAAGCUAGAAAUAAGUAUUUUGCCUUAUAAAUUAUAUAAGCAUGUGUUUGUUCUGAAUGAAUCUUUACAACAUUUAGAGUUACCAAUGUUUAUAAUUCAUAAAGACCUCAUUAACAGUGAGUAACAACUAAUUGUAAGUAAUUGUGGAAAAAGUAAGGAAAACAAAAUGAGGGAAAAGCAAGGAAUUAGGAAAUUAUUUUGUUCCCAUAAAAAAAUGCUAAGGAAGAAAAAGGUAAAAGAAAGUUUAAAAAAAGUGUAUUUUUCAAAAAUUUAUUUCUCUUUCCUUUAAUUUUGCUAUGGACAACCAAACAAGAAAAUAAUUUUAUAAUUCCUUUUUUUUUUCAUUCUCUCUCUCUCUCUCUCUUUUUCCCUACUCUAUUUCUUUUCCCUCAAACUUUCUUGAUAGUAAACACAACCUAAGGUAAAUGAGGAAGAAAAUUUUUAGUUUUUUUUAUUUUUUAUUUUUUUAGAAUGUUUUCUUACUUUUUAGUAUUUUAUGCAAAUAUAGGAAAAUUUUCAUCUUUCUUUUUAUGGAUUUGAAAAACCCAAUAAUUUGGAGAAAACUGAUUCAAGGAAGAAUAAUUUUUAGAAUAAAAUAUUAUUAUUUAAGAAGAUCAUAAAUAUUAUAGUCAUUGUUGAAUAUGAUAAAUGAUUUAAAAAAAUGGUAGUUGGAAAUUUAGAUACUUUUAUAAGACAAAUGAAUUUUUCUAGUAUGGUAUGAAAAAAGGUAAAAUGAUAGGCUUUGAUCAUUUUUUAAGGUAGUUUGUUUAAAUCAUUUUAAUUUAUUUUCAUUUAAGAACAAUAACUUUUAUUACACUAGUUAUUUUGAUUUUCUUUUGAUAGAUUUUGCAAGCUUAAGCAAUUUGGAGCUAUUGGAUUUGAGUAAUAAUUCAUUUAGUGGGAGCGUUCCAUCAUCUAUAAGAUUGAUGUCUUCUCUCAAGUCUUUAUCCCUGGCUGGAAAUUACCUCAAUGGUUCCUUACCAAAUCAAGGUAUAUAUAUAUUGUGAUUACAAGUUUUUAUGUUUUCUUUUUUAAUAUCUUGUUUGUUCUUUAUGCCAAUGAAGUCAUGCAUGUCUAUUAAUUUUUGGUAUUUAAUAAAAAACUUUAUUCUUAAUUCAUAAAGACCUCAUCAACUGUAAGUAACAGCUAGUUGUAAGUUUGGGGGCAUUGACAAGACGAGGAGAUGAUUGGUUACAUGUCUUAUUCUCUUUUGUAGGCUUUUGCCAAUUGAAUAAGCUUCAAGAAUUAGAUCUUUCUUACAACUUAUUCCAAGGAAUCCUUCCUCCAUGUUUGAAUAAUUUGACAUCUUUGAGGUUAUUGGAUCUCUCUUCCAACCUAUUCUCCGGAAAUCUUUCUUCCCCUCUGUUACCUAAUCUCACAUCCCUGGAGUACAUCGAUCUCAGUUACAAUCAUUUUGAGGGUUCAUUCUCUUUCAGCUCUUUUGCUAAUCACUCCAACCUUCAAGUGGUCAAACUUGGAAGGAAUAACAACAAAUUUGAGGUAGAAACUGAAUAUCCAGCUGGUUGGGUUCCCCUGUUUCAGUUGAAAGCUCUUGUGCUAUCCAACUGUAAGCUCAUCGGUGACCUUCCUGGUUUCCUUCGACACCAAUUAAGAUUAACUGUGGUUGAUCUCUCCCAUAAUAACUUGACUGGAAGUUUCCCCAUUUGGCUGCUUGAAAACAAUACAAGACUAGGAUCUCUAGUCGUAUCACUUUAUUGGAUAUCUCAAACAACCGACUUGUUGGGGAACUUCAACAAAAUGUGGCCAAUAUGAUUCCAAAUAUUGAGUUUUUAAAUUUAUCCAACAAUGGUUUUGAAGGUAUUCUCCCAUCCUCAAUAGCUUAAAUGAGUUCCUUACAGUCGUUAGAUUUGUCUGCUAAUAGUUUCUUAGGGGAAGUACCAAAACAAUUGCUUGCGGCAAAAUAUUUGUGGCUUCUGAAAUUAUCAAAUAAUAAAUUUCAUGGUGAAAUAUUUUCAAGGGACUUUAACUUGACUCAGUUAGGGUUUUUACAUUUGGACAAUAAUCAGUUUAGGGGAUAUUUCUCCAGAAUCUCUAGGUUAUGGGUGUUGGAUGGGAGAUAGUUUUAAAGGCAAAUUACCACCUGAGAUUUCUCAAUUGUCGGGGAUGAUAUUUCUUGACAUUUUUCAAAACGCUCUUUCAGGAUCUCUUCCUUCUUUGAAGAGCCUGGAGUAUUUAGAGCAUCUACAUUUGCAAGGGAACAUGUUUAUAGGAUUGAUACCCAGAGAUUUUCUCAAUUCCUCAUAUCUAUUGACUUUGGAUAUCAGAGACAACAGGUUAUUUGGAAGUAUUCCCAAUUCAAUCUCUAGACUUUUAGAGCUAAGAGGAAACCUUUUAAGUGGUUUCAUUCCAUAUCGGCUUUGUCAUUUGACUAAAACAAGCUUCAUGGAUCUUUCAAACAACAAUUUUUCUGGGUUAAUUCCCGGAUGCUUUGGUCAUAUCGGAUUUGGAGAUUUCAAAACUAAGCACAAUGUGUAUAUACCGAUGUUAGAUUCGUAUUCAGAAAGCAAUCCUUCUAUAUAUACGGGUUACUUAAUAAAAUAUUUAUUUUUCUCUACUGAACUCCUUGAUGAAGUAGAUGAAGUUGAGUUUGUUACCAAGAAUAGGUAUAGCUCCCACAGAGUAGAUAAAAAUAUUUGUUGGGAAUUUAGAUAUUUUAUAGGACAAUAUACAAGUAUUCUAAUUUAUAAAAACAAUGCAUUUCUUUAGUUUGGUAUAAAAAAAAUAAAAUGAUAGGUAUUGGUAAUUUUUUUUCAAAGUAACAAACGUUUUAUUGUAUUUGUAUUUAAGAACAAUGUCUUUUCUUAUACUAGUUAUUUUAAUUUUCUUUUGACAGAUUUUGCAAGCUUAAGCAAUUUGGAGAUACUAGAUUUGAGUUAUAAUUCCUUAAGUGGGAUUAUUCCAUCAUCUAUAAGAUUGAUGUCUUGUCUCAAGUCUUUAUCGUUGGCCGGAAAUCACCUCAAUGGUUCUUUACAAAAUCAAGGUACAUAUGUUAUGAUUUGUUUGUUUCAUAUAGAUUAGAGAAGAUAAAUAUUGUAAAAAAAAAAAAAGUUGUAGUUAAUGUAAGCUAGAAAUAAGUAUCUUGCCUUAUAAAUUAUAUAAGCAUGUGUUUGUUCUUAAUGAAUCUUUACAACAUUUAGAGUUACCAAUGUUUAUAAUUCAUAAAGACCUCAUUAACGGUGAAUAACAACUAAUUGUAAGUAAUUGUGGAAAAAGUAAGGAAAACAAAAUGAGGGAAAAGCAAGGAAUUAGGAAAUUAUUUUUUUCCCAUAAAAAAAUGCUAAGGAAGAAAAAGGUAAAAGAAAGUUUAAAAAAAGUGUAUUUUUAAAAAAAUUAUUUCUCUUUCCUUUAAUUUUGCUAUGGACAACCAAACAAGAAAAUCAUUUUAUAAUUCCUUUUUAUUUUUUUCAUUCUCUCUCUCUUUUUUUCCCUACUCUAUUUCUUUUCCCUCAAACUUCCUUGGUAGUAAACACAACCUAAGAUAAAUGGGGAAGAAAAUUUUCAGUUUUUAUUUUUAUUUUUUUAGAAUGUUUUCUUACUUUUUAGUAUUUUAUGCAAAUAUAGGAAAAUUAUUUUUUUUUCUUGCUCCUUUUCAGACAUGAAUCACACUUUAAAAGAAAAUUAAUUUUUAAUUAGGAGUUAAGAUAAAUUUAAGGAGAAACAAUGAAUCACGAAUAACAAAAAAUUAAGGAAAUUGAAUUUUUGAAAGUAAGUAUAAUCAAAUUGCUUCAUUUGAUACAAAAUUUGAAUAAAAAUUCUUUCAAUGAAAAAUCAAGGAAAGGAAAAAACAUUUUUGUCUCUAGAUUAUAAUACUUAAUCAUGUAAAAAAUCUCUUAACAUCAUUUAUAUUCAUAUUUCUUUUUGUAGAUUUGAAAAAUUCAACAAUUUGGAAUAAACUUAUUCAAUGAAGAAUAAUUUUUAGAUUUAAAGAUUAUUAUUUAAGAUCAUAAAUAUUACCAUCAUUGUUGAUGUCCAAGAAGAUCAUAUUCAACAAUUUUUUUAAUAUGUUGUUUUUUAUGGUAAUUAAUUGAUGUCUUGUAAUUUUUAAUAUUUAAUGAAAAACAUUAAUUUAAUUCAUCUAAAGCUCUUAAUUCAUGAAGACCUCGUUAAUGUAAUGGUGAGUAAUAGUUGGCUGUAAGUUUGGAGUCAAAGACAUGUUAAGGAGAUGAUUAGUUACAUGUCUUAUUCUCUUUUGUAGGUUUCUGCCAAUUGAAUAAGCUUCAAGAGUUAGAUCUUUCUUACAACUUAUUCCAAGGGAUCCUUCCUCCAUGUUUGAAUAAUUUCACAUCUCUGAGGUUAUUGGAUCUCUCUUCCAACCUCUUUUCCGGAAAUUUUUCUUCCCCUCUGUUACGUAAUCUCACAUCCCUAGAGUACAUAGAUCUCAGUUCCAAUCAGUUUGAGGGUUCAUUCUCUUUCAGCUCUUUUGCUAAUCAUUCCAAGCUUCAAGUGGUCAUACUUGGAAGGGAUAACAACAAAUUUGAGGUAGAAACUGAAUAUCCAGUUGGUUGGGUUCCCCUGUUUCAGUUGAAGAUUCUCUCUCUAUCCAGCUGUAAGCUCACCGGUGACCUUCCUGGUUUUCUUCAAUACCAAUUCAGGUUAGUGGGGGUUGAUAUCUCACAUAAUAACUUGACAGGAAGUUUCCCCUAUUGGUUGCUUGAAAACAAUACGAGACUAGAAUCUCUAGUCUUGAGGAAUAACUCUUUAAUGGGUCAACUACUUCCCUUGGGACCUAAUACUCGUAUCAAUUCAUUGGAUAUCUCACACAAUCAGUUGGAUGGACAACUUCAAGAAAAUGUGGCCCAUAUGAUUCCAAAUAUUAUGUUUCUAAAUUUAUCCAACAAUGGUUUUGAAGGUAUUCUCCCAUCCUCAAUAGCUGAACUAAGAGCCUUAUGGAUUUUGGAUUUGUCUACCAAUAAUUUCUCUGGAGAAGUACCAAAGCAAUUGCUUGCAACAAAAGAUUUGGGGAUUCUGAAAUUAUCAAAUAAUAAAUUUCAUGGUGAAAUAUUUUCAAGGGACUUUAACUUGACUGGGUUAUUGUGUUUGUAUUUGGGCAAUAAUCAGUUCACAGGAACUCUGUCAAAUGUAAUCUCCAGAAGCUCUUGGUUGGAGGUGUUGGAUGUGAGCAACAACUACAUGUCAGGUGAAAUUCCAAGCCAGAUAGGUAACAUGACCGAUUUGACUACACUGGUGUUGGGCAACAAUAAUUUUAAAGGCAAAUUACCACUUGAGAUUUCUCAAUUGCAACGGAUGGAGUUUCUUGACGUUUCUCAAAAUGCUUUUUCAGGAUCUCUUCCUUCUUUGAAGAGCAUGGAGUAUUUAGAGCAUCUACAUUUGCAAGGGAACAUGUUUACAGGAUUAAUACCCAGAGAUUUUCUCAAUUCCUCAAAUCUAUUGACUUUGGAUAUUAGAGAAAACAGGUUAUUUGGAAGUAUUCCCAACUCAAUCUCUGCACUUUUGAAGCUAAGGAUUCUUUUGCUAGGAGGAAACCUUUUAAGUGGUUUUAUUCCAAAUCAUCUUUGUCAUUUGACUGAAAUAAGCUUGAUGGAUCUUUCAAACAACUCUUUUUCAGGGCCAAUUCCCAAAUGCUUUGGCCAUAUCCGAUUUGGGGAAAUGAAAAAGGAGGACAACGUGUUUGGACAGUUCAUUGAAUUUGGGUUUGGAAUGGUUUCUCAUCUUGUAUAUGCAGGUUACUUGGUGAAAUAUUACGGUUCCCCAACUUUAGUAUAUAAUGAAAAAGAUGAAGUUGAGUUUGUCACCAAGAACAGGAGUGACUUCUACAAAGGUGGCAUCCUUGAAUUCAUGUCUGGAUUGGACUUAUCAUGUAACAACUUGACAGGCGAAAUACCUCAUGAACUUGGAAUGCUAAGUUGGAUUCGUGCAUUGAACUUGUCUCACAAUCAAUUGAAUGGCUCCAUUCCAAAGAGUUUCUCUAAUCUUUCUCAAAUAGAGAGCUUAGACCUUUCUUAUAAUAAACUGGGUGGAGAAAUUCCUCUAGAGCUAGUUGAACUCAAUUUUUUAGAGGUGUUUAGUGUGGCUUACAACAACUUCUCUGGUAGAGUUCCAGAUACCAAAGCACAAUUUGGGACAUUUGAUGAAAGGAGCUAUGAAGGUAAUCCUUUCCUUUGUGGGGAACUAUUAAAGAGGAAAUGCAACACAAGUAUUGAGUCACCAUGCACACCAUCACAGUCUUUUGAAAGUGAGGCAAAAUGGUAUGAUGUCAAUCAUGUUGUUUUCUUUGCAAGUUUUACUACUUCAUAUAUCAUGAUCUUGUUAGGAUUUGCUAUCAUCCUUUACAUCAAUCCUUAUUGGCGUCAUAGAUGGUUCAAUUUUAUCGAGGAAUGUAUAUAUUCCUGCUAUUAUUUUGUUUUUGAUAGUCUUUCCAAGUUAUCAGCAUAUUUGUAUAAUUAGAUACUUUUAAUUGGAUGAUAUUUGCAUAAUUAACUACUAUUUGUUUCCCUGGGAUAGAAAGAAAUGGGAUGUAUAAUGCUAUGAGCUGAAACUUACAUACUUUGCUCAAAUUCUAACAUCUUUUGAUUUUAUUUUCAAGUUCCGUUAUUUAUUAUGUAUUGCUUAAUUCAAGAUUUAACCAUAUUACGUUACUCUUAUAAAAGCAAAUUCAAAUUUUUAGGAACUUUUAGCAUUAAAAUAAUUUCAUAGUCAGAUUUUAAAAAAUAAAGAAGAAAGAAAAUAAUAAAUAAUUGGAAAAACAAUUCAAGGAAGUAUUAAAUUAUUAUCUUAGAAUUAUUUGGCGUAGUAUGGGAAUUCAAAAAUAAUCUUUCAAUUUGUUAGAAAUGUUUAUUUAUUUAUUAUAGCAAUGAUUGAAAUAUCAAUCACAAAGUAAUGUUUUCUUUUCUUUUGUAGGGCACUAACACUUUUUCUUUGAUAGUAAUAAUUGAUAAAUAUAUUACACAAUUAUUUGUUUUAAAAAAGGGAGGGAUGACAAACAUAAUAACAUGUGAAAUAUUUCUAAAACUGUAAUGGGAAAUAAGCCAUCUAAUUAGGGUGCAAUAUUAUUCAUUUUAAUUUACAUGAAUUUACUUAUUUUUAUUUGCAUCAUAUUUUGAACUAUUUUAUGAAAUUAAGGGAGAUUAAAACAUCACGAGUUUCUUAUUUUAGUUUAUAUUCUUAAUAAUAAAGCAUGAAAUAUUAUAAAAAAAAAAAUCAUGAAUUUCUUUAAUUCCUUAGGAAACCAAUAUAUAAAAAAUUGAACAUAUUAUUAUUUUAUAUCCUAAAUCUCUAAAUUUGUUCAUUACCUAUUUAUUUUUAUAUUAAAUUUAUUAUUAAUUAUUUAUUUAUAUUAUUAUUUUAUGUUUAAAAUGUUCAUAAAUAAUUAAAAUUAAUAAAUAUAAAAAUAAAAUAUUAAAAAAUUAAAUUAUAAAGAUUUCAUCAAACUGACAUAUUUAAAAAAAAAAAAAAGCUAAAAAAGAUGAGGAUAUUAUAGAGGAGGGGAAAAGGAUAAAAGAAAAUUCAUGUGGUAUGAUAAUAUCACGUGUCAAAGUUAUUUUCUUUAAAAAAUAAUAAUAGUAAUGAUGAACUCAUUUGUCUUAUCAAAGUAAGUUAAAAAAAAAAAAAAAAAAAAAAAAGAAAAGAAAAAGAUGGUAGUUGGCUUAUUUGUUCUUUGAAAAUAAAAAAUCAAAGUUUUAGAAAAAUACAAUUUUCUUUUAAAUGAUGAAUGGUUACAUCAUUUCCCCUUAGCUUAUCUGUUCCUUUAAACUUUAGUUUGAAUAAAAUUAGUUUUAAUUAUUUUCUUUUUGGAAUUAUAUUUAAUCGUAUUAUUAAAAAUAUAAAAAACAUCGUAAUAAUAUUGUCAAUAAGUUUUUUUAUAUAUAUUGAAAAAUAUUUAUAUUUAAAAAUAUUUAAAUUUUGUCAUGGGCUGCCCAUUUCAAAAUGAUAAGAAUAUAAUAACCUAAUUUUUCCAAAUUCCAGGUAAAUAUGCUAAUCUAAAAAAAAAAAAUUAUUAGGUUUUUAUGUGCUGAUUGGGUUUUUUUUAUACCCAGUAUGCUCUCCAAUCUACCACUUAAGCAUCCGACAUGGCUAAAAAUAAAUUUUUAAAAAAAAGAAUAAAAAAGGAAAAAAACGAAAGUGUGUGAUCUCUUUCUUGAGUCUUCACAAUCUGAGACACUGAACCCAAAUCAAAAUUAAUCCUCCAAAUUAAUUUUCACCUCCAACCCAAACCCUAACGACUGCCUCACUUUCUUCUCAAACAUAGCUAUACGAAAAACCCUAGCCUCUGCCUCGUCUUCCUCUUAUCCCGGAAACCCAAAUCCCGUGACCCUAACCCCUUCUCUUUCCGAAAACCCUCCAGAAUCGGAAGAUUCAAGUGAUCGAAUUAAUUCUUCAGAAUUAAUUUUCACCUCGAAGCCGAACCCUAACUGCCUCAUCUUCCUCUCAUUCAUAUCCCAAAAGUAGCUUCAACAGUCAGGCCUGCGGCCAUGAAAGCCGUAGUGAUCGCCACUUCCGGCGAUCCCCAAGUUCUCCAAGUGCAAGAAGUCGAAAACCCUGAAAUUGGAGAUGAUGAAGUUCUAAUUAGAGUGGACGCCGCUGCCAUUAAUCGAGCGGAUACGCUUCAGAGGAAGGGCUUGCACCCUCCCUCAAAGGCGGCAGUCCCUACCCCGCUGGAAUCAUCGAAGCUGUUGGAAAGGUCGUCGUUCGAUGGAAGGUUGGCGAUCAGGUAUUUCAAUUGCCUAAUAUUUUGAUUCCGUUUCUGUUCCUGUAUUUUUCUCGGCUAUCCUUUAUGUGAUUUUGCUUCCUCCUGAGUACAAGUUCAUAAUAUACAUGGUACAUGGUGAAUCUGUAUGACAUUUCAUGGUAUACAGGUGUGUGCUCUUCUUUCUGGUGGAGGGCAUGCUGAAAAAGUGGCUGUUCCAGCUGGGCAAGUUCUCCCUGUCCUAUCUGGUGUUUCUCUGAAGGAUGCUGCUGAGGUUGCAUGUACUGUUUGGUCAACUGUUUUAAUGAUGAGCCGACUGUCUGCAGGAGAAACAUUCCUGGUGAAUUUUUUGUCUUUUUUAUUUUCUGAUGCCUGAUAUAUUUACCAGCACAAAUUUUCCCUGUUGCUGUUUAAUGUGUGUGCAUCAAUAUUGGAUUAGGGAGGUAGAAGAGCCAUGGUUCUAUUACAUCAUCAUAUUCUUAUUUAGAUACAUUGUAUCCCACAAUUUCAUUGCAUCCAAGGCUAUGUUGUUUUUUAUUGCACGGUUUGUCAUGGUAAUUUCUCAACCCUUCUCUGGAAAAUUAUGUUGGAUGGCUGCUAUUAAUUACCCCAAAAGAAGAAAUUUUAUGUUGAAGUAAGAUGAGUAGCACAAAGAGUUACUUGUGGUUGAUCCUAUCAUCAAAUGGGCGAUUGAUGCACAAUCCAAAUGGUAAAUUUUUUUCCCCCUUUAUCCAGAUGGAAUUUUUAUGCAUGGUUGAAUAGUGAAAUGAGGACUGAUAAUAUUUCAGGUUCAUGGGGGUUCAAUUGGAAUUGGUACCAUCUAUUCAAAUAGUGAAAUAUUGAGGAGCAAGGGUAUUUGUUACAGCAGGUUUGCCAUCACUGUUCUACCUCAUCCCACAGAAUGCUUAUCUCAUGGCACCAAUUCCUUUUCUUCACAUGUUUUCAACCAUUUUUUCCACCCAGGAACGAGGAAAAAUUAGCUGUUUGUAAGGAUCAUUGAGCAGAUGUGUGCAUCAAUUACAAGACUGAAAACUUUGUUGCAUGGGUGAAGGAGGAAACAGGAGGGAAAGGUACAUUCUAUUGUAUCUUAACGAUAAUUUCAAUUGAAGGUGGAAUUGCUUUUUAUUUUUUAGUGCACCAAAUCCACUAGUCUGGAAUGUUUGAAAAGAUAAAUAGUCAUCUUCCACUUGAUUCCGAUUGUGAAGAUCUAACCCCAAAAAUGUUGAAUGACAGGUGUUGAUGUUAUACUGGAUAAUAUUGGAGGGGCCUACUUUUGGGGAGACAUCAAUGGUUUAAAUGUUGAUGGAAGGCUUUUUAUUAUUGGUUUUCAGGGUGGAACAGUGGUACAAGUAAAUCUUUCAGGUUUACUUGCAAGGCGCCUUACAGUGCAAGGUACCACUUUCUCUGUAGAAGAUUUUUCUGUAGUUUUGGAGUUGAAUCAAUUUGAUUAAUCUCAUCCAAGUUCAGAACUGAGGUGGAUUCUGGCAAGCCAAGGAAAAACCAAAUUACCAUAAAUUCUUUUUUUUUUUCUGGAUCGUUUUACUUCUUGGAAAUCCUGUUUCUCGAUCUGGUCAGGUAUAUGGAAAUUCCAAGGAAAAUAUGUUUUACAUUUUCCAUAAUUGGAAACACUCAGGAAUUUAAUAUUUUCCUCUGAAAUAGCAAUGGUUUUCUAAUUACGACAUUUGUUUUUCUUGUAUCAUCCCAAAAUAUUUUUUAGGUGUUUGUUCUCUCUUGACACAGCUUUUAAUUGGGUCUGUCUUGCUUUUUGAUAGAUCUCUUGACAAGUUGCUUGUAUAUCAUACUUUCUUUAUUGUUUUCGGAUCAUGAACCUUGCUUCUGUCAGCCCUGUUAUCACUACCCAAACUAGUAAAUUUAUGCACAAAACUCCAUGUGUCAGUAACAGUGGUUAUUUGAUUGUAUUAAAUAAUUUGUAAAUACAGUGGAUAAGUUUGUGCAUAGAUUGAAGGCGAAUGAAAAACGUGCAUAGAUUGAAGGUGUGCUGCUUGAGUUGAUUGUAGUUUGAGCAUGAAAAUUUGAAGAUCCAGAACAGCAAAUGAGGAAUGCCUAUCAAUUUGAAACCAGCAUGGGUGGAUGAAUGGAGAGGUUCUUCACUGAAUUUGUCCAUGAAGCUUUUUAGCACUCUAGGGCAAGGGUCUCCAAGCCUAGCUGUUGAUUGCACAUCCCUCCUGCGCAAUACUAAGAACAGAGUGAAAUGCAAAUGCAGGAAAGGGUGUUUCUUAGCUGUUCAACAACUGACAAUACAUUGGCAUGACAAUUCCCUGGAUCGAAUGCCACAAUGCCCUCUUGGAGUUCCAAAGCUUGUUCACAGGUCAAACGAACUUGAGGGUUUUGGGACAUGAACUCCAAGUUUGGUUGCCAAGAAUCUCCAGGUGGAGGAUCAGCUUCUGACACGUGCACACACCUCUUGGCCAGUUUGUGUUAUUGCAAUUUUUAUUAAAUUGCUAAAAAAUUUAUCGCGAACAAUUUUUUCUUUUUUCUUUUUUCUUUUUUUCUUUUUAAACAAACUGCAAAAAUCCCUUUUUUUUUUAUAUAAAAAAAAAAAAAAUUCUCCAACAAAGUGAUUUUUUUUUGUGGCAUGACUCGGUUUGACCACUAACUCGGUGAACUGGUCUAUCGGCUCAAGUUUGGAUCCCUUAAUUUUGUGGCAAAUUGGGCAUCAAGCCCAACAACCUAACUUCCAUGCGGGCUAUCUACUGGAUCUCACCCAUUGUAACUUGCUCUGGGUGAAUGGCCAUUAUAAACUUCAUUUUAUCCUCAUGUGAUUUUGAUGUGGGAAUGGGAGAGAUGAGGAUUUGACAUUUGGACCUAAGGCUCAAUGGGUUUUAACUCCACUCAGCUACUUUAUGUCUUGUAUUUAAUAUUGCAAACCAAAAUAAUAAUAGACAUGAUUCUUUUCAAAAAAUUUAUAAUGUAAUAUUUUUUAAAAUUAUAAAAUAAUAGGUUAUAUAAAUUUUAAUAUAUAGGUAAAAUUAAUUAAAUUUUAACAAAUAUCUUCACAUUUAGACAUUACAUAUUUUUUAUUUAAUAAAAUUUUAAAAUAUUAAUAUAUCUAAAUAUAAUAUUAAAAAUGAAAAAUAAAAUAGUAAUAAUUUUUAUUUUCUUUAUAUAUUUAAAAUUAUAUAAUUAUUUUUUAUUUUAAUAACAUAUAAAUUGUAUAUUUAUAAUAUUAUUGGUUCAACUGUGAUUCAACCAUCACUCCGAUUAUUCAAUUAUGAAUUAAUAAAUUUUUUAAUUCAAUGAUAGGUUUGAUUAUAAAAAUAUUAUGUUUUUUUUUAUGAAAAGUACUCAAGAAAUAUCAUUAAUCACUAAGAUCACGUGGUUGGAUUAGGUGUAUCCGAAACAUAGGUAUUACUCUCUUCCUUAGUUAGGGCUUAGCUUUUGAAAAUGUAGAUAGGUAAAGUGGAUGGAAAGUCUAUAACUACGUAGAGAUUGAGCUUGGAGGCCAAUCUAGCAAAUGUGGAGAUUAGAAAUAGUUUACCAUCUAGAUAGUCAAGCAUAGCAAUUUACCAAACCCUUACCAACCAUCCAUACUAACCAAUUGUGGUUAAAUGUUUACAAAAAUGUACAUUAAAUCAAAGAGAAAAAAGAUUAAAAACGAACAAGAGAGAAGAAGCACAUCACCUAAUUUUGGUAAUAAAUGAAAUUAAAAUAAAUUCAUAAAUUUUUUAAAUUAAAAUGAAUUUGAACUCUAGAGAUUUGUGUAGAUAUCUUAUUAAAAAACCAAAAAGUUUGUUGCAUAUAUAAUUUCAACAAUGCAUAAAUAAUUACAACAUACGCAAUACAAUAAUAUUACACAACUAUAUUUUCAAAUAUAAUAUAAGAUCAUUAAAGUGAUAAAUUGUAGUUGUAUAAAGUAUUUAUACAAGUAAAGAAGAAAUUAUGAGAUUAAAAUGCUUGUUGGAUUCUAAGUAAAAAAGAAAUGAGAUAUAGAGAUUGUCCCAUCAGACAUAUAGAAUUUCAUAUACAUAAUUUUCCCUUCAAGAAAAUUUAGGGUCAAAUUGAAAAAAUUUCAUUCAUAGAUUUUGGUAAAACCUCUAUCUAGUCCCCGAAGUCUUGUAUACAAAAGGAAAUAACAUUGGUAUGAGGGGUUUGAAUGCUUAAUUUUAGAUUGAAAAUGCUUGAGAUAAUUUUUGAUCGACUUCACAUGUGUUUUUAAUAAACUUGGAACAUUCAAACUUGUAUUUGAAGAAUCUUCAAUUUGAUCUUAAAUAAUGUUGAAACCUUCAAAAUUUGAAUAGAAGAAUCUUUAAGCAUUUGAAUUUUGGUUUAAAGAAUUUUGAAAUUUGAGACUGAAGAAUCUUCAAAUUUGGGCCUGAAGAUCAAAGGCUAAGCUUGAAGAGUUCUUGAAGCUUGAGUGGUAUGUCCGAUUUUGUUUUGUAUUUUAUAAAAACUUUUAGGCUAUGUUUGGUUCCCAGAAAAUUUGAGGGAAAAUGCGAGGGAAAGAAAAUACAAAGGAAAAGUAGAAGGAAAGAAAAAGUGAAGGAAAAUAAAAAAAUAGAUUAAAAGUUGAUAAAUUAUUUUUUUUGUUACUUCAAACUCAUUUUAUUUAUUUUAACUCAUCAAUAUAAAGAUUAAAUAAUUUAAAAAUAUAAAAGUUUUUAAUUAGUUUUAAUUAUAUUUAAUUUUCUUUGAUAUUUUUUAUAAGACAACCAAACAUGAGAAAAUCAUUUUCCUUAGCAUUUUUUUUCUUUCCUUUGUACUUUCCGGGAACCAAACAUAGCCUUAAGUAUACUAUAUUUAUAGGUUUGAAGAGACAUUGAGAUUUUGUAUACAUGUUUGGAGUUUUAAACCUUGAAAUAUUACUCUUUUAUGAAAUUAACAUUUAUAAAAUUUGGAAGAACAUAAUUAGAUAAUAUUCUAAGUUAUUUUUAAUGAAAAUUGAUAAUUACCUUUUAAUUAUCAAAUUCACUAUUUCUAUUUAUUUUUGUAAUAUAUAUUAAUUACUAAAAUCAUUUAUUUCCUUUAUUUAGUUUGAAAGCAAUUAUAUAUCUUUUGUUUGUGUAGAGCUCAUGUGACACGACAAAUUUUAUUUUGUAACUUGCUCUGGAUGAAUGGCCAUUAUAAACUUCAUUUUAUCCUCAUCUGAUUUUGACGUGGGAAUAGGAGAGAUGAGGAUUUGACAUUUGGACCUAAGCCUCAGAGGGUUUUAACUCCACUCAACUACUUUAUGCCUUGUAUUUAAUAUUGCAAACCAAAAUAAUAACAGACAUGAUCCUUUUCAAAAUUUUUAUAUUAAUAGAAGUGUAAAUAAUAUAAGUAAAAAUAAUGUAAUAUUUUUUAAAAUGAUAAAAUAAUAGGUUACAUAAAUUUUAAUAUAUAGGUAAAAUUAAUUAAAUUUUAACAAAUACCUUCACACUUAAACAUUACAUAUCUUUUAUUUAAUAAAAUGUUAAAAUAUUAAUAUAUUUAAAAUUGUAUAAUUAUUUUUAUUUUAAUACUAUAUAAAUUAUAUAUUUAUGAUAUUACUGGUUCAACUAUAAUUCAAUCACUGGUCCAACCAUUGAACCAUGAAUUAGUAAAUUUUUUUAUUCAAUGAUAGGUUUGAUUCUAAAAACAUUAUGGCUAUGUUUGGUCCCAGAAAUUUUUUUUUGAUGGAUAAUGACAAAGAUAUUACCAAUUUGAUAUCACCAAUUGAUAACACAAUUAAAAAAUAAUAUGAAUUUUAACAUAUUUGAAUUCAUUGUAAUCAUAUCCAUGACCUAAUUUUACACAUCCUUAAAUCAUGGUUGAUUUAUGAAACAAAUCUAUACCAUCAAUAGAAAAUAAAUAAAUAAAAUAAUACAAAAAAAAUAUAUAGAUAGUCAAGCAUAGCAAUUUACCAAACCCUUAGCCACCAUCCAUACUAACCUGUUGUUGUUAAAUGUUUACAAAAAUAUACAUUAAAUCAAAGAGUAAAAAGAUUAAAAACGAACAAGAGAGAAGAAAUACAUCACCUAAUUUUUGUAAUAAAUGAAAUUAUAAUAAAUUCAUAAUUUUUUUAAAUUAAAAUAGGAAUUCAAAUACAUGUAACUAUUGUUUUUGUCUUGUAAAUCAUCCAAUUUUUCAAUGAAUUUAAACUCCACAGAUUUGUGUAGAUAUCUUAUUAAAAAAAGCAAAAAGUUUUCACUAAAAUCAUAAAAUUUAGAUUAGAAAUGAUUUACUAUAUUAGUUCAAAAUUCACCUCCACAAAAAUUGAAAUAAAUUAAUUAUCUUCAAUUCAAAUAAAAUUUCUCCAAUUAAAUUUCCAAAUAUGUGCCUUAAUACCUAUAAUGGAAUUAGUAAUUUUAAUUAAAAUAAAAAUAAAAAUAAGGAUUUGAUCUUUUUCUUACCAUUUGAUGAAAAUUAUAAAAUAUAUUAAAAUGACAAGUGAUCAGACAUUUGAAAUUUGCAUCAUUUCUACCAUUGCAAACACCACCAACCCCAUAUUUCCCAUUUUUCUACCUACUGCCAAUUCACUCAUCUCUCUGGGAAGAUUUUUGAGGUUAUCGUCAUGCUUGAGAUAAUCCAGAAAGUUGAGCGGCAUCACUCUCUGAAAGGUGCCUUACAGCAUGGGUAAUGUAUGGGAUACAUCUGAUAACUUGCCAUAUCCAUAAACCACUAUAUUAAACCAUGGUUCAUAUCCCCAACGUUACACGAGAAUCUGUACUCAUCCCAAGCAGCUUGGAGAUCAUAAAAUUAGGUUUUGAGGGCCUCCCGAGACAUGCACAGCUUCACCCUUUGUGCAUUCCUUUGAUUUGGAAAAUUUCUUCUUUAGAAUUCCCCAUUAUCAUGCCCUGAACCAAGACAUAUCAUGAUUGGAUGGGCCCCUUCACCAAUUUCACAAUAUCCAAUAGCAUAUCAUUUACUUCCCUUUUGUCAAUGGGAAUUACCAUUUUGCAUGGGAAGCACCAACGGAGAUGGAGGUUUUCAAAUUGGAUCACUAGCAAAGAAACCCACCGCAACUAUCUGAAUAAUUGAGCACAACAUCGGCUUUAGAGAACUCCUCCUGAAGGCGAAAUCGUCAUCUUGGCUAAACGUAGUCAUAGUUGGGUUGUGAGAAAUGGAGAUGAAUCAUAGAAGGCUUUCAGUUUCAUAGCAACGAAAAGGUAAAUGUACUCUAGAGAAGUUUUGACCUUGGGAGAAGCGCUUUUGAAUCCAAGUCAAGGUCUGUUCUGGAUCCCUUUUCGACUCUCUCUAUUAAAGGAAGAUAAUCUGCCUAGGAUUUGGAUGCAAGCUUGCAAGGCCAUGUUUAGGAGACUUAUGCAAAAUAUUUAUCCAUAGCUCCCCGCCUGAAACAUCUACAUAAAGCGUCUUCCAAGUGUGAACCAUUGUCUUGGGUCCUUGAGAUGAACAAAAACUGAGACAUAUCGUGAGUUAGAUGCAUUGCCUGAAAAUGCCGAGCAGUAGUAUGGCCUUCUUUCUGAUCAACUGUUUUGUCAAAUUCUAGAGCUCUCAUUCCAAAUCCAUCAGUUUUCUCAAAUGAUUGGCUAGUGGAGAUCCAUGGAUAUAACAUAUGAAAUGUGCACAAUAAAAGUAAUCAAACGGUUGGUUGGUUUGGCUGAAUCCCACAAUCGCAAAGACUAAUCAUAUGAAACUGUUACCAGCUGAGUUGAAUUUGGCCUAAAAAGGAUAUCCGUUACUACAAACUAGCGUUCUUUCAUGGUGCUCUCUCUUUGCAGGCUAUCCAUGUUCCAAAGAAAAACUCUCUUGUCAUGUCUGGCACUAGGCACUGAUUAGAGUGUGGGACGUUCAUUCUCCAUUAUCACCAAACACAUGCAGGAUAUAUAUAUAUCAAUUCAUUCAAAAUAUGCCUUUAUUUUAUGGAACAUAACCGAAUCCAUUUUGUUUGUGUUGAAGAGGUAUAGAUCUUCUAAGGCUGUGGAGGGCACCACCUUUUCUCAGAAUUCUCUCUGACGAUGGGAAGCCGAAGAGAACGGGUUUUGUUUUUAUUUUGAAAACGUUGUUAUCAUUAAAGAACAAACACUAUUCUUUGGAUUUAUACCCUCUUGCCUUAGGGACCAUACUGUUUGGCUAUUGGGCCUCACGAGUCUUAGGCCCAUCAUCUAAGGCCCAUGAUGGCACUGGGCUCUACACAUAAGGUGACCCAUACUCUGGAACGAAUAGAAAUCAUAUGUAUAUAUAUGGAUAGCUAAAUCCUGAACAAUGGUUAAUAUGAUGUCGGUCCACAUUUAUUCUAUCAAUCUCCCACUUGGACCACAUAUAUUACAAAACAAUGUUCAUGAUAGUACUUUAUUGAGCUCAUCUUUGCUAUCCUAUCUUAAUAUCCUUAAACAAUCCGGUCUACUAGUUAUGCUAACAUAGGAUCAAAGUGGCCUUCAUUAAUCAUAAUUAUAACUAGACCCAUCAAUGAUCACAACAUUAACAAAAUUAGCAACAUAGAUCAAGUAUGGAUGUGUAGCAUGGAAAUUACAUAAAAUGUGAUCUUUAUUAUGUCUAUUUCCAAUUGGUCCUACUUUAUGACUAAAAAAUAGUCAAAUUCCACUUUCAACACUUGAUGCUAAACUGCUUUUAAAAGUCAUCAUUUCAAUUCAGAGAAUUCAAAUACAAUAGUCUUUAAAAUCAAGGUUUGUACAGAUAACACAAUAUAACAUCAUAUCAAGAAAACAAACACAAAAUCUAAAUACAAACUCCCACUAUACUGGAACAUCAUCAAUAUGUACAACACCCAUAUGUGUGACAUGAUCAUGAUAUACUUUGGGUGGCAAACCCUUAGUGAGCGGAUCCGCAAUCAUGAAGUUUGUGCUUGUAUGUUCAAUCGAUACUUGAAGACUCUAAACUCUUUCUUUCACAACCAAGAACUUGAUGUUAAUGUGUUUGGACUUUGACGAACUUCGGUUGUUCUUAGAAUUACAAUUCUGUGGCUUUAUUAUCACAAUUUAUUCUUAAUGGUUUCUCAAUCUCAUCAACGAUUCGCAACUGAGUGACAAAAUUCCGUAGCCAUAUCCCAUGGUUUGAUGCUUUGUAGUAGGCUAUGAAUUCUGCCUCCAUGGUGAAAGAAGCAAUAAGUAUUUGUUUAACACUUUUCCAUGAAACUGUUCAUCCAACCAACAUGAAGAUGUAGCUUGAAGUGGAUCUCUUGCUGUCAAGACAUCCCACGAAAUCGGAGUCCGAAUAUCCCAUGAUCUCUAAAUGACUGGAUCUACGGUAUGUGAGCAUAUAAUCUUUAGUUCUUUGUAAAUACUGCAUAACCUAUUUUGCCUUUUUCCAGUGAUCCAUACCUGGGUUACUCAAAUAUUUGCCUAACAUUCCAAUAAUGUACGUAAUAUCUGGAUGCGUACAAACUUGUGCAUACAUGAGACUUCCUAUUGUUGAGGCAUAGGGAAACCUCUUCAUAUCCUUCUUUUUAAGUUCAUUUUUCGGACAUUGGUGCAAACUAAAUUUAUCGCCUUUUGCUACAGGCAUGUCUCCUGGUGUACAAUUGCUCAUGCCAAAUCUACUUAACACCUUAUCGAUGUAGGCCUUUUGUGAUAACCCAAGUAUACCUCUUGAACGAUCCUUAUAGAUCUGUAUACCCAGCAAAAAAGAUGCAUUACCUAGAUCCUUCAUGUCAAAUUUACUAGACAAAAAUCGCUUUGUUUCAUGCAAAAGUCCCACAUCACUACUUGCAAGUAGAAUAUCAUCAACAUAUAGCACCAAGAUAAUGAAUUUGCUCUCACUAAACUUGAGAUAUAUGCAUUGAUCAAUGGUGUUUUCCUUAAAACCAAAUGAAGUAAUCACCUGAUCAAACUUUUGGUACCAUUGUCAAGAUGCUUGCUUUAAACCAUAUAUGGACCUUUUUAAUCUGCAUACAAGUUGCUUUGAAUCAUUAGACUCAAAGUUCUCCGGUUGCAUCAUGAAUAUUGUUUCAUCAAUGUUACUAUUAAGAAACGUAGUUUUAACGUCCAUUUGAUGCAGCUCUAAAUCAUAAUGAGCCACAAGUGCCAUGAUGAUUCUAAAGGAGUCAUUUGACGAAACCGGUGAAAAGGUCUCCUUAUAAUCAAUGCCUUCCUUUUGAGUGAAACCUUUUGCGACUAGACGUGCCUUAUACCUAACAAUGUUGCCUUUUGAAUCCCACUUGGUCUUAAAAAUCCAUUUACAACCAAUCGGUUUUACACUUUCAGGCAACUUUACUAGGUCCCAAACACCAUUGUCUUUCAUUGAUUUCAUCUCAUCCUUUAUGACUUCUAUCCACUUUUCAGAGUCAGAACUUUGUUUGAAUUGACUAACUGAAAUUGGAUCGUCUUCCAAACCCAUGUCAAACUCUUGUUCCUGGAGAUGUACAACAUAAUCAUCUGAAAUUGUACUUCUCAUUUCUCUAGUGGAUCUCCUUAGUGGCACUUGUAUUUGAGGUUCUUGAGGCUGUUGAGUUACCUCUUCAUAAACUUGAAUCGGUUCCAUAACUUGAGCAGGAGGAAUCUCAGGUGUGUUUUGAAUCUCUGUUAUUGACUGCACAUUCUGGAUAGUGUCAUCAAACAUAAUAUGACCAUGUCCAGUUGUAAUAAUAGGAACACUAACAGAUUACUCUUCAAAUACCACAUUUCUUAACGGUUCUCUCCCAUUUAACUCAACAUCCUCAAUAAAUUUAGCUUUGCCCGUUUCAAAAAAGGAUCUAGUUGAGGGGUCAUAAAACUUGAAACCUCUCAACCUUUUAGAAUAUCCUACAAAGUAGCAGCUCACUGUUCUGGAGUCCAAUUUCUUUUCAUUUGGUUUUUAAGGCCUAGCUUUAGUUGGACAACCCCAGACAUGCAAGUGCCUAAUACUAGGUUUCUUGCUAGUUCAUAACUCAUAUGAGGUUUUGGCUACUGCUUUGCUUGAGACUCUAUUCAAAAUAUAAAUUGUUGUUUUGAUGGCUUCGCCCCAAAGUGAUUCUGGUAAGGUGGAAUGACUGAUCAUACUUCUUACCAUAUCCUUAAGAGUACGGUUUCGCCUAUCUGCUACACCAUUUUGGCUUGGAGUCCCCAGCAUAGUGUAUUGAGGAACGAUACCACACUCCAUCAAAUAUUUGGCGAACGACCCUAGACGUUGUUCAUUGGAUCCGUCAUAUCUGCCAUAAUAUUCACCUCCACGGUCAGAUCUGACGACCUUUAUUUUCUUGCUUAGUUGGUUCUCAACUUUAGCUUUGAAAUUCUUGAACACAUCUAAUGAUUGAGACUUCUCAUGAAUCAAAUAAAGAUAGCCAUAGCGCGAGUAAUCGUCAAUGAAAGUGAUAAAAUAUUGUUGUCCAUUCCAAGAAGGGGUAGGAAAUGGACCACAAAUGUCCGUAUGUAUCAAUUCAAAGACGUCACUGCACUUGUUAGCAUCAUUUUUUUCUCAUAUUUGUUUGUUUACCCUUAAUACACUCUAUACAGACUCGAAAGUCUAUGAAAUUAAGUGGAUCAAGAAUUCAUUCUGACACAAGCCUUUGAAUACGUUGAUUUGAAAUAUGACCCAAACGCCUGUGCCAUAACAUCGAUGAAUUCUCAUUUGUUAAUUUCCGUUUAAUGUCAUAAUUACUUGAAUUCAAGGUUUCAUUUCCAUUAGUGGUCUUUAUAUUUAAUUUGUAUAAUUUGUCUAUUAGACUACCUGUACCAAUAACAUUUGAAUUUAGAUAAAGACUAACCAUUCCAUUUCUAAAUGAACAAUAAUAUCCAAAUUUGUCUAGACAUAAAACAGAAAUUAAAUUCCGUCUAAACGACGAUACUACAAAAGUCUCUUCCAAAUCCAAAGUACAUCCAGAGUCUAACUGUAAUCUAAAAAGACCAAUAGUCUUGACUGCAACCUUGUUGCCAUUUCCCACAUAGAUGUAUUUUUCACCAUCAGUUGGCAUUCGACUCCUUAGGCAACCCUACAUCGUGACACUUAUGUGAGUAGUUGCACCCGUAUCUAUCCACCAAGUGUCAGUAGGCACUACGACUAAAUUAAUUUAUGAACAAACAAAGUUGAGAAGUGUACCUUUCUUUUCACGCCAAGCGGCGUAUUUGGUACAUGUCUUCUUCAUAUGACCAACCUUCUUGCAAAAGAAACAAGUCAUCUCCUUAUCUUGUUUCUUCUGCACCUUUUGCAUUGAUGUCCUAAAAAUUGCAUUUUGUUUUUCUUUAUUGUCCUUCUUUCUUUUCUUUUUGGUACCAAAUCCCUGAGAUGUGGAAGCCAAGUGAGAACUUUCUAUCUUUUCUUGUUUCAAUCUCUCAUCCUCUUGUGCACAUUGAGCAAUAAGCUCAUUCAAAGUCCAUUUUUCCUUUUGUGUUGUAACUAAUUUUGAAUGGACUGAAUUGUGUAGGCAGAGAGAUUAAGACCAAGUGCACAAGUAUGUCUUCCGAAAACUCUAACUUUAGUGCCUUUAGUCUAGUCACAAGAUUAGACAUUUCCAUAAUAUACUCCCUUAUAUUCUCUUUCCCUUUGUAUCGCAUAGAGACAAGCUUACUAAGAAUAGUGCUUGUCUCAACCUUUUCAUUUGAAGCGAAUCGGUUUGCUAUCUGGUCUAAGAAUGCCUUGGCUUGAGUUUUCUCAGGUAUUGGACUCCUUAUAGCUUUUGGAAUUGAGUACUUCGUUAUCAUUAGACUCAUGCGAUUGGAUCGCUCCCAUUUUUCCAUAGUAGACCUUUGCUCAGUAGUGCUGGCACUAGUAAGAUCUGGAGGGCGAUCCUCUCUUAAUGCAUAGUCUAAAUCCAUGCACCCGAGCACAAUUAUAACGUGCUCCUUCCAUUUCUUGAAGUUUGUGUCAUUAAGCGCAGGAAUGUUAUUAACAUUUGUAGAUAUAGAAUAUGUUAAAUUCAUAAUAAUAAAGCUCACAAUCAAUCACAUAAACAUCAUACAUACAUGAAAAAUAACAUCAUACAAGAUACUUAGCACAAAUAUUAAUAUUUUGUCUUUGGACAAUAAAUAUUAACUUGUAAUUGGUAUCCUUAUACAAAAUUAAUUCAUAAAUAUUGACAAUAAAACCAAAAACAAUAUGUUUGUCUUUAGACUAAUAUGUCGAAUGCAAGAUAAACUUUAUAUGUCACAUAUUUAUGACUACUUUAUUUAUUAUUAUAUUAAAAUAAUCUUCCUUUGGGCCGAUUAUUUUAAAUAAUAAUAAUAACAUGUUUAGAUAUUAUAAAAUAAAUAAAUUAUAUAAUAUAAGUUACUUUGGCAACUAACAUACAUAAUUCAUUUAUUUUAAAAUAUUAAACACAAACAUAACAAGAAAUAAUAAAUUCAAUUAAAAUUAUUUAUUUAUUUAUGCAUAAUAUAUAUAUAUAUAUAUAUAUAUAUAUAUAUAUAUAUUAAUUGAAGCAUAAAAAACCAUCUACAUGUGUAUAUAUAUCAAUUGAAGCAUAUAUACAAGCAUUAGUCUAAUGGUUUAAGCAAAAAAUAGGCCAUGGUAAAGGGUUUAAGCCAACCCGCCCCUUUAGUUUGGUUUUUGUUUUUUUUUUUUUUUUUUUUAAUUUCUUUUGGGCUACUGACCAUGCAUUCUCUCAUGGCCCAACGAAUAUAUAUAUAUAUUUGUUUUAAAAAAAUUUUGUCCAUUGCAGCCCAAAGCGACCAUCCCUUGUAAUGGCAUCAUCAACGGUGCCAGAGCUGUCCUCGAACGACACCGACAGUGAAACGCCGCCACCAUCACCGGAACGGUGAUUUCCCAUCGCCAAACGACGGUGUCACUACCAGAAUGACGUUGUAACGGCAUCGCUGGGAAGCAGCCUAACCUGUGGCGUGACACCAUGACAAGCAAUGCCGCUAGCAGUGAAACGUUGUCGCCAUCACCAGAAUGGUGAUUUUCCAUCGCCAAACGAUGGCGCCACCAUCGAAACAACGCUGAAACGACGUCACUGGGAAGCAACCCUACCCGCGGCACCAAAAUGGCACUUGGAUGACAUUUGGAACUCUUGCAACAACGCUCAAAUCAGCGAUUCUCACUGGCAAAUGACGCUUGAACGACGUCUGGAAAUAAUGCCUACAACGCCUAAAAAUUGUGCUCUUUUGAACGCCUGAAACAACGUUGAAAUGACGUCUACCGGCGUCUGGAAUUGCACCGCUGUCUAGAACGAUGCCAUGAUGGUGUCUCACUCACCUUAAAUGGCACCAACCACCGUGACUUGCAUCCCCAAAAAUGGCACUUGAACAGCGCCUGAAGCGUGCCUGGAACGACGCUGCAAACGAUGCUUGAAAUGGUGCAUUUUGUAUGCUUGAAAAUGGCACAGGAAUGACGCCUACACUACGUCCAUUUUGAAUGCCUGAACGGUGUCCUAACGGCGCCUGAAUGACGCCUGGAAUUGGCCCAGAUUUAUUUUAUGUUGUUUCCUUCCUCUUGGAUCUUUUGUUUGUGUUUUAAAAAAAAAGUGUUUUGGUGAAAAUGGGAAAUGCAACCAGGCUCUGAUACCAUUUUGUGGGACGUUCAUUCUCCAUUAUCAUCGAACACAUGCAGGAUAUAUUUAUAUAUAUAUAUAUAUAUCAAUUCAUUCAAAAUAUGCCUUCAUUUUAUGGAACAUACCCGAAUCCAUUUUGUUUGUGUUGAAGAGGUAUAAAUCUUCUAAGGCUAUGGGGGGUACCACAUUUUCUUAGAAUUCUCUAUGACGAUGGGAAGCCAGAGAGAACAAGUUCUAUUUUUAUUUUGAAAACGUUGUUAUCCUUAAAUAACAAACACUAUUAUUUGGAUUUAUACUCUCCUACCUUAGGGACCAUACCCUUUGGCUAUUGGGCCUUACGAGUCUUAGGCCCAUCAUCUAAGGCUCGUGAUGGCACUAGGCUCUACACAUAAGGUGGCCCAUACUCUGGAACGAAUAGAAAUCAUAUGUGUAUAUAUGGAUAGCUAAAUCUUGAACAAUGGUUAAUAUGAUGUCAGUUCACAUUUAUUAUAUCAUAGAGACUUCCCAUAUGAAGAAAAUUGACAGUAGGUAGCUUUGCCAUUCUUGUCCGUAUACAACCAACCUUAGCAAGGGUUGAACCCUUUUAUGCUUAGUUGUGCCAUACAAAUCCUUACCACCGCCUACAACAUGUAAUCGAAAUGAUUCGAUAAUAUCAUCUAGUGAACCAAUACCUCCAAAUGAGAGACCAUUGCCUUGGUAACUAGGGCUCAUGACUGAGAAUUGCGUGAACCCCUUUGCUUGGGUUGGAGCUUAACUGAUGCACAAAAUAUUCAUAGGCCUCUUCCCAUAACUGGCACCUUGUGUUUGCAACAUAAUUGAACAUGUAUUGAAGUGAGUUUUUUUGCAUCUUUUUGUAAGAAAAUUCUAAACAACAGAGACUGCUUAGUGUGCCCGGCUCCUCGGGAAAUCAAGGUUCAUUCCUGUAGGGCCAGUUUUUUCACAGUCGAACUAGAUAACAUGGAGAGUAUGUUGCAAUGCUUCAACAGGGUAUUUCUUAGGAAAAUCCACCUGAAGUUGGUACAAUUCGUUGGCGUACUGAGUUCCUGGAGCUCUAUUGACUUCAAUCACCCAUCUCUGUAGAUUAUCGAUGACUUAUGCUCGGAUCCUGUAGGAGGAUUGACCUGACAUUCCACUAGCUCUUUCUGGAAGACGAUCUUGUUUAACACCUUGUGAGAAGAGGCAAGGGAACUGGUCAUUGUUUCUUCGAGAAGAUCAGUGGCCGAGGAUGGGUUUGGACCAUAAUUGCUAUAUGGGUUUUCUUUGGGUGAACCAAUUAGUGGAGUGGGUGGCUAUAUAGCAACUGAAGGGUGGUCAUACUAAUGAGGAGCUAUUAUUUCAUGCAUGUGGAGAGGAAAUGAGUAGCUUCUUCAAGGAUAUAUGAUUAUUCAUCUCUAGCUUACGUUGAAUAUCUCCUAACAAAUUUCUGCUUUGAAGCUCCCUUAGUUUCACUACAGCUAACUUGGCCAACUUGGUUUCAUCAUGUUUCCUACAACCUCUAAGCAAAGCACGCCAGAUCACUGAAUCAGGUUCUAUUUGCAUUUUGUCCAUAAACUCCUUUGCCUAUUGACAAUAAACUGCCCCUCAAAAUUUGAUGAGAUAACAUCAAUGCUGACAUGUUGGUCAUCCCCAUAAGCAUCUUUAUAGAGAUUGAUUCUAUGUUUAGAUAUUUCUCUCUCCUCAAGUGAGUUCAACUUUUUUGUAACAUCCUUCUCCUUCUCUACUAAUAGUCUUAGUUGAACAUCCAACCUAUGUUCCCAAAGUGCCAGCAUCUCAUAUCUGAUGACAAGCCAACAACCUUGCCCUUGCUGAGACCCAAAUAAGUAUCCAGAACCAUCAGCAUCAACCCUUUCAUAGGCCUUUGUAUUUGAAGGUCGGAUUGGGAUUGCUUUGAAUGCACUGGCACUACAAUACACAAUUGUAUCUUCUCCAAUAAAAACACCACACAGAGGUGAGGGGACUGGUAUUAGCAAAGAAGUGUUGUUAUCUAUAUUGUUCUGAGCCCGAGUACCCUCAACAAAAUCCUCAUCCUCAUCUGUACUCUUCCAUUACAUCCCUAGGCUUUUCAAUGUGAUCCACAUGGCUUACAGGAAUCCAGAAAUACCAGUCUGUAUAAAUGUUGCUCUUAUGGGGCUCUCCUAGAAAACAUCCCUAUCAAGAUGAUCAACCUAGCUUAGAUGCUCAGCACCCCAAACUUACUAGAAAUAGAGGAAUUAAAAGCAAGGAUAGGAGCCAAAGUAAAAAUUUAGGGAAGAGCAAAUAGGAAAUCAAGCAAAACAUGAAUGUACAGAGCCUCAUUUCAGGUGACAUCUUUGGGCUAAUAAUAGGUGGAAUUAACAAAGUAGACAAGCAUGAUUGUUAUAAAUAUCAAGUUCAAGGAUGAAGCCGUGCAUCAGCUACUUAUAGGGGGAGUCAAGGAAACCAAGAUAAGAUCAAAGAGAGCAUGUAUGCAAAUAAACAGAUUCGAAAAAAUAGACCAAACAACUCGUGAAUAUCCUCCUACAAAAAACUACUACACGUGGCAAAAAGUGAUGAAACAAAAAGAGUCGGGUCCGCAUAUACAUAUCCUAUUCUAUCCUAUUCCUUCAAAUCCAAAGCAACCUGUAUUUUCAAUGGGAUUUGUUGUGAUGAAUUUUACUGGAUUGUAACAUGUAAAUAUGUUAAAAGAGGCUUGGGACAUUCCUAUAUAGUAACGCAUAAAGGUACUUCCAUUGUGAAGUUGUCAAAAUUGCAAAUUUAAAUUACAAAAUUUGAAAACAUAGAGAUGAAAGAUGAUGAAACCUUCUUUGAAAUUUUAUAUUGAACUCAUUAAUAUUAUUAAUUUUCAUUUCAGUGUAGGGGAAAGAAUUCUUUACUCUAAAGUGGUCACAAAAAUAUUAAAAUUCCUUGUUGAGAGAUUUAGACCUAAAGUGAUCAAUAUAGAAGAAAGUAAAAAUAUUCUAAGUGUAGGUAAACUUGUAGACUCAAAUGACUCUACCUUCUCAUAAAAAAUCCUCAAUUUUAUAAAUUAUAUAGAUUUCUUCAUUUGAUACAAAAUUUGAAUAAAGAUUUUUCAAAUGACAACACAAGGAAAGGGAAAAAAAAAAUUCUCUCCAGUUCAUUUCAUUUAAUCACUUAAAUUAUUUAAAAAUAAAAAUGUUUACUGCUAACAUUAUUUAGAUUCAUCUUUCUUUUGAUGGAGGUUAAAAUUCAUAAUUUUGAGGAAAAAGAUGAGGAUUCUCAUUUUUUUUUCCAUGUAUGAAUGGGAUUCUCAUUGUGUAUAUGUGGGUUACUAAAUGGCAAAUUUAGGGGCCAAUAUGAGGAAAAAUAUGAAGUUGAGUUUGUCACCAAGAACAAACAUGACUCCUAUAAAGGUGGCAUCCUUAAUUUCAUGUCUGGAUUAGACUUCUCAUGUAACAACUUAACAGGUGAAAUCUCUCAUGAACUUGGAAUGUUAAGUUUGAUUCAUGCAUUGAACUUGUCUCGCAAUCAACUAAAGGGCUCCAUUUCAAACAGUUUUUGCAAUCUUUCUCAAACAGAGAGCUUAGAUCUUCUUAAUAAUAAACUAAGUGGAGAAAUUCCUCCAAAAUUGGUUAGACUAACUUUUUUAGUGGUGUUCAAUGUGACUCAUAGUAGCAUCUUUGGAAGAGUUUCAGAUAUGAAUGCAUAAUUUGCAAUAUUUGAUGAAAGUAACUAUGAAGAUAAUCCUUUCCUUUGUGGACCACCAUUAAAGAGAAAAUGUAGCAUAAAUGUUAAGCCACCUUACCCACCAUUAGAGUCUUCGGAAAAAAGUGAUGCAAAAUGGUAUAAUAUCGAUCUUGUGGUUUUCUUUGCAAGUUUUACUAUAUCAUAUAUCAUGAUAUCAUUAGGAAUUUCAACCAUUCUUUACAUUAACCCUUAUUGGUGUCAAAGAUGGUUCAAUUUUAUCGAGAAAUAUAUAUACUUUUGCUAUUAUUUUGUUUCCUAUACUCUUUCCAAGUUAUUAACAUAUUUUGAAUAAUUAGAGAUUUUUGUUUUCAAUAAUAUUUACAUAAUUAACUACUAUUGGCUUCCAUGACAUGGAAAGAAAUGCGGUGAAGGCAACAACCACUUUUUUUUCUCCUCUACUAGUGCAUGAUUGAUAUGAGUUAAAACUUGCACCCUUAUCUUUGCUUAAAUUUUCUCAGCUUUUGUUUCAAUUCUUAAUUAUCAUUUCUUUUAUGUGUUGUUUAAUACAAUAUCCUAAACACAUUGCUUUGAAGGUUACUUAUUUAUUAAGCAUGAUAUUUAUUUUUCAUAAAGACAAAUUCAAGUUUUUUAGGAAUUUUUAGAAUUAUUAUAAUUUGGAGUUCACAUUAGAGGAAAAAAGGAAAGAAAAGAAUAGAUGAUUAAAAAAACAAUUUUAGUAAGUAUAAUUUGUCAUCUUCGGUAUAACAAAUGGGAAUUCCAAAAUAAUAUUUCAAUUUGUUAGUCUAUUCCUUAUAGUAUUAAUUGAUAUAUCAAAUAGGAAGUCACGUUUUGAUUUUUUAUUAGCUUCAAUUGCAUGUCACAUAUAUUUUAAAAUCAAGCAUACCUCAGCCGGGAAGUUCUUGUAACAUGCAUGAACAUGAUAUGAUGAAUUGAAUAAUUUUCUUAAUUGUGUGAGACACAAACCCUCUUUGUUUAAUAAUAAUAAUAAUAUACUACACAUUAUUAAAUCAUAUAUGUAUAUUUAUAGUCGUAUAAUAUAUUCAAAAUAUUAAACACAUUACCCUCUUAAAUUUUUAUGAAUGGUGUUUACUUUACAUAACGACAGAUUCAAAUUUUUUUAGAAUUUUUUAAUGUUAAAAUAAUUUGGAGCUUAAUAGGGAAAAAAAAGAAUAAAUAAUUAGAAAAGCAAUUCAAAAAAAAUAAAAUUUAUCCUCUUAAAUUGGUUUUGUGUAAUACUAUAGAAGCCAUUUCUUGAGUUUGAUAUGGUAGAAUUCGGAUUCAUAUUUAUUUUAAAAUAAAGAAUUUCAAGGGUUGGUAGCAUCAAUAGAAUCUUAACAAAUUUGCAAAAAAGUAUUUGGGUAGAUCACAUUUAAAUAUAGCUAACAGAAUAAAAAAUUAAUAUUAUUAGGAAGACAUGAUCAAUUAAAUCUUUUUUCUUAUCUAUGACACCGAUUUUAUAUUUUUACAUAGUCAAUAUAAUUUAUUACAACUUAUAUGUCAUUAAAUUAUACAUGCUUAUAUUAAAUAUAAUAUAAGAUCAUUAAUGGAAUAAUUAUGCAAGUAAUAUAAAUUGUAUAUAAUAUAAAAAAUUUAAACUCCGUCAAACUAAUGGAAUCUAUUAUAAUAAGUAGACUAGACACCAUAUUGGCCCGAGUUGGAGGCCUGGGCCAGAUUUUAAAGGCUGGGCUUUGAGUUGCCCGUGGGCCUGAGCCAAGGCCUUCUCUUGGUAUCAUCAUUUUGAAGAAAUAAAUUGCUGAUACAGAGAAAAAAACUAUACUAAAUAGAAAAAUAAAUAAAAGCAUUGACUAAAAUGAAGGUCAAGGUCCUUGAAAAAUAAUCUUUAAAUUGUUGCAUAUAUAAUUUCAAUAAUGCAUAAAUAAUUGCAAUAUAUAUGAUAUGAUAAAGAAUUUGGAAUUAAAAGAAGAUUGAUCUAUUUUAAAUGUGGUUGGAAUAUUUUUAAAUUUGUGAUGGGAAGUUAGACAGCCAAUUAGGGAUCCAUAUUAUUUAUUUUCAAUUAUAUGAAUUUAUUUACUUUUAUUAAUAUUCUGAAUGCAACAAUAUAAAAUAUGUCAAUUUUCUAAAAUUAAAAAAGUAAUUGCAAAAGAAAAUUUUUAAUUAUUUUUCUGAAAUUGAGUUUAUCAUAACAUUUUUCUUUACAUAAAUUUCUUUUUUAUGUUUAUUUUUUUAAAAAUGAGAUAUGAAAAAAAAAGAUCAAUAUUAGUAAAAGUAAAACCCAAUAUAUAUAAAAAAAAUGAAUAAAUGUUUAUGAAAUAAGAUUUAAAAGUGAGAAGGUAAUAAAUUUUUUCUCUUUUAAUUCCUAUUCAAUACAUUACAAAAAAUAUUUUUGGUUUUUAUGCUAAAAUUUAUUGUUUAUUAAAAAAUUCUAGUAUAUCUAGCUAUCAUAGAAGAGCUCCAAAAUUUUAUUGUUUAAGAGAAUGUGUUGCCACUUUAAAAGAUUUAUAUGCAUACCUUUGGAUAUGUUUAGUUCCCGGUAAAUUUGAAGGAAAAUGUGAAGGAAGAAAAAUAGAGAAGAAAAGUAUAACAAAAUAAAAAGUGAAGGAAAAUGAAAAAUAGAUUUAAAAUUAAUAAAUUAUUUUCAUUGGUUUUUUCAAAUUUAUUUUACUUAUUUUAUUCUAUUAAAUAAAGAUUAACUAAUUUUAAUUAUAUUUGGUUUGAUUUUUAUUAUUUUUCAAAGCAAAACCAAAUAUGAAAAAAAAAACAUUUUUUUUGGUUAUUUUUUUCUUUCCUUAUUACUCUUCGGGACUCAAACAUAGCUUUUAGAUUUGGGGCAUGGAAAAAUAAGAGUAUUGAAUAAGGGUUCUAUAUAUGCCCAUGCCCAUGCCCAUGAUACCAUUGAAAAAAAUGGAGAGAGGGUGAAACCUUUACUAGAUGAUAAAUUAUUCUCUUCAAUGGAAAUCAAAUAUAAUUAUUUUUAUCUUGUAUUAAUUGAAUGUUAUACUCCAUAAACUCAAAAUUAAAAUAAAUAAAAAAUUUAAAAACUAGGACAAUCCCAUUUUUUUUCAAUUUCUUAAAAAGAAAUUAAAUUAUAUUUAUUUAUAUCUAUUUUCAUCCCUACCCAACAAAAUAAAAAAAAUUAACAUUGUGGAACAUGUAUGAGAAAUUCUCACAAUUUUUUUUAAGAAAAAUAAAUUUCUUAUUUUAUAUAUGUUAAAAAUAAAUAUAAUCUUUUAUUUUUUAUAUAUAUAAUCGGGUAAGGUAGAGUGGGACAAAGAAAUAAUCCCCUUCGAUUCCAAUCCGAAAUUUUAAAAUAUAAAAUAAAAAUCUUAAACUCAUCCCUAAUCCAUUUAUUUUUAAUCCUAAACUUGUCUUAUAAGGAAUAAGGCAAAGUAAGUACAUGAAAACACUUUUUUUUAUCAUCAUCUCUACAAGUUCUAAUGUUUAGAUUGCAAUCCAUAUCAAAGAUUUAUAAAGAAAGAACAACGAUGAAUUUCAUAAACAUUUGAAAGCAUAUACAAAGUUUUAAAUAAUAUUGCUUGAGGUGCAAAUAUUAUUUGGCGCACACGUUGAGGGACUUCAACUGGUGUUGUCUAGGUUUUUUACACUAGUAAGUAAUCUUGAAUAUCUAGAGUAACUUGAUCAAAAUCUCUUUAAUUUUAUUUUCUUUGAUGAAUUAGAAUGCUUAUAUAACAUGAUUAAAAAUUUUAAGAAAAAAAAACUAAGAAGAAAGAAAGAAGUACCGAUCUUCCAAAUAUUGCUUCCACUUUAAUAUUUAGAAGGCUCUAAGAAAAGAAUUUUAUUCAUGAAUCACAACCCAAGUCGAAAAUAAAUUGAACCCAUUUUCUAAGUUAAAUUUUGAAUUUUUUACUAGUGAAUGCAAAUUGGGAAAAUGUAUAUAAAUAUAAUUAAACUAGAAUAGUAGGUUAGGUUUGUGUGGUCCCACGAUGACUUGGAAGUUUCAACAAUUCAAGCAGACUCCACCUAUAAACCUAAUAUACUAUUUUAGUUUAAUUAUAUUUAUAUAUGUUUUCCCAAUUUGCAUUCACUAGUAAAAAAUUCAAAGUUGAACUUGAAAAAUGGGUUCAAUUUAUUUUCGAUUUGGGUUGUGAUUCAUGAAUGAAACAAUGAUCAAUGACUUGACUUUUAAGGCCAACUUAGUUAAGUCAUUCCUAACCCCUAUAUUAAUUUGGCCUUAAAAGUCCAGUAAUUGAUAGCUAAAUCCCAACCCAAGUCAAAAAUAAAUUGAACCCAUUUUCUAAGUUCAACUUUGAAAUUUUUUUUAAUUGGAAAAAUGUAUAUAAAUACAAUUAAACUAGAAUAGUAGAUUAGGUUUGUAGGUGGAGUCUGCUUGAAUUUGUGAAACUUCCAAGUCGUCGUGGGUCUAGUGGUCCCAUAGCUCUCUAUUAAUUUCCACCAUCAAUUUUCUGCAAUAAAGUCAAGUCAUUCCUAACCCCUAUAUUAAUUUGGCCUUCAAAGUCCAGUCAUUGAUAGCUACGUUCAUGAAUCCCAACCCAAGUCAAAAAUAAAUUGAAUCCAUUUUCUAAGUUCAACUUUGAAUUUUUUUUAAUUGGAAAAAUGUAUAUAAAUACAAUUAAACUAGAAUAGUAGAUUAGGUUUGUAGGUGGAGUCUGGUUGAAUUUGUGAAACUUCCAAGUCGUCGUGGGUCUGGUGGUCUUAUAGCUCUCUAUUAAUUUCCACCAUCAAUUUUCUGCAAUAAAGUCAAGUCAUUCCUAACCCCUAUAUUAAUUUGGCCUUAAAAGUCCAGUCAUUGAUAGCUACGUUCAUGAAUCCCAACCUAAGUCAAAAAUAAAUUGAACCCAUUUUCCAAGUUCAACUUUGAAUUUUUUUUAAUUGGAAAAAUGUAUAUAAAUACAAUUAAACUAGAAUAGUAGAUUAGGUUUAUAGGUGGAGUCUGCUUGAAUUUGUGAAACUUCCAAGUCGUCGUGGGUCUAGUGGUCCCAUAGCUCUCUAUUAAUUUUCACCAUCAAUUUUCUGCAAUAAAGUCAAGCCAUUCCUAAACCAUAUAUUAAUUUGGCCUUAAAAGUCAAGUCAUUGAUAGUUACGUUCAUGAAUCACAACCCAAGUCUAAAAUAAAUUGAACCCAUUUUCCAAGUUCAACUUUGAUUUUUUUUACUAGUGAAUGCAAAUUGGGAAAACGUAUAUAAAUAUAAUUAUACUAGAAUAGUAUAUUAGGUUUGUAGGUGGAGUAAGCUUGAAUUGUUGAAACUUCCAAGUCAUCAUGGGUCUAAGGGUCCCAUAGCUCUCUAUUAAUUUCCAUCAUCAAUUUUUAUGAAUUCAGAUUUAAAAGUGAGAAGGGAAUAAAUUUUUUCUUUUUCAAUUCAUUACAAAAAAUAUUUUUGGUUUUUAUGCUAAAAUUUAUUGUUUAUUCAAAAAAUUAAAGUAUAAAAAUAUAAAAUAUAUAUCUUGCUAUUAUAGAAGAGCUCCAAAAUUUUCGUGUUUAAGAGAAUAUGUGUUGCCACUUUAGAAGAUUUAUAUACAAAAAGGAUUGAUGUUUCUCCUUUGACUAUGUUUGGUUCCCAAAAAUUUGAGGGAAAGAAAAUAAAAAAAAGGUAGUAAAAAAGAAAAAAUGAAGGAAAAUAAAAAAUAGUUUUAAAGUUAAUAAAUUAUUUUUAUAUGCUAUUUCAAACUUAUUUUACUUAUUUUUUUUCAUUAUAUAAAGAUUAAAUAAUUUUAAAAUGCAUAACUAAUUUUAAUUAUAUUUAAUUUUUCUUUUAUAUUUUUUAGACGGGAUCCAACACAUGUAAAAAUCCUUUUUUUUAGCAUCUUUUUUUCUUUUCUUAUUACUUUCCAAUAACCAAAUAUAACCUUUAGAUUUAGCCUUUAGACUUGGAGUAUGGAAGGAUACUGAGUAUUGAAAGAAGGUUUUGUAUAUGGCCAUGAUACCAUAGAAAAAAUGGGCGACAGAGAAAAAACCUUUAUUAAAUGAUAAAUUAUUUUUUUCAAUGGAAAUCAAAUAUAAUUAUUUUUAAAAAUAAAAAUAAAAAAUAAUAAUUUGUUGUUGCAUUAAGUAUUCUUGCAUUUGGAGAAGCAUGUACUACUUACUACAUAAAUGGAUAUUCAUGGAGUGCAUUCUCUAGAAAGCUCCAGUCUCAUGAAAAUGGAAAGAUGGACCGGCCGGUGAACCGGUUCGAGUUUGGAUUUAUGGGCUGCCUCAGCCUAACACGCAUGAUAGGUUGUUGUAGGUGAAGAACUAACUAAUUAAUUUAAAGCCUUCUUCUAUCCUCUCCUAUUCCUCUAUCACUCCAAAUGUUCCACAUGAUAAUGACAAUUCUUUUGUUAAAUGGUAAAAAAAAAAUUUAACAAUUAAUUUAAAAAAUUUUUAAAAUCUAAAUCCAAUGGAAAUUUGACUGUAAGGUGCGUAGAAGGCCCUAGUGCCCAUGUUGCUAAUUUGAUGAUAGUUAAAUUACCAUUUCGAGAGAUUCCACUCACUAGUAUUCUCAUUUAUAAAAUCAUGAACUUUGGCAUCCUAAUUAAUGUAAUUUAACUUUUUUUUGUUUACAAAUGAAAUAAGAGGCAACAUAUAAACCCAAAAGUUAAUUUUCCUACCAUCUCUAUGCACCAUUUUAGCUUUACUCCAAUAUAUUUUCUAUGAUUAAUUAUUUUCAUUCAAACAAUAAUAUCAAAAUAUUUUAAAAUUAGACAUAUCCACUAAUAUAUCUUCGAUAUAUUAUAUAUAUCUGUAAAAUCGAAACACCAAUAUAUCCGUGAUUAUCGAUAUUUUUAUCGUUGAGGGAUAACAACUAAUCUAGUUUUUGUACCUAUUGAUAUUCCUCAACAUUUAGAUUGAUUUGACCAUUUUUUUUUUAAUUUUAUUUUCUUUGAUGGUUAUAUGAUGAAUUAGAAUAGUCAUAUAACAUUAACAGAUUUAAGCAAAAAUGAUAAAAAAGCUCGCAUUUUUCAAAUAUUGGUUUCAACUUUGAAUAUUUUUAUUGGUAAAUGAAAAUUGUGAAAAACCUACUAAUGCUAAUACUUUUCACCACAUAAUUAAAUAUAAUAAACUAGAAUAGUGAUUCAUUGAUGUCUUAUAAAGCUACAUGCCUUCUUUGACUUGUUAGUUGAUUUUUGUAGGUGGAGUCUGUAGGGACCCCUCCCCCUGAUGACACGUGGCACGCAUUUCUAUCCGGAUUAGCUCCAUCCGGAUUUCCUCCAAGGAGACACGUGGCGCGCUUCCCCUAUCCGGACUCCCUCAGGGAGAAGCACACGACACUCGCAAACAUCACAUCCGGACGACCGCCAUAUCGCAUCCGGACGAUCGACAUAUCCUAUCCGGAUAUGUUUGUCCGGAUCGUUGACUAAAGUAAGCAAGUCUUACUACGUCAUUCCGACAGCCUGCCAUGGCCCACGUUCCACCACCUGCAAAGUGAAAAGACAGGAAUGAUGGCAAGUCACUUCCUACGAUCUCUGACAGCUGUGGCGCCUCUCACGAUCUCUGUCAGCCGCCCGUAGGGUGAUGAUGGCCCUGUCACCACCUAGAGUCAUCAUGACAAGCCAAAAUAUCUCUCUAUCAUUAAAGAGGGAGACAGAGCUUCUGGUACUAUAUAUAUGGACCUUCACACAAAGAGGAAGGUAAGCUUGCUAUACCUAGUAAAAGGCCAACUGAUUUAUCUCUUUAACCAUGGCUGACAAAACCAUCGGAGGGUGUGUCCGGACACCCUGUCCGGACGCCUUUUGCAGGAACGAUUGAACCAGGAAUCUAUAUUGGUUGAGAUCGUGCGUCCAUCCAUUUGGCAACUACGUGGAUCACCAGGGACGCGAGGCCUCAACAUUGGCGCCGUCUGUGGGAAAAUCACUGAUUCAGUCACCGACAAAGAUAGCCACACCUUCCCAAAGCCGCUCGUCCGCUAGGGAAAAGGAAGAUAAUUCUGAAUGGCGCCGAGCCAUUGAAAGAAGACAGUUGGCAAGCUCGUGACAACUGCAAGCUCUCCUCCAGGAGACAGAAUGACUAAGAGAAGAAAACGCGGUACUACGCAUCCAAGCUUCAUCGACGGGGCCUCCCCGUCGUCAGCAUUCAAAAGGCCAGGUAGCAAACUCAAGGCCUGACCCAGAGUCAAUAUACCCUGGGGCAGCAGGAGCAAUACUUGAAACAUGCAACGUUAGGCCACAUGAGCCACACACGCCCAUGCACCGAGCUCCCCAUGAGGAAAGCUCAGACUCUACUCAUUUUUCAGCAAAAAGACAACGCGACAAAAAAUCCCAAUUGUCAAACUCAAUGCGUGCGAGACUAGGCCCACAGGAGCCUGGGAGGCCAAAGCCGCCAGUAGCCAUAACCUGGGCAGUGCACCUUGACCCUAUGGUCACCCCCAUGGUGCAGAGCGUUCUCCCGCACCGUGACCCUAUGGUCACCCCUAUGGUGCAGAACGUUCACCCGCACCUAGCGGUACGACAAGCUGGGAGAAACCUCCCAAAUGAGCCACCCAUUGGCUCCAUUAGCAAAAGGCUGGACGACAUGCUCUCCACGCCUUUUUGCUCUCAUAUCAUUCAUUACGAGCCCCCAAGGGGAUUCCUCGUGCCCAAAUUCUCCACAUACGAUGGGUCCAGCGACCCCUUCGACCAUAUCAUGCAUUAUCGACAGCUCAUGACUCUCGAUAUAGGCAAUGACGCGCAGCUAUGCAAAGUAUUCCCCGCCAACCUACAAGGGCAGGCCCUCUCAUGGUUUCACCGCCUACCUCCCAACUAUGUUGAUAAUUUCAGAGACCUAUCAGAGGCCUUCGUGGGACAAUACUUAUGCUCUGCUCGACAUAAGCAGAACAUCAGCACUCUGCAAAACAUAAAAAUGCAGGAUAACGAAUCCUUAAGGGAGUUCGUGAAGUGGUUUGGUCAUGCCGUACUACAGGUAAAGGCUUACAGCAUGGAUGCUGUCCUGCAGAUCUUCAAGCGAAGUAUUUGUCCAGGCACCCCAUUUUUUGAAUCACUCGCUAAAAAGCCUCCUACGACGAUGGACGACUUGUUCCAGCGUGCGAGCAAAUACUCAAUGCUCGAAGAUGACGUGCGAGCAGCCACCCAGCAAGUCUUGGUUGCCGGACAGGCAUCUAGAAGUGGCACGGAAAGAAGUGCCAAACUUCCGGACAGGCCAAGACAGUCCCAUCAAAGGCAGGAAGGGCCAAGUCGCCCGGAAAGGCCGCCCCUCACACCCCUUUCCAUAUCCUAUGAGAAGCUUCUCCCUAUGAUCUAAGACAUGUCCGACUUCAGGUGGCCUAGACCCAUCGGAACGGACCCAUCCAAAAGGGAUCAUAGUAAAAAAUGUGCCUUCCAUAAAGAGCAUGGUCACACAACGGAGACAUGCAGGUGCCUUCAUUAUUUGGUCGAAAGGCUCAUAAGGGCGGGACAUUUAAAGCAAUACCUCCACUCAGAUACCGGAGGUAGAGAUGCUUCCCGAAAUCACAACUCUGGAGCCCCUAGGGCCCUAGCCGUCCCCAAAGCCGUUAUAAACUAUAUUAACAGAGGCCCAUCUGACGAGGAGUACGACUCCAAACGAAAGAAACAAAAGUUGUUGCGGGCAGCAUCGGUGCGCGAACGUGUCAACUCCAUCCGGCCUGGGAUAACUGGGGGGGCCCUCGCCCCAUAGAUGGGAUAAUCAUUUUCCCACCAGUAGACCCCACCCGGAUAUUGAAGCCGCACCGCGACGCCCUCAUCCUGUCCUUAAAGAUAGGAGACUUCGACGUGAGACGCAUCCUGGUUGACCCAGGUAGCUCGGCCGAUCUUGUGCAAGCAUCGGUCAUUAGCCACAUGGGGCACAAUCUCACAGGCCUCGAAAACCCUGGGCGAAUCUUGUCCGGAUUCAACGGGGCGUCAACUACUUCAUUGGGAGACAUUGUACUGUCGGUCCAAGCUGGCCCAGUCACUCUCAACGUACAAUUUUCGGUGGUACAAGAUUUAUCACCCUUCAAUGUCAUCUUGGGGCGCACAUGGCUGCACUACAUGAAAGUCAUCCCCUCUACAUAUCAUCAAAUGGUAAGCUUCCUUACCAAGGAUGGGCAAAUUGACCUAUACGGCAGCCAGUUAGCCGCUCGCCAAUGCUACCAGAUAGCACGAGAAGCAGGGACCAACCAGGAGGAUGCAUCCCUCCCUGAGUCCAGCCAUGCACGUGACCAAUAGCAAUUAUUGAGUCCGGGGGACAAAGAUCCCCCGGCAGCGGAUCCCUUGCAAGCAAUCCAAAUUUCGGAAGAAGGUACUCACCUUACGAAUAUCAGUUAGAAGAGACCCGGAACAUGCAGAACGCCCUCAGACAAAACCAUGACGUCUUCGCAUGGACACAUUCUGAUAUGAAGGGAAUUCAUCCCUCCAUUACCUCUCAUAGGCUUAACGUCUUGCCAACAGCCAGACCCAUCCGGCAGAGGGUUAGACGUUUUCACCCGGACAGACAAAAAAUUAUCCGGAAUGAGAUUGACAAGUUGCUAGAAGUCGGAUUCAUCAGAGAAGUGCAUUACCCGGACUGGUUGGCAAAUGUAGUGGUGGUACCCAAAAAAGAAGGCAAAUGGCGGGUGUGAGUCGACUAUACCAACCUCAAUAAUGCAUGCCCAAAAGACAGUUUCCCUUUGCCACGGAUGGAUCAAAUUGUGGACUCCACUGCUGGGUAAGGGAUGCUCUCCUUCUUGGACGCCUUCUCUGGAUACCACCAAAUCCCCAUGUCCCCGGCUGAUGAAGAAAAGACAGCCUUCAUAACACCACAUGGUCUCUAUUGCUACAAAGUCAUGCCAUUCAGACUCAAAAACGCUGGUGCCACUUACUAGAGACUGAUGACGAAGAUCUUCAAACCUCUGGUCGGCCGCACAAUAGAGGUAUAUAUUGACGAUAUCGUGGUUAAAAGUAAAACCCGAGAGGAACAUGUCCUCCACUUGCAAGAAGUCUUCCACCUCUUGAGGAAGUAUGGCAUGAAGUUGAAUCCCUCUAAAUGUGCCUUUGGCAUAAGUGGUGACAAAUUCUUGGGAUUUAUGGUUAGCCAAAUGGGGAUAGAGGUCAGCCCGGACCAAGUCAAGGCAGUCAUGGAAACACCACCCCCUAGGAGCAAAAAGGAAUUACAACGCCUCACAGGCAAGCUCGUCGCGCUAGGGCGUUUUAUAGCCCGCUUCACUAAUGAACUGCGACCCUUCUUCUUGGCAAUACGAAAAGAAGGAGCAAACGGAUGGACGAACAACUGUCAAAGCGCUUUUGAAAAAAUUAAACAUUGCCUCAUGCAAUCGCCCAUCCUGAGCAGUCCCCUCCUUGAAGAAAAACUGUAUAUGUAUCUGGCUGUAUCGGAGUGGGCAAUUAGUGAUGUUCUAUUCCGCUGCCCCUUACCCAAGGAGCAGAAACCUAUCUACUACGUCAGCAGAGCAUUGGCAGACGUAGAAACCAGGUAUUCAAAGAUGGAGCUAAUGGCCUUAGCUCUUCGAAGUGCUGCCCAGAAGCUCUGCCCCUACUUCCAAGCCCACCCGGUGGUCAUGCUAACUGACCAGCCCCUUCGCAACAUUCUGCACAAGCCAGACUUAACCGGAAGAAUGCUUCAAUGGGCCAUAGAGUUAAGCGAAUAUGGAAUCGAGUUCCAACCCAGGCUGUCCAUGAAAGGCCAAGUUAUGGCUGACUUCGUGUUGGAAUACUCCCGAAGGCCUAUCCAGCGCAAGGAACCAAGUGAAAAAGAGUGGUGGACUUUGCGGGUCGAUGGAGCCUCACGAUCAUCAGGAUCCGGAGUAGGGCUCCUGCUGCAAUCACCAACAGGAGAACAUCUGGAGCAAGCCAUCUGGAUGGGGUUCCCCGCCUCUAACAAUGAAGCGGAAUAUGAGGCCAUCCUAUCCGGAUUGGACCUCGCCCUGGCUCAUCCGUCUCCAAGCUCCGGGUCUAUAGUGACUCCCAACUCAUGGUAAGACACGUUAAGAAGGAAUACGAAGCUAAGGAUGCGCGCAUGACGUGAUAUCUGACUAAAGUAAGGGACACCUUACAACGGUUCACCGAAUGGACGAUCGAAAAAAUCAAACGAUCUAAAAAUGGACGUGCCGACGCCUUAGCAGGCAUAGUUGCCUCCCUCCCCAUCAAAGAAGCCAUAUUGUUGCCUAUACAUGUGUAAGUCAACCAUUCCGUCGCGGAAACCUCCACUUGCAAUACCAUUGAGGCAAAUCAAGCAGACGACCAAGAGUGGACGGAAGACAUUAUAAGGUACCUCUAGACAGGCACUCUGCCUGAAGAGCCCAAGCAGGUACACAAGCUCCGGGUGCAAGCCGCCCGUUUCACCCUAAUUGGGGGGUACUUGUACAAGCGAUCCUUCACAGGUUCCUAUCUUCGGUGCCUAAACCACUCAGAGGCCCUGUAUGUAUUAGCUGAAUUGCACGAGGGAGUAUGUGGAAUUAUUCUGGAGGUCGAUUUCUGGCACACAGGGCCCAUUCGCAAGGAUAUUACUGGCCCACGAUGAAGAAGGAUGCGGCAGCCUAUGUCAAAAAAUGUGACAAAUGCCAAAGGCAUGCCCCCAUACCACAUGUGCCGUCGGAGACAUUGAAGCCAAUAUCAGGCCCCUGGCCCUUCACGCAGUGGGGCAUGGACAUAGUAGGACCCCUACCACCCCCACCCGCUCAAAAGAAAUUCCUGCUCGUCGCCACGAAUUACUUCAGUAAAUGGGUGGAAGCUGAGGCAUACGCUAGCAUCAAAGACAAAGAUGUCACCAAGUUCAUGUGGAAGAACAUCAUCUGCCGCUUCGGAAUCCCCCAAACCAUUAUAGCCGACAACGGUCCAUAGUUUGAUAGCAUCGCUUUCCAGAAUUUCUGUUCGAAACUAAACAUCCGGAAUUCAUACUCCACACCGCGUUAUCCUCAAAGUAAUGGGCAAGCAGAGGCCACAAACAAGACUCUAAUCACUACCUUAAAGAAAAGGCUCGAGCAAGCCAAAGGAAAGUGGGUGGAAGAGCUACCCGGCGUCUUGUGGGCUUAUCGAACCAUACCCAGAUGUCCGACAGGAAACACUCCCUUCGCCCUCGCAUACGGUAUGGACGCAAUCAUUUCUAUUGAAAUAGGGCUACCCACUAUCCCGGACCGAGGCAGGAAAGCAGGAUGAUGCAAAUGUGGAGUUAAGAAGAAACUUGGACUGGGCAAACGAAGUAAGGGAAACUGCAUCCAUUCGGAUGGCAGAUUAUCAACAAAGGGCAUCCGCUCACUACAAUCGCAAAGCAAGGCCCAGAAGCUUUAAAAAUGAUACGCUGGUCCUUAGAAAGGUUUUCGAAAAUACUGCUGAGAUAGGAGCGGGAAAAUUUCAAGCCAAUUGGGAAAACCCCUAUAUAGUAUCUAAGACAAGUGAAAGUGGAGCCUAUCAUCUGCAGAAGCUAGAUGGAACCCCAUUGCUCCGACCAUGGAAUGUAUCUAAUCUAAAGUAGUAUUACCAAUGAAAGAAAAAUAGAGGUACAAAUAUGAAUAAGUAUGUUUUAUUAAUACUUGUGAAAAAUUGUAUACAAAAGUUCUCCGGACUACAAAAUACAGAGAGAAGAUAGCAGUAAAAAUUACAAAAAGAAAAGCUCUCAUUGGGAAGGCUUGCCACGCAGCUUCUCCUCCUCACCCGGGGGAAUCGAAGGGACGUCCCGUUUGAUACCAAGUUUCUUCAUACAGCAACGGUAGCCGAAGAAGUACAUUUCGUCUACCUACUUCUGGUAGUCUGCUUCAAGUUCCUCCCUUUCCGCAGCAAACUCAGCCUCCAACUCUUCUUUUUGCGCUAAUAAACGCAACUGCAAAUCCUCUCUCUGCUUUUUCUCAAUUGACACCUCUGUUUGGAGUUGCCUCACUUCUCCCGCAGUUGGGCCAUUUCGUCCUCCGCCUCAUGUAGACGGGCGUCUGUAGAUUCCUCCCGACUCUUUGCCUCAGCUAGCUCUACCCGGAGAGCCUCGUUGUCAUCUCGAGCAGCGGAUAAACUGGCUUCGGCCUGCUCUAAUCUCAAGCGCAGUUCCUCUUCACUGUUUAUGCGUUGAGAGACGAAGGCCUUCAUAUAAUCAGCAGUUCGUAGUAGGUCAGAAAAAAGAUCACGUUGUUGAGCCAUGCCGCGGAUACCGCUCACCAGCUGCAGAAAAACCCACAAACAAGAAGUGCAAAAAUUACAACCCAUGUGACAAACACAUCAGAAUGGCAAGAAAAAUCAAGAAGUAAACUAUACCAUUUCCGCUGCUUCAAACAUUUUUGCUGAAGGCACAGCAACAUCUGAGCUGGAUGGAAUCCGUUUCAGCAUCUCUCCCAACUGCGCAUAGCUGAAAGGACUAGCGGAGAUGCAAGCUGCAUCAUCAACGGGACUUCCUCCUGACGAGGCAUUAGGGAGUGACUCCUUUCCCGAGUCCGGGGCCUCAUCAUUCUCGACCGGCUGGGUCUCUCCGAGUGAACCCCCAUCUGGGACCAGCACCGGGGCGGUUGGAUUCUCUUCUGCCAUCUCUGUCUCACUCCCCUCCGGAUGAUCCUCCUGGACGGACGAGCAGCUGACUUCGAUGGUUUCCAAAAAACGAUCUUGAAGCCGCCUGAUGAGGCUAGACUUUAAGUCACGGGCCGGACGAGACCUCCUUGCAGUUGGCCCCUUCACCGGUAUAAAGGCAAGGGAGCUUGGCUCGCAAGGAGGCACACCCUGACUUUCUGCCCUCGUUUCUUCCGUUGGGGGUGCCGUAGGAGGCAAUGCUUCAGUACAAGAGGCCUCGGCUGCAUCCGCGUCCGAAUGGGGAGAGCCGAGCUGAUUUACUGAAGUCGCUUCCUCAGCCAGAAGAGCCAGCCGUCCAGCCGCUGGCACUGAAGGCCCCGAAUGGUUUAGACCCGCGAGACGUCCGGAGCCUCUUGAAACAGAAGGCAAGACGGGGGAAGGGGGGAGAGGGGGGGGGGGGGGGGUGGUCUGGCUCUCUUAUUAUUAUUUCCUUUACGAAAGUUGGAGGUGGUAUUACCACUUCCUUUGGUGGAGUUGGAAGUUUUAUUUAUUUCCCCUUAUUGAGAGCCUUCUUCUUCUUUUUCUUCGCCGGGGCGCCAGCAGGAAGAGAGGGCGCGAAGCGUUUUAUAUCGGGGGCCCUCCGCAAAGUUCCCUCUUGCCUCAUUCCCUCCCGUUCGUCGAGACGUGCUCGGCGUGCCUGGGCAUCUGCCUUGCGCACCUCCUUGUAGAAAGGAAGGUCUUUUAGAACAAAAUGCUCCCCAGGCAUUACCUUCUUUGGCAACUUCCUGGGGAGAAUAUUGAUGACAUACGCCUGGGGCUCUUGGACAACGGCUAGCAAGUUUCGCGUAGUAAGCAGCGUCUCAUGAUGCCUCUCAGCGGCAGUAAUCUCAAAUAACUUGUUCAGUCGAACGAAAGACGUUUUUUCUACCCACUCGACUACGCGACCCCUCUUGUCCGGACCUGCAUUAUCAGCAACCAAAGAUAUUAAGCCAUCUGAUAACCCCAAAGCAAGAAAAGCAACAAGACGAAUGCCGAACAAACCCCGCAAGCUGUCUUACCCGGAAGCACCAACGAAAGGUUUGGGGAGAAUGGCCUCUCCGGAUGCUCCAGUAGCCCAGCCCAGAUACCCCGGACCAACACAUGUCCCUUGGCUCCUCCCUUCGUCGAAUCCGAAAGCUUAGUCACUAGUUGGAGAGAAGGCAGGUGGGAAACCAUGCUAAAAAUGUCAUUUUUCUCCUUCUUAAGGGAGUAGAUGAAAAGAACCUCCAGCAGCGAGAGGUCCAGGUUGAACAACAUGCUCAGAAUGCUGCAUCCCAUCAGCACCCGGACCAUGUUGGGAUGGAUGUAGGCCGGGGGGAUCUGGGUGAAGUGGAGAAAUUCUUUGAAAAGUGAUGGGAGAGGGAACCGGAGCCCAACAUUGAGUUGCUUCUUGGUAAAGCAGAUAGUGUUCUCCUCAGUUUUCUCAGUCGACAUGGCCUCUCCGUCCAUAAGUUCAACGGACACGCCAUUUGGGAUGCAGAAGCGUUCGCGAAACUCCCUCACAUUCAACUUAUCCACGGAUUUCUCAGCAUGAGCAUCUCCGGGUGAGCUGGAUGAAGUAGCUUCCUUGUUCGCAGACAUUUUGUAGGCUGGGGCUGAAAUGGAAUCUGCAUGGAGGAAUGCCAACAGUCAAACACAGCAAUCCGACCCCACAACCUUAACUCUACCCCAAAGAAGAAUCGGUGACCCACAAAAGGCACAAGGGUGCAACAGAAACCCUAAACACACCCAAAACACGAUCAAAACCCCCCGAAAAAAGCCCUAGAAACCAAUACCGAUUCCUAGUCGCAAAGCAACUUGCCCAGCAAGCCAGAAACAACCAACAAAACAAACACAACAAGGAGAAAAAAAAAAUAGAAAACGUACCGAGUGUAAAACUGGAAAAAUGGGAUGAAAUCCGCAGUGCAGUCACCGUCACGAUACGAGUAUUACCGGCAGAAAACCCUAGAGCUUCACUAGAAAGUGAAAAUACGCGGAAGGUAGAAGAGAAAGCACUACCAGAAAAAGCGCAGAAGGAAAAAUGCAAGAGAAAGGCACAGUUUGCUAUUUAUAGAGAGACAGCUCCUCGGUAUCCCAAAUGCUUAGCCGCACCAUCAUUGAAAGGACACGCUGCCUGGGAAAUCCCAGAAUCGGCGGCUCAUCAUAAAUGAUCUUCUUCCUUUUUCGCCCCCGCUCGCCACGUGGCCCAAUAAAGCGAAAAAAGUCAACCUCAGUUUCAAAAAACAAUCAUUUUUUAACCCACCCAUUUUGCCCUGGCAAAAUGGGCAGGUUAAAAGGGGGGCAUUGUAGGGACCUCUCCCCCUGAUGACAUGUGACACACAUUUCUAUCCGAAUUAGCUCCAUCCGGAUUUCCCCCAAGGAGACACGUGGCGCGCUUCCCCUAUCCGGACUCCCUCAGGGAGAAGCACACGACACUUGCAAACCUCACAUCCGGACGACCGCCAUAUCGCAUCCGGACGACCGACAUAUCCUAUCCGAAUAUGUUUGUCCAGAUCGUUGACUAAAGUAAGCAAGUCUUACUACGUCAUUCCGACAGCCUGCCACGGCUCACGUUCCGCCACCUGCAGAGUGAAAAGACAGGAAUGAUGGCAAGUCACUUCCUACGAUCUCUGACAGUUGCGACGCCUCCCACGAUCUCUGUCAGCCGCUCGUAUGGUGAUGAUGGCCCUGUCACCACCUAGAGUCAUCAUGACAAGCCAAAAUAUCUCCCUAUCAUUAAAGAGGGAGAUAGAGCUUCUGGUACUAUAUAUAUGGACCUUCACACAAAGAGGAAGGUAAGCUUGCUAUACCUAGUAAAAGGCCAACUGAUUUAUCUCUCUAACCAUGGUUGACAAAACCAUCGGAGGGUGUGUCCGGACGCCUUUUGCAGGAAUGACUAAACUAGGAAUCUAUAUUGGUUGAGAUUGUGCGUCCAUCUAUUUGGCAACUACGUGGAUCACCAGGGACGCGAGGCCUCAACAUAGUCCAUUUCCAUUUGAAUUGUUGAAACUUCCUAGUCCUUGUGGGUCUAGUGGUCUCUCUAAUAAUUCCCACCAUUAAUUUUUUGUGAUGAAGUGCAGUCAUUGAUAGCUACUAUAUCAAUUUGCUAUUAAAAGUCAAGUCAUUGAUAACUACUAUUCAAUCUUUUUCAAUAUGGAAAUUGGAAUCUCUAGCGCUACUCUUCUCAUCGUUCAUUUUUAGGUAAUGUGAGAAUGUGUGAACAUAAAUGUCUUCUAAUCAACCAAUUUUUUUUUGAAAAAAACAUGUACAAAAUUGCAAAACUUGCAAAAUCAAACUGACUGUAAUCAACCAUCAUAAUUUUGAUGGUUUUGAAGAAUCAAAGGAUGAAUCCUAAAAGGGUAUUUGAUAAAAAAUAAAAAUUAAAAAAAUUAAAAGACAACUACUCCCUUAAGUAUAAUAAGUGUAUUUGGUAGCACAAAUUUCCUACCACUUAUUAUUUUUUUUCUUAAAAAAUCAUUUACUCUAUUAAAUAAACUAACCUUGGCUUAUCACUUAUAGCAAAAUAGGUUAAGUAGUUUUUAAAAUUUUAUAAUAUUAGAUUUACAUUUUUAUCCUUCAAAAUUUCAUUAAUGCUAGAUUCUUCUAUAUGCUUAACUAAUAAAUAAUUUUUAGCAUUUUUCUUUUCUUAUAAACAUAAAAAAAUAAAAAUAUUAUUAACUUAUUGGUAUAUUUUAAAAUUUUAAUUAGAUUUAAGCUUUUAUUUUUUUGGAUUACCAAUUAUACAUAUAAAUCCUUUAUUAUUAUUGUUAUUAUUGAAAGAAAGGGGUUGAAUAGGUAGUCCCUCAAUCCCCAAAUUAAAUUCUUUAUUGCGUACUUUUGGUUUAUUCCUUUACAUGAAUUCCUUGGUGAGAGUAAACAUUUCAUUAAUGGAUAAAUAAAAUUGAUUCCAUAUCACAGGGUAUAAUGUGGAAAAAUCAUCGGUCUCAUGUGUUCCUUAGUGGAUCCUUUGGAGCCCUUAUCAAAGUUUCAUGAUGAAACCAUUGACUUUUGUUUAACCCAAAUGUGCUUUCAAGACAAAUCUUGAAAGAUUUGAGAGAUGGAGGUUCAAGUCUUUUAUGAACGACCAUGUUCUCUUAGGGUUCAUGAAAUUUCACACCUUUUGAUAAAUAAAACUUAUUUAUUUAUACGUCUAAAACCUAGUAUUUAUUUAUUUAAUUAUAGAAAGUUUCUUAGUUUUAAAAACAUUUCAAAAAUCAUUUUUAGAAUCAAAUAACAAUUUUAGAGAUAAACACAAUAUUAAAAUUUAACAAAAACAAAUUUUUGAAUUAAAAACACAAUAUAAACUAAAUUACAAAAUAUAAAGUAAUUUUUAUCCUAAUUUCUUCUUGCAAAACCAAAUAGAACACCUAGAAGGGGAGUGAAUAGGUGAUUUUAAAUUUUUUCAAUAAUGAUUUAUAAGUUAUACCCAAUUCUUUUACCCUGCGAGUUGUUAGGGACUAUCAAUUCUUUCCUUUUGGCAAUUCAAACAAUAUAUCAAAUAAUAAAAAGAUAUAAAUAAUGAGACAUAAAGAUUUUUACAUGGAAAACCCCCCACACUAACCAUGGAGAUAAAAAGCCAUGGAGUCUAAGACCUAUUAAUCUAAAUUCACUAUACGAAAUCAAGUUACACAAAUUUAUUUGGUAGCUUUACCUUAAAGACUUACUCUCCGGUACUGACAACUUGAUUCACGUCCAUGACGUAGCAACCCUCGAUUACUCCAAUGUAUCACUUCAAGCUUACUAAAAGGAUGAAGGCCUUCAAACCAAGAUUCAAAAAUCAAUUCCUUGAAUGAGAGAUUAGGAAUGGUGUGCCACUUUAGGCUUUCUCUCUAAGAUCUCUAAAAUGAUCUCCUCAAUGAAAACCUCUUAAACAAAAUGAGAUAUUUCUCCACAAUCUCUAACCCUUAAGGGGUUAUAAUGAGAUAUUUAUAGGCAACUAAGUUGAAAGUUUCAGUUUUGGAAGGUUUCUCAAUUGAAUUUGUGUGAAAAACUCGGCAGAAUCGACAUGAUCGCUCGAGCCAACACACUUCCCACUUGAGCGUUUUGGGCACUUGAGCGGUAAGGCUCGCUUGAGUUGUCUUAAGCACUUGAGCAUUCUAGGCUACUUGAGCAAUCUUGCUCUAUUUCAAAAGUUAAUUUUAAAUCAUUUUAAGUUCAAAACAAAAUUGAUUCCCUUUAUACCUCAAAGAAGCCUAACUUGCCACAAACCAAACCUUUUUAGAUAUACUUGUGACUUCCUGGUUGGACGAACAACAACUCUUAAUCUUCAAUGGAGAGCAAGUCACUAUCUAAAAAGAUUUAUAUGGUCAAACAUAAAAAAACAAAAAAAUUGCCAACAUAACAACAAGACUCAAUGUCCUAACAAUCUUCCCCUUUGGCAAUUUUGUGACAAAAACAACGUUACAUAAACCCACCUGAACUCUCAUAAUGGAGUUUAAUAAUACACAUUAACGUUCAAUUAAAAAUAAACUAAGGGAAUACUUUAUCUCACUUUGUAGUAUUUGUCUUCCAACCUUGUAACCUACACACAUAUAGAAAACUAUACCAAAGGUAAAACAAUGUGCAGGAUAAGAUAUGAUCAAGAAAGCAAAAUAGGAUAAUUGGAAAUUUUGCUUGAUGCCUUGUGAAAGCAUGAAAAAAGAACAAAUUCAUAUAGUAAUAUCAAGGGACAAAGCAAAACUCGAGAAGAAUAUAUAUGUAUGCAAAUCAACCAAACAUAAUAAAAGCUAAAUAAGAUGCAAUAGAUAAAAAAUAAUGCCUAGGGGUCUAUCUCCAACCAGAAAAUAGGGAGUGAAGAUCAUAGAAAGAACCUUCUGUGACUUAGAAAGAUUCUAGAGAGAUAGUAAAUUCAAACAUAAAUAUCUUGCUGGAAACAUCUAUGUUAUGUAUCUCUCUAAACCUUUUAAGUUAUGCUUUCAUCAGUUGAUUUGGUUUUUCUCCAAUGUCUCAGGUUUAAUUUCCUCUAUUAUUUCAAUUAGAGAAAUUAGUAGUCGAUUGACUUAGUGGGUGUUUGGUAAAACUUAAUACUUAUUAUUUAAUGAUUAACUUUAAGUUAAAUUGUUCUUAAGUUAUUAAUUUAAAAUUUAUUACUUAUUUUGUAUUUAAGUAUUAAGGUUAUUUGUAAAAAUCAACUUAAAAUUUAUUCUAAAUCAUCAAAUUAACACAUUUACCCUUAUUAAUUUUAACUUAUAUUUAUUUUCAUUAAUUUUAAACAAUAAAUUUAUUCAUAAAACAUCUAUAUUUUUGUAGAUACAUAAUAACCAUAAAAUAUUUACUAUAAAAAAUGAGUCAUGGAUGUAGAAUUAUAAUUCUAAAAUAUACACCUAUAAGUGUGGGUAAAUAAGACAAAAAUGAUUUGAGAUUAAGAGUAAAGUUAAUUAUUUUGACUUAAGACUUCAAGUUAAAAAUAACUUUAAGUUGCAAUAUUAAGUUAUUUUAUCAAACAUGCUUAAUUUACUUAACAACUUAAAUUAACUUAUUAAGUUGAUUUAUCAAACACCCCACUAGUAAUAUGUUGAAAAUGAAGAGCAUCCAUAGCAGAUAAUGUAUAUGUAUUUGUGUUUAGAGUAGAAGGGCACUACAACAAUGGACUUGCAUGUGAUUUGGUCGCGAUAUGAUUUUGAUGAGAAUAUUUUAUUGUCUUUAAAAUAUUGUUAUAUGAAAUGCCACACUAUGUUAGUAAAUGAUAGUUAUGUUAGUAGAAAUGAAAGUUUGUUUUAUAAUGCAUUGACCAUCCUAACACAUGCACUUAAUUAUCAUUAGUAGUUAGACAUGUAUUCCCUUUUUUCAAUUUUUUUUCUUCUUUUUAAAUACAUUCUAGUGGUACUUUGCCUUAUGACUUAAUUUUUGUUACACUUACUACUUUUGGUUUUAGUCAUAUUUCAUUUUAUUAGUAUUUUCAUUUUGUGUUACAAUUUUAUUUAGUUUCUCUAUAUUCUCUUUUGGAUGGUGAUUUCACUUCAAAUUUUAAUUCAAAUUAGGCUUAUUGUCCUCUUAGUAAGCCUUUUCUAGGCGAGUUGUUAUAGAAAAUUAAACAAACCUCUCCUAAGGUUGGCCUUGUUACAUAGACUUCUUUUCUAUUUUGAAAUAUUAUAUUGACCUCCCUUGUUAGAUAUUGGUUUUUACGAUUACUAAGAAUAAUGCUUCUUAAUCAUUAUUAACGAUAAUGCAAAAUGAUAUAACUACUCUUAGUUAAAUCAAAUCAUAAUGACAAUAUUUUCAUCUUCUUUUUCCAAUUUUCUUCUUCUUCCUCCAUACAUGCUAAUUUGCAAAAAUUUAUACCCAUUAUUUAAAUGAAAUCUUUUGAAAUAAAUUAAAAUCUUCCUUAUUUGAUAUUAUAGAAACCUAAUUUAAAUAAAAUAUUUUGAAAUAAAUUAGAUAAAAAAAAAACUUGUCAUCAUUCUAACCCAAAUCAAAUUUAAAAGAAUAACUAAAUAUUUCAAGUCUCAUUUUGUCUCAAUAUCACCUUUGCUAAUCAACCUAUCCAAUCUUAGAUCAAACUCAAAUUGCAAUCAAAUUUUGACAAGAAAAAAUCUACUUAAGACUGAAUAAGAAAACUUGUGGAAAGAGUCUUAUCAAGAAGGUGCAUGAAACCCUCAGUUCAAAAACUUCUUCUAAAAUAAAAUUAAAAAAAGAAAAGAAAAGAAAGAUAUUCAAUGUUAAAGGACUUUUAAGAUAAAUCAAAAUUUGAAAAUGAAUGUUAAUACUUGCGAUAGAUUCCACAUUCAUGAACAAAUUACCAUUGCACCACUUAUUUUCAAUUCACACUUUAAUUUACUAUCCAUAGAAACUUUCAUUAAAUUUUCCAUAAAACAAACAAAGAGCCUUAACCCCCAAAUAUUUUAAUUCUUAAAAAUACAUCAUUUCAUCAAUUUUUGAAACCCUCAUUUUAACACAAAUUAUUUUUUUUUACAAAUUAUUAAAAGAAUAAAAAGAAAAUUAAGAAGAGGUUGUCAUUAUUAUUCUUGCAAAGUCACCACAAAAUAAAUUAUAACAAAUAUAGAAAAUAAAAUAAUGUGACGAUGAAGAUGAUGCUUAGAAAGUUAGAAUGAAGAAGAUAGUAUCAUUUAGAUGAUUUAGGUUAAGAUGAGGACUAGAUAAGGAAAGUGACAUCAAUUGCCUAAUUAUUUGGGGUUUUAGACAUACAAAAUGAGGGAGAUGACUAAAAUUAUGGUUUAAUUAUUUUUGGUUAAGGAUUAUUAAGUUAUUUUAAGGAAUUAAUUAAUUAAUUUAUAAUAAAUUUAGAAUUAAUUAAAAGUUAAUUAAAAUAAUUAUUGAUUCAUAGUUUAAUUUAAAACUAAUUUGAAUAAAAGAUGAAAAACUGAAAGUCCAUUAGGGUUUCACCUAGAGAGGGGAGAGGAGGUGGAUGAUUUAAAAAAUUUCAAUAAAGAUCUAUAUGUUAUAUCCAAUUUUAUUUUACCCUGUGAGAUGUUAGGGAUAACCUUUUCUAUCAACCUUAGGCAAUUCAAACAAAAUAUCAAAUAUAAAAGAUAAGAACAAUAAGGCAUGCGAUUUUUAUAUGGAAAAUCCUCACACUAACUGUGACGAUAAAAACCACGAGAUCUAAGACCUAUUAAUCUAAAUGCACUAGAUGAAAUCAAGUUACACAGAUUUACUUGACUGCUUUACCUUAAAGAUUUACUCUCUGGUAAGUACAACUUGAUUCAUGUCCACAACAUAGCAACCCUUGAUUGCUCCAGUGGAUCACUUCAGCUUCCUGGAAGGGAUGAAGGUCUCCAAAAUAAUAUUUAAAGAACAAAUCCUUGAAUGAGAAAUUGAGAAUGGUGUGGCAAUCUAGGUUUUGUCUAUAGGAGACCCUUUUUAGAGAAUAAAGUCUCUCAACAAUCUAUCUCCAAUCUCUUCAAUAUCUCUAACCCUCAAGGGGUUAUAAGGGAGGUAUUUAUAGGCAAAAGUUUGAAAAGUUUUGAUUUUGGAAGGUUUCUCAAUUGAAAUUUUGUGAAAAACUUGGUAGAAUCAACAUGAUUGCUCGAGCCAACUCACCCAUCGCUUGAGCGCCUCAAGCACUUGAGUGGUAUGGCUCACUUGAGCGGUCUUAAGCGCUUGAGUAGUCUUUAGUGCUUGAGCGCUCUAGGCCACUUGAGCAGUCUUGCUCUCUUUCAAAAAUCAAUUUUAAAAUCUUUUUAAGUUCAAAACAAAAUUGAUGCUCUUUAAUACCUCAACAUAGCCUAAUUAACAUAAGUCAAGCCUCUUUAAACAUGUGACUUCUCAAUUGGACAAACAACAACCCUUGAUCUUCAAUGAAGAGUAAGUCACUAACUAGAAAGACUUCUAUGACCAAACAUUACAAAGAACAAAAUUGCCAACAUAUAGGAAGGACUUACUGUCUUAACAAUCUCUCCCUUUGACAAUUUUGUGACAAAAAAUUGUUACAUAAACCCACUUGAACUCUGAUAACGGAGUUUACAUAACACACUUUAAUGCUCAAUUAAAACUAAAUUAAGGGAAAGCUUUGUAUUAAUUUAUAGUACUUAUAUUUCAACCCCGUAACCUACACACAUACAAAAAACUAUACUAAAGGUAAAGUAGUGUGAGGAAUAAAGUAAUGUUGAGAAAACAAAACAGGAUAGUUGGAGGUUUUGCUUGAUGACUUAUGAAAACAUGAAAAUGGAACAGAUUUUUGUAGAGACACUGAGGCACAAAGCAAAGCUUGAGAGGAAUAUAGAUACACACAAAUCAGGAAAACACAAUAGAAGCUUGAUAAGACACAAUAGAUCAAUAAUAAUGCUUAGAAGUCUAUCUCCAACCAGAAAAUGGGUAGUGAAAACCAUGGAAAGAAACUGCUAUGACUUAGAAUAGUUCUAGAGUGAUAAUUAGUUUAAACAUAAAUAUCUUAUAAGAAACAUUUGUGUCAAGUAUCUCUUUAAACCAUCUAAGUUAUGUUUUCAUCGGUUGAUAUGGUUUUCUCCAAUUUCUCAAGUUUAAUUUCCUUUAAUAUUUCAAUAAUUUCCCUUAAUGGAUGAAUGAAUGAAUGAAUUGAAUUAAAGAAUUCAAAAUUUUUAACUCAUAGUAACUUCCCUUAAAUUACAAUCAAUACAAUAAUUCAAAUCAAGUAUACAAAAACAUAAAUAAUAGAACAUUUAUGCAUUAGGUGGCGGUAGAGGGAUAGAGCUUGAAGCAUCGUGAGAAUGGGUACAAGAAAAGAUGUAGUUAAGUUAUCCCUAAAUCUCUCGGAGUUGGAGAUCCUAAGAGUCCAUCUUCUGAUGAAGUCGGGCCAUGGAAUUUAGAGCCUCAUGGGCGUUGGGUCUACAAAAGUAAAAGCCUUGUGUGUAGCUCGGGAAGAACUAACACAACCUCAACUUUAGAGUGAGUCCUCGGAGCAGACUCUAAAUAGUCUGCCUCUAGAAUUCCACCAUGCUCCAUAGCUCGAAGCUCAUCCUCCUAGACAACUACCUUUGCAUGCUGGCCUACAUCAUGUGGUUCAUAAGUUGGAAGAGCCAUCAAACUAUAUACAUGAAUGUAGUGCUUGGGCUAGGAACUCCCAUCUAAAAAGGCAUGGGUAGCCUAGACCCCUAGUGUAGGAUCAAUCUUAAAUCCCACAUCCUCGAGUAUCCGCGUCAUGAGGAGGGUAAAAGGGAAAGUGCCUCCUCUAAAGGAUAAACCACGAAGGGGAAUGAUUGUAUCCAGGAUGACUUAGCCAAUGUCAAAUUGUUGGCUUGAGAGAAUGACGUGAAUAAAGUGAGCAGAUGGUCAAUGGAUUUGGGUGCAGUGUGUAAAUGGGUAGAAGGAGUAAGUGAAGAAUGUGGCAAACAACCAUGUUAGCUUGAAGAAGCCAACAAUCAAGAUAUAAGAAGGAAAGGGGCAAAGACCCCCAUAAAGAGAAGUCAGAAUGGUGUCAAGUUUCUCUCGGGUGAGAGCCUGAACCUCUAGGGAAAAUGAAGAAAUGAGAGCCUCAAUUUGCGACAUGCUAAGGACACAUUGAAUGUAAUGGGAGAAAAUAAGGAAAAAUUGACCAUGCAUGGUCAAUUGAAAGGUGACUCCGACCACAAUAUAAUGCAUGUUCUCAUAGAACAUGUGAACAAGAUGGGGAUAGGAAGUCCCCUAGAGAGAAAACAAAGUCUCCUAACUUUACUCUUGAAUGAUGAUAGGGAAGACAGUGUCCUGAAAAGCUUAGAGGUUAAUGGCAUGCUCAGGCUCGACACAUUGAUAUGUGAAAGAAGCGUAAUAAUGGUCUCGUGCCACCUGGCAGUGAAAACGCUCAACCGAAAGUGCAUCUAGGUUAAAAAGACCCUGGAGUGGGAUGCCCUAGACGGUUUCAGUGACCUAGGAAAGGUCACCUCCCUCUGACAUCUAUGACUAGCCAUAUCUAAGGUAUAUAAUAUGAAAAAACAAAAGCUAAAGAAGAACUAAAGAAAAUCCAAAGAAAAGCUAAACCACUAAAAAUGUUAAACUCAAUGCGUCGAACAAUACUAUACAAAUGGAAAUGAAAAAUAUGAAGUGAACUGACCUCAGAAGACAAAAGGACAGUAACCUAGAGGGCUCGAAGAUGAAUAGGAAAGUUUGAAAUGAAUAUGGCGUGCUGGAUGACCUUUAUAUAGCCUAUAGGAGUGCUUGAUGCAGAUUAGCACUCGAGCGUCAUGACUAACUUAAAUCAAAGUAUUUAUUACUAUCAAAAUAUUUUAAAAGUUUCAAAGGAAGUAUUCAAUUUAGAACCUUUUUAGAAAUUUUUUUGAAAGAAACAAAAAUAAAACGUGAAAUAUUAUGUGUUAAAGGUGUUAGAAGACAAUAUUGUCUAAUCCAAAGCCUUACACAUUCCACAAAAAAAAAAAAGGAAAAAGAGAGAUAUUAUAUAAGAUUUUGAUCACAUCUAAUAGAAACUAAUAUUUAGCAACAUAUCACCAAGCACUAUCUUAUCAGAAAGCUCUAACAUGUUGGAAAUUUAUGUAAGGUUCCAUAACAACUAACAACUUUUUCUGACGACUUGGCAAUGGACCAUUUGCACUUUAACUACAUUAUUGAAUUUAAAUCAUAUUAGAAUAGUAAUUGACUUCUCUUUUGUGAGGCUACAUAUCUUGUAGGAUGGGAUAGGUGAUUCAUUUCAUAUAUGAAAUUUACUUAAUUUAGUAAUGCAUCCAAGUUCAUUAUGAAUAUAAUGGUACCACAACUUUUUGAAUAUUUGUAAUCUGUAAUCUUUGUUUCAACUUCUCAAGUCUAGUCAUUUUAUCGGCAUAACUAGUUUGCUUCAAUUAUCUCUCAACUUUAUUAUAAAACUAAGGGAAAUGAUUAUCACGCAUUUUAUAUUAACUUAACCAAACAUCUUUAUAUAUCUUACAUAUAUAUAUAUAUUGUAAAUUUAGGAAAAUUUCAUCCAUUAGCCAUAGUAAGUAAGAAUCAAAUAUGGGAUAUGUAAGCCAAUGGUGAUAUUGAUGGCGUCAAAUCAAUGACAUAGUAGAAACGUGGAUUGUCUAUUUUCAAACCUUUAUAUUUUCAUCCAAUAGUAAAAAGGUUUAGGCAUCACUUGAAAAGUAGUUUGUUUUUUACCUUGGACUAUGAUUUAUGAAUAAAGUUCUUCUGUUGUAUACCUUUUGUGAUGCCCCAAACCUAAUUUAGGGGUAAAAAUAAUAAUUUAGAAACAAAUAAAUAAAAAUUUAAAUAAAUUUAAUUAAGGUAAAAAUGUAUUUUCGUAUUUAAAAUUCCUAGGGAUCAAUUAUAUAUUUCUUGUCUUCUCUAUUCAAAAAACCCUAUUACACAAAAAUCAAAGAUCAGAGAACAUAGGACAACGUAGGGUUGAAGAUUUGGAGGUUUAGGGUUGAAGAUUAGUUUUCCAGGUAAGAUUCUAACCCUUAAAUUAGUAUUUUAGAUUCGUUAAUUAGUUUGAACACUUUAGAUAUUCUUUGAAAAAUCUGAAUCCACGUUAGGGUUUGUUAAUUUAAUUUUUAAAUAAAAAAGAUUGAAAAUUUAUGAACAUAAGUAGAGUUAUUAUUAAAGAUUGAAAAUUUUUGAAUAUUUGAAUUAAAAAUCUAGAAAAAAAAAAAGAAAAUAAAUUAUAGAUUUGGAUGUGGAAAAAAAUUAAUAUUAAUAAAUAAAUAAAACCUAUGAGUAUGGAGGUAGAAAAAUAUGAAAGUUGAAAGCAAAGAAAAAAAAAAGGAAUAAGGUUUUGUGGUUGUAUAUGCCUCCUUAGUGGAAAAAAAAUACAAGGUUGCUUGCAAUAGGAUAUGAUAAAGAGAGAGAGAUAAAUGCUUCGAUAUUGAUUUUUGUGGGGAAAAAAAGAUUGGGUAAUGCAGGAGAGAAAUAGGUAGCAUUUGUAGAGUUGGUGGAGUUGUUGUAAAAGCUCGUAGGGGUAAUUGUUAGGAAACAUUAGGACUUGAAAUAAUAAUAAUUGCUUCUAGUAAAAGUUUUAAUUUAGUUUAAGUAUAUAAAAGAAAUAGAUGAUUAGAAAAAGAUUUGGAAGGAAUAUGAAUUCAUAAAAUUUCGAAAUUUACUAAUUUAGAUUAUUAUUGUUUUGGAAGUUGAAUAUAAUAUAGGUGAUAAUAUUAUUAAUAUAGGAAAUGAUUAAGAUUCUCAAACCUACAAUUUUAGAUAAAUAGUUAAUAGUAAUAGAUGAUUUUUUAUUUUUUUUAUUUUUUAUUUUUUAUGUUAUGUUAAGUGAAUAAUGGAUUCUUUGAUUAAUUCUCUAAGGUUUCUAAGUGCUUCUUUAAGGUAAGGGAUAUUAAUACUGAUUUUGUAAAUGAAAAUAUUUCUUUUUAUAAGUUAUUUUAAAUUAUGAAAAAUUUUAUUAUUAUUUAUGCAUGGAUCAAAUAUAUAUUUUUUCAUGAGAAACAUGUUUAGGCAAUUUCUUUGUUUAUAAAUAAAUAAAUAAAAAAUGAGAACCUUGGAAAUAUAAUGUUUUGUUUUGUAAGUUUAAAAUAAUGAAAUAAAGUUUUUGACUCUGGUUUAUAUGACCUUAGUUAAUGGGUUAUAAUUGUUGACAUUUUUAGCUCCAAUCAACAAUUAUAAUUGUUGACAUUUUCAGCUCCAAUCAACGAUUAUAAUUGUUGAGAUUUUCAACCCUAGCCAAUGGGUUAUAAUAGUUGACCUUAUAGCCCUAGUCAACAGAUAUAAUUGUCAACCUUUGGUUUUGCCCAUCUUAAAAAGAACAAAUUUAAGGCUAGCCAUUUAUUUGUAAAGUCCCACCUAACUAAGUACCAUUUGUUAUUUAAUAACCAGAGUAAAGAUAUUUUGAAUGUAUUUGAUAUGAAAUUGUUUUGAUAUAAAUAUGAAAAUGUUUGGUUGAAAGUUCAAAUGUUUAAUGCAUGUUGAACUCAAAAGUUUUAUUAAAAUGAUUAUAUGUUAUAUAUCCUAUUUGUAAGCUUGAUCCAUGAAACUGUAUUAAUAUUCCUUAUUGGACUUUGAGCUCAUUCCCCUUUGUUGAGAAUUUUUUUGGUAUUCUCAGUUUGGGCAAGGAGUGAUGACUGGGUUGGGGAAUUUUCUUUGCUAUGAUUUUGGUUCAAUCUUUAUUUUGGACAUUGUUUAGAUGUUAAAAUUUAAUUCCCAUUUAAAUUAUUUGAGUUUGGAGUUAUUUGGACGAUAACACUUUGAUUGAUGUGUUAGUUUUAAAGUUGAGAAUUGAAAAUUAUAGAAUUUAUUUAUCUUACUACUUUGAACAGAAAUUUAGUAAUUGGAGAUCAUCCAGUUACAAGAUGAAUAUUUGUGUCAUUUCCACUUUGAGAGUUCAGACUUGGGGUGUGAAAUGACCGUUAUGCCCUUGGAGUGGGUAUAUUGUUUAUUUGAAUUUAAUGGUCCCCGAACUCCUUAAUUACUCAUAACUUUAUAUCACCUUCUCAAAGUUAAGUUGUUUUACAACUAUUAUCUAGCUACUUUUCUCUACUAUGACAACUUUAUUACAUAGUGAUUAAUUGAAAGAAUCUACAUGUUUUAUUUCAUAGGAUAGUUGAUUUUUUUACUCAAUGAAUCUUGCUUUUAUUAUUGAAAUUUCAAAUCAUUGUAGUCCAACAAUUUCCUAUCCAUUGGUAAUUUCAUAUUACAUUUCCAAAGUCUAAUCAUUUAAAAACACUUGUAGUUAAUAUAUUGGCAAUUGCAUUGUGGGAAGUUGUUCACUUGAUUUUAAUGUUGAAACUUUCAAAUUAUUGUAGUCCAACAAUUCCCUAUCCAUUGGUAAUUUCAUAUCACAUUUUCAAAUUAUAAUCAUUUACAAAUACUUGUAUAUAGUAUAUUUGGUGAUUGUAGAGUGGAAAGUUGAUCGUUUUCAUGAAGACCUCUAAAAUAUAAAUUUUUUUCAUUCCAUUUAAUAAAGAAUUUCAUUAAUUGAACAUAUAUGUUUUUUUUAGCUGGAAAGUAGAGGCCACAUUAUACGAGGCCUUAGGUGACAAUACUAGGUGAGGGUUUUUUUUUUAAUUUAUUUAUUAUGAAAUAUAAAUAAUAUUAUUUAUUGUAUAAUAAAGAUUAUUAUAAUAUAUUUUUUAUAGAUGAAAAAAAUAUUAAUUGAGUUUUAUUUAUUUUUUAAUAAUUGUUUUCAAUAAAUAACUUAUUUGUAAAAAGAAAACUAUAAAAUAUAUGCAUUUGAAAAAUAUUUAAUUUUUAUUUGAUUUAGUAUCAAUUAAUAUUUGUAAUAUUUUUUAAUAUUAUAGAAGUUAACAUACUCAAUCAAGAUAUUCAAGAUCAAGAGAACAUUUGAGAUUGAAUUAAUUUCUUUAUUGUUUAUGUUUUAGAAAAUUUUUAUAUCCAUUACAAAUUUUCUAUUGUUUAUUUUUCAUUCAAUUUUUGCAUUUUGUAAUAGAUAUUAAAACGAAUUUUUUUUCCUAUAUGUUAAAAAAAUAUUUCAAUGUCUUUAAAAAUAAAAUAUUGCAGUAAAAUCAAAAUUACAUUGUGAAACUUUAAGCGAAUGUUUUAUACUUAAGAAGUGCCAAUUAAAGUAAGCAUGCAUCUACAAUUGUAAUUUAGAUGUCAUACUGAAACAAUAGUUCUCUUCGACUAUAUCAUAAAAUUUGGUUCGAAUUACUUUAAGUCAUCUUGUAGAUUUUCAAGUUCUAAUGAUAUGCAUCAAGUAUGUGCAACAUACUUGAUAUAACUAAUAUUUUCUUAAGUAAUUGGACACUUUUUUUCUAUAAAUUUACUUGAUUAUCAAUGAAUACUUUUAUGUAGGGUAUUGAUAUAAUUCGAUAAAUAUUUUAAAAUAGUAUUAGAAUAGCUUUGCUCUUUCCCAAUUAACAAAUUUACCAAAUUAACUUAUAUAUAUUUGUUUAUUUGAAUUUACUGGUAUUUGACUCAAAUUGUUAUUAUUUUUAAAAUUAUAGGAAAACCAUUAUUUAUAGAGUUUAAUUAUAUUUUGGUAAAUUAUCUUUUUAAGUUUGACUAGGAUUAGGAAACUAUUAAUUUAAGAUUAAUCCAUAAGGCUCUAUAAAUUUGCAGUUUUAUAUAGGAUUUAAAAAAAGAAAGAAAAAGUAAGAAAAAGUGAAGAGAGAUAGGCAAAGAGUGCAUUGGGUUUUAGAUAGAGAAAGAUUGAGAGAGUUUUGAUUACUACUAAAAAAGAACAUAUUUUAGAUAGUAAUUCUCAUGAGUUUCGCAUCUUUUGAGCAUUAAUUAUGCCUAAAAAUGCUCAAUUAACAUGUUGUUGCCCUUGCAAAAGUUACUAACAAGUUUUAUAAAGUUUUGGAGUCAUUUCAAGUUAUGAUUUUAAUAAAUUGGUGACGAAAGAAAUGAAUUGAUUUGAAGAAGGCAAAUAAUAUUGAUGAUGAUCAAAUGCAUAAUGAAAUAAGAAAUAUAAUUAGUUUGAUCGGGAUUUGCUGCUAAUUUGGAGGUAGUUAAGGUGGAGUCAAAAGAAGAAAAUGGAAGAAAUGACAAAAAGGAGCUUAAAAACCAAAUGUUGCAGAUUUGUAUGAUCAUGCAAAAAUUUUACAUGACUAUGCGAAAUGGAUUAGAGAAGGAAAAUUGACUAUAGUAUAAGGAGGAUGCUUAAGUUGAUUUCGCAUGAACAUGAGAAAAUUUCGCAUGAACAUGCGAAAAUUUUGAACAAUCAUGCGAAAUGGUCCAGAAAGCUCUCUAAUGUUGUUGUUGCUCCACUAAUUUCGCACCACCAUGCGAAAUCGAUAUUUUCAUGCAAAAUGGCUGAAGCUCAUGUGAAAUCAUGAUUUUGAGGCUAAACUCCAGAUUUGUGAAUUUGGAAGGCUUUAUAAGACCAAUGAGAGGUUGCCAAGUGUUCACUUGACCUUGGCCUAUAAAUAGAAACUUGAAUUUCCCAUGUAAAGAGCUUUGUGAUACUUUUAAUUUUAGAUUUUUCUAGAAACUCUUUUUCUAAAUAGAAUUCUAUAUUUUCUUUAAUUUUCCCUCAUUUUCUCAUUAGCCAAACAUGCCUAGUGAGACCAAAUCUCCAAGUAUGAGUGGCUAAAUUUCGUUUUUCUCAAAGGAAGGAGGAUCUAGAGGCAAGAUCUAUGGUGAAUUAUAGAAAUGAGUUUUAAUUGCAAAUGUAAUUUGAUCCAAUUGAUUGAUUAAUUGAAAUUUGAGGAUUUCUCUCUUCAAAUUGUCUUGAAUGACUAUUACAUUGCAAACUAGGUAGAUUCAUUAAAUUCUUAAAGCUAGAUUUAAUGAGACUGAAUAGUUGCAUUGUAUGAAUCAUUGGAAGAUGAUUUAAGAUGAAUUGAAUAUAUAAUUUAAAUUGAUCUCUUGGAUUAAAUAACCUAAUUUGAAGAGAAAUUAGGUUUAGACUUAAAGGUAAAUCCAAAAUCGGUUUAGAUAAGAAUUUAGGUUUUCAAUAUAACUUGAUGAAAAAUAAAUCUCAACAUCUAUUCACUAUGGAAAUUGUUUUCUAAAAAAUAUUAACUCCGAGAAUUCCUUUUCCUUAUCAAUUUUCUUAUAUUCUACAUUAUAUUGUUCUUUUCAAUUAGAAAUCAUUGUUAUUUUGAUUUUUCAUGAAUUGUCAAAUCAAUUUCACUUGACCACAAUCAUUUCUUUUCCUUCCAUUUAAACCUUAAUUAUCGAGAAUAAUCCAUCCCAAUGGAAGACACCUAAGACCACUAUACUACCGUAGCUUUUGCUAAAAAACCUUUUUGAUCGGGCAAGAGUUACCUUAGCAUAGUUGAAUUAUGUUAUAAUUUUUUUUAUCCAAUAAACAACAAAAAAAUCAAUCGAUCAAGUUUGCAUUGUGUAUUCUUGAAUUUUAUUAAUAAAUUUAAUCCCCCUUUUUGAAGCGAUUACACCAAACCAAGUAAAUAUUUUAUAUACUUCAUUUGCUUUAUUUUUUCUAUUAAGUUUAGGUGUUGCAAUUUUCAAGAGUCAUGGUGAGAAGAUUGUGGGAAAAAUUAUUUUAAGGAUGGAGUCGAACAUAAAAUAUGAAAUUGAGUCCUUUGAUGGAAAUAAUAAUUUUAAUAUUUGAUAAAGUAUUAUUAAAGAUGUUUUGAUACAACAAAGACUUCUCAAAGCAUUACAAGGCAAAAAAACUAGAGAGCAUGACAAAUAAAGAAAUGAAAGAAUUAGAAGCAAGAGUUGUAAGUACUAUUUGUUUAAGUCUUAAAAAUGAAAUACAUUGUUUUGAAUGAAAAAUAUUCUUUCAGGGGUGUCAAUUGCUCUUUUAGAGACCAAAAAUAUUAAGCAAUCAAGUAGUUCAUCUCAUAUUGGACAAACUGUUAUGAUGAAUUCUAAACCACAUCAUCAUAGGAGUAAAUCGAAAGAAAAGUAUCUGAUAGGAGGAUGAUCAUUCCAUUCACAUUUAUGGAGGAAUAUGAAGUAUUAUUACUAUGAAAAAAAAAACAUAUCAGGAGAUAUUGUAAAGAAUUGAUGAAGUACCUAGAAGAAAUGAAAAUUUUUAAAUCCCAAGAGACUUCAAAUUCUACUAAUAUUGUUGAUGAAAAUUUUGAAAUAUUGUAGUAAAUUAAAAGUUACAUUAUGGGACUUUUAGUGAGUGUUUUGUGUUGAAGAAAGGCUAAUUAAAGUAAACAUGCAUCUAAAAUUAUAAUUUAGAUGUUGUACUCAAAUAGUUGCUCUCCUCGAUUAUAUCAUAAAAUUUGGUUUGAAGUAGUCUAAGUCAUCUAAUAAUUUUCUAGUUCCAAUUACAUGCAUCAAACAUGUGUGUUAGGAAGUGUUGCAAAUUACUAAUUAGUAUAGAUCCCUUUUUUUUUUUAAAGAAUAUUGUAUUGAAUAUUUCUAGGUUGAUAUAUUAUUGUAAUAUUAGACUUCCUUAUAGAAUAAGGAAUGUUGUUGAAAAUAUCCCUAUAAAUAUUCUAGUUCAUAAGGGGAAAAAGUUAUGAGAUGAAGAUGGACCCAUAAAGACUAUACAAGGUGGAUAGAGAUGUGAGGAAGAACAGGAGGUACCCGGUGGAGCGAGAGGGCUCGUGGUAAGGUAUAGGUACGAAGAGUGAGGAAACAUGGGAUGUUUUGGGAACCCAAUAGUUAUAUCUAGUUAUAUCAUCUAUAAGUUCUAGUUCUGUCCUUUGCAUUGUUCUCUAUUUUAUAGUGGAAUGAUUCUCUCUUAUCUGUGGAUGUAGGCAUGGUUUUCGAACCACGUUAAAACCUUAUGUACCGUUUGUGUCGAAUUUUUUUAUCUUUAUUUUCUUGAUUAAUGAAGUUUGCAUCAAAGCUUCCGUCAACGGAACAAACUUGUAUCAAAGCUUGGGUUAAAGAUUUCUGGAAGAGUAAAAGAUCACAAAGCACACAAGAUGAAACCAAAAGGAUUUUUUAGUGAAAAUGGAGUCGAUUGCUCUCUUGUGGUGAUAUGAUAUAAAAAGUUUGUCUCAUGGAAAGUUUGAAGAUUGACUUCAUGGAAUUUGGUCCAAAAUGGAGAUUGUUAAUAAGUGUCCCAAAUUCCUAAUUAGUAUAGAUUUUUUUUUUUUUUGUAAAGAAUAUUGUAUAGAAUAUUUCUAGGUUGAUAUAUUAUUGUAAUAUUAGACUUUCUUAUAGAAUAAGGAAGGUUGUUGAAAAUAUCUUUAUAAAUAUUCUAGGUCAUGAGGAAAAAAAGUUAUGAGAUGAAGAUGGGCCUGUAAAAACUAUAUGAGGUGGAUAGAGAUGUGAGGAAGAACGGGAGGUACUCAAUGGAAUGAGAGGGCUCGUGGUAGGGUAUGGAUACAAAGAGUGGGGAAAUAUGGGAUGUUUUGGGAACCUAAUAGUUGUAUCUGGUUCUGUCAUCUAUAAUGUUCUAGUUACGUCCUCUAUAAUGCUCUCUAUUGUAUAGUGGAAUGAUUCUCUUUCAUCCAUGGACGUAAGCAUGGUUGUCGAACCACGUUAAAACCUCAUGUACUGUUUGUGUUAUUAUUCUUUAAAUUUUUUAAUAUUUGUUUCUUGAUUAAUGAUGUGUGCAUCAAAGCUUCCACCUACAUAACAAACUGGUAUCAGAGCUUGGGUUGAAGAUUUUUGGAAUAGUAAAAGAUCACAAAGCACACAAGAUGAAAACAAAAGGAAUUUUUAGUGAAUGUGGAGUCAAUUGUUUUCUCGUGGUGAUAUGAUACAAAAAGUUUGUGUCAUGGAGGGUUUAAUGAUUGACUCCGUGAAAUUUGGUCCAAGGUAGAGAUUGUUAGGAAGUGUCCCAAAUUCCUAAUUAAUAUAAAUUCCUCUUUGUAAAGAAUAUUGUAUAGAAUAUUUCUAGGUUGAUAUAUUAUUGUAAUAUUAGACUUCCUUAUAGAAUAAAGAAGGUUGUUGGAAAUAUUUUCAUAAAUAUUUUAAGUCAUGAGGGAAAAAAGUUAUGAGAUGAAGAUGGGCCUAUAAAGACCAUACGAGAUGGAUAGAGAUGUGAGGAAGAAUCGAAGGUACCCAGUGGAGCGAGAGGGCUCAUGGUAGGACAUGAAUAUGAAGAGUGGGGAAACAUGGGAUGUUUUGGGAACCCAAUAGUUGUAUCUAGUUCUGUCAUCUAUAAUGUUCUAAUUCUGUCAUCUAUAAUGUUCUGGUUUUGUCCUCUGUAAUGUUCUUUAUUGUAUAGUGGAAUUAUUCUCCCUCAUCUGUGUAGGCAAGUUGUUAAACCACGUUAAAACCUCGAAUACCAUUUGUGUUGAUUUUUUUUUAGUUUUGUGUUCUUGAUUAACAAUGCUUGCAUCAAAGCUUCUACCAACGUAACAAUGUGCAACAUAUUUGAUAUAACUUAUAUUUUCUUAAGUAAUUGAACACUUUUUUUCUAUAAAUUUACUUGAUUAUCAAUGAAUACCUACAUAUGCGGUAUUGACAUAGUUUGAUAAAUAUUUUAAAAUAGUAUUAGAAUGGCUUUUCUUUUUCCCAAUUAAAAAAUUUAUCAAAUAUAUACAUACACACACACACACACAAUACUCAUUAGUAUGUCUUUUAUGAAAAAACUAUAUUUGUUUAUUUGAAUUUAGUAGCCAUUUAACUCCUUAGUUACUCAUAAACUUUAUAUCACCUUCUUAAAGUCAAGUCAUUUACAAUUAUUUCUAUCUAGCCUUCUCCAUUAUGACAACUUUAUAAGAUAGUGAUUGACUGGAAAAAUCUACAUGCCUUUGUUGAUAGGAUAAUUGUUUUUCUUUUUUUCGUAUUCAAAGAAUCUUGCUUUUGUUAUUGAGACUUUCAAAUCCUUUAUGUCUAGUGGUCUUAUAAUUCCCUAUUCAUUGGUCUUUCAUAUUACCAAUCAUUUUGCAAAUGAGUUAAUUUCAUUCACAUCCUCUGAGAUUUGAUGUAAAUUCGCUUAGUUACCAAUGAUUUCAAAUUUCAUUAAUUAGUACCCCUAUAGAUGUAAUUUGUGUACAAAAUUUAUUUUUUAAAAGAAUUUAGGUAAAAAUAUUUUAGGUUUAUGUCUUUAACAAUUCUCUAAAAUAAAUUUUACUUGCUAAAAAAUAACUUAUAUAGAUAGAAUACAUCUACAGGAGUUCUAACUGACGAAAUUUAAAACUAAUGGUGGUUUAGUGUAUUUAAACUAAACAUUAAGAAGGGUGACUGAAAUUAACCCUCUAGGUAUAUAUGUUUAACAAAAUUUUUAUUGUUUAUUUUUCAUUUAAUGUUUGCAUUUUUCAAUAAACAUUGAAAAGGAAUUGUUUUUCCAUAUGUUAACAAAAAGAAAUUUGAGCACCUAUAAAAAUGAAAUCUUGUAGUAAAAUUGAAGUUACAUUAUCAAACUUUUAACGAGUGUUUAUGUUUAGAAAGGCCAAUUAAAGCAAGCAUGCAUCUAGAAAUUAUAACUUAGAUGCAUCAAACAUGAGCAACAUAUUUGAUAUAACUAAUAGUUUCUUAAGUAACUAAACACUUCUUUUUCUAUAAAUUUACUUGAUUAUCGAUGAAUACUUACAUAUAUUUACAUAGUUUGAUAAAUAUUUUAAAAUAAUAUUAGAAUAACUUUUUUUUUCUCAAUUAUAUUAGAAAAUAAUAUAAAGUUACUUAUAAACUUUAUAUCAUUUUCUCAAAGUCAAGUCAUUUACAAUUAUUUCUAUUUAGCCUUCUCCAUUAGGACAACUUUUAUAUGAUAGUCGUUGAUUGGAAGAAUCUACAUGUCUUUUUUGAUAGGAUAGUUGUUUUUAUUUUUUUUAUUUUUUUUAUUCCAAAAAUUUGCUUCUAUCAUUGAAACUUUCAAAUCUUUUAUGUAUAUUACCAAUCAUUUUACAAGUGAGUUAAUUUCACUUAGGGUAGAUAUACUUAGCCACACCCCUAUAGAUGUAAUUUGUGUUUAAAUUUUAUUUUUUAUUCAGGUAAAAAUAUCUUAGGUAUAUGUGUUCAACAAUUCUCUAAAAAAUAAAUUUUCUUAUCUAAAAGUUUAUAUAGACAAAAUACAUCUGUAGAAGUCCUAACUAAUGAAAUUUAAAAUCAAUGGUUGUUUAGUGUAUUUACAUUAAACCUUAUGGGGUAUGAUUGAAAUUAACUCUCUUACAAGCACUUGUAGCUAAUAUGUUUGUAGUUGUAGUGUUGGAAAUUGAUCAUUUUCUUGAAGGCCUCUAAGAUAUUGGAAAUAUUGCCAUAGUUUUAGACUUUUUUUUAUUACACCUAAUAAAAAAUAUUAUUAAUUUAACAUAUAUAUUCUUGACUUAAAAGUAAAGUCUCUCCAUAUUGUAUAAGCCCUUAGGUGACAAUAUUAGGUGAAGUUUUUCUUUCGUUUAUUAAAAAAUAUAAAUAAUUUAUUAUUGUAUGAUAAAAUUUUAUGUAAUAUAUUUUUAUAGAUGUAAAAUUAUUAAUUGGGUUUUAUUUUAUUUUUUUACUAAAUUGUCAUUUCAAUAUAUAAAACUUAUUUGUAAAAAGACAAUUAUAAACUAUAUGAAAUUGAAAAACAUUUAGUUUUUUUAUUUAAUUUAUAAUUUUGUUUGGAUUAAUAAUUGAUAUUUGUAAGAUUUUUUAAUAUUAAAAAAAGUUAGCAUACUUAAGAAAGAUAUUCAAGAUCGGGAGUGUUUGAUAUUGGAUUAAUUUCCUUAUUUUCUCUAUUUUAAUAAAUUUUCAUGUCCAUUACAAAAUUUUUGUUGUUUAUAUUUUACUUCAAUAUUUUUAUUUUGUAAUAGACAUUUGAAAAGAUUUUUUCCUACAUGUUAAAAAAAAAAAAUGAACACUCCUAAAAAAGAAAUAUUGCAAUAAAAUUAAAGUUUACACUGUAGGACUAUUAGCAAGUGCUAUAUACUUAAAAUAGACCAAUUAAAGUAGAAAUACUUCUAAAAUUUUAAUUUAGGUAACAAUAAUAUAAAAAGAUAAUAUUUUUGAAACAAUAGUUCUCUUGGAGUUUUGGGUACGAUGGACUAGACUUUAUGUAACAAUAGAUAUAUGAACUUUCCAUUAACAUCUUGAGAGACAUGAUGAGGAGCAAAGUCAUCCUAGAAGGUACCAUAGAGGUACCUUAGCUCCAUUCAUCUAGACUACAUAAUGUUUAAAGAUCAAAUUCAAUGACUAGAUUUCAAAAAUCAAUAUAAGCUUUCUCAUAUUCUACUCUAUAUAAGACAAUGGUAUGAUACAUCUCUUGUGUCGUAGAAUGCACCAUGAAAACCUUAUCAUUUUAACAUCAGUUUGAAACUUAAAAGUCACUUAGCACAUUCUAGUUAUUAAUGUAAGAACAUUAAAAGAAAAUAUAAAAAAAGUUACUUUAUUCUUGUGAUUUUGAUCUAGGACUUUUAAUGAUAUUAAAAAAAAAAAAAAAAAACAGAAAAAUAAAUGGAAAUAAAAUCAACAAAUUAAACAAUUGAAUUAAGUUAGUUUAAUUUUUGCAUCGUUAAAUGGGUAAAUAAAGACUCUUAGAUUUGAUAUUAAUAUGAACAUCAUGACUUUAGUGAAUCUUACAAGAAAAUUUUAGUUUGAAAGACUUCAUUCAUUAAACGUGUGGCACAUAUUAAAGUAAAACUAAGUCUUCUCUAUAAUUUGUACCUAUCAUAGUUUCUUUCCUCAUAAAUAGCCUUUUUUGAAUAUAAUAUAGACUUCAACAUGUAUGGUGGGGCCGAUCAAACUACUAGUCAAGACAACUCAUGGGCAACAACGAUGUACCAACUAUAUUAAAUACUCUUCAUCUAUUUGCAUAUCAAGAGUAAUUUAGUAGUGUCUUUCUUAUGUACCUCGUAUCUAGACUUUCAAUGGAGAGUUCUUCAUCUAAAAAUUUGACUUGGGUUUUCAUAUUAGUUUUGGUUUAGACAUAUGGAUGCAAAGGUUGCAUCAAAGAAGAGAAGUAGGCUAAAUCAUCUUACAAAUUUUCAAGUUCAAAUUAGAUGCACCAAACAUAUGCAAUAUAUUUGAUAUAACUAAUAUUUUCUUAAGUAAUUGAAUACAAUUUUUUUUAUUUUAUAAAUUUACUUGAUUAUUAAUGAAUAACUACUUGUAUGAUAUUGACACAACUUGAUAAAACUUUUAAAAUAAUAUUAGAAUAACUUUGCUAAAAAAAAGUAAAAAUAAAAAUAAAAAUAUGUCUAUAUAUAUAAAAUUAAAUAAAAUUAAAAAUUAAAAAAGAAUAUAUAUAUAUAUAUAUAUAUUGUGUGUGUGUGUGUGUGUGCAUGGUCCCACAACUCAUUAGCUACUCAUAAGCUUUAUAUCACUUUCUCAAAGUCAAGUCAUUUUGUAAUUAUUUCUAUCUAGCCUUCUCCAUUACGACAACUGUAUAAGAUAUUGAUGGGUUGGAAAAAUCUUCAUGUCUUUUUUAAUAAGAUAGUUUUAUUAUUAUUAUUAUUAUUAUUAUUAUUAUUAUUAUUCAAAGAAUUUGAUUUUAUUAUUGAAACUUUCAAAUCCUUUAUGCCUAGUGGUCCUACAAUUCCCUAUUCAUUGGUAUUUCAUAUUACCAAUCAUUUUACAAAUAAGUUUAUUUCACCCGGUAAAUAUACUUAACUACUAAUGGUUUCAAAUUUAAUUGAUUAACACACUUAUAGAUGUAAUUUGUUUUUAAAUUUUAUUUUUUUAGAAGAAUUGUAGGUAAAAAUAUUUUAGGAAUAUGCGUUCAAUAAUUCUCUAAAAACAAUUUAUAUAGAUGGAAUACAUUCAUGGAAGUUCCAACUAAUGAAAUUUAAAACCAACGACGAUUUAAUGUAUUCUCACUAAAUCUUAGGGGAGGUGUACUAAAACUAGCCUUUUUACAAAUAUUUGUAGCUAGUAUAUUUGUAGUUAUGGUGUUGGAAGUUGAUCAUUUUCUUAAAGGCCUCUAUGAUAUUGGAAAUAUCGCCAAAGUUUUGAACUUUUUGUUUCAUCUAAAAAAAAUAUCAUUAAUUUAAUAUAUAUACUCUUUGCUUGAAAGUAUAGUUUCUUCAUAUAGUAUGAAGUUGUAGCUAGGUGACAAUAUUAGGUGAAAUUUUUUUGGUUUACUACAAAAUAUAAAUAAUAUAUUUAUUAUAUGAUAAAAUUUUGUAAAAUAUAUUAUUAUAGAUGCAAAAUUAUUAAUGGAGUUUUAUUUUUUACUAAAUUAUCAUUUCAAUAAUAAGAACUUAUUUGUUAAAAGAAAAUUAUAAAAUAUAUGCAGUUGAAAAAAUUUUAAUUUUUUUAUUUAAUUUGGUAUUUUAUUUGAAUUAAUAAUUGAUAUUUGUAAGAUAUUUUAAUAUUAAAAGAAGUUAACAUACUUAAAAAAGACAUUCAAAAUCAAGAGAGUAUUUGAUAUGAAAUUAAUUUAUUUAUUUUUUCUAUUUAAAUAAAUUUUUACAUCCAUUAAAAAAAUUUUAUUGUUUAUUUUUCACUUCAAUAUUUUUAUUUUGUAAAAGAAAUAGAAAUAAAAUCAACAAAUUAAACAAUUGAAUUAAGUUAGUUUAAUUUUGCCACCGUUAAAUUGGUAAAUGAAGACUCUUAUAUUUGAUAUUAACAUGAACAUCAUGACUUCAUUGAAUCUCACAAGAAAAUUUUAGUUUGAAAGAUUUUAUUCUUUAAUCAUGUGGCACAUAUUAAAGUGAGACCAAGUCUUCCCUAUAAUUUGUAUCUAUCACAAUUUCUUUCCUAAUGAAUAGCCUUUUUGAAUAGAAAAUAGACUUUAGCAUGCAUGGUGGGGCCUAGCUAUCAAACUACUAGUCAAAGCAACUCAUGGGCAAGAAUGAUGUACCAACUAGAUUAAGUAUUCUCCAUCUAGUUGCAUAUCAAGAGUAAUUUAGUAGUAUCUUUCUUGUGUACCUCAUUUCUAGACUUUCAAUGGAGAGUUUUUUAUCUUAAAAUUUGAUGUGGGUUUUCAUACUAGUCUUGGUUCAGAUAUGUGAAUGCAAAGGUUGCAUCGAAGAAGAGAAGUAGGCUAAGUCAUCUUACAAAUUUUCAAGUUCAAAUUAGAUGCAUCAAACAUGUGCAACAUAUUUGAUAUAACUAAUAUUUUACCAAGCAACUAAAUACUUUAUAUAUAUAUAUAUAUAUAUAUAUAAAUUUAUUGAUGAUCAAUGAAUACACAUGUAUGGUAUUGACACGGUUUGAUAAAUCUUUUAAAAUAGUAUUAGAAUAACUUUGCUAAAAAAAGUAAAAAUAAAAAUAAAAAUACAUAUAUAUAUAUAUAUAUAAAAUAAAAAAUUUUAAAAGAAUAUAUAUAUAUUAGUGGUCCCACAACUCAUUAGCUACUCAUAAGCUUUAUAUCAUUUUCUUAAAGUCAAGUCAUUUACAAUUAUUUCUAUCUAGCCUUCUCCGUUGCGACAACUGUACAAGAUAUUAAUUGAUUGAAAAAAUCAUCAUGUCUUUUUUGAUAGGAUAGUUUUUUUUUUUAUUCAAAGAACUUUCAAAUCCUUUAUGUCUAGUGGUCCUACAAUUCCUUAUUCAUUGGUAUUUCAUAUUACCAAUCAUUUUACAAAUAAGUUAAUUUCACUCGGUAAAUAUACUUAACCACCAAUGGUUUCCAAUUUGUAACACUCUUAUAGAUGUAGUUUGUUUUUAAAUUUGAUUUUUUAGAAGAAUUGUAGGUAAAAAUAUUUUAGCUAUAUAUGUUCAACAAUUCUCUAAAAACAAUUUAUAUAGAUGGAAUACAUUCAUGGAAGUUCCAACUAAUGAAAUUUAAAACCAAUGAUGAUUUAAUGUAUUUGUACUAAAUCUUAGGGAGUGUGGACUAAAAUUAGCCCUUUUACAAAUAUUUAUAACUAGUAUAUUUGUAGUUGUGGUAUUGGAAGUUGAUCAUUUUCUUAAAAGGUUUACCAUUGAAGUUAGUUGAAUAUAAAGUUAGGUGAACUUUACCAUUGUUAAAUUGGUAAAUGAAGACUCUUAGAUUUGAUACUAACAUGUACAUCAUGACUUCAUGGAAUCUCUCACAAGGAAAUUUUAGUUUGAAAGACUUCAUCUUUUAAACAUGUGGCACAUAUUAAAGUGAGACCAAGUCUUCCCUAUAAUUUGUAUCUAUCACAAUUUCUUUCCUCAUAAAUAGCCUUUUUGAAUAGAAUUAAUAUAGACUUUAGCAUGCAUGAUGGGCCCCGUCAAACUAUUAGUCAAGAUAAUUUGUAGGUAAGAACGAUGGACCAACUAUAUUAAAUACUCUUCAUCUAUUUGCAUAUCAAGAGCAACUUAAUAUUGUCUUUCUUUUGUACUUCAUGUUUGAACUUUCAAUGGAGAGUUUGUCAUCUAAAUAUUUGAUGUGGGUUUUUAUACUACUCUUGGUUCAAAUAUGUGGAUGCAAAGGUUGCAUCAAAGAAGAGAAGAUGGGUUUGCUUGAAUUCAAGGCUUUUCUUAAAUUGAAUAAUGAGCAUGCAGAUUUUCUUCUCCCUUCAUGGAUAGAUAACAACACUAGUGAAUGUUGUAAUUGGGAGCGGGUUAUUUGCAAUCCCACCACAGGUCGAGUUAAGAAGCUUUUCCUCAACGAUAUAACGCGACAACAAAAUUUCUUGGAAGACGAUUGGUACCAUUAUGAAAAUGUCAAAUUCUGGUUACUAAAUGUCUCCCUAUUCCUUCCUUUUGAAGAACUUCACCAUCUAAACUUGUCUGCAAACUCAUUUGAUGGGUUUAUUGAGAAUGAAGGUAUGUUACCUCUCACCUUUAAAAUUUCUUUUCACUUAUACUCCAAACAUUCUAAAGGAACUACUAGCAUAUGUUCUUAAAAGUGUUCAGGUGGAGACCAAAUGGUCACUAGUAACUAUUGAAUUUAAUAUAAGAACAAUUACUAAUUAUUAAAAUUUAUAAUGUAAAUUAACAUUUAAACAAAACAAUAAAAAAAUUAUUAUUUUAGAAAACUAUAGAUUACAUUAGCCUUAUAUAUAUAAGCAUACUUGUAAUUUAUGCCAUCAUUUCACACUCAACCCAAUUAGUGGGAUUCAACUAAGAGUGAGCAAUUUCACAAUUAUUAAUUAACAAAAACACUUAGGCUCCCAUAUCCUUAUCCUUUUUGCUGAAUUGUCUUUCCUUAUCUUCCAUUCCUAAAAAGCUUGAUUUCUAUAUUCCAAAUUGAUAGAGAUUGGUUAAAGAAAGGUGAUCACAAAAUUUGACUAUUGCUUUCAAAUGAGGAAUCACCAUCUUCAAAAUUUCACAUUUAAAAAAAAAAAAAAAAAAAAAACUAGCCUCGGGUAAGGUCCAAGCCUUAUUGUUUUAAGCUGAUGUCGGGUUGGUUUAAUAAUGAACAGAGUAAAUCCCAACCCAUGACCAUCUACGCAUUUCCAAAUUCCACCCAUCCACAACCCAUUAAUAUGACAUUUUCAGGGACAAAAUUUAAUCAAUUAAACCUAUUAGAUGGAUUCUCCAUACAAUGUUAAAAUGAAUAUAAAAACUUUAAUUCAAAAAAUAAUUUCCUUUAUUUAGUUAGGAUUCAAAUUAUAGGGGCACAAAACAUGAAAAUUUUCAUGUUUAAAAUUCACAAAGAUCACAAAAGCUCUUUGAAGCUCUAUGGACUUUUUUAUUUCUAACAUUUAAACACAAAAAUCACCAAAUUGAAUUAGAAACUUGGAUGCAUAUUCUUAUAUUAAAGACAUGUAAGCUUACAUAUUUAAAUAUGAAGAUCUCAACUUGUAAUUACAUGCUUCUAAUUAAAGUUAUAUUACUCUAUUUUACAGGAUUUAAAGGGUUAUCAAGUUUAAAGAAAUUGGAGAUCUUGGACAUAAGUGGUAAUGAGUUUGACAAAAGUGCCUUAAAAUCUUUGGGCACAAUAACAUCACUCAAGACAUUGGCUAUUUGCAGCAUGGGACUGAAUGGAUCUUUUUCCAUUCGAGGCAUGUUAUAUGUCCACAUUGUUUCUUUGAAAUUAAGUAAAAUGUAUUUCUAACUUUUAAUGUUCCUUAGUUAAUCUCUCUUUUGAUUCAUGUUUGUUGCAGAAUUAGCUAGUUUGAGAAAUUUGGAAGUGUUGGAUCUAAGCUAUAAUGAUUUGGAAAGCUUUCAACUAUUGCAAGGUACUUCAUUAACUUGCUAAAAAAACUUAUGAUAUUUUGUUAUUAAAUUAAAGGUAAGAUUAACAAACAAUUUCUUCCCAUUAGUUACUUUUCUUUGUAAUAUCAUUAAAUUUGAUAUAAAAUAGUCUAAAUCAUCCUUUCAAUUUAUAAGUUUUAAUUAAAACGCAUCAAGCAUGCACAAGGUGUUUAAUAUAACUAAUAUUUUCAUAAGUAAUUGAAUUUUUUUUAUGAAUUAAUUAACUUGAUUAUCAAUAAAUACUUACAUGUAUAAGAUUAAUAUAGUUUCAUAAGUAUUUUAAAAUUGUCUUACAACACACACACACACACACAGAGGGAAAAUGAAAGGUAUGUGAUACAUUUAUGCUAUGUUUGGUUCCCAAAAAAAUUGAGGGAAAAUGAAAGGAGAAAAAAGUGGAGAGGAAAAGUAAAAGAAAAGAAAAAAAGUGAAGAAAAAUAUAAAAUUGAUUAAAGUAAAUACAUGUUACUUUAAACUUUUUUACUUAUUUUAAUUCUUCAAUGUAAGGAUGAAAGAUUUGAAAAUGCAUAAGUUUCUAAUUUUUUUAUUUUAUUUUAUAGUUUUUACAAUACAACCAAACAUACUAAAAUCAUUUUCUUUAAUUUUUUUUUCUUUUCUUAAUACUUUUCACGAACCCUUAAGUUAUGUUUGGUUUGCAGAAAAUAUGAGGAAUAGCAAAUAGAAAAGAAAAUUAGAAGGAAAGAAAAAAUGAAGUAAAAUAAAAAUAAAUUUAAAUUUAAUAAAUUAUUUUUAUAUGCUACUUUAAGCUUAUUUCACUUAUUUUAAAUUAUUUAAACUCAUUUCUAAUAAAUAAUAAUGGAAAUUGUAGAGAAGUUUGUGUUAUUCAAGCUUUGCAAUGACUUUUCAAGGUGAAGGAAAAUAUUCUUGCUGAAAUUGAAAAAGGAAAUACCUUCUUAAAUAGCCUAUUGACCGAAAACACAUUACCCUAACAUAUACACACACCUUUAUUAUUUAUACAAUCAUGUAAUACUUAAUCCAGUUAGUGGGAUUCUAGUGGUUGUUUCUAUCUUGGUUUCCAAUAUUUCUGAUUGAUAGUGUUCGAUUAAUGAAAUAUCAUAAAUUUUGACCCCAAUAAGGACCAAUCCCUAUUAAAUGUAAUUGGGUUAACCUAAGACUAAAUGCUAGACCCAACUAAUAAAAACCCAUCUGUUUGUUGGAGUCUAAAUAACCUGGCCUUAGGUAGAGCCCAUGCCUUAUUAUUUUAAGAUGUAGUCCAACUGGUUUAACACUAGAUUGAGUAAAGCCCAACUUAUGAGCAUCUGUGCAUUUCCAUCCAUCCACAACCUACUGGCAUGGAUAAACUUUGGUCAAUUAAACCUAUUAUAACUGUAUACAAAAUUUUAAGUUCAAAAGAUAAUUUUCCUUAUUUAGUUAGGAUUCAUAUUAAAAAGGCACAAAACAUGAAUUUUCAUGUUUAAAUUCACAAAUACCACGAAAGCUCCUUCAAGCUCUAUGGACCAUUUUAUUUGUAACAUUAUAUUACUCUUAAUUAUCAAAUUAACCAACAAAUUCUUCUCAUUACUUAUCUUUCUUUUGUAAUGUCAUAAAAUUUGAUGUAAAGUAGUAUUGGUCAUCAUUUCAACUUUCAGGUUCCAAUUAGAUGCAUCAAGCAUGUGCAACAUAUUUGAUAUAACUAAUAUUUUUAUAAGUAAUUGAAUUUUUUUUUUCUAUAAAUCAAUUAACUUGAUUAUCAAUGAAUACUUUCAUACAUGAUAUUGAUGUAGUUUCAUAAAUAUUUUAAAAUAGUCAUAGAAGUCUUUUAUCUGAUUCACUAGAAAGAAAAAUAAACUAUUCUAAUGAAAAUACUUGAUGAUUUGAAGUGAUUGCUUUUGAUUUUAUUUGAUUGCUACCAUUAUUAAUUGUUAGAAAUUGGCAACAAAUACCCAUUUUGCAUCACUUCUAUAUGCAUCGGGGGAAUGAAUUAUAUUUCAUAGAGCUAACAGGGCAAAACUCAAACUUUUGGAAUUAUGGAAAAUGUUGCUAGAAAGCUAAUUAACCAUUUAUAUUAUGAUUAAGACUAGUUGGGUUAGAAAUAAUUCAUAUGGAGAUUAAAAAAAACUAUGUAAUUUAGUUUAGUAGCUUGGGUGCUAUUGUAAUGAUUAAUGAUCUGCAACUUGAACACAUCUACUAGUGCUUUCUACUUGUAUAGCUAAAUUUAUGUUACCACUUUGAACUAGAGUACUUACAUGAGAAGAAAGCUUUUCCCUAGUGAUAAUGCAAAAGAAAUUAAGUAUCAAUUUUUGUUAAAAAUAACAAGUGAUAGUUUAGAUAUGGUUUGAAUACACUUUCUUUCUUCUAUUUUUUUAUUUUGAAAAAAAAAACUCUUUAAUGAAAUAUAAGAAAUCUUAUAUGUAUAAAAAUUAAAGACUUAAACAAAAAAAUUUGAAAUUUUGAAAAUUUUCGAGAAGUAUUUUUAAGAAUUUGUAUUUUUAGUAUAAUAAUUCCUAUAUUUUGUAUAAAAGUUUUUGUUUAAAAAAAUAGAAGUGUAUCCAAAUUACAAAUUAAUUGUUAAAUUAAGAAUGUUUCUCAGAUCAAGAGAUAAUGAAAGUUGUAGAGAGUUUGCAUUACUCAACCUUUGCAAUUACUUUUUGAAGGUAAAAAAAAAAUACCUUCCUACAUAACAUACAAUGGUAGGUUCUGGUUUGUAAGAAACUAAUAAAUGAUUAAGAAUAUGAAUAAGACUUCCUUUAUAAUAGAUAUGUAGAGAAGAAUAGUGGAUGAUAGGUGGUGAAAAUCUUGUAAUAAAAUAUCAAUAUCGGUUAUAAGAUAAUCAACAUUUUCUCUAUUUCUUGUACCUAUGUGAUUAAGAAUCUUGUAGCUCCCUUAUUGAAAUAUAAUAUAAAAAUAUAAAUAAACUAUUUAGAAGUGCAUGUAGUUUUCAACAUGAGGAAGUUCAAAAGCAAGUUAAUUAUGAUAAUUUUCCAUAGUCUAUAUUGAACACAAAUUAUUUUUACUAAAGGUUCAAUCGUUCUAUGAAGGUUAAAAGUUUGAAUUGUUUACAUAUGCAAAUGUGAAAUUUGAAAGUUUAUAAUUUUUUAUAAUUUUCUUGUAGAUUCAAAAAGCUUGUCCAUAUUCAAAAAGCUCGAGACCUUGAACCUCAAUUACAACAAGUUCAAAAACACUAGCCUACAACAAUUGGAUAUAUUUACAUCCCUUAAAAAUCUUUCUCUAAGAUGGAACAAUGUUGGAGGAUUUUUUCCUAUCCAAGGUAUGUGUAAUUAUUAUUAUUAUUAUUUUUAAUGAUGAAAUAUUAGAAUUGUCAACAUCUUUUAUCUUUUUUUCCCCUCAAUGGUGUUGCAGAAUUAUGCACUCUGGAAAACUUGGUGAUGUUAGACCUAAGUGGGAAUUUCUUUUUUGGCAUGCAAGGUAAAUACAAAGUGAAGUUUUGGUUAUAUAUAUAUAUAUAUAUAUAUAUAUAUAUAUCAUGUAAGAACAUAACUAAAAUCAACAUUAUUUGCCUAUCAAUUUGUGCAUGACUAUUAUUUAGUUAUUCUUCGUAACAUAAUUGAAAGAAUGUCUAGGUGUACAACAUUUAAGAAUUUUACAUGGCACAAUGAAAAACAUGGUAAUCAAUGUGUGCAAUAAAAUUCUAAUAGUUGAAAAAGAAUUUUCUUGUAAUUUUAUGUUCAUGUAUAGUAAUCAAAGAGAAAAUCAUGAAAAUGUAUAUUAGUUAGACUUUAUAUAUCAAUAGACAAAAAAGAAAGAAAAAAAAAGAUUAGUUCCUUAACUUAUCCUAAAAUUUUCUAGAUAACAAGGAGUUUUUUUAUUUUGGGCUAUAAGGUUUACAACCUGAAAAGUGAAGAUGAUUAAUAUUAGUAAUAAAAUUUUAAAAUAUAAAAAUUAGUGAAAUAAUGUUCUCUAUAACUAUAACUCCAACUGCAACUAUUAAUAAAAGAUAAUAAAGGUACUUUAGACUUUGAAUCCAUGGUUAGGUUUGCAAUUUUUUGAUGAUCAAUAAAGCUACAACUUAUGCUGCAAAAGGCUAUACAAAAUGUAUUAGGAGCAUUGCUAAGCUCAUUUAUCAAUAAAGGAAAUCCAGUAAUACUUUGAUUGGAAAAAACCUAGAAUCAUGUUUGAUAUAUAAUAGGUGAAGAAACAAAAUAACAAUUCCAUGGUAUUAGUUAGUUUGAUAUCUCUUUUGUUAUAUGGAAUAACUAUUCCAUUUUAAAAUAAUUAUUUCAUCUUAUCGCUAGAACAAAAAAUUUCAGGCGAUUAUAUGGGCUUUUGGGUUUCUUAAGAAUUUAAGCAUUUAUGGGUCACCCAUAUAUAUAUAGGAAGAAUAAAAAAAAAAAUAUUCUAUGGAGACAAGGGUAGACACCCAUAAAUGUACAUAUAAUUAUUUAAAUAAAAAUAUCAAUAAGAAACAAUAUACAACAAAAUAGAAAAUUUUAAUCUUCCUAAAUUUUAAAAAUAGAAAAUAAAUGAAAAAAAAUUAAAAAGUAAAAAAAAAAAAAAAAAAAGGUCAAGAAUACAAAUAGAUAAGUAAACAAAAUAUAAAAAAAAUACAUAAAUUAAAAUUAAAAUUUUUUUAAAAAAAAUACAUAGAUUAAUAUGAACACUAAAUGAGGUUUUUUGAGAUAGACUUAGUUAGACUUGAACUAGAUGGAUAUUAAAAAAAAUAAAAAUAAAAAUUCAAAGAAAUAAAAACUAAUUAGAUGCUAAAUAUUGGAUUAAAAUAACCAAAUGAAUAAAGAGUAAUUAUUAAUUUUUAACAUUUUUUAUUCCUUAGAAUUAUUAUUUUGUGUAUUAAAUGUAUUAUGAGUGUAGUGGUAUAAAAAAUGUAGUUAAGAAUACUAUGAAGAAUAAUAAUGGUGAUGAUAAUGGUGACGACACUUAAUACCUUUUAUUGUACAUUUAGAAAAAAUGAGGUUCUUGAUCUUUAUGAAGAUUAUCAUUACUCAUCCGCAAGCAUGUUGAUAGUUGAAACUACUCAAUUAUCAAAAAUUGAAUUUCUAACCUUCAAUUUUUCUCUCUCAAAUGUAUAUGUGGGUGAGAAAGCACUAGGUAGGUUAUAAGGUCUCACAUGUAUAUGAGUCAUAGGAUAAAAAAUAUAGAGACAAUACUAGCAUUUAUUUGAUCCAGUGGCAAAUAGAGAAAUAUAACAUAACCAUAACCAUAAUGUUCUAACCUUAUAUAUACCAGAACCAUGUUUCCUUCAUUCAAUUUUGCAACUUUUUCUUUUCAAAUUAGAAUGUAACUCGUAGGAUCCAUUGUCCAUCAAAAUUUUGAAUCGAAUAUUAUAAGAUAUUUCACAUUUCUACCUACUAAAGCAUGAGCUUCAAUGUUCUCAUGCACUUUUGGCUACUAAGUUAAAGAACUCUUUGAGGGUUAAUGGAGUUUCUAUGAGUAGCAAAGCAUUAUAAUCACAAAGUCUUAUCAGUGAUAUGCAAUUUAACCAAGAACUUAUUCCCAACUAUUUUAUGACUUUUCUUGGCUACUUGUAGGCAAGCUAAAGAAAUUUUCUGGUUUGUUCAAGUCUAAAAAGUGGUUUCAAGUUUAGGGCCAAGCUUGGGCUGCACCUAGGUCCUUGGGCCUUAUUCAGCUCCACGUUUAAACCAACCUUGAGUCCAUCUUUGUAAUUUUUCUCCCAAUUCAUUGAUUUAUAUUAGGAUUUUAUAAAGCCUAUAAAUUGACCAACUAAAUAAAGUAGGUUCAUAAACUUUUAGGUGAAAAUUUUCUCUCUAAUAAAUGUUAAUUCAAGAGUCUCCGUAAUCUUUUUAUAUUCAUAUUAAUUGGUAUUUAAACUGACCUUACUAUAUUAAAGUCAAAUACCAAAUAGUGAACACUAUAUCUGCUACUACCACUAUGAUGGUCACAAACAUAGAAUGCUCCUUUUUUUAGAGUCAAUUGAUGCUUAUAAACAACAACUUUGUUUGAAAAUAAAAUACAUCGAGUGAUUGCAUCAAGAGAUUGAUGUAAUAAUUGCAUACUUGAUCUUGAUAAUGCUGAGUUGACUAAAUAAAUGAGUAUUUACUUAUAAGGUAGCCCAUAGAACAUUAUUUGUGGAAAUAUUCAUGCACCUCUACAUAUGUUCAUGAUAACUUAGGUUGAUAAAUUUAAGAAGAACAAAUUCAUAACCUUGGGCAUAGUUAGUAAGAAAUUUCACCAAUAGAGUUUGGUAUCAUGAUUCUAAUUGUUCAAAUUGUUUUAAAGGAGUAUUUUAAAUUGCAUGUUAAUUUGCUUCUAAUAAAUGGAGAGAAACCAAUUCAAGAAGAGAAUUGUACUCAAGCUAUGUAUAACAUUCAUGAAGAUGUAGAAAAUAUUGAUGAACUUACUUUUGAGCAAGUUGAAAUCAUAAUUAAAUAAAAGAACAAACCCAAGGGUUAAGAUUGUCAAGUAAAACUUUAACUAAAAUUUAUUGAUUUUUUAAAUGCCUAUUAGAGGGACAAUAGAAGUUCUAGAUAAAAAGUAAGAACUUUUCUAAGGAAUCACUUGUUAGAUUUUAAGUGAUCAAUAAAUAUAAUGUCCAAUUUAAAACUUUUAUAAAAGCAAUGCUUCUAAAGAAUAACUUGAUUUGAAUUUAAAGUUAUUAUUGAUAUUUGUUUAUAAUGGAUGUAGUUAAUCAACUGAACAUAGUAAAAAACACAUAAAUUUUUCAAAAUACCUUCUAGUUGUUGGGUAUAUUUAAAUAGUCAUCCAUAUCUCAUUAUCUUUUCACUCACAUACUAAUCUCCUUAUUGAGUAUUUACCAAUUACAAGUAGGUUGAAAGUUACUUGAAUUUAAGUCACUAAUCAAUGUUAACUUGAUAACAAAUAAGUCUCUCUUUGAAACUUGUUUUACAAGAUAGCGAAAUGUAGUCGAUCAAUCAUCAAAACAAUGUUCAAGCAUUAGGAUUUAGUUGUUAAUUUUUAUUUUUAUUUUUUGUGCUUAAACAAAGACAAAAAUGAUAAAAACUCCUUAAAAGUACAUAGUAAUUGAAUUUAAUUUAUACAUCAAACAAGAACAAACUAGUCUUGGAUUUAAAAUUCAUCAGGUUUUGUAAUUAUAAUUCCUAAAAAUUUGUAAGACAACAAAAUUAUUGGGCACUAGGUUAUUGGGUGUGUAUGACUAAGAGGUGAAGGAGGGUUCAUCUUAUACAAAGGAUGAUUUGAUUAAUUUUAAAGAUUGGAUAAACAAUAAUUGCAUAUUCAAGUAAAAAUAACAUUGCUAAAAAGGAAAAUAAGUAUUUUAGUCCUCAAACCUAAAAUGGCUAAAAAUUUUAAUUAAUACAAUACAACUUCACCUACAAAAGAAAAAAAAAACCCAAAACUUUUCAAUAGCACAACUAAGUCCAUUUAUCAAAAAAAAGAAAUAUAAGGAAGUUGGACUCAUUUACUAGCAAUUUAACAUAUGACUAAAACCUAUUGAAGAAUUUGCAAUAGCACUUACUUUGGUCAUGUCCAAACUUAUUGCACAUGGUGCAAAAAGGGGUAGUGCUCGAGGAUGCUUCCACAUAAGAAAGACCCUACUUAACUGUUACAAAGGUUAUUUUCCCACUUGUGGGAAUGCUAACCUUGCUAAUAUAUUAUAUGCCAUGUUUAUCAUAUACAAAUUUUUCUUUACUAAAUAUUUCUUUAAUGAUCUUGGACCUAAAAUUAAAUAUUUCAUUAGUAUUGGUCAUGUCGUUCCUCAACUUUUCAACUUUUAGAGUUAAAUCUUUAUCUUUAUCAUUGAUAGUUUUAUGUUUAGUCCCUAGAAACUUCACCUUAUUAACAAUAUGUUCAUUUAAUAUUUUGAUAUUUUUAAUUUUCAAAGAAUCAUAGAGCUCAUUAAUUUUAAUGUCUUUUUAUUCACUUUUAUGCUUUCAACCUUUGUUUUUAGUUUUCCUAUAAUAAUGCAUCAUAGACCCCAUGUAUAUCAUUAAAAUAAAACUCAUUUUUUUCAUUAGGAUUCAAUUAACCCAAUGGAUCAUAAUCAAAAUUAGUUGCAUAUGAACAAAAGCAAUAAGAUUAUCAUUUUGUACAUCUUUACUUUCAUUUGAGUUCUUAGCCCUACAAUCAUCAAACAUGGAAUUACUCCAAGUUACCUACAUAGCCUUCAUACCUAAUGUUUUUAAGGCAAGGACAAUCAACAACCAUGUGUCCCAUUCCCCCAAUGGUUCACUACGAAAUCAAGGUACAUAUGUUAUGCUUUCUUUGUUUCAUAGUGAUUAGAGAGGAUAAACAUUGUAAAAAAAAAAGUUGUCAUAGUUAAUGUAAGCUAAAACUAAAAAACUUGCUUUUUCAAUUGUGUAAGCAUGUUUUGUUCUUGAUGAAUAUUUACAACAUUCAGAGUUACUAAUGUUUAUAAUUCACAGAGACCUCAUUAACAACAAGUAACAACUAAUUGUAAGUAACCAUGAAAAAAAAAUAAGGAGAAAAAUAAAGGAAAAUCAAGGAAAGUGUCAAAUUUUUUCAUCCCCAUAAAAAAUGCUAAGGAAGAAAAAUGUGAAGAAAGUUUAAAGAAAGUAUAUUUUUCAAAAAUUGAAUUUUCUUUCCCUUAAAGUUGGUAUGGACAACCAAACAAGAAAAUGAUUUUUAAAUUCUUUUUUGACCUUUUUCUAUCAUUCUUUUUUUUUUCCCCCUACUCUAUUUCCUUUCCCUCAAACUUUCUAGGUAGUAAACAUUACCUAAGAUAAAUAGGGAAGAAAAUAUUUUAUCAUUUAUUUAUUUAGUAUUUUUCUUACCUUUUUUUGUAUUUUAUCCAAAUAUAAGAAAACUACUUUUCUUUAUUUUUUCUUUUCCUUGUUGCUUUUCAAGAAUCAAGCAUACUUUAAACUCUAAUUAAGAGUUACAUAGAUUUACAGAGAAACAAUGCAACUAGUAACAAAAAAUUAAGGAAAUUUAAUUUUUUAAUUUUUGAGAGUAAGUAUAAUAAGAUUGGUUUGUUUGAUACAAAAUUUGAAUAAAAAUUAUUUUAAUGAAAAUUCAAGGAAAGGAAAAAAAAAAAAAAAAACUUGAUCUCUAGACUAUAAUACUAAAUCAAUUAAAAAAUCUCCUAACAUCGUUUAUGUUCAUCUUUUUUUUUUUAUGGAUUUGAAAAACCCAAUAAUUUGGAGAAAACUGAUUCAAGGAAGAAUAAUUUUUAGAAUAAAAUAUUAUUAUUUAAGAAGAUCAUAAAUUUUAUAGUCAUUGUUGAAAAUGAUAAAUGAUUAAAAAAAAAAAGGUAGUUGGAAAUUUAGAUACUUUUAUAAGACAAAUGCAUUUUUCUAGUCUGGUAUGAAAAAAGGUAAAAUGAUAGGCUUUGAUCAUUUUUCAAGUUAGUUUGUUUAAAUCAUUUUAAUUUAUUUUGAUUUAAGAACAAUAACUUUUAUUACACUAGUUAUUUUGAUUUUCUUUUGAUAGAUUUUGCAAGCUUAAGCAAUUUGGAGCUAUUGGAUUUGAGUUAUAAUUUAUUUAGUGGGAGCAUUCCAUCAUCUAUAAGAUUGAUGUCUUCUAUCAAGUCUUUAUCCUUGGCUGAAAAUUACCUCAAUGGUUUCUUAGCAAAUCAAGGUACAUAUAUUGUGAUUACAGGUUUUUCUAUUUUCUUUUUUAAUAUCUUGUUUGUUCUUUAUGCCAAUUAAGUCAUGCAUGUCUAUUAAUUUUUGGUAUUUAAUGAAAAACUUUAUUCUUAAUUCAUAAAGACCUCAUCAACUAUAAGUAACAGUUAGUUCUAAGUUUGGGGGCAUUGACAAGACGAGGAGAUGAUUGGUUACAUGUCUUAUUCUCUUUUGUUGGCUUUUGCCAAUUGAAUAAGUUUCAAGAAUUAGAUUUUUCUUACAACUUAUUCCAAGGAAUCCUUCCUCCAUGUUUGAAUAAUUUGACAUCUUUGAGGUUAUUGGAUCUCUCUUCCAACCUAUUCUCCGGAAAUCUUUCUUCCCCUCUGUUACCUAAUCUCACAUCCCUGGAGUACAUCGAUCUCAGUUACAAUCAUUUUGAGGGUUCAUUCUCUUUCAGCUCUUUUGCUAAUCACUCCAACUUUCAAGUGGUCAAACUUGGAAGGAAUAACAACAAAUUUGAGGUAGAAACUGAAUAUCCAGUUGAUUGGGUUCCCCUAUUUCAGUUGAAAGCUCUUAUGCUAUCCAACUGUAAGCUCAUCGAUGACCUUCCUGGUUUUCUUCGACACCAAUUAAGAUUAACCGUGGUUGAUCUCUCCCAUAAUAACUUGACUGGAAGUUUCCCCAUUCAGCAGCUUGAAAACAAUACAAGACUAGGAUCUCUAGUUUUGAGGAAUAACUCUUUAAUGGGUCAACUACUUCCCCUGAGACCUAAUAGUCGUAUCACUUUAUUGGAUAUCUCAGACAACCGACUUCAUGGGGAACUUCAACAAAAUGUGGCCAAUAUGAUUCCAAAUAUUGAGUUUCUAAAUUUAUCCAACAAUCUUCCCCUUCAUUUCAUCCAUAUUUGGAUCUACCUUUAAAUCUCUAUUGCAUACAACCCAUAUAUGAUUCCCUCUAAAUUUAGCCUUCAUUUCUUGUUAAGAGGUUUUAAAAGCCAGCAAUUUAAUUUACUUUCAUCCUCUAUAUAGAUGAGAACUCUUAUAUUUAUCCAAUGAUAGGUAACAUUUUUGCAAAUGCUUUUAUUUGAUUUUUUUAAUUGGUCUUAAAAAUAAGUGUUAAUAAAGAUCCACAAUAUAAAAUAAUAAAUUAUAUCUCAAUUGACCUCAAGAUACUAUUUACUUCUACUAACUCAUUUUACAUCUCAAUUGUUCUUAAAAAGUCUAUAAUGGUAAUUAACUAUAGAAUUCAAGUUUUAAUUAUGCAAAAAAUAUAUAAAGGUUUUUAAAAUUAAUAGAAAAAAAGAUUCUAAUAAAUAAUAAGUAGAUUGAAACAUUUAUUUCUAGAAGUAGAGAAAGAUGGAGGAUCAUAAAAGUUGAAAAAAGAAUAAUUUGGAAGUCAUAAAAUUUUGGAAAAAGAAUAAUUCAUAGAGACCUCAUUAACAACAAGUAACAACUAAUUGUAAGUAACCAUGAAAAAAGUAAGGAGAAAAAUAAGGGAAAAGCAAGGAAAGUAGCAAAUUUUUUCAUCCCCAUAAAAAAAUGAUAAGGAAGAAAAAAGUGAAGAAAGUUUAAAGAAAGCAUAUUCUUCAAAAAUUGAAUUUUCUUUCCCUUAAAAUUGGUAUGGACAACCAAACAAGAAAAUGAUUUUUAAAUUCUUUUUUGACCUUUUUCUAUCAUUCUUUUUUUUCCCCCUACUCUAUUUCCUUUCCCUCAAACUUUCUAGGUAGUAAACAUUACCUAAGAUAAAUAGGGAAGAAAAUAUUUUAUCAUUUAUUUAUUUAGUAUUUUUCUUACCUUUUUUGUAUUUUAUCCAAAUAUAAGAAAACUAUUUUUCUUUAUUUUUUCUUUUCCUUGUUGCUUUUCAAGAAUCAAGCAUGCUUUAAACUCUAAUUAAGAGUUACAUGGAUUUACGGAGAAACAAUGCAACUGGUAACAAAAAAUUAAGGAAAUUUAAUUUUUGAGAGUAAGUAUAAUGAGAUUGGUUUGUUUGAUACAAAAUUUAAAUAAAAAUUCUUUCAAUGAAAAUUCAAGGAAAGGAAAAAAAAACAAAUUUAUCUCUAGACUAUAAUACUAAAUCACUUAAAAAAAACUCCUAACAUCGUUUAUGUUCAUCUUUCUUUUUAUGGAUUUGAAAAACCCAAUAAUUUGGAGAAAACUGAUUCAAGGAAGAAUAAUUUUUAGAAUAAAAGAUUAUUAUUUAAGAAGAUCAUAAAUAUUAUAGUCAUUGUUGAAUAUGAUAAAUGAUUAAAAAAAAAAAAGGUAGUUGGAAAUUUAGAUACUUUUAUAAGACAAAUGCAUUUUUCUAGUAUGGUAUGAAAAAAAGGUAAAAUGAUAGGCUUUGAUCAUUUUUUAAGGUAGUUUGUUUAAAUCAUUUUAAUUUAUUUUGAUUUAAUAACAAUAACUUUUAUUACACUAGUUAUUUUGAUUUUCUUUUGAUAGAUUUUGCAAGCUUAAGAAAUUUGGAGGUAUUGGAUUUGAGUUAUAAUUCAUUUAGUGGGAUCGUUCCAUCGUCUAUAAGAUUGUUGUCUUCUCUCAAGUCUUUAUCUCUGGCUGGAAAUCACCUCAAUGGUUCCUUAGCAAAUCAAGGUACAUAUAUUGUGAUUACAGGUUUUUCUAUUUUCUUUUUUAAUAUCUUGUUUGUUCUUUAUGCCAAUGAAGUCAUGCAUGUCUAUUAAUUUUUGGUAUUUAAUAAAAAACUUUAUUCUUAAUUCAUGAAGACCUCAUCAACUGUAAGUAACAACUAGUUGUAAAUUUGGGGGCAUUGAUAAGACGAGGAGAUGAUUGGUUACAUGUCUUAUUCUCUUUUGUAAGCUUCUGCCAAUUGAAUAAGCUUCAAGAGUUAGAUUUUUCUUACAACUUAUUCCAAGGGAUCCUUCCUCCAUGUUUGAAUAAUUUGACAUCUUUGAGGUUAUUGGAUCUCUCUUCCAACCUAUUCUCCGAAAAUCUUUUUUCCCCUCUGUUACCUAAUCUCACAUCCCUGGAGUACAUCGAUCUCAGUUACAAUCAUUUUGAGGGUUCAUUCUCUUUCAGCUCUUUUACUAAUCACUCCAACCUUCAAGUGGUCAAACUUGGAAGGAAUAACAACAAAUUUGAGGUAGAAACUGAAUAUCCAGUUGGUUGGGUUCCCCUGUUUCUGUUGAAAGCUCUUGUCCUAUCCAACUGUAAGCUCAUCGGUGAUCCUGGUUUCCUUCGACACCAAUUAAGAUUAACCGUGGUUGAUCUCUCCCAUAAUAAUUAGACUGGAAGUUUCCCCAUUUGGCUGCUUGAUAACAAUACAAGACUAGGAUCUCUAGUUCUGAGGAAUAACUCUUUAAUGGGUCAACUACUUCCCCUGAGACCUAAUAGUCGUAUCACUUUAUUGGAUAUCUCAGACAACCGACUUCAUGGGGAACUUCAACAAAAUGUGGCCAAUAUGAUUCCAAAUAUUGAGUUUCUAAAUUUAUCCAACAAUCAUCCCCUUCAUUUCAUCCAUAUUUGGAUCUACCUUUAAAUCUCUAUUGCAUACAACCCAUAUAUGAUUCCCUCUAAAUUUAGCCUUCAUUUCUUGCUAAGAGGUUUUAAAAGCCAGCAAUUUAAUUUACUUUCAUCCUCUAGAUUGAUGAGAACUCUUAUAUUUAUCCAAUGAUAGGUAACAUUUUUGCAAAUGCUUUUAUUUGAUUUUUUUAAUUGGUCUUAAAAAUAAGUGUUAAUAAAGAUCCACAAUAUAAAAUAAUAAAUUACAUCUCAAUUGACCUCAAGAUACUAUUUACUUCUACUAACUCAUUUUACAUCUUAAUUGUUCUUAAAAAGUCUAUAAUGGUAAUUAACUAUAGAAUUCAAGUUUUAAUUAUGCAAAAAAUAUAUAAAGGUUUUUAAAGUUAAUAGAAAAAGAGAUUCUGAUAAAUAAUAAGUAGAUUGAAACAUUUAUUUCUAGAAGUAGAGAAAGAUGGAGGAUCAUAAAAGUUGAAAAAAGAAUAAUUUGGAAGUCAUAAAAUUUUGGAAAAAGAAUAAUUCAUAGAGACCUCAUUAACAACAAGUAACAACUAAUUGUAAGUAACCAUGAAAAAAGUAAGGAGAAAAAUAAAGGAAAAUCAAGGAAAGUGACAAAUUUUUUCAUCCCCAUAAAAAAUGAUAAGGAAGAAAAAGGUGAAGAAAGUUUAAAGAAAGUAUAUUUUUCAAAAAUUGAAUUUUCUUUCCCUUAAAGUUGGUAUGGACAACCAAACAAGAAAAUGAUUUUUAAAUUCUUUUUUGACCUUUUUCUAUCAUUCUUUUUUUUUUCCUUACUCUAUUUCCUUUCCCUCAAACUUUCUAGGUAGUAAACAUUACCUAAGAUAAAUAGAGAAGAAAAUAUUUUAUCAUUUAUUUAUUUAGUAUUUUUUUUACCUUUUUUUGUAUUUUAUCCAAAUAUAAGAAAACUAUUUUUCUUUAUUUUUUCUUUUCCUUGUUGCUUUUCAAGAAUCAAGCAUACUUUAAACUUUAAUUAAGAGUUACAUAGAUUUACGGAGAAACAAUGCAACUGGUAACAAAAAAUUAAGGAAAUUUAAUUUUUGAGAGUAAGUAUAAUGAGAUUGGUUUGUUUGAUACAAAAUUUGAAUAAAAAUUCUUUCAAUGAAAAUUCAAGGAAAGGAAAAAAAACAAAUUUAUCUCUAGACUAUAAUACUAAAUCACUUAAAAAAAACUCCUAACAUCGUUUAUGUUCAUCUUUCUUUUUAUGGAUUUGAAAAACCCAAUAAUUUGGAGAAAACUGAUUCAAGGAAGAAUAAUUUUUAGAAUAAAAGAUUAUUAUUUAAGAAGAUCAUAAAUAUUAUAGUCAUUGUUGAAUAUGAUAAAUGAUUAAAAAAAAAAAAGGUAGUAGGAAAUUUGGAUACUUUUAUAAGACAAAUGCAUUUUUCUAGUAUGGUAUGAAAAAAAGGUAAAAUGAUAGGCUUUGAUCAUUUUUUAAGGUAGUUUGUUUAAAUCAUUUUAAUUUAUUUUGAUUUAAUAACAAUAACUUUUAUUACACUAGUUAUUUUGAUUUUCUUUUGAUAGAUUUUGCAAGCUUAAGCAAUUUGGAGGUAUUGGAUUUGAGUGGUAAUUCAUUUAGUGGGAUCGUUCCAUCGUCUAUAAGAUUGUUGUCUUCUCUCAAGUCUUUAUCUCUGGCUGGAAAUCACCUCAAUGGUUCCUUAGCAAAUCAAGGUACAUAUAUUGUGAUUACAGGUUUUUCUAUUUUCUUUUUUAAUAUCUUGUUUGUUCUUUAUGCCAAUGAAGUCAUGCAUGUCUAUUAAUUUUUGGUAUUUAAUAAAAAACUUUAUUCUUAAUUCAUGAAGACCUCAUCAACUGUAAGUAACAACUAGUUGUAAAUUUGGGGGCAUUGAUAAGACGAGGAGAUGAUUGGUUACAUGUCUUAUCACUACUACAAAAAUUGAAAUUAAUGACGCUUUAUUUUAUGACGCUUUCUAAAAGCGUCAUUAUUGAGGGUAUACAAUGACGCUUAUAAGAAGUGUCAUAGUUGUAUUAUUUAUCUUGAUACUGAUUAUAAGUGUCAUUAUUUGAUGUCAUCUUUUUCCUUGUAACUGUGUAUAUAAUGACGCUUAUAAGAAGCGUCAUAGUUUUAUUAUUUACCUUGACACUUAUUAUAAGCAUCAUUAUUUGAUGGGUAUGUAAUGACGUUCUUGAGAAGUGUCAUAGUUGUAUUGACUUUUAAAAUUUUUGUUUUUAAGUUAACUUAUACAAAUUUUGAUAUUAGAAUAUUAUUCUAUAAAUUAAUUAUGGUAAAUUGACAUUAAUAUUAAUGACAUAAAGUUGCUACAUUAAGGUUUUUUUAAAAAAAUUUGGAUAUAAAUAAAAUAAAAUCCUAAUAAAUUAUUUUUUUAUUGUUUGAUAUUAAUUUUUUUAUAGUUUGUAUCAAUACAAUCUAUUUUCAUAAACUAUUUUUCAUUUUUAUUAAAUUAGAAAUUAUCUUAUAUUUCAUUUAAAAAUAAUUUGUUAAUUUAUUUGUGGACCACAAAAAAGUGGCCUAUUUUGAGCACUUGUUCGAGCCUUGGGCCACAUUUAUUGGGUUUAACCCUUUUAUUUGAGAAGGUUUUAUAGUUAAUGAAUAUAAAUUUGAAAUUAUUUAACUAAAAUGAAAUAAAUUAAUAUUUAAAUUAAUUUAAUGAUGAUUAGACUCACAAUAAAACUAAAUGCAAUAAGAAUAUUUAUAAAAACUUUCUAAUAUUUAUGGGAAUUAAGCUCAUUCUAUUAAAUUAGUUUUUUUUUUAAAUAUCAAUAUUCAAAUUAAACCAAUAUCAACCUAAAAUAUCAAAUAAUUAAACAAUAUAAAUUUAUUAUGAGUUCAAUAUAUAAAAAUUAUUAUUGGAAGAUGAAAUAAAGAAUACUAUUUUAAUUUAUUGAAAAAGGACAUGCAUGAUAUUUUAGAAUUUGUUAUAAAGUCUCCAUUGAAAACCCUAACUUUUGGAAGACAAGAAAGAAGGGAGAGAGCCACCGUUUUUAGUGAGAAAGAAGAGAAGAGAGAAAAAUGCAAGUUUUUCUCAUCAGGCCCAGAUUUCAUCAAAGGUCUGAUCCCACUUUGUCCGUGGUCCGAUCGAGCUGAAAUUUGGAGGAGAGUUUCGUGACUCAUUUAUCUUCAAUCUGAACGGUGAAGAUCGGAUUUGGAGUUUCGGAAAGUCAUUAGAAAGAAAGAGGAGAAGAGAGAAAAACGUAGGUUUUUCUCAUCAUGCCCAGAUUUUAUCAAAUGUCCGAUCCCGCUUCGUCCGUGGUCCGAUCGAGUUGAAAUUUGAAGGAGAGGUUUGUGGCUCAUGUAUCUUCAAUAUGAACGGUGGAGAUCUGAUUUGGAGUUUCGGACAGUCAUUAGAGAGAAAGAGGAGAAGAGAGAAAAACUUAGGUUUUUCUCAUCGUGCCCAGAUUUCAUCAAAUGUCUGAUCCCGCUUCGUCCGUGGUCCGAUCGAGUUGAAAUUUGAAGGAGAGGUUCGUGGCUCAUGUAUAUUCAAUAUGAACGGUGGAGAUCGGAUUUGGAGUUUUGGACAGUCAUUAGAGAGAAAGAGGAGAAGAGAGAAAAACAGUGGUUUUUUUAUAUCAUGCCCAGAUUUCAUCAAAGGUUCAAUGCCGCUUUUUUCAUGGUCUGAUUGAGCUGAAAUUUGGAGGAGAGGUUCAUAAGUCAUUAAUCUUAAAUUUGAACGGUGAAGAUCGGAUUUAGAGUUUUGGAAAGUCAUCUUUCAGCCAAAAACAAAACCUUUAUUUUAUCAAAGAUGGCGCUUCCUGAAAGUGUCAUUGUUGCCUAAGACAUACAAUGACAGAGGCGAAGAGGACGCUUUAGAGAAGCGUCAUCUGUUACCUUUCUUGACGCUUAAAAAACGUCAUAGUUUCCCAUUUUUCUUGUAGUGUAUUCUCUUUUGUAAGCUUCUGCCAAUUGAAUAAGCUUCAAGAGUUAGAUCUUUCUUACAACUUAUUCCAAGGGAUCCUUCCUCCAUGUUUGAAUAAUUUGACAUCUUUGAGGUUAUUGGAUCUCUCUUCCAACCUAUUCUCCGAAAAUCUUUCUUCCCCUCUGUUACCUAAUCUCACAUCCCUGGAGUACAUCGAUCUCAGUUACAAUCAUUUUGAGGGUUCAUUCUCUUUCAGCUCUUUUACUAAUCACUCCAACCUUCAAGUGGUCAAACUUGGAAGGAAUAACAACAAGUUUGAGGUAGAAACUGAAUAUCCAGUUGGUUGGGUUCCCCUGUUUCUGUUGAAAGCUCUUAUCCUAUCCAACUGUAAGCUCAUCGGUGAUCCUGGUUUCCUUCGACACCAAUUAAGAUUAACCGUGGUUGAUCUCUCCCAUAAUAAUUAGACUGGAAGUUUCCCCAUUUGGCUGCUUGAUAACAAUACAAGACUAGGAUCUCUAGUUCUGAGGAAUAACUCUUUAAUGGGUCAACUACUUCCCCUGAGACCUAAUAGUCGUAUCACUUUAUUGGAUAUCUCAGACAACCGACUUCAUGGGGAACUUCAACAAAAUGUGGCCAAUAUGAUUCCAAAUAUUGAGUUUCUAAAUUUAUCCAACAAUGGUUUUGAAGGUAUUCUCCCAUCCUCAAUAGCCGAAAUGAGUUCCUUACAGUCAUUAUAUUUGUCUGCUAAUAGUUUCUCAGGGGAAGUACCAAAACAAUUGCUUGCGGCAAAAUAUUUGUGGCUUCUGAAAUUAUCAAAUUAUAAAUUUCAUGGCGAAAUAUUUUCAAGGGACUUUAACUUGACUCAGUUAGGGUUUUUGCAUUUGGACAAUAAUCAGUUCAAGGGAACACUGUCAAAUGUAAUCUCCAGAAUCUCUAGGUUAUGGGUGUUGGAUAGGUAACAUGACCGAUUUGACUACACUGGUGUUGGGCAACAAUAGUUUUAAAGGCAAAUUACCACCUGAGAUUUCUCAAUUGUUGGGGAUGAUAUUUCUUGACGUUUCUCAAAACGCUCUUUUAGGAUCUCUUCCUUCUUUGAAGAGCCUGGAGUAUUUAGAUACCCAGAGAUUGAUACCCAGAGAUUUUCUCAAUUCCUCAUAUCUAUUGACUUUGGAUAUCAGAGACAACAGGUUAUUUGGAAGUAUUCCCUAUUCAAUCUCUAGACUUUUAGAGCUAAGAGGAAACCUUUUAAGUGAUUUCAUUCCAUAUCAGCUUUGUCAUUUGACUAAAAUAAGCUUGAUGGAUAUUUCAAACAACAAUUUUUCUGGGUCAAUUCCCGGAUGCUUUGGUCAUAUCGGAUUUGGAGAUUUCAAAACUGAGCACAAUGUGUAUAUACCGAUGUUGGAUUCGUAUUCAGAAAGCAAUCCUUCUAUAUAUACGGGUUACUUAAUAAAAUAUUUAUUUUUCUCUAGUGAACUCCCUGAUGAAGUAGAUGAAGUUGAGUUUGUUACCAAGAAUAGGUAUAGCUCCUACAGAGUAGAUAAAAAUAUUUGUUGGGAAUUUAGAUAUUUUUAUAGGAAAGUAGACAAGUAUUCUAAUUUAUAAAAACAAUGCAUUUCUUUAGUUUGGUAUAAAAAAAAAUGAAACGAUAGGUAUUGGUAUUUUUUUUAAAGCAACAAACGUUUUAUUUUAUUUGUAUUUAAGAACAAUGUCUUUUCUUAUACUAGUUAUUUUAAUUUUCUUUUGACAGAUUUUGCAAGCUUAAGCAAUUUGGAGAUACUAGAUUUGAGUUCUAAUUCCUUAAGUGGGAUUAUUCCAUCAUCUAUAAGAUUGAUGUCUCAUCUCAAGUCUUUAUCCUUGGCCGGAAAUCAGCUCAAUGGUUCUUUACAAAAUCAAGGUACAUAUGUUAUGAUUUGUUUGUUUCAUAUGGAUUAGAGAAGAUGAAUAUUGUAAAAAAAAAGUUGUAGUUAAUGUAAGCUAGAAAUAAGUAUCUUGCCUUAUAAAUUAUAUGAGCAUGUGUUUGUUCUUAAUGAAUCUUUACAACAUUUAGAGUUACCAAUGUUUAUAAUUCAUAAAGACCUCAUUAACCGUGAGUAACAACUAAUUGUAAGUAAUUGUGGAAAAAGUAAGGAAAACAAAAUGAGGGAAAAGCAAGGAAUUAGGAAAUUAUUUUGUUCCCAUUAAAAAAUGCUAAGGAAGAAAAAGGUAAAAGAAAGUUUAAAAAAAGUGUAUUUUUCAAAAAUUUAUUUCUCUUUCCUUUAAUUUUGCUAUGGACAACCAAACAAGAAAAUUAUUUUAUAAUUCCUUUUUUAUUUUUUUCAUUCUCUCUCUCUUUUUUCCCCUACUCUAUUUCUUUUCCCUCAAACUUUCUUGGUAGUAAACACAACCUAAGAUAAAAUGGGGAAGAAAAUUUUCAGUUUUUUUUUUAUUUUUUUAGAAUGUUUUCUUACUUUUUAGUAUUUUAUGCAAAUAUAGGAAAAUUAUUUUUUUUUCUUUUUUUUUCUUGCUCCUUUUCGGACAUGAAUCACACUUUAAAAGAAAAUUAAUUUUUAAUUAGGAGUUAAGAUAAAUUUAAGGAGAAACAGUGAAUCACGAAUAACAAAAAAAUAAGGAAAUUGAAUUUUUGAAAGUAAGUAUAAUCAAAUUGCUUCAUUUGAUACAAAAUUUGAAUAAAAAUUCUUUCAAGGAAAGGAAAAAACAUUUUUGUCUCUAGAUUAUAAUACUAAAUCAUGUAAAAAAUCUCUUAACAUCAUUUAUAUUCAUAUUUAUUUUUGUAGAUUUGAAAAAUUCAACAAUUUGGAAUAAACUUAUUCAAUGAAUAAUAAUUUUUAGAUUUAAAGAUUAUUAUUUAAGAUCAUAAAUAUUACCAUGAUUGUUGAUGUCUAAGAAGAUCAUAUUCAACAAUUUUUUUAAUAUGUUGUUUUUUUAUGGUAAUUAAUUGAUGUCUUGUAAUUUUUAAUAUUUAAUGAAAAACAUUAUUUUAAUUCAUCUAGAGCUCUUAAUUCAUGAAGACCUCAUUAAUGGUGAGUAAUAGUUGGCUGUAAGUUUGGAGUCAAAGACAUGUCAAGGAGAUGAUUAGUUACAUGUCUUAUUCUCUUUUGUAGGUUUCUGUCAAUUGAAUAAGCUUCAAGAGUUAGAUCUUUCUUACAACUUAUUCCAAGGGAUCCUUCCUCCAUGUUUGAAUAAUUUGACAUCUCUAAGGUUAUUGGAUCUCUCUGUCAACCUAUUCUCCGGAAAUCUUUCUUCUCCUUUAUUACCUAAUCUCACAUCCCUGGAGUACAUCGAUCUCAGUUACAAUCAGUUUGAGGGUUCAUUCUCUUUCAGCUCUUUUGCUAAUCACUCAAAGCUUCAAAUGGUCAAACUUGGAAUGAAUAACAACAAAUUUGAGGUAGAAACUGAAUAUCCAAUUGGUUGGGUUCCCUUGUUUCAAUUGAAGGCUCUUUCGCUAGACAGCUGUAAGCUCACCGGCGACCUUCCUAGUUUUCUUCAAUACCAAUUCAGGUUAGUGGGGGUUGAUCUCUCACAUAAUAACUUGACAGGAAGUUUUCCCAAUUGGCUGCUUGAAAACAAUACGAGACUAAAAUCUCUAGUUCUGAGGAAUAACUCUUUAAUGGGUCAAUUACUUCCCUUGGAACGUAAUACCCGUAUCCAUUCAUUGGAUAUCUCACACAAUCAGUUGGAUGGACAACUUCAAGAAAAUGUGGCCCAUAUGAUUCCAAAUAUGAAAUAUCUAAAUUUAUCCGACAAUGGUUUUGAGGGUAUUCUCCCAUCCUCAAUAGUUGAACUAAGAGCCUUAUGGUAUUUGGAUUUGUCUACCAAUAAUUUCUCUGGAGAAGUACCAAAGCAAUUGCUUGCAGCAAAAGAUUUGGGGGUUUUGAAAUUAUCAAAUAAUAAAUUUCAUGGUGAAAUAUUUUCAAGGGACUUUAACUUGAUUAGGUUGGAAGUUUUGUAUUUGGGCAAUAAUCAGUUGACGGGAACUCUGUCAAAUGUAAUCUCUAAAAGCUCUUGGUUGGGGGUGUUGGAUGUGAGCAACAACUACAUGUCAGGUGAAAUUCCAAGCCAGAUAGGUAACAUGACCUAUUUGACUACACUGGUGUUGGGCAACAAUAGUUUUAAAGGCAAAUUACCACCCGAGAUUUCUCAAUUGUGGGGUUUGGAGUUUCUUGACGUUUCUCAAAAUGCUCUUUCAGGAUCUCUUCCUUGUUUGAAGACCAUGGAGAGUUUAAAGCAUCUACAUUUGCAAGGGAACAUGUUUACAGGAUUAAUACCCAGAGAUUUUCUCAAUUCCUCACAUUUAUUGACUUUGGAUAUGCGAGAUAACAGGUUAUUUGGAAGUAUUCCCAAUUCAAUCUCUGCACUUUUGAAGCAGCUAAGGAUUUUUUUGCUGGGAGGAAACCUUUUAAGUGGUUUUAUUCCAAAUCAUCUUUGUCAUUUGACUGAAAUAAGCUUGAUGGAUCUUUCAAACAACUCUUUUUCAGGGCCAAUUCCCAAAUGCUUUGGCCAUAUCCGAUUUGGGGAGAUGAAAAAGGAAGACAACGUGUUUGGACAGUUCAUUGAAAUUAGGUAUGGAAUGGAUUCUCAUCUUGUAUAUGCAGGUUACUUGGUGAAAUAUUGGGAGGACUUAAGUUCAGUAUAUAAGGGAAAAGAUGAAGUUGAGUUUGUGACCAAGAACAGGCGUGACUUCUACAGAGGUGGCAUCCUUGAAUUCAUGUCUGGAUUGGACUUAUCAUGUAACAACUUGACAGGCGAAAUACCUCAUGAACUUGGAAUGCUAAGUUGGAUUCGUGCAUUGAACUUGUCUCACAAUCAAUUGAAUGGCUCCAUUCCAAAGAGUUUCUCCGAUCUUUCUCAAAUAGAGAGCUUAGACCUUUCUUAUAAUAAAUUGGGUGGAGAAAUUCCUCUAGAGCUAGUUGAACUCAAUUUUUUAGCGGUGUUUAGUGUGGCUUACAACAACAUCUCUGGUAGAGUUCCAAAUGCCAAAGCACAAUUUGCAACAUUUGAUGAAAGCAGCUAUGAAGGUAAUCCUUUCCUUUGUGGGGAACUAUUAAAGAGGAAAUGCAACACAAGUAUUGAGUCACCAUGCGCACCAUCACAGUCUUUUGAAAGUGAGACAAAAUGGUAUGAUAUCAAUCAUGUUGUUUUCUUUGCAAGUUUUACUACUUCAUAUAUCAUGAUCUUGUUAGGAUUUGUUACCAUCCUUUACAUCAAUCCUUAUUGGCGUCAUAGAUGGUUCAAUUUUAUUGAGGAAUGUGUAUAUUCCUGCUAUUAUUUUGUUUUUGAUAGUCUUUCCAAGUUCUCAGCAUAUUUGUAUAAUUAGAUACUUUUAAUUGGAUGAUGUUUGCAUAAUUAACUACUAUUUGUUUCCAUGGGAUAAAAAGAAAUGGGAUUAUAAUUGCUAUGAGUUGAAACUUACAUACUUUGCUCAAAUUCUAACAUCUUUUGAUUUUAUUUUCAAGUUCCGUUAUUUAUUAUGUAUUGUUUAAUUCAAGAUUUAACCAUAUUAUGCUACUCUUAUAAAAACAAAUUCAAAUUUUUAGGAACUUAGCAUUAAAAUAAUUUCAUAGUCAGAUUUUUAAAAAUAAAGAAGAAAGAAAAUAAUAAAUAAUUAGAAAAACAAUUCAAGGGAGUAUUAAAUUAUUAUCUUAGAAUUGUUUGGCGUAGUAUGGGAAUUCAAAAAUAAUCUUUCAAUUUGUUAGAAAUGUUUAUUUAUUUAUUAUAGCAAUGAUUGAAAUAUCAAUCACAAAGUAAUGUUUUCUUUUCUUUUGUAGGGCACUAACAUUUUUUCUUUGAUUGUAAUAAUUGAUAAAUAUAUUACACAAUUAUUUGUUUUAAAGAGGGGAGGGAUGACAAACAUAAUAACAUGUGAAAUAUUUCUAAAACUGUGAUGGGAAAUAAACCAUCUAAUUAGGGUGCAAUAUUAUUCAUUUUAAUUUAUAUGAAUUUACUUAUUUUUAUUUCCAUCAUAUUUUGAACUAUUUUUUGAAAUUAAGGGAGAUUAAAACAUCAUGAAUUUCUUAGUUUAAUUUAUAUUUUUAAUAAUAAAGCAUGAAAUAUUUAAAAAAAAAAAAGAAAAUCAUGAAUUUCUUUAAUUCCUUAGGAAACCAAUAUAUAAAAAAAGUUGAAUAUAUUAUUAUUUUAUAUCCUAAAUUUCUAAAUUUGUUCAUCACGUAUUUAUUUUUAUAUUAAAUUUAUUAUCAAUAAUUAUUUAUUAUAUAUUAUUAUUUUAUAUUUAAAAAUGUUCAUAAAUAAUUAAAAUUAAUAAAUAUAAAAAAUGAAAUAUUAAAAAAUUAAAUUAAAAAGAUUUCAUCAAGCUAACAUAUUUUGAUAAAAAAAAAAAGAGUAAAAAAGAAGAUGGGGAUAUUAUAGAGGUGGGGAAAAAGAUAAAAGAAAAAUCAUGUGGUAUAAUAAUUGCCACGUGUUAAAGUUAUUUUCUUUAAAAAUUAAUUAUAGUAAUGAUGAACUCAUUUGUCUUAUCAAAGUAAAUAAAAAUAAAUAAAUAAAAGAAAAAAAGAAAAAGAAAAAAAGUGGUGGUUGAUUGGAGGUUAGAGAGGAGGGUUUGAAGGUAAAUUUGGAAUAUUGAUUAUUUUCACUAAGUAGAUAUUUUGAAAGUUAUUUUCAAUGUUUUAAAAACCGGACCGGCCGGUCCGACCGGUCCAACCGUCGACCGGUCACCAUUCCGGUCCGAUCCGGUCAUUUGGACCGGAUUGAGAUCGAACCGGAGUUGAACCGCUCGAACCAGCGGUUCAACCGCUGAACCGGACAAACCGAUCGGUUCCAAGGGAACCGGCCAAUUCAAAUAAUUUUAAUUUUAAAAAAAAAAUUACACAAUAAAAAUAUUACUGUGGGUAAGCUGCAAGCAUGAAAGGUAGGAUUCCAUGUUGGGCCUGUCUUGUGACAAGCCCACACACCCACUCCAAUUACCCUGGGCCUCUUUUUUGAGCCCACAAGAUCAUGCCAAGGCUUUGCUGAGGAUGGCUUUUAUAGGAGUCAUUUGACUCCUUGUUCCUCUCAUAUUCCGAUGUGGGAUUGCAUUUUAUCAAUGAAAAAAAACAUAACAAACAUAACAAAACUCCACCAACAGAAUUUGAACCUUGGACCAAUCUUUAACUCUAGUCCACCUAGGAAACCACUCGGCUACAUGUGUUUUAUCAUCUAAUGUGCCAAACAAAAUAAUAUAUAUUAGAUUUUAAAUUUUUUUAUAAUAUUAAAUAAAAAUAAUAUAAUAUUUUUAAAAAUUAUGAAAUUAGUUUAAAUUUUCAUUUUUUUUAUAUUCACAUUUAAAUAUUAUACAUAUUUCAUUUAAUAAAAUUUAAAAUAUUAAUAUGAUUUAAUUUGAUAAUAUCAAAGAUAUAAAAUAAUAUUAUUGAUGUUUAAUUUAUUCAUAUAUAUUUUAAAAUUUUUUAUAAUUAUUUUUAAUUUUAAUAAUAUAUAAAUUAUAUAUUUAUUACGUCACCGGUUCGAUAGCGGUUCGACCGCCGGUCCGACCAGUGAACCGUGAACCGGUAACUUUUCCAGUUCGAUCACCGGUCCGAUUCUGAAAACAUUGGUUAUUUUGCCUGAAACCCAUAUUGUUUGAAAAUAAAAAAUCAAAGUUUUAAAAAAAUACAAUUUUUUUGAAAUGAUGCAUGAUUAUAUCAUUCCCCUAAUAGAUUAUUUAUUCCUUUAAACUUUACUUCAAAUAAAAUAGUUUUAAUUAUUUUCUUUUUGGAAUUAUAUUUAACAUAUUAUUAAAAAUAUAAAAAACAUUUUAAUAAUAUUGUUAAUGAGUUUAUAUAUAUAUAUAUAUAUUGUAAAAUAAUUAAAUUUAAAAAUAUUUAAAUUUAGUUAUGGGCUGCCCAUUUCAAAAUAAUAAGAAUCUCGUAACCUAAUUUUUCCAAAUUCCAGGUAAAUAUGCUAAUCUAAAAAUAAAAAAUAAAAAUUAGGUUUUUAUGCUCUCCAAUCUACCACUUAAGCAUCCGACAUGGCUAAAAUAAAUUACAAAAAAAAAAAAAAAAAAAAAAGGAAAAAAAACAAAAGUGUGUGAUCCUCUUUCUCGAGUCUUCACAUUUUGAGACACUGAAACCAAAUCAAAAUUAAUCCUUCAAAUUAAUUUUCACCUCCAAACAUGGCUAUCCGAAAAACCCUAACGUCUGCCUCCUCUUCCUCUUAUCCCGGAAACCUAAAUUCCGUGACCCUAACCCCUUCUCUUUCCGAAAACCCUCCGGAAUCGGAAGAUUCAUAAUUCUUCAGAAUUAAUUUUCACCUCGAAGCCAAACCCUAACUGCCUCAUCUUCCUCUCAUUCAUAUCCCAAAAGUAGCUUCAACAGUCAGGCCUGUAGCCAUGAAAGCCGUAGUGAUCACUACUUCCGGUGAUCCCCAAGUUCUCCAAGUGCAAGAAGUCGAAAACCCUGAAAUUGGAGAUGAUGAAGUUCUAAGUAGAGUGGACGCCGCUGCCAUUAACCGAACAGAUACGCUCCAGAGGAAGGGCUUGCACCCUUCCUCAAAGGCGGCAGUCCCUACCCGGGUCUCGAAUGUUCUGGAAUCAUCGAAGCUGUUGGAAAAGCCGUCGUUCGAUGGAAGGUUGGCGAUCAGGUAUUUCAAUUGCCUAAUAUUUUGAUUUCGUUUCUGUUCCUCUGUUUUUCUCGGCUAUCAAACACUAGGAACGUGUAAAUAAGGAGGUUAGUUGAUUGCGAAAACGGGAAUUUUUUGUUCGUGUCUGUGUUAAGGAGUCUUUGUUGAGAAUUUUGGGGAAAUUUAUGAUAGGUUAAAUUAUUGAGCUUAUUGGUUUUCAAAUUUAUGGUUGUAAGAAAAUUGGUCAGUGUAAGGUUAUGGGUUCAUUACCAAUUUGCUUAGUGAAAAUUUUUCCACAUAUUGUGGACCGGUUUGGUAGCAGAAAUAAGAACUGUGUUUUGUUUUUCAAAACGGAAAUGGAUGCAGAAAACAUGUUUGGUAGCCUACUUUCAGAACUUGUUUCCGAAAAUAUUUCCUGAAAAUGAAUUAUUUCAGAACUUGUUUUUAAAAAAUUCAAACACUUUAUCAAUUUAAAAGGUUCUGAAAUGGACAUGUUCAUGGUCUUCAUUUUUUAAAAUUAAAGCUUUUAUGAAAAAACCAUUUUCCCUUCUACUAAACAAACAGGCUCUAUAUUGUAACAGAUCGAUUGGCCAUUUCCUUUGUCAUGUUUUGUGAAUCAUGGCAACACUGGAAUCCACUCCAUUACCAUCUGUUAGUGAUUAGAAGACAAAGCACCAAUUUUAAUGAUAUCCUUUAUGUGAUUUUGCUUCCUCCUGAGUACAAGUUCAUAAUAUACAUGGUACAUGGUGAAUCUGUAUGACAGUUCAUGGUAUACAGGUGUGUGCUCUUCUUUCUGGUGGAGGGCAUGCUGAAAAAGUGGCUGUUCCAGCUGGGCAAGUUCUCCCUGUCCUAUCUGGUGUUUCUCUGAAGGAUGCUGCUGAGGUUGCAUGUACUGUUUGGUCAACUGUUUUAAUGAUGAGCCGACUGUCUGCAGGAGAAACAUUCCUGGUGAAUUUUUUGUCUUUUUUAUUUUCUGAUGCCUGAUAUAUUUACCAGCACAAAUUUACCCUGUUGCUGUUUAAUGUGUGUGCAUCAAUAUUGGAUUAGGGAGGUAGAAGAGCCAUGGUUCUAAUUAAAUCAUUACAUCAUCAUAUUCUUAUUUAGAUACAUUGUAUCCCACAAUUUCAUUGCAUCCAAGGCUAUGUUGUUUUUUAUUGCACGGUUUGUCAUGGUAAUUUCUCAACCCUUCUCUGGAAAAUUAUGUUGGAUGGCUGCUAUUAAUUACCCCAAAAGAAGAAAUUUUAUGUUGAAGUAAGAUGAGUAGCACAAAGAGUUACUUGUGGUUGAUCCUAUCAUCAAAUGGGCGAUUGAUGCACAAUCCAAAUGGUAAAUUUUUUUCCCCCUUUAUCCAGAUGGAAUUUUUAUGCAUGGUUGAAUAGUGAAAUGAGAGGACUGAUAAUAUUUCAGGUUCAUGGGGGUUCAAUUGGAAUUGGUACCAUCUAUUCAAAUAGCGAAAUACCGAGGAGCAAGGGUAUUUGUUACAGCAGGUUUGCCAUCACUGUUCUACCUCAUCUCACAGAAUGCUUAUCUCAUGGCACCAAUUCCUUUUCUUCACAUGUUUUCAACCAUUUUUUCCACCCAGGAACGAGGAAAAAUUAGCUAUUUGUAAGGAUCAUUGAGCAGAUGUGUGCAUCAAUUACAAGACUGAAAACUUUGUUGCAUGGGUGAAGGAGGAAACAGGAGGGAAAGGUAUAUUCUAUUGUAUCUUAACGAUAAUUUCAAUUGAAGGUGGAAUUGCUUUUUAUUUUUUAGUGCACCAAAUCCACUAGUCUGGAAUGUUUGAAAAGAUAAAUAGUCAUCUUCCACUUGAUUCCGAUUGUGAAGAUCUAACCCCAAAAAUGUUGAAUGACAGGUGUUGAUGUUAUACUGGAUAAUAUUGGAGGGGCCUACUUUUGGGGAGACAUCAAUGGUUUAAAUGUUGAUGGAAGGCUUUUUAUUAUUGGUUUUCAGGGUGGAACAGUGGUACAAGUAAAUCUUUCAGGUUUACUUGCAAGGCGCCUUACAGUGCAAGGUACUGCUUUCUCUGUAGAAGAUUUUUCUGUAGUUUUGGAGUUGAAUCAAUUUGAUUAAUCUCAUCCAAGUUCAGAACUGAGGUGGAUUCUGGCAAGCCAAGGAAAAACCAAAUUACCAUAAAUUCUUUUUUUUUUUUCUGGAUCGUUUUACUUCUUGGAAAUCCUGUUUCUCGAUCUGUUAAUCACAUGGUUUGUUUUUCUUUAUUGUCCCUCUUUCUUUUCUUGUUGGUACCAAAUCCCUAAGAUGUGGAAGCCAAGUGAGCACUUUCUAUCUUUUCUUGUUUCAAUCUCUCAUCCUCUUGUGCACAUUGAGCAAUAAGCUCAUUCAAAGUCCAUUUUUCCUUUUGUGUGUUGUAACUGAUUUUGAAUGGACUGAAUUGUGUAGGCAGAGAGAUCAAGACCAAGUGCACGAGUAUGUCUUCCGAAAACUCUAACUUUAGUGCCUUUAGUCUAGUCACAAGAUUAGACAUUUCCAUAAUAUACUCCCUUAUAUUCUCUUUCCCUUUAUACCGCAUAGAGACAAGCUUACUAAGAAUAGUGUUUGUCUCAACCUUUUCAUUUGCAGCGAUCAAUUUGCUAUCUGGUCUAAGAAUGCCUUGGCUCGAGUUUUCUCAGGUAUUGCACCCCUUAUAACUUUUGGAAUUGAGUGCUUCGUUAUUAUUAGACUCAUGCGAUUGGAUCGCUCCCAUUUUUCCAUAGUAGACCUUUGCUCAGCAGUGCUGGCACUAGUAAGAUCUGGAGGGCGAUCCUCUCUUAAUGCAUAGUCUAAAUCCAUGCACCCGAGCACAAUUAUAGCGUGUUCCUUCCAUUUCUUGAAGUUUGUGCCAUUAAGGGCAGGAAUGUUAUUGACAUUUGCAGAUAUAGAAUAUGUUGAAUUCAUAAUAAUAAAGCUCACAAUCAGCCACAUAAACAUCAUACAUACAUGAAAAAUAACAUCAUACAAGAUACCUAGUACAAACAUUAAUAUUCUGUCUUUUGACAAUAAAUAUUAACUUGUAAUUGGUAUCCUUAUACAAAAUUAAUUCAUAAAUAUUGACAAUAAAACCAAAAACAAUGUGCCUCUCUUUGGACUAACAUAUUGAAUGCAAGAUAAACUUUAUAUGUCACAUAUUUAUGACUACUUUAUUUAUUAUUAUAUUAAAAUAAUCUUUCUUUGGGUCGCUUAUUUUAAAUAAUAAUAAUAACAUGUUUAGAUAUUAUAAAAUAAAUAAAUUAUAUAAUAUAAGUUACUUUGGCAACUAACAUACAUAAUUCAUUUAUUUUUUGUUGUUUCCUUCCUCUUGGAUCUUUUGUUUGUGUUUUAAAAAAAAAAAUGUUUCAGUGAAAAUGGGAAAUGCAACCAGGCUCUAAUACCAUUUUGUGGGACGUUCAUUCUCCAUUAUCAUCGAACACAUGCAGGAUAUAUUUAUAUAUAUCUAUCAAUUCAUUCAAAAUAUGCCGAUGGGAAGCCAGAGAGAACAAGUUCUAUUUUUAUUUUGAAAACAUUGUUAUCCUUAAAGAACAAACACUAUUAUUUGGAUUUAUACUCUCCUGCCUUAGGGACCAUACCCUUUGGCUAUUAGGCCUCACGAGUCUUAGGCCCAUCAUCUAAGGCUCGUGAUGGCACUGGGCUCUACAUAUAAGGUGGCCCAUACUCUGGAACGAAUAUAAAUCAUAUGUAUAUAUAUGGAUAGCUAAAUCCUGAAUAAUGGUUAAUAUGAUGUCGGUUCACAUUUAUUAUAUCAUAUAGACUUCCCAUCUGAAGAAAAUCGACAACAAGUAGCUUUGCCAUUCUUAGUUCGUAUACAACCAACCUUAGCAAGGGUUGAACCCUUUUAUGCUUAGUUGUGCCAUACAGAUCCUUACCACCGCCUACAACAUGUAAUUGAAAUGAUUCGAUAAUAUCAUCUAGUGAACCAAUACCUCCAAAUGAGAGACCAUUGCCUCAGUAACUAAGACUCACGACUGAGAAUUGCGUGAACCCCUUUGCUUGGGUUGGAGCUUGACUGAUGCACAAAAUAUUCAUAGGCCUCUUCCCAUAACAGGCACCUUGUGUUUGCAACAUAAUUGAACAUGUAUUGAAGUGAGUUUUUUUGCAUCUUUUUGUAAGAAAAUUCUAAACAACAAAGAUUGCUUAGUGUGCCUGACUCCUCAAGGAAUCAAGGUUCAUUCCUGUAGGGCCAGUUUUUUCACAGUCGAACUAGAUAACAUGGAGAGUAUGUUGCAAUGCUUCAACGGGGUAUUUCUUAGGAAAAUCCACCUGAAGCUGGUACAAUUCGUUGGCGUACUGAGUUCCUAAAGCUCUAUUGACUUCAAUCACCCAUCUCUGUAGAUUAUCGGUGACUUUAUGCUCGGAUCCUGUAGGAGGAUUGACUUGACAUUCCACUAGUUUUUUCUGGAAGGCGAUUUUGUUUAACACCUUGUGAGAAGAGGCAGGGGAACUGGUCAUUGUUUCUUCGAGAAGAUCAGUGGCCGAGGAUGGGUUUGGACCAGAAUUGCUAUAUGGGUUUUCUUUGGGUGAACCAAUUAGUGAAAUAGGUGGCUAUAUAGCAACUAAAGGGUGGUCAUACUAACGAGGAGCUAUUAUUUCAUGCAUGUGGAGAGGAAAUGACUAGCUUCUUCAAGGAUAUAUGAUUAUUCAUCUCUAGCUUACGUUGACUAUCUCCUAACAAAUUUCUGCUUUGAAGCUCCCUUAGUUUCACUACAGCUAAUUGGCCAACUUGGUUUCAUCAUGUUUCCUACAACCUCUAAGCAAAGCAUGCCAGAUCACCGAAUCAGGUUCUAUUCGCAUUUUGUCCAUAAACUCCUUUGCCUAUUGACAAUAGACUGCCCCUCAAAAUUUGAUGAGAUAACAUCAACGCUGACAUGUUGGCCAUCCCCAUAAGCAUCUUUAUAGAGAUUGAUUCUAUGUUUAGAUAUUUCUCUCUCCUCAAGUGAGUUCAACUUUUCUGUAGCAUCCUUCUCCUUCUCUACUAAUAGUCUUAGUUGAACAUCCAACCUAUGUUCCCAAAGUGCCAGCAUCUCAUAUCUGAUGACAAGCCAACAACCUUGCCCUUGCUGAGACCCAAAUAAGUAUCCAGAACCAUCAACAUCAACCCUUUCAUAGGCCUUUGUAUUUGAAGGUCGGAUUGGGAUUGCUUUGAAUGCACUGGCACUACAAUACACAAUUGUUUCUUCUCCGAUAAAAACACCACAAAGAGGUGAGGGGACUGGUAUUAGCAAAGAAGUGUUGUUAUCUAUAUUGUUCUAAGCCCGAUUACCCUCAACAAAAUCCUCAUCCUCAUCUGUACUCUUCCAUUACAUCCCUAGGCUUUUCAAUGUGAUCCACAUGGCUUACAGGAAUCCAGAAAUACUGAUCUGUAUAAAAGUUGCUCUUAUGGGGCUCUCCUAGAAAACAUCCCAAUCAAGAUGAUCAACCUAGCUUAGAUGCUCAGCACCCCAAACUUACCAGAAAUAGAGGAAUAAAAAGCAAGGAUAGGAGCCAAAGUAAAAACUAAGGGAAGAGCAAAUAGGAAAUCAAGCAAAACAUGAAUGUACAGAGCCUCAUUUCAGGUGACAUCUUUGGGCUAAUAAUAGGUGGAAUUAACAAAGUAGAUAAGCAUGAUUGUUAUAAAUAUCAAGUUCAAGGAUGAAGUCGUGCAUCAGCUACUUAUAGGGGGAGUCAAGGAAACCAAGAUAAGAUCAAAGAGAGCAUGUAUGCAAAUAAACAGAUACGACAAAAUAGACCAAACAACUCGUGAAUAUCCUCCUACAAAAAACUACUACACGUGGCAAAAAGUGAUGAAACAAAAAGAGUUGGGUCCGCAUAUACAUAUCCUAUUCUAUCCUAUUCCUUCAAAUCCAAAGCAACCUGUAUUUUCAAUGGGAUUUGUUGUGAUGAAUUUUACUGGAUUGUAACAUGUAAAUAUGUUAAAAGAGGCUUGGGACAUUCCUAUAUAGUAACGCAUAAAGGUACUUCCAUUGUGAAGUUGUCAAAAUUGCAAAUUUAAAUUACAAAAUUUGAAAACAUAGAGAUGAAAGAUGAUGAAACCUUCUUUGAAAUUUUAUAUUGAACUCAUUAAUAUUAUUAAUUUUCAUUUCAGUCUAGGGGAAAGAAUUCUUUACUCUAAAGUGGUCACAAAAAUAUUAAAAUUCCUUGUCGAGAGAUUUAGACCUAAAGUGAUCAAUAUAGAAGAAAGUAAAAAUAUUCUAAGUGUAGGUAAACUUGUAGACUCAAAUGACUCUACCUUCUCAUAAAAAAUCCUCAAUUUUAUAAAUUAUAUUGAUUUCUUCAUUUGAUACAAAAUUUGAAUAAAGAUUUUUCAAAUGACAACACAAGGAAAGGGAAAAAAAAAUUCUCUCCAAAUCAUAUUAUUUAAUCACUUAAAUUAUUUAAAAAUAAAAAUGUUUACUGCUAACAUUAUUUAGGUUCAUCUUUCUUUUGAUGGAGGUUAAAAUUCAUAAUUUUGAGGAAAAAGAUGAGGAUUCUCAUUUUUUUUCCAUAUAUGAAUGGGAUUCUCAUUGUGUAUAUGUGGGUUACUAAAUGGCAAAUUUGGGGGCCACCAGAGUCUGCAAUAUGAGGGAAAAAUGAAGUUGAGUUUGUCACCAAGAAUAGACAUGGUUCCUACAAAGGUGGCAUCUUUAAUUUCAUGUUUGGAUUGGACUUGUCAUGUAACAACUUAACAAGUGAAAUCCCUCAUGAACUUGGAAUGUUAAGUUUGAUUCAUGCAUUGAACUUGUCUCGUAAUCAACUAAAAGGCUCCAUUUCAAAGAGUUUUUGCAAUCUUUCUCAAAUAGAGAGCUUAGACCUUUUUAAUAAUAAACUAAGUGGAGAAAUUCCUCCAAAAUUGGUUAGACUAAACUUUUUAGCAGUGUUCAAUGUGACUCACAAUAGCAUCUUCGGAAGAGUUUUAGAUAUGAAUACAUAAUUUGCAAAAUUUGAUGAAAGUAACUAUGAAGCUAAUCCUUUCCUUUGUGGACCACCAUUAAAGAGAAAAUGUAGCAUAAAUGUUGUUGAACCACCUUACCAACCAUUAGAGUCUUCGGAAGAAAGUGAUGCAAAAUGGUAUAAUAUCAAUCUUGUUAUUUUCUUUGCAAAUUUUACUACAUCAUAUAUCAUGAUAUUAUUAGGAAUUUCAACCAUUCUUUACAUUAACCCUUAUUGGUGUCAAAGAUGGUUCAAUUUUAUCGAGAAAUAUAUAUACUUUUGCUAUUAUUUUGUUUCCUAUACUCUUUCCAAGUUAUUAACAUAUUUUGAAUAAUUAGAGAUUUUUGUUUUCAAUAAUAUUUACAUAAUUAACUACUAUUGGCUUCCAUGACAUGGAAAGAAAUGCGAUGAAGGCAACAACCACUUUUUUUUCUCCUCUACUAGUGCAUGAUUGAUAUGAGUUAAAACUUGCACCCUUAUCUUUGCUUAAAUUUUCUCAGCUUUUGUUUCAAUUCUUAAUUAUCAUUUCUUUUAUGUAUUGUUUAAUACAAUAUCCUAAACACAUUGCUUUGAAGGUUACUUAUUUAUUAAGCAUGAUAUUGAUUUUCAUAAAAACAAAUUCAAGUUUUUUAGGAAUUUUUAGAAUUAUUAUAAUUUGGAGUUCACAUUAGAGGAAAAAAGGAAAGAAAAGAAUAGAUGAUUAAAAAAACAAUUUUAGUAAGUAUAAUUUGUCAUCUUCGGUAUAACAAAUGGGAAUUCCAAAAUAAUAUUUCAAUUUGUUAGUCUAUUCCUUAUAGUAUUAAUUGAUAUAUCAAAUAGGAAGUCACGUUUUGAUUUUUUAUUAGCUUGAAUUGCAUGUCACAUAUAUUUUAAAAUCAAGCAUACAUCAGCCGGGAAGUUCUUGUAACAUGCAUGAACAUGAUAUGAUGAAUUGAAUAAUUUUCUUAAUAUAUGUGUAUAUACUACACAUUAUUAAAUCAUAUAUGUAUAUUUAUAGUCGUAUAAUAUAUUUAUAUAAGUAACAAUAAAUUAUAUUGUAUAAGGUAUCGGUAGGAGUUUUCAAUUCCCUCAUACAAUAAUAUCUAUCAAUAAUUGGAUUGGACACCUUGCUGGCCAUGAGAAUGGACUUGACAUUAACACAUAGCCUUGAGUGGUGUUGAUAUUAUUACUUUGAACCAGAACUGCAGUCAUCUCAAAAACUAUAUUAUAUAGAAAAGCAAAAUAAAAACAUUAGUUAAAACAAAUGUCAAGAUCCUUGAAAUCACGUUUCAAUAUGUUAAAUUACCAUUUUUUUAAAUAAAUAUUUUAUAGGUUGUGUGAAUAAAUAUAAUUGCUAUGAAGGUUUCAAUUUAAUUUUACUAGCAAAUCCAUAAUAGGUGAAAAGACAAAACUACCAUUUUUGUUUUUUUUUCUUUAUUUACCUUUUUUCUCUCGUAACCUUACUCCUUUCACCUUUUUGUUUUUUCCUUUUUCUCAACUAACUAUUUUUUUCUUGUAAUUGUUAUUAUCAUUUUUUAUUAUAAAUAUUAUAACCUUAUAUUAUAAAUUUUUAAUUAUAUUUAAACUAACUAAUGUUGUGGUUUUAAUUGACAUGGAAAAGAAUGUGGUUAUACAUGUGAUUGUCGCCUUUUUUUUUUUCCAAUUAGUUAACUAUUGAUACAAGUUAAAAGUAAAAAUUGCAAUAUUAUCUUUAUGUCAAUUUCACCGAUCUUUUGUUUUUAUUUUCAUGUAUCAUUCCUUUUUUGGUUAUUUAAUUAAAAGGAUUAAAAAAAAAAAAUCACAUAUUCACAAGAAUAACCUUCAUAUUUUAAAAACAUAAAUUUUUAUAAAAAUACCCUCCAACUAUAAUUUUUAUAUGUCCCUAUUUCAAAUUCAAACACUUCUUUUAAUAAUAAUAAUAAUAAAAAAGGGCAAAAAUGUCAAACUGGGAUUAUAUUUAUAAUUUUCAAUAAUUAGAGGUUGUUUUUCCAAAGUAAAAAUUAUUUUGUUCCUUUGGCACAAAUAUUUCUUUCUUUUUUGUAUUUUUUUAUUCAAAAUAUUAAACACAUUACCCUCAAGGUUACUAUUUAUUAUGAAUGGUGUUUACUUUACAUUACGACAAAUUCAAAUUUUUUAGAAUUUUUUAAUGUUAAAAUAAUUUGGAGCUUAAUAGGGAAAAAAAGAAUAAAUAAUUAGAAAAGCAAUUCAAAAAAAUAAAAUUUAUCCUCUUAAAUUGGUUUUGUGUAAUACUAUAGAAGCCAUUUCUUGAGUUUGAUAUGGUAGAAUUUGGAUUCAUAUUUAUUUUAAAAUCAAGAAAUUCAAGUGUUGGUAGCAUCAAUAGAAUCUUAAAAAAUUUGCAAAAAAAUAUUUAGGUAGAUCACAUUUAAAUAUAACUAAUAGAAUAAAAAAUUAGUAUUAUUAGGAAGACAUGAUCAAUUAAAUCUUUUUUCUUAUCUAUGACACCGACUUUAUUUUUUUACAUAGUCAAUAUAAUUUAUUACAACUUAUAUGUCAUUAAAUUAUACAUGUUUAUAUUAAAUAUAAUAUAAGAUCAUUAAUGGAAUAAUUAUGCAAGUAAUAUAAAUUGUAUAUAAUAUAAAAAAUUUAAAGUCCAUCAAACUAAUGGAAUCUAUUAUAAUAAGUAGACUAGACACCAUGUUGGCCCGAGUUGGAGGCCUAGGCCAGAUUUUAAAGGCUGGGCUUUGAGUUGCCCGUGGGCCUGAGCCAAGGCCUUCUCUUGGUAUCAUCAUUUUGAAGAAAUAAAUUGCUGAUACAGAGAAAAAAACUAUACUAAAUAGAAAAAUAAAUAAAAGCAUUGACUAAAAUGAAGGCCAAGGUCCUUGAAAAAUAAUCUUAAAAUUGUUGCAUAUAUAAUUUCAAUAAUGCAUAAAUAAUUGCAAUAUAUAUGAUGUGAUAAAGAAUUUGGAAUUAAAAGAAGAUUGAUCUAUUUUAAAUGUGGUUGGAAUAUUUCUAAAUUUGUGAUGGGAAGUUAGACAGCCAAUUAGGGAUCCAUAUUAUUUAUUUUCAAUGAUAUGAAUUUAUUUACUUUUAUUAAUAUUCUUAAUGCAACAAUAUAAAAUAUGUCAAUUUUCUAAAAUUAAAAAAGUAAUUGUAAAAGAAAAUUUUUAAUUAUUUUUAUGAAAUUGAGUUUAUUAUAGCAUUUUUCUUUACAUAAAUUUCUUUUUUAUUUUUAUUUUUUUAAAAAUGAGAUAUGAAAAAAAAAGAUCAAUAUUAGUAAAAGUAAAACCCAAUAUAUAAAAAAUAUGAAUAAAUGUUUAUGAAAUAAGAUUUAAAAGUGAGAAGGUAAUAAUUUUUUUCUCUUUUAAUUCCUAUUCAAUUCAUUACAAAAAAUAUUUUUGGUUUUUAUGCUAAAAUUUAUUGUUUAUUAAAAAAUUCUAGUAUAUCUAGCUAUCAUAGAAGAGCUCCAAAAUUUUAUUGUUUAAGAGAAUAUGUGUUGCCACUUUAAAAGAUUUAUAUGCAAAAGGGAUUGAUAUUUUUUUCCUUUGGAUAUGUUUAGUUCCCGGAAAAUUUGAGGGAAAAUGUGAGGGAAGAAAAAUAGAGAAGAAAAGUAUAACGAAAUAAAAAGUGAAGGAAAAUGAAAAAUAGAUUUAAAGUUAACAAAUUAUUUUCAUUGGUUUUUUCAAACUUAUUUUACUUAUUUUAUUCUAUUAAAUAAAGAUUAACUAAUUUUAAUUAUAUUUGGUUUGAUUUUUAUUAUUUUUCAAAGCAAAACCAAAUAUGAAAAAAAAAACAUUUUUUUUUUUUGUUAUUUUUUUCUUUCCUUAUUACUUUUUAGGACUCAAACAUAGCUUUUAGAUUUGGAGCAUGGAAAGAUAAGAGUAUUGAAUAAUGGUUCUAUAUAUGCCCAUGCCCAUGCCCAUGAUACCAUUGAAAAAAAUGGAGAGAGGGUGAAACCUUUACUAGAUGAUAAAUUAUUCUCUUCAAUGGAAAUCAAAUAUAAUUAUUUUUAUCUUGUAUUAAUUGAAUGUUAUACUCCAUAAACUCAAAAUUAAAAUAAAUAAAAAAUUUAAAAACUAGGACAAUCCCAUUUUUUUUCAAUUUCUUAAAAAGAAAUUAAAUUAUAUUUAUUUAUAUCUAUUUUCAUCCCUACCCAACAAAAUAAAAAAAAAUUAACAAGGUGGGACAUGUAUGAGAAAUUCUCACACUAACUCUCACUAGUUUAUUUUUUUUUAAAAAAAAAAAUAAAAUCAAUUUCUUUUAAAAAAAUUAAACUACAUAAAAAAUAAACAAAUUUUACAAUUUUUUUUAAGAAAAGUAAAUUUCUUAUUUUAUAUAUGUUAAAAAUAAAUAUAAUCUUUUAUUUUUUAUAUAUAUAAUCGGGUAAGGUAGAGUGGGACAAAGAAAUAAUCCCCUUCGAUUCCAAUCCGAAUUUUUAAAAUAUAAAAUAAAAAUCUUAAACUCAUCCCUAAUCCAUUUAUUUUUAAUCCUAAACUUGUCUUAUUAAGAAUAAGGCAAAGUGAGUACAUGAAAACACUUCUUUUAUCAUCAUCUCUACAAGUUCUAAUGUUUAGAUUGCAAUCCAUAUCAAAGAUUUAUAAAGAAAGAACAACAAUGAAUUUCAUAAACAUUUGAAAGCAUAAACAAAGUUUUAAAUAAUAUUGCUUGAGGUGCAAAUAUUAUUUGGCGCACAUGUUGAGGGACUUCAACUGGUGUAGUCUAGGUUUUUUACACUAGUAAGUAAUCUUGAAUAUCUAGAGUAACUUGAUCAAAAUCUCUUUAAUUUUAUUUUCUUUGAUGGUUGUAUGAUGAAUUAGAAUGCUUAUAUAACAUGAUUAAAAAUUUUAAGAAAAAAAAACUAAGAAGAAAGAAAGAAGCAUCGAUCUUCCAAAUAUUGCUUCCACUUUAAUAUCUAGUAGGCUCUAAGAAAAGAACUUUAUUCAUGAAUCAUAACCCAAGUCGAAAAUAAAUUGAACCCAUUUUCUAAGUUAAAUUUUGAAUUUUUUACUAGUGAAUGCAAAUUGGGAAAAUGUAUAUAAAUAUAAUCAAACUAGAAUAGUAGAUUAGGUUUGUAGGUGGAGUUUGUUUGAAUUGUUGGAACUUCCAAGUCGUUGUGGGUCUAGUGGUCCCAUAGCUCUCUAUUAAUUUCCACCAUCAAUUUUUUGCAAUAAAGUCAAGUCAUUCCUAACCCUUAUAUUAAGUUGGCCUUAAAAGUCAAGUCAUUGAUCAUAGUUACAUUCAUGAAUCACAACCCAAGUCGAAAAUAAAUUAAACCCAUUUUUCAAGUUCAACUUUGAAUUUUUUAGUAGUAAAUGCAAAUUGGGAAAACAUAUAUAAAUAUAAUUAAACUAAAAUAGUAGAUUAGGUUUGUAGGUGGAGUCUGCUUGAAUUAUUGAAACUUCCAAGUCAUCGUGGGCCCAAUGGUCCCAUAGCUCUCUAUUAAUUUCCACCAUCAAUUUUUUGCAAUAAAGUCAAGUCAUUCUAACCCCUAUAUUAACUUGGCCUUAAAAGUCCAAUCAUUGAUAGCUAAAUCCCAACCCAAGUCAAAAAUAAAUUGAACCCAUUUUCUAAGUUCAACUUUGAAUUUUUUUUAAUUGGAAAAAUGUAUAUAAAUAGAAUUAAACUAGAAUAGUAGAUUAGGUUUGUAGGUGGAGUUUGCUUGAAUUUGUGAAACUUCCAAGUCGUCGUGGGUCUAGUGGUCCCAUAGCUCUCUAUUAAUUUCCACCAUCAAUUUUCUGCAAUAAAGUCAAGUCAUUCCUAACCCCUAUAUUAAGUUGGCCUUAAAAGUCAAGUCAUUGAUCAUAGUUACAUUCAUGAAUCACAACCCAAGUCGAAAAUAAAUUAAACCCAUUUUUCAAGUUCAACUUUGAAUUUUUUACUAGUGAAUGCAAAUUGGGAAAACAUAUAUAAAUAUAAUUAAACUAAAAUAUUAGAUUAGGUUUGUAGGUGGAGUCUACUUGAAUUAUUGAAACUUCCAAGUCAUCGUGGGCCCGGUGGUCCCAUAGCUCUUUAUUAAUUUCCACCAUCAAUUUUUUUGCAAUAAAGUCAAGUCAUUCUAACCCUUAUAUUAAUUUGGCCUUAAAAGUCCAAUCAUUGAUAGCUAAAUCCCAACCCAAGUCAAAAAUAAAUUGAACCCAUUUUCUAAGUUCGACUUUGAAUUUUUUUUAAUUGGAAAAAUGUAUAUAAAUAGAAUUAAACUAGAAUAUUAGAUUAGGUUUGUAGGUGGAGUCUACUUGAAUUUGUGAAACUUCCAAGUCGUUGUGGGUCUAGUGGUCCCAUAGUUCUCUAUUAAUUUCCACCAUCAAUUUUCUGCAAUAAAGUCAAGUCAUUCCUAACCCAUAUAUUAAUUUGGCCUUAAAAGUCCAGUCAUUGAUAGCUACGUUCAUGAAUCCCAACUCAAGUCAAAAAUAAAUUGAACCCAUUUUCUAAGUUCAACUUUGAAUUCUUUUAAUUGGGAAAAUGUAUAUAAAUACAAUUAAACUAGAAUAGUAGAUUAGGUUUGUAGGUGGAGUCUGCUUGAAUUUGUGAAACUUCCAAGUCGUCAUGGGUCUAGUGGUCCCAUAGCUCUUUAUUAAUUUUCACCAUCAAUUUUCUGCAAUAAAGUCAAGUCAUUCCUAAACCAUAUAUUAAUUUGGCCUUAAAAGUCAAGUCAUUGAUAGUUACGUUCAUGAAUCACAACCCAAGUCUAAAAUAAAUUGAACCCAUUUUCCAAGUUCAACUUUGAUUUUUUUACUAGUGAAUGCAAAUUGGGAAAACAUAUAUAAAUAUAAUUAAACUAGUAUAGUAUAUUAGGUUUGUAGGUGGAGUAAGCUUGAAUUGUUGAAACUUUCAAGUCGUCGUGGGUCUAAGGGUCUUAUAGCUCUCUAUUAAUUUCCAUCGUCAAUUUUUAUGAAUUAAGAUUUAAAAGUGAGAAGGGAAUAAAUUUUUUCUUUUUCAAUUCAUUACAAAAAAUAUUUUUGGUUUUUAUGCUAAAAUUUAUUGUUUAUUCAAAAAAUUAAAGUAUAAAAAUAUAAAAAAAAAUAUAUAUCUUGAUAUUAUAGAAGAGCUCCAAAAUUUUUGUGUUUAAGAGAAUAUGUGUUGCCACUUUAGAAGAUUUAUAUACAAAAAGGAUUGAUGUUUCUCCUUUGACUAUGUUUGGUUGCCAAAAAUUUGAGGGAAAGAAAAUAAAAAAAAAUAGUAAAAAAGAAAAAAUGAAGGAAAAUAAAAAAUAGUUUUCAAGUUAAUAAAUUAUUUUUAUAUGUUUUUUCAAACUUAUUUUACUUAUUUUCUUUCAUUAUAUAAAGAUUAAAUAAUUUUAAAAUGCAUAAUUUCUAACUAAUUUUAAUUAUAUUUAAUUUUUCUUUUAUAUUUUUUAGACGGGAUCCGACACAUGAAAAAAUCCUUUUUUUUAGCAUCUUUUUUUCUUUUCUUAUUACUUUCCAAUAACCAAAUAUAACCUUUAGAUUUAGCCUUUAGACUUGGAGUAUGGAAGGAUACUGAGUAUUGAAAGAAGGUUUUGUAUAUGGCCAUGAUACCAUAGAAAAAAUGGGCGAGAGAGAAAAAACCUUUAUUAAAUGAUAAAUUAUUUUACUACUUACUACAUAAAUAGAUAUUCAUGGAGUGCAUUCUCUAAAAAGCUCCAGUCUCAUGAAAAUGGAAAGAUGGACCGGCCAGUGGACCGGUUCGAGUUUGGAUUUAUGGGCUGCCUCAGCCUAACACGCAUGAUAGGCUGUUGCAGGUGAAGAACUAAUUAAUUUAAAGCCUUCUUCUAUCCUCUCCUAUUCCUCUUUCACUCCAAAUUUUCCACAUGAUAAUGACAAUUCUUUUGUUAAAUGGUAAAAAAAAAAAUUUAACAAUUAAUUUAAAAUCAUUUAUAAAAUCAUGAACUUUGGCAUCCUAAUUAAUGCAAUUUAAACUUUUUUUGUUUACAAAUGAAAUAAGAGGCAACAUAUAAACCCAAAAGUUAAUUUUCCUACCAUCUCUAUGCACCAUUUUAGCUUUACUCCAAUAUAUUUUCUAUGAUUAAUUAUUUUCAUUCAAACAAUAAUAUCAAAAUAUUUUAAAAUUAGACAUAUCAUAAUCAAAUAUCAUUAUAUUAUUAUUGAAUAAUAUUUAAUGUAAUUUAAUAAUCAACGUAUACUUAUAGAAUUUAUAUUUUUUAUUAAUGCAUAUAAUAUUAUUAUCAAAUAUGAUAAAUUAUAUAUAUAUAUUUCUUUAACAAAACAACUUUAAAAUAUCUAUUAUACUUUUAAUUUCAUCUCUAAGAGGUUUUUUUUUUUUUCUUUUUUUUUUUUACAUUUUUAUAAGUUUUGAUCAAUUGUAGGCUAACCAAUAUUUUUUUAUCAAAAUAUCCACCAAUAUAUCUCCGAUAUAUUAGAUAUAUCCGUAACAUCGAAAUACCAAUAUAUCCGCGAUUAUCGAUAUUUUUAUCCUUGAGGGAUAACAACUAAUAUAGUUUUUGCACUUAAUGAUAUUCCUCAACAUUUAGAUUGAUUUGACCAAAAUCUUUUUAAUUUUAUUUUCUUUGAUGGUUAUAUGAUGAAUUAGAAUAGUCAUAUAACAUUAACAGAUUUAAGAAAAAAAGGAUAAAAAAGCUCGUAUUUUUCAAAUAUUGGUUUCAACUUUGAAUAUUUUUAUUGGUAAAUGAAAAUUGUGAAAAACCUACUAAUGCUAAUACUUUUCACCACAUAAUUAAAUAUAAUAAACUAGAAUAGUGAUUCAUUGAUGUCUUAUAAAGACACAUGCCUUCUUUGACUUGUUAGUUGAUUUUUGUAGGUGGAGUCCAUUUCCAUUUGAAUUGUUGAAACUUCCAAGUCCUUGUGGGUCUAGUGGUCUCUCUAAUAAUUCCCACCAUUAAUUUUUUGUGAUGAAGUGCAGUCAUUGAUAGCUACUAUAUCAAUUUGCUAUUAAAAGUCAAGUCAUUGAUAACUAAUAUUCAAUCUUUUUCAAUAUGGAAAUUGGAAUCUCUAGCACUACUCUUCUCAUUGUUCAUUUUUAGGUAAUGUGAGAAUGUGUGAACAUAAAUGUCUUCUAAUCAACCAAUUUUUUUGAAAAAAACAUGUACAAAAUUGCAAAACUUGCAAAAUCAAACUUUCUUGUUGAAUAACCAUAGCUUGAUGGUUUUGAAGAAUCAAAGGAUGAAUCAUAAAAGGGUAUUUGAUAAAAAAUAAAAAUUUAAAAAGUUAAAAGACAACUACUCCCUUAAGUGUAAUAAGUGUAUUUGGUAGCACAAAUUUCCUACCACUUAUUAUUUUUUCCUUUCUUAAAAAAUUAUUUACUCUAUUAAAUAAACUAACCUUGGCUUAGCACUUAUAGCAAAAUAGGUUAAGUAGUUUUUAAAAUUUUAUAAUAUUAGAUUUACAUUUUUAUCCUUCAAAAUUUCAUUAAUGCUAGAUUCUUCUAUAUGCUUAACUAAUAAAUAAUUUUUAGCAUUUUUCUUUUCUUAUAAACAUAAAAAAAUAAAAAUAUUAUUAACUUAUUGGUAUAUUUUAAAAUUUUAAUUAGAUUUAAGCUUUUAUUUGUUUGGAUUACCAAUUAUACAUAUAAAUCCUUUGUUAUUAUUGUUAUUAUUGAAAGAAAGGGGUUGAAUAGGUAGUCCCUCAAUCCCCAAAUUAAAUUCUUUAUUGCCUACUUUUGGUUUAUUCCUUUACAUGAAUUCCUUGGUGAGAGUAAACAUUUCAUUAAUAGAUAAAUAAAAUUGAUUCCAUAUCAUAGGGUAUAAUGUGGAAAAAUCACCAGUCUCAUGUGUUCCUUAGUGGAUCCUUUGGAGCCCUAUCAAAGUUUCAUGAUGAAACCAUUGACUUUUGUUUAACCCAAAUGUGCUUUCAAGACAAAUCUUGAAAGAUUUGAGAGAUGGAGGUUCAAGUCUUUUAUGAACGACCAUGUUCUCUUAGGGUUCAUGAAAUUCACACCUUUUGAUAAAUAAAACUUAUCUAUUUAUACGUCUAAAACCCAGUAUUUAUUUAUUUAAUUAUAGAAAGUUUCUUAGUUUUAAAAACAUUUCAAAAAUCAUUUUUAGAAUCAAAUAAGAAUUUUAGAGAUAAACACAAUAUUAAAAUUUAACAAAAACAAAUUUUCGAAUUAAAAACACAAUAUAAACUAAAUUACAAAAUAUAAAGUAAUUUUUACCCUAAUUUCUUGUUGCAAAACCAAAUGGAACACCUAGAAGGGGAGUGAAUGGGUGAUUUUAAAUUUUUUCAAUAAUUAUUUAUAAGUUAUACCCAAUUCUUUUACCCUGCAAGUUGUUAGGGACUAUCAAUUCUUUCAUUUUGGCAAUUCAAACAAUAUAUCAAAUAAUAAAAAGAUAUAAAUAAUGAGACAUAAAUAUUUUUACGUGGAAAACCCCCCACACUAACCAUGGAGAUAAAAAGCCAUGGAGUCUAAGACCUAUUAAUCUAAAUUCACGGUACGAAAUCAAGUUACACAAAUUUAUUUGACAACUUUACCUUAAAGACUUACUCUACAGUACUGACAACUUGAUUCACAUCCACGACGUAGCAACCCUCGAUUACUCCAAUGGAUCACUUCAAGCUUACUAAAAGGAUGAAGGCCUUCAAACCAAGAUUCAAAAAUCAAUUCCUUGAAUGAGAGAUCAGGAAUGGUGUGCCACUUUAGGCUUUCUCUCUAAGAACUCUAAAAUGAUCUCCUCAAUGAAAACCUUUUAAACAAAAUGAGAUAUUUCUCCACAAUCUCUAACCCUCAAGGGGUUAUAAUGAGAUAUUUAUAAGCAACUAAGUUGAAGAGUUUCGGUUUUGGAAGGUUUCUCAAUUGAAUUUGUGUGAAAAACUCGACAGAAUCAACAUGACCGCUCGAGGCAGCACACUUCCCACUUGAGCGUUUCGGGCACUUGAGCGGUAAGGCUUGCUUGAGUUGUCCUAAGCGCUUGAGCAUUCCAGGCUACUUGAGCAAUCUUGCUCUAUUUCAAAAGUUAAUUUUAAACCAUUUUAAGUUCAAAACAAAAUUGAUUCCCUUUAUACCUCAAAGGAGCCUAACUUGCCACAAACCAAACUUUUUUAGAUAUACUUGUGACUUCCUGGUUGGACGAACAACAACUCUUAAUCUUCAAUGGAGAGCAAGUCACUAUCUAAAAAGAUUUAUAUGGUCAAACAUAAAAAAACAAAAAAAUUGCCAACAUAACAACAAGACUCAAUGUCCAUGCAUGGUCACCUGAAAGGUGACUCCGACCACAAUAUAAUGCAUGUUCUCAUAGAACAUGUGAACAAGAUGGGGAUAGGAAGUCCCCUAGAGAGAAAACAGAGUCUCCUAACCCUACUCUUGAAUGAUGAUAGGGAAGACAGUGUCCUGAAAAGCUUAAAGGUUAAUGGCAUGCUCAGGCUCGACACACCGAUAUGUGAAAGAAGCGUAAUAAUGGUCCCGUGCCACCUGGUAGUGAAAGCGCUCAACCGGAAGUGCAUCUAGGUUAAAAAGACCCUAGAGUGGGAUGCCCUAGACGGUUUCAGUGACCUAGGAAAGGUCACCUCCCUUUGACAUCUAUGACUAGCCAUAUCUAAGGUAUAUAAUAUGAAAAAACAAAAGCUAAAGAAAAUCCAGAGAAAAGCUAAACCACUAAAAAUGUUAAACUCAAUGCGUCGAACAAUACUAUACAAAUGGAAAUGAAAAAUAUGAAGCGAACUGACCUCAGAAGACAAAAGGACAGUAACCCAGAGGGCUCGAAGAGGAAUAGGAAAGAUUGAAAUGAAUAUGGCGUGAUGGAUGACCUUUAUAUAGCUUAUAAGAGUGCUUGAUGCAGAUUAGCACUUGAGCGUCAUGACUAACUUAAAUCAAAUUAUUUAUUAAUAUGGAAAUAUUUUAAAAGUUUCAAAGGAAGUAUUCAAUUUAGAACCUUUUUAGAAUUUUUUUGAAAGAAACAAAAAUAAAGCGUGAAAUAUUAUGUGUUAAAGGUGUUAGAAGACAAUAUUGUCUAAUCCAAAGCCUUACACAUUCCUAAAAAAAAAAAAAAAAAAAAAGGAAAAAGAGAGAUAUUAUAUAAGAUUUUGAUCACAUCUAAUAGAAACUAAUAUUUAGCAACAUAUCACCAAGCACUAUCUUAUCAGAAAGCUCUAACAUGUUGGAAAUUUAUGUAAGGUUCCAUAACAGCUAAAAACUUUUUCUGACGACUCGGUAAUGGACCAUUUGCACUUUAACUACAUUAUUGAAUUUAAAUCAUAUUAGAAUUGUAAUUGACUUCUCUUUUGUGAGACUACAUAUCUUGUAGGAUGGGAUAGGUGAUUCAUUUCAUAUAUGAAAUUUACUUAAUUUAGUAAUGCUUCCAAGUUCAUUAUGAAUCUAAUGGUAUCACAACUCCUUUAAUAUUUGUAAUUUUGUAAUCUUUGUUUCAACUUCUCAAGUCUAGUCAUUUUAUUGGCAUAACUAGUUUGCUUCAAUUAUCUCUCAACUUUAUUAUAAAACUAAGGGAAAGGAUUAUCACGCAUUUUAUAUUAACUUAACCAAACAUCUUUAUAUAUCUUACAUAUAUAUAUUUUUUGUAAAUUUAGGAAAAUUUCAUCCAUUAGCCAUAGUAAGUAAGAAUCAAAUAAGGGAUAUGUAAGCCAAUGGUGAUAUUGAUGGCGUCAAAUCAAUGACAUAGUAGAAAAGUGGAUUGUCUAUUUUCAAACCUUUAUAUUUUCAUCCAAUAGUAAAAAGGUUUAGGCAUCACUUGAAAAGUAGUUCGUUUUUUACCUUGGACUAUGAUUUAUGAAUAAAGUUCUUCUGUUGUAUACCUUUUGUGAUGCCCCAAACCUAAUUUAGGGGUAAAAAAAUAAUUUAGAAAAAAAUAAAUAAAAAGUUAAAUAAAUUUAAUUAAGGUAAAAAUGUAUUUUUGUAUUUAAAAUUCCUAGGUAUCAAUUAUAUAUUUCUUGUCUUCUCUAUUCAAAAAACCCUAUUACACAAAAAUCAAAUAUCAGAGAACAUAGGACAACGCAGGGUUGAAGAUUUGGAGGUUUAGGGUUGAAGAUUAGUUUUCCAGGUAAGAUUCUAACCCUUAAAUUAGUAUUUUAGAUUCGUUAAUUAGUUUGAACACUUUAGAUAUUCUUUGAAAAAUCUGAAUCUACGUUAGGGUUUGUUAAUUUAAUUUUUAAAUAAAAAAGAUUCAAAAUUUAUGAACAUAAGUAGAGUUAUUAUUAAAGAUUGAAAUUUUUUGAAUAUUUGAAUUAAAAAUCUAGAAAAAAAAAGAAGAAAAUAAAUUAUAGCUUUGGAUGUGGAAAAAAGUUAAUAUUAAUAAAUAAAUAAAACUUAUGAGUACGGAGGUAGAAAAAUAUGAGAGUUGAAAGCAAAGAAAAAAAAAAGAGAAUAAGGUUUUGUGGUUGUACGUGUCUCCUUAGUGGAAAAAAGAAAUACAAGGUUGUUUGCAAUAGGAUAUGACAAAGAGAGAGAGAUAAAUGCUUAGAUGUUGAUUUUUGUGGGGAAAAAAAGAUUGGGUAAUGUAGGAGAGAAAUAGGUAGCACUUGUAGAGUUGGUGGGGUUGUUGUAAAAGCUCGUAGGGUAAUUGUUAGGUAGUAGUAGGGUAUGAGAUUAAUUGUUAGGAAACAUUAGGACUUGAAAUAAUAAUAAUUGCUUCUAGUAAAAGUUUUAACUUAGUUUAAGUAUAUAAAAGAAAUAGAUGAUUAGAAUAAGAUUUGGAAGGAAUAUGAAUUCAUAAAAAUUUCGAAAUUUACUAAUUUAGAUUAUUAUUUUUUUGGAAGUUGAAUAUAAUAUAGGUGGUAAUAUUAUUAAUAUAGGAAAUGAUUAAGAUUCUCAAACCUACAAUUUUAGAUAAAUAGUUAAUAGUAAUAGUUGAUUUUUUAUUUUUUUUAUUUUUUAUUUUUUAUGUUAUGUUAAGUGAAUAAUGGAUUCUUUGAUUAAUUCUCUAAGGUUUCUAAGUGCUUCUUUAAGAUAAGGGAUAUUAAUACUGAUUUUGUAAAUGAAAAUAUUUCUUUUUAUAAGUUAUUUUAAAUUAUGAAAAAUUUUAUUUUUAUUUAUGCAUGGAUCAAAUAUAUAUUUUUUCAUGAGAAACAUGUUUGGGCAAUUUCUUUGUUUAUAAAUAAAUAAAUAAAAAAUGAGAACUUUGGAAAUAUAAUGUUUUGUUUUGCAAGUUUAAAAUAAUGAAAUAAAGUUUUUGACUCUGGUUUAUAUGACCUUAGUUAAUGGGUUAUAAUUGUUGACAUUUUCAGCUCUCCAAUCAAUGAUUAUAAUUGUUGAGAUUUUCAACCCUAGCCAACGGGUUAUAAUAGUUGACCUUAUAGCCCUAGUCAACAGAUAUAAUUGUUAACCUUUCGUUUUUCCCAUCUUAAAAAGAACAAAUUUAAGGCUAACCAUUUAUUUGUAAAGUCCCACCUAACUAAGUACCAUUUGUUAUUUAAUAACCAGAGUAAAGAUAUUUUGAAUGUAUUUGAUAUGAAAUUAUUUUGAUAUAAAUAUGAAAAUGUUUGGUUGAAAAGUUCAAAUGUUUAAUGCAUGUUGAAUUCAAAAGUUUUUAUGAAAAUGAUUAUAUGUUAUAUCUCCUAUUUGUAAGUUUGAUCCAUAAAACUGUAUUAAUAUUCCUUAUUGGACUUUGAGCUCAUUCCCCUUUGUUGAGAAUUUUUUUUGGUAUUCUCAGUUUGGGCAAGGAGUGAUGACUGGGUUGGGGAAUUUUCUUUACUAUGAUUUUGGUUCAAUCUUUAUUUUGGACAUUGUAAUUUAAUUCCCAUUUAAAUUAUUUGGGUUUGGAGUUAUUUGGACGAUAACACUUUGAUUGAUGUGUUAGUUUUAAAGUUGAGAAUUGAAAAUUAUAGAAUUUAUUUAUCUUUCUACUUUGAAUAGAAAUUUAGUAAUUGGAGAUCAUCCAGUUACAAGAUGAAUAUUAGAUGAAUAUUUGUGUCGUUUCCACAUUGAGUGUUCAGGCUUAGGGUGUGAAAUGACCGUUAUGCCCUUGGAGUGGGUAUAUUGUUUAUUUGAAUUUAAUGGUCCCCGAACUCCUUAAUUACUCAUAACUUUAUAUCACCUUCUCAAAGUUAAGUUGUUUUACAACUACUAUCUAGCUACUUUUCUCUACUAUGACAACUUUAUUACAUAGUGAUUAAUUGAAAGAAUCUACAUGUCUUAUUUCAUAGGAUAGUUGAUUUUUUUACUCAAUGAAUCUUGCUUUUAUUAUUGAAAAUUUCAAAUCAUUGUAGUCCAACAAUUUACUAUCCUUUGGUAAUUUCAUAUUACAUUUCCAAAGUCUAAUCAUUUAAAAACACUUGUAGUUAAUAUAUUGGCAAUUGCAUUGUGGGAAGUUGUUCACUUGAUUUUAAUGUUGAAACUUUCAAAUUGUUGUAGUCCAACAAUUCCCUAUCCAUUGGUAAUUUCAUAUCACAUUUUCAAAGUAUAAUCAUUUACAAAUACUUGUAUAUAGUAUAUUUGGUGAUUGUAGAGUGGAAAGUUGAUCGUUUUCAUGAAGACCUCUAAAAUAGAAAUUUUUUUCAUUCCAUUUAAUAAAGAAUUUCAUUAAUUGAACAUAUAUGUUUUUUUAACCGGAAAGUAGAGGCCACAUUAUACGAGGCCUUAGGUGACAAUACUAGGUGAGGGUUUUUUUUUUUAAUUUAUUUAUUACUAAAUAUAAAUAAUAUUAUUUAUUGUAUAAUAAAGAUUAUUAUAAUAUAUUUUUUAUAGAUGAAAAAAAUAUUAAUUGAGUUUUAUUUUUUUAAAAUAAUUGUUUUCAAUAAAUAACUUAUUUGUAAAAAGAAAACUAUAAAAUAUAUGCAUUUGAAAAAUAUUUAAUUUUUAUUUGAUUUAGUAUCAAUUAAUAUUUGUAAUAUUUUUUAAUAUUAUAGAAGUUAACAUACUCAAUCAAGAUAUUCAAGAUCAAGAGAAUAUUUAAGAUUGAAUUAAUUUCUUUAUUGUUUAUGUUUUAGUAAAUUUUUAUAUCCAUUACAAAUUUUUUAUUGUUUAUUUUUCAUUCAAUGUUUGCAUUUUUUAAUAGAUAUUAAAACGAUUUUUUUUCUUGUAUGUUAAAAAAAUAUUUCAAUGUCUUUAAAAAUAAAAUAUUGCAGUAAAAUCAAAAUUACAUUGUGAAACUUUAAGCGAAUGUUUUAUACUUAAGAAGUGCCAAUUAAAGUAAGCAUGCAUCUACAAUUGUAAUUUAGAUGUCAUACUGAAACAAUAGUUCUCUUUGACUAUAUCAUAAAAUUUGGUUCGAAUUACUUUAAGUCGUCUUGUAGAUUUUCAAGUUCCAAUGAUAUGCAUCAAGUAUGUGCAACAUACUUGAUAUAACUAAUAUUUUCUUAAGUAAUUGGACACUUUUUUCUAUAAAUUUACUUGAUUAUCAAUGAAUACUUUUAUGUAAGGUAUUGAUAUAAUUCGAUAAAUAUUUUAAAAUAGUAUUAGAAUAGCUUUGCUCUUUCCCAAUUAACAAAUUUACUAAAUUAACUUAUAUAUAUUUGUUUAUUUGAAUUUACUGGUAUUUGACUCAAAUUGUUAUUAUUUUUAAAAUUAUAGGAAAACCAUUAUUUAUAGAGUUUAAUUAUAUUUGGUAAAUUAUCUUUUUAAGUUUGGCUAGGAUUAGGAAACUAUUAAUUUAAGAUUAAUCCAUAAGGCUCUAUAAAUUUGCAGUUUUAUUUAGGAUUUAAAAAAAGAAAGAAAAAGUAAGAAAAAGUGAAGAGAGAUAGGCAAAGAGUGCAUUGGGUUUUAAAUAAAGAAAGGUUGAGAGAGUUUUGAUUACUACUCAAAAAGAACAUAUUUUAGAUAGUAAUUCUCAUGGGUUUCACAUCUUUUGAGUAUUAAUUAUGCCUAAAAAUGCUCAAUUAACAUGUUGUUGCCUUUGCAAGAGUUACUAACAAGUUUUAUAAAGUUUUGGAGUCAUUUCAAGUUAUGAUUUUAAUAAAUUGGUGACGAAAGAGAUGAAUUGAUUUGAAGAAGGCAAAUAAUAUUGAUGAUGAUCCAAAUGCAUAAUGAAAGAAGCAAUAUAAUUAGUUUGAUCGGGAUUUGCUGCUAAUUUGGAGGUAGUUAAGGUGGAGUCAAAAGAAGAAAAUGGAAGAAAUGACAAAGAGGAGCUUAAAAACCAAAUGUUGCAGAUUUGUAUGAUCAUGCAAAAAUUACAUGACUAUGCGAAAUGGAUUAGAGAAGGAAAAUUGACUAUAGUAUAAGGAGGAUGCUUAAGUUGAUUUCGCAUGAACAUGCGAAAAUUUUGCACAAUCAUGCGAAAUGGUCCAGAAAGCUCUCUAAUGUUGUUGUUGCUCCACUAAUUUCACACCACCAUGCGAAAUUGAUCUUUUCAUGCAAAAUGGCUGAAGCUCAUGUGAAAUCAUGAUUUUGAUGCUAAACUCUAGAUUUGUGAAUUUGGAAGGUUUUAGAAGAUCAAUGAGAAGUUGCCAAGUGUCCACUUGACCUUGGUCUAUAAAUAGAAACUUGAAUUUCCCAUGUAAAGAGCUUUGUGAUACUUUUGAUUUUAGAUUUUUCUAGGAACUCUUUCUCUAAAUAGAAUUCUAUAUUUUCUUUAAUUUUCUCUCAUUUUCUCAUUCGCCAAACAUGCCUAGUGAGACCAAAUCUCCAAGUAUGAGUGGCUAAAUCUCGUUUUUCUCAAAGGAAUGAGGAUCUAGAGUCAAGAUCUAUGGUGAAUUAUAGAAAUGAGUUUUAAUCGGAAAUGCAAUUUGAUUCAAUUGAUUGAUUAAUUGAAAUUUGAGGAUUUUUCUCUUCAAAUUAUCCUAAAUGACUAUUACAUUGCAAACUAGGUAGAUUCAUUAAAUUCUUAAAGCUAGAUUUAAUGAGACUGAAUAGUUGCAUUGUAUGAAUCAUUGGAAGAUAAUUUAAGAUGAAUUGAAUAUAUAAUUUAAAUUGAUCUCUUGGAUUAAAUAACCUAAUUUGAAGAGAAAUUAGGUUUAGACUUAAAGGUAAAUCUAAAAUCGAUUUAGAUAAGAAUUUAGGUUUUCAAUCUAACUUGAUGAAAAAUAAAUCUCAACAUCUAUUCACCAUGGAAAUUGUUUUCUAAAAAAUAUUAACUCCGAGAAUUCCUUUUCCUUAUCAAUUUUCUUAUAUUCUACAUUAUAUUGUUCUUUUCGAUUAGAAAUCAUUGUUAUUUUGAUUUUUCAUGAAUUGUCAAAUCAAUUUCACUUGACCAUAAUCAUUUCUUUUCCUCCCAUUUAAGCCUUAAUUAUCGAGAAUAAUCCAUCCCAAUAGAAGACACCUAAGACCACUAUACUACCGUAGCUUUUGCUAAAAAACCUUUUUGAUCGGGCAAGAGUUACCUUAGCAUAGUUGAAUUAGGUUAUAAUUUUUUUAUCCAAUAAACAACAAAAAAAAUCAAUCGAUCAAGUUUGCAUUGUGUAUUCUUGAAUUUUAUUAAUAAAUUUGAUCCCCCUUUUUGAAGCGAUUACACCAAACCAAGUAAAUAUUUUAUAUACUUCAUUUGCUUUAUUUUUUCUAUUAAGUUUAGGUGUUGCAAUUUUCAAGAGUCAUGGUGAGAAGAUUGUGGGAAAAAUUAUUUUAAGGAUGGAGUCGAACAUAAAAUAUGAAAUUGAGUCCUUUGAUGGAAAUAAUAAUUUUAAUAUUUGAUAGAGUAUUAUUAAAGAUGUUUUGAUACAACAAAGACUUCUCAAAGCAUUACAAGGCAAAAAAACUAGAGAGCAUGACAAAUAAAGAAAUGAAAGAAUUAGAAGCAAGAGUUGUAAGUACUAUUUGUUUAAGUCUUAAAAAUGAAAUACAUUGUUUUGAAUGAAAAAAAUAUUCUUUUAGGGGUGUCAAUUGCUCUUUUAGAGACCAAAAAUAUUAAGCAGUCAAGUAGUUCAUCUCAUAUUGGACAAACUGUUAUGAUGAAUUCUAAACCACAUCAUCAUAGGAGUAAAUCGAAAGAAAGUAUCUGAUAGGAGGAUGAUCAUUCCAUUCACACUUAUGGAGGAAUAUGAAGUAUUAUUACUGUGAAAAAAAAAACAUAUCAGGAGAUAUUGUAAAGAAUUGAUGAAGUACCUAGAAGAAAUGAAAAUUUUUAAAUCCCAAGAGACUUCAAAUUUUACUAAUAUUGUUGAUGAAAAUUUUGAAAUAUUGUAGUAAAUUAAAAGUUACAUUAUGGGACUUUUAGUGAGUGUUUUAUGUUGAAGAAAGGCUAAUUAAAGUAAACAUGCAUCUAAAACUAUAAUUUAGAUGUUGUACUCAAAUAGUUGCUCUCCUCGAUUAUAUCAUAAAAUUUGGUUUGAAGUCUAAGUCAUCUAAUAAUUUUCUAAUUCAAAUUGCAUGCAUCAAACAUGUGUGUUAGGAAGUGUUGCAAAUUACUAAUUAAUAUAGAUUCUUUUUUUUUUUAAAGAAUAUUGUAUUGAAUAUUUCUAGGUUGAUAUAUUAUUGUAAUAUUAGACUUUCUUAUAGAAUAAGGAAGGUUGUUGAAAAUAUCCCUAUAAAUAUUCUAGUUCAUAAGGGGAAAAAGUUAUGAGAUGAAGAUGGACCCAUAAAGACUAUACAAGGUGGAUAGAGACGUGAAGAAAAACGAGAGGUACCCGGUGGAGCGAGAGGGCUCGUGGUAGGGUAUAGGUACAAAGAGUGAGAAAACAUGGGAUGUUUUGGGAACCCAAUAAUUGUAUCUGGUUAUGUCCUCUAUAAGUUCUAGUCCUGUCAUCUGCAUUGUUCUCUAUUUUAUAGUGGAAUGAUUCUCUUUUAUCUGUGGACGUGGGCAUGGUUUUCGAACCAUGUUAAAACCUUGUGUACCGUUUGUGUUGAUUUUUUUUUUUAUCUUUAUUUUAUUGAUUAAUGAAGUUUGCAUCAAAGCUUCUGUCAACGUAACAAACUUGUAUCAAAGCUUGGGUUAAAGAUUUCUAGAAGAGUAAAAGAUCAUAGAGCACACAAGAUGAAAACAAAAGGAAUUUUUAGUGAAAAUGGAGUCAAUUGCUCUCUCAUGGUGAUAUGAUAUAAAAAGUUUGUGUCAUGGAAAGUUUGAAGAUUUACUUCAUGGAAUCUGGUCCAAAAUGGAGAUUGUUAAUAAGUAUCCCAAAUUCCUAAUUAGUUUAGAUUUUUUUUUUUUGUAAAGAAUAUUGUAUAGAAUAUUUCUAGGUUAAUAUAUUAUUGUAAUAUUAGACUUCCUUAUAGAAUAAGGAAGGUUGUUGAAAAUAUCUUUAUAAAUAUUCUAGGUCAUGAGGGAAAAAAGUUAUGAGAUGAAAUGGGCCUGUAAAAACUAUAUGAGGUGGAUAGAGAUGUGAGGAAGAACAAGAGGUACUCAAUGGAAUGAAAGGGCUCGUGGUAGGGUAUGGAUACAAAGAGUGGGGAAAUAUGGGAUGUUUUGGGAACCUAAUAGUUGUAUCUGGUUCUGUCAUCUAUAAUGUUCUAGUUAUGUCCUCUAUAAUUGAUUCGUUCCCAAUUGGUGUCUCAGCUGAUUCAUGUCCUCUCCAUGGUCCCUGAUAGUGGUGCCAUUUGAUUCAUGUCCAGCUGGUGUCCCUUGAUUUUGGUCUUCAGGGAGUAAUCAACAAAAUUUAUAACCUAUUACACCAUGUACUAGGAUAGCCUUAGCUAGCAUAGCAUAGUGGCUCUAGGGUCGUUCACUGGGAUGGGUUUUCACUUCACAAUUGAUAUUAAUUCAAAGAUGAAUUGGUGCUUUUUCAUUUCAAGGUUAGCUUUAAAAGAAAACAUAAAGAUGUUUGAAUGAAAAAGGUUUUGUUUUAAACUAACCAAAAAUAAUAACUGAUUUUACUUACAAAGAAAAGUGUUUCUUGGAGUUUAGAUCACUGGGCUCAGAUUCCUUGUACAAAAAGGGAGUUCCGGUCACUUGUUUCUUUUCCUCGCAUUAGAGAAUUAACAUAUAGUUAAUUCUCUAACCGGUGUGGUACAGAUGCUUCCCCUUAAUGGGUUCAAACACUAAAUCCCUCUCACUGAUGCAACUUGCAAUGGCUCGUGCCUCUCACCUAGCAUUUGCCAUUCAAGGUGAUCUUUAACCUUGGAUUACCCUUCACAAGCUCGCAAGAGAUAACUAAUGGAUGUCUCCUUAGAGUCCAAAAGCUUACCAAGUGUUGGCAAUUCUAGAAAAUCAUACCUUCAAACCACCUCCCAAAAGCUCGCAAGAGGUAAACCAGUGCAUCUCCAUUGACGGAGAUCACUUGCCUAACCAAGUGUUGGCUCAAGUGAAUUGAAGGUGUUUUAAGUUAACUAAAAAGAUAAAAACCAUUAACGGGUCACACUUUCUCUUCAUUAAAAACUAAAACAACAAAACUUCCAAUUUAUGCAUGAGGAAACUUACCCGGCUUUCUUUCACUCCAAGAGACGAAGAGCCUAGCCUCUCAUCCUCUGAGAAAAAAUCCUCAGAGUUUGAUUGGCUAGAAAGAAAACUAACGAGAAAACAAAAAUAUAUAUAAGAAGCAGAGCAAAAGCUCUGUUCGUUGAUUACAUAUAUGAUAUAUGAUAUAUGAUGGAUCCUCUUCUUUACAUUGGUUCAAAGAUAUAUAUAGAGAAGAUAUUUUCUAAGAAAUAUCCCAAUAAUAUCUUUGACUAAUUACAAGGAGAAAAUAGAAAUUUACACAAAAUAUCUUGAGAGAAAAAAUCUAACUUAGUCGGUGGCAAAUAUCAGGAAGCUUCAGGAGAAUAUCGCGUCACUGUGCAAAAAUCCGGGUAAUCUGAAAUGCCGGCCGCGGAUGCUCUCCGGGUUAGCGCUAUUAGAAGAUCCGGACAUGCCUGUCUGGGGAGGUUGAAAUGCCUCUUCUUCCAUCCGGCGUCAGGCGUCGGAUUUGAAAUAUCUGAUCAGAGGAUCCUGACAUGUCUGACCGAACAGAAUUUCAGAUGUGAGAUAUCCGGACGUCGCAAGGGGGACCGUUUGCGUGUACAAGGUGUAGAGACCCUUCCCCCUGAUGACACGGAGCACGCAUCGCUAUCCAGAGCAACUCCAUCCGGAUUUCCCAAGAGGACACGCACCGCCAUGCUAUCCGGCACUCGUGAACAUCACACUCCGGAUGAUAGCAUAUCCUAUCCGGAUAUGUUGUCUGGAUCAUUGACUAAAGUGAGCAAGCCUUACUACAGCCCACGUUCCGCCGCUCUUCCAAUGGUGUGUCCGGACGCCCUGUCUGGACAUCUUUUUCCAUGGAUUCCAAAGAACUCUCCUCAAUCUCGGAUUGCUUUGGUGAUAAAAAAGCUAUCAAAACACCAAAACUUAACACAAUUUGAUUAGAAUUGAUUGCAAGGGUCCUUAAUAUGUUAAUUGGGUUAAAAAGUGAUAACUACUACUCAAAAGUGUUUAAAAGAGUUAAUUACAAGCUAUGAAAUAACACUUUUUGAGUAGUAAUCAAUAAUGUUCUCUAUUGUAUAGUGGAAUGAUUCUCUUUCAUUCGUGGAUGUAGGCAUGGUUGUCGAACCACAUUAAAACCUCGUGUACUGUUUGUGUUUUUUUUUUAAAAAAAAUUAAUCUUUGUUUCUUGAUUAAUGAUGUGUGCAUCAAAGCUUCCAUCUACGUAACAAACUGGUAUCAGAGCUUGGGUUGAAGAUUUUUGGAAUAGUAAAAGAUCACAAAGCACACAAGAUGAAAACAAAAGGAAUUUUUAGUGAAUGUGGAGUCAAUUGUUCUCUCAUGGUGAUAUGAUACAAAAAGUUUGUGUCAUGGAGGGUUUAAUGAUUGACUCCAUGGAAUUUGGUCCAAGGUAGAGAUUGUUAGGAAGUGUCCCAAAUUCCUAAUUAGUAUAGAUUUUUUUUUUAUAAAGAAUCUUGUAUAGAAUAUUUCUAGGUUGAUAUAUUAUUGUAAUAUUAGACUUCCUUAUAGAAUAAUGAAGGUUGUUGGAAAUAUUUUUAUAAAUAUUUUUAGUCAUGAGGGGAAAAAGUUAUGAGAUGAAGAUGAGCCUAUAAAGACCAUACGAGAUGGAUAGAGAUAUGAGGAAGAAUCGAAGGUACCCAGUGGAGCAAGAGGGCUCGUGGUAGGGUAUGAAUAUGAAGAGUGGGGAAACAUGGGAUGUUUUGGGAACCCAAUAGUUGUAUCUAGUUUUGUCAUCUAUAAUGUUCUGGUUCUGGCAUCUAUAAUGUUCUGGUUUUGUCCUAUGUAAUGUUCUUUAUUGUAUAGUGGAAUUAUUAUCUCUCAUCUGUGUAGACAAGUUGCUAAACCACGUUAAAACCUCGAAUACCAUUUGUGUUGAUUUUUUUUAUCUUUGCGUUCUUGAUUAACGAUGCUUGCAUCAAAGCUUCUACCAACGUAACAAUGUGCAACAUAUUUGAUAUAACUUAUAUUUUCUUAAGUAAUUGAACACUUUUUCUAUAAAUUUACUUGAUUAUCAAUGAAUACCUACAUAUACGGUAUUGACAUAGUUUGAUAAAUAUUUUAAAAUAGUAUUAGAAUGGCUUUUCUUUUUCCCAAUUAACAAAUUUAUCAAAUAUAUACAUACACACACACACACACACAUAAUACUCAUUAGUAUGUCUUUUAUGAAAAAACUAUAUUUGUUUAUUUGAAUUUAGUAGCCAUUCAACUCCUUAGUUACUCAUAAACUUUUUAUCACCUUCUUAAAGUCAAGUCAUUUACAAUUAUUUCUAUCUAGCCUUCUCCAUUAUAACAACUUUAUAAGAUAGUGAUUGAUUGGAAGAAUCUACAUGCCUUUGUUGAUAGGAUAAUUGUUUUUCUUUUUUUUUCGUAUUCAAAGAAUCUUGCUUCUGUUAUUGAAACUUUCAAAUCCUUUAUGUCAAGUUGUCUUAUAAUUCCCUAUUCAUUGGUCUUUCAUAUUACCAAUCAUUUUGAAAAUGAGUUAAUUUCAUUCACAUCCUCUGAGAUUUGAUGUAAAUUCGCUUAGUUACCAAUGAUUUCAAAUUUCAUUAAUUAGUACCCCUAUAGAUGUAAUUUGUGUACAAAAUUUAUUUUUUAAAAGAGUUUAGGUAAAAAUAUUUUAGGUAUAUGUCUUUAACAAUUCUCUAAAAUAAAUUUUACUUGCUAAAAAAUAACUUAUAUAGAUAGAAUACAUCUACAGGAGUUCUAACUAACGAAAUUUAAAACUAAUGGUGGUUUAGUGUAUUUAAACUAAACAUUAGGAAGGGUGACUGAAAUUAACCCUCUAGGUAUAUAUGUUUAACAAAAUUUUUAUUGUUUAUUUUUCAUUUAAUGUUUGCAUUUUUCAAUAAACAUUGAAAAGGAAUUGUUUUUCCAUAUGUUAACAAAAAGAAAUUUGAACACCUAUAAAAAUAAAAUCUUGUAGCAAAAUUGGAGUUACAUUAUCAGACUUUUAAUGAGUGUUUAUGUUUAGAAAGACCAAUUAAAGCAAGCAUGCAUCUAGAAAUUGUAACUUAGAUGCAUCAAACAUGAGCAACAUAUUUGAUAUAACCAAUAGUUUCUUAAGUAACUAAACACUUCUUUUUCUAUAAAUUUACUUGAUUAUCGAUGAAUACUUACAUAUAUUUACAUAGUUUGAUAAAUAUUUUAAAAUAAUAUUAGAAUAACUUUGUUUUUUCUCAAUUAUAUUAGAAAAUAAUAUAAAGUUACUUAUAAACUUUAUAUCAUUUUCUCAAAGUCAAGUCAUUUACAAUUAUUUCUAUCUAGCCUUCUCCAUUAUGACAACUUUUAUAUGAUAGCCGUUGAUUGGAAGAAUCUACAUGUCUUUUUUGAUAGGAUAGUUGUUUUUAUUUUUUUAUUUUUUUUAUUCCAAAAAUUUGCUUCUAUCAUUGAAACUUUCAAAUCUUUUAUGUAUAUUACCAAUCAUUUUACAAGUGAGUUAAUUUCACUUAGGGUAGAUAUACUUAGCCACACCCCUAUAGAUGUAAUUUGUGUUUAAAUUUUAUUUUUUAUUUAGGUAAAAAUAUCUUAGGUAUAUGUGUUCAACAAUUCUCUAAAAAAUAAAUUUUCUUAUCUAAAAGUUUAUAUAGACAAAAUACAUCUAUAGAAGUCCUAAUUAAUGAAAUUUAAAAUUAAUGGUUGUUUAGUGUAUUUACAUUAAACCUUAUGGGGUAUGAUUGAAAUUAACUCUUUUACAAGCACUUGUAGCUAAUAUGUUUGUAGUUGUAGUGUUGGAAAUUGAUCAUUUUCUUGAAGGCCUCUAAGAUAUUGAAAAUAUUGCCAUAGUUUUAGACUUUUUUUUAUUACACCUAAUAAAAAAUAUUAUUAAUUUAACAUAUAUAUUCUUGACUUAAAAGUAAAGUCUCUCCAUAUUGUAUAAGCCCUUAGGUGGCAAUAUUAGGUGAAGUUUUUCUUUCGUUUAUUACAAAAUAUAAAUAAUUUAUUAUUGUAUGAUAAAAUUUUAUGUAAUAUAUUUUUAUAGAUGUAAAAUUAUUAAUUGGGUUUUUUUUUUACUAAAUUGUCAUUUCAAUAUAUAAAACUUAUUUGUAAAAAGACAAUUAUAAACUAUAUGAAAUUGAAAAACAUUUAGUUUUUUUAUUUAAUUUAGAAUUUUAUUUGGAUUAAUAAUUGAUAUUUGUAAGAUUUUUUAAUAUUAAAAAAAGUUAGCAUACUUAAGAAAGAUAUUCAAGAUCGGGAGUGUUUGAUAUUGGAUUAAUUUCCUUAUUUUCUCUAUUUUAAUAAAUUUUCACGUCCAUUACAAAAUUUUUGUUGUUUAUUUUUCACUUCAAUAUUUUUAUUUUGUAAUAGACAUUUGAAAAGAUUUUUUCCUACAUGUUAAAAAAAAAAAUAUUUGAACACUCCUAAAAAAGAAUAUUGCUAUAAAAUUAAAGUUUACAUUGUAGGACUAUUAGCAAAUGCUAUAUACUUAAAAUAGACCAAUUAAAGUAGAAAUACUUCUAAAAUUGUAAUUUAGGUAACAAUAAUAUAAAAAGAUAAUAUUUUUGAAACAAUAGUUCUCUUGGAGUUUUGGGUACGAUGGACUAGACUUUAUGUACAAUAGAUAUACAAACUUUCCAUUAACAUCUUGAGAGACAUGAUGAGGAGCAAAGUCAUCCAAGAAGGUACCAUAGAGGUACCUUAGCUCCAUUCAUCUAGACUACAUAAUGUUUAAAGAUCAAAUUCAAUGACUAGAUUUCAAAAAUCAAUAUAAGCUUUCUCAUAUUCUACUCUAUAUAAGACAAUGGUAUGAUACCUCUCUUGUGUCGUAGAAUGCACCAUGAAAACCUUAUCAUUUUAACAUCAGUUUGAAACUUAAAAGUCACUUAGCACAUUCUAGUUAUUAAUCUAAGAGCAUUAAAAGAAAAUAUAAAAAAAGUUACUUUAUCCUUGUGAUUUUGAUUUAGGACUUUUAAUGAUAUUAAAAAAAAAAAACAAAACAGAAAAAUAAAUGGAAAUAAAAUCAACAAAUUAAACAAUUGAAUUAAGUUAGUUUAAUUCUUGCAUCGUUAAAUGGGUAAAUAAAGACUCUUAGAUUUGAUAUUAAUAUGAACAUCAUGACUUCAGUGAAUCUUACAAGAAAAUUUUAGUUUGAAAGACUUCAUUCAUUAAACGUGUGGCACAUAUUAAAGUAAAACUAAGUCUUCUCUAUAAUUUGUACCUAUCAUAGUUUCUUUCCUUAUAAAUAGCCUUUUUUGAAUAUAAUAUAGACUUCAACAUGCAUGGUGGGGCCAAUCAAACUACUAGUCAAGACAACUCAUGGGCAACAACGAUGUACCAACUACAUUUAAAUACUCUUCAUCUAUUUACAUAUCAAGAGUAAUUUAGUAGUGUCUUAUUUAUGUACCUCAUAUCUAGACUUUCAAUGGAGAGUUCUUCAUCUAAAAAUUUGACUUGGGUUUUCAUACUAGUUUUGGUUUAGACAUGUGGAUGCAAAGGUUGCAUCAAAGAAGAGAAGUAGGCUAAAUCAUCUUACAAAUUUUAUAGUUCAAAUUAGAUGCACCAAACAUAUGCAACAUAUUUGAUAUAACUAAUAUUUUCUUAAGUAAUUGAAUACAAUUUUUUUUUUAAAUUUACUUGAUUAUUAAUGAAUAACUACAUGUAUGGUAUUGACACAACAUGAUAAAUCUUUUAAAAUAGUAUUAGAAUAACUUUGCUAAAAAAAAGUAAAAAUAAAAAUAAAAAUACAUCUAUAUAUAAAAUUAAAUUAAAUUAAAAAUUAAAAAAGAAUAUAUAUUCUCUGUGUGUGUGUGUGUGCAUGGUCCCACAACUCAUUAGCUACUCAUAAGCUUUAUAUCACUUUCUCAAAGUCAAGUCAUUUUGUAAUUAUUUCUAUCUAGCCUUCUCCAUUACGACAACUGUAUAGGAUAUUGAUUGGUUGGAAAAAUCUUCAUGUCUUUUUUUAUAAGAUAGUUUUUUUAUUAUUAUUAUUAUUCAAAGAAUUUGCUUUUAUUAUUGAAACUUUCAAAUCCUUUAUGUCUAGUGGUCCUACAAUUCCCUAUUCAUUGGUAUUUCAUAUUACCAAUCAUUUUACAAAUAAGUUUAUUUCACCCGGUAAAUAUACUUAACUACUAAUGGUUUCAAAUUUAAUUGAUUAACACACUUAUAGAUGUAAUUUGUUUUUAAAUUUUAUUUUUUUAGAAGAAUUGUAGGUAAAAAUGUUUUAGGAAUAUGUGUUCAAUAAUUCUCUAAAAACAAUUUAUAUAGAUGGAAUACAUUCAUGUAAGUUCCAACUAAUGAAAUUUAAAACUAAUGACAAUUUAAUGUAUUUGCACUAAAUCUUAGGGGAGGUGUACUAAAACUAGCCCUUUUACAAAUAUUUGAUAUGAAAUUAAUUAAUUAAUUUUUUCUAUUUAAAUAAAUUUUUGCAUCCAUUAAUAAAAUUUUAUUGUUUAUUUUUCACUUCAAUAUUUUUAUUUUGUAAAAUAAAUAGAAAUAAAAUCAACAAAUUAAAAAAUUGAAUUAAGUUAGUUUAAUUUUGCCACCUUUAAAUUGGUAAAUGAAGACUCUUAUAUUUGAUAUUAACAUGAACAUCAUGACUUUAUUGAAUCUCACAAGAAAAUUUUAGUUUGAAAGAUUUUAUCCUUUAAACAUGUGACACAUAUUAAAGUGAGACCAAGUCUUCCCUAUAAUUUGUAUCUAUCACAAUUUCUUUCCUAAUGAAUAGCCUUUUUGAAUAGAAUAUAGACUUUAGCAUGCAUGGUGGGGCCUAGCUAUCAAACUACUAGUCAAAACAACUCAUGGGCAAGAAUGAUGUACCAACUAGAUUAAGUAUUCUCCAUCUAUUUGCAUAUCAAGAGUAAUUUAGUAGUAUCUUUCUUGUGUACCUCAUUUCUAGACUUUCAAUGGAGAGUUUUUUAUCUUAAAAUUUGACGUGGGUUUUCAUACUAGUCUUGGUUCAGAUAUGUGAAUGCAAAGGUUGCAUCAAAGAAGAGAAGUAGGCUAAGUCAUCUUACAAAUUUUCAAGUUCAAAUUAGAUGCAUCGAACAUGUGCAACAUAUUUGAUAUAACUAAUAUUUUACCAAGCAACUAAAUACUUUAUAUAUAUAUAUAAAUUUAUUGAUGAUCAAUGAAUACCUACAUGUAUGGUAUUGACACAGUUUGAUAAAUCUUUUAAAAUAGUAUUAGAAUAACUUUGCUAAAAAAAGUAAAAAUAAAAUAAAAUAAAAUAUAUAUAUAUAUAUAUAUAUAAAUAAACAAAAUAAAAAAUUUAAAAAGAAUAUAUAUAUUAGUGGUCCCACAACUCAUUAGCUACUCAUAAGCUUUAUAUCAUUUUCUUAAAGUCAAGUCAUUUACAAUUAUUUCUAUAUAGCCUUCUCCAUUGCGACAACUGUACAAUAUAUUAAUUGAUUGAAAAAAUCAUCAUGUCUUUUUUGAUAGGAUAGUUUUUUUUUUAUUCAAAGAACUUUCAAAUUCUUUAUGUCUAGUGGUCCUACAAUUCCCUAUUCAUUGGUAUUUCAUAUUACCAACCAUUUUACAAAUAAGUUAAUUUCACUCGAUAAAUAUACUUAACCACCAAUGGUUUCCAAUUUGUAGCAUUCUUAUAGAUGUAGUUUGUUUUUAAAUUUUAUUUUUUAGAAGAAUUGUAGGUAAAAAUAUUUUAGCUAUAUAUGUUCAACAAUUCUCUAAAAACAAUUUAUAUAGAUGGAAUACGUUCAUGGAAGUUCCAACUAAUGAAAUUUAAAACCAAUGAUGAUUUAAUGUAUUUGUACUAAAUCUUAGGGAGUGUGGACUAAAAUUAGCCCUUUUACAAAUAUUUAUAACUAGUAUAUUUGUAGUUGUGGUAUUGGAAGUUGAUCAUUUUCUUAAAAGGUUUACCAUUGAAGUUAGUUGAAUAUAAAGUUAGGUGAACUUUACCAUUGUUAAAUUGGUAAAUGAAGACUCUUAGAUUUGAUACUAACAUGUACAUCAUGACUUCAUUGAAUCUCUCACAAGGAAAUUUUAGUUUGAAAGACUUCAUCUUUUAAACAUGUGGCACAUAUUAAAGUGAGACCAAGUCUUCCCUAUAAUUUGUAUCUAUCACAAUUUCUUUCCUCAUAAAUAGCCUUUUUGAAUAGAAUUAAUAUAGACUUUAGCAUGCAUGAUGGGCCCUAUCAAACUAUUAGUCAAGAUAAUUUGUAGGUAAGAACGAUGGACCAACUAUAUUAAAUACUCUUCAUCUAUUUGCAUAUCAAGAGCAACUUAAUAUUGUCUUUCUUUUGUACUUCAUGUUUGAACUUUCAAUGGAGAGUUUGUCAUCUAAAUAUUUGAUGUGGGUUUUUAUACUACUCUUGGUUCAAAUAUGUGGAUGCAAAGGUUGCAUCGAAGAAGAGAAGAUGGGUUUGCUUGAAUUCAAGGCUUUUCUUAAAUUGAAUAAUGAGCAUGCAGAUUUUCUUCUCCCUUCAUGGAUAGAUAACAACACUAGUGAAUGUUGUAAUUGGGAGCGGGUUAUUUGCAAUCCCACCACAGGUCGAGUUAAGAAGCUUUUCUUCAAUGAUAUAACGCGACAACACUUGGAAGACAAUUGGUACUAUUACGAAAAUGUCAAAUUCUGGUUACUAAAUGUCUCCUUAUUCCUUCCUUUUGAAGAACUUCACCAUCUAAACUUGUCUGCAAACUCAUUUGAUGGGUUUAUUGAGAAUGAAGGUAUGUUACCUCUCACCUUUAAAUUUUCUUUUCACUUAUACUCCAAACAUUCUAAAGGAACUACUAGCAUAUGUUCUUAAAAGUGUUCAGGUGGAGAACAAAUGGUCACUAGUAACUAUUGAAUUUAAUAUAAGAACAAUUACUAAUUAUUAAAAUUUAUAAUGUAAAUUAACAUUUAAACAGAACAAUAAAAAAAUUAUUAUUUUAGAAAACUAUAGAUUACAUUAGCCUUAUAUAUAUAAGCAUACUUGUUAUUUAUGUCAUCAUUUCACACUCAACCCAAUAAGUGGGAUUCAACUAAGAGUGAGCAAUUUCACAAUUAUUAAUUAACAGGAACACUUAGGCUCCCAUAUCCUUAUCAUUUUUGCUGAAUUGUCUUUCCUUAUCUUCCAUUCCUAAAAAGCUUGAUUUCUAUAUUCCAAAUUGAUAGAGAUUGGUUAAAGAAAGGUGAUCACAAAAUUUGACUAUUGCUUUCAAAUGAGGAAUCACCAUCUUCAAAAUUUCACAUUUACAAAAAAAAUAAAUAAAAUAAAUAAAUAAAUAAAACUAGCCUCGGGUAAGGUCCAAGCCUUAUUGUUUUAAGCUGAUGUCAGAUUGGUUUAAUAAUGAACAGAGUAAAUCCUAACCCAUGACCAUCUACGCAUUUCCAAAUUCCACCCAUCCACAACCCAUUAAUAUGACAUUUUCAGGGACAAAAUUUAAUCAAUUAAACCUAUUAGAUGGAUUCUCCAUACAAUGUUAAAAUGAAUAUAAAAACUUUAAUUCAAAAAAUAAUUUCCUUUAUUUAGUUAGGAUUCAAAUUAUAGGGGCACAAAACAUGAAAAUUUUCAUGUUUAAAAUUCACAAAGAUCACAAAAGCUCUUUGAAGCUCUAUGGACUUUUUUAUUUCUAACAUUUAAACACAAAAAUCACCAAAUUUAAUUAGAGAUUUGGAUGCAUAUUCUUAUAUUAAAGACAUGUAAGCUUACAUAUUUAAAUAUGAAGAUCUCAACUUGUAAUUACAUGCUUCUAAUUAAAGUUAUAUUACUCUAUUUUACAGGAUUUAAAGGGUUAUCAAGUUUAAAGAAAUUGGAGAUCUUGGACAUAAGUGGUAAUGAGUUUGACAAAAGUGCCUUAAAAUCUUUGGGCACAAUAACAUCACUCAAGACAUUGGCUAUUUGCAGCAUGGGACUGAAUGGAUCUUUUUCCAUUCGAGGCAUGUUAUAUGUCCACAUUGUUUCUUUGAAAUUAAGUAAAAUAUAUUUCUAACUUUUAAUGUUCCUUAGUUAAUCUCUCUUUUGAUUCAUGUUUGUUGCAGACUUAGCUAGUUUGAGAAAUUUGGAAGUGUUGGAUCUAAGCUAUAAUCAUUUGGAAAGCUUUCAACUAUUGCAAGGUACUUCAUUAACUUGCUAAAAAAACUUACGAUAUUUUGUUAUUAAAUUAAAGGUAAGAUUAACAAACAAUUUCUUCUCAUUAGUUACUUUUCUUUGUAAUAUCAUUAAAUUUGAUAUAAUGUAGUCUAAAUCAUCCUUUCAAUUUAUAAGUUUUAAUUAAAACGCAUCAAGCAUGCACAAGAUGUUUAAUAUAACUAAUAUUUUCAUAAGUAAUUGAAUUUUUUUUAUGAAUUAAUUAACUUGAUUAUCAAUAAAUGCUUACAUGUAUAAGAUUAAUAUAGUUUCAUAAGUAUUUUAAAAUUGUCUUACAACACACACACACACACACAAGGAAAAUGAAAGGUAUGUGAUACCUUUAUGCUAUGUUUGGUUCUCAAAAAAAAUUGAGGGAAAAUGAAAGGAGAAAAAAAUAGAGAGGAAAAGUAAAAGAAAAGAAAAGAAAAAAAGUGAAGAAAAAUAUAAAAUUGAUUAAAGUAAAUACAUUAUUUUUAUAUGUUACUUUAACUUGUUUCACUUAUUUUAAUUCUUCAAUGUAAAGAUGAAAGAUUUGAAAAUGCAUAAGUUUCUAAUUAUUUUUUUAUUUUAUUUUAUAGUUUUUACAAUACAACCAAACAUAAUAAAAUCAUUUUCUUUAAUUUUUUUUCUUUUCUUAAUACUUUUCACGAACCCUUAAGUUAUGUUUGGUUUGCAGAAAAUAUGAGGAACAGAAAAUAGAAAAGAAAAUUAAAAGGAAAGAAAAAGUGAAGUAAAAUAAAAAUAAAUUUAAAUUUAAUAAAUUAUUUUUAUAUGCUACUUUAAACUUAUUUCACUUAUUUUAAAUUAUUUAAACUCAUUUCUAAUAAAUAAUAAUGGAAAUUGUAGAGAAGUUUGUGUUAUUCAAGCUUUGCAAUGACUUUUCAAGGUGAAGGAAAAUAUUCUUGCUGAAAUUGAAGAAGGAAAUACCUUCUUAAAUAGCCUAUUGACCGAAAACACAUUACCCUAACAUAUACACACACCUUUAUUAUUUAUACAAUCAUUUAAUACUUAAUCCCGUUAGUGGGAUUCUAGUGGUUGUUUCUAUCUUGGUUUCCAAUAUUUCUGAUUGAUAGUGUUGGAUUAAUGAAAUAUCAUAAAUUUUGACCCCAAUAAGGACCAAUCCCUAUUAAAUGUAAUUGGGUUGACCUAAGACUAAAUGUUAGACCCAACUAAUAAAAACCCAUCUGUUUGUUGGAGUCUAAAUAACCCAGCCUUAGGUAGGGCCCAUGCCUUAUUAUUUUAAGAUGUAGUCCAACUGGUUUGACACUGGAUUGAGUAAAGCCCAACUUAUGAGCAUCUGUGCAUUUCCAUCCAUCCACAACCUACUGGCAUGGACAAACUUUGGUCAAUUAAACCUAUUAUAAAUGUAUACAAAAUUUUAAGUUCAAAAGAUAAUUUUUCUUAUUUAGUUAGGAUUCAUAUUAAAAAGGCACAAAGCACGAAUUUUCAUGUUUAAAUUCACAAAUAUCACGAAAGCUCCUUCAAGCUCUAUGGACCAUUUUAUUUGUAACAUUAUAUUACUCUUAAUUAUCAAAUUAACCAACAAAUUCUUCUCAUUAGUUAUUUUUCUUUUGUAGUGUCAUAAAAUUUGAUGUAAAGUAAUAUUGGUCAUCAUUUCAACUUUCAUGUUCCAAUUAGAUGCAUCAAGCAUGUGCAACAUAUUUGAUAUAACUAAUAUUUUUAUAAGUAAUUGAAUUUUUUUUUCUAUAAAUCAAUUAACUUGAUUAUCAAUGAAUACUUUCAUACAUGAUAUUGAUGUAGUUUCAUAAAUAUUUUUAAAUAGUCAUAGAAGUCUUUUAUCUGAUUCACUAGAAAGAAAAAUAAACUAUUCUAAUGAAAAUACUUGAUGAUUUGAAGUGAUUGCUUUUGAUUUUAUUUGAUUGCUACCAUUAUUAAUUGUUAGAAAUUGGCAACAAAUACCCAUUUUGCAUCACUUCUAUAUGCAUCGAGGGAAUGAAUUAUAUUUCAUAGAGCUAACAGGGCAAAACUCAUACUUUUGGAAUUAUGGAAAAGGUUGCUAGAAAGCUAAUUAACAAUUUAUAUUAUGAUUAAGACUAGUUGGGUUAGAAAUAAUUCAUAUGGAGAUUAAAAAAAACUAUGUAAUUUAGUUUAGUAGCUUGGGUGCUAUUGUAAUGAUUAAUGAUCUGCAACUUGAACACAUCUACUAGUGCUUUCUACUUGUAUAGCUAAAUUUAUGUUACCACUUUGAACUACAGUACUUACAUGAGAAGAAAGCUUUUCCUUAGUGAUAAUGCAAAAGAAAUUAAGUAUCAAUUUUUGUUAAACUAACAAGUGAUAGUUUAGAUAUGUUUUGAAUACACUUCCUUUCUUCUAUUUUUUUAUUUUGAAAAAAAAAACUCUUUAAUGAAAUAUAAGAAAUCUUAUAUGUAUAAAAAGUAAAGACUUAAACAAAAAAAUUCUUCAAAUUUUAAAAAUUUCGAGAAGUAUUUUUAAGAAUUUGUAUUUUUAGUAUAAUAAUUCCUAUAUUUUGUAUAAAAGCUUUUGUUCAAAAAAAUAGAAGUGUAUCCAAAUUAAAAAUUAAUGGUUAAAUUAAGAAUGUUUCUCAGAUCAAGGGAUAAUGAAAGUUGUAGAGAGUUUGCAUUACUCAACCUUUGCAACUACUUUUUGAAGGUAAAAGAAAAUACCUUCUUACAUAACAUACAAUGGCAAGUUCUGGUUUGUAAGAAACUAAUAAAUGAUUAAGAAUAUGAAUAAGACUUCCUUAAUAAUAGAUAUGUAGAGAAGAAUAGUGGAUGAUAGGAGGUGAAAAUCUUGUAAUAAAAUAUCAAUAUCGGUUAUAAGAUAAUCAACAUUUUCUUGUACCUAUGUGAUUAAGAAUCUUGUAGCUCCCUUAUUGAAAUAUAAUAUAAAAAUAUAAAUAAACUAUUUAGAAGUGCAUGUAGUUUUCAACAUGAGGAAGUUCAAAAGCAAGUUAAUUAUGAUAAUUUUCUAUAGUCUAUAUUGAACACAAAUUAUUUUUUCUAAAGGUUCAAUCGUUCUAUGAAGGUUAAAAGUUUGAAUUGUUUACAUAUGCAAAUGUGAAAUUUGAAAUUUUAUAAUGUUUUAUAAUUUUCUUGUAGAUUCAAAAAACUUGUCCAUAUUCAAAAAGCUCGAGACCUUGAACCUCAAUCACAACAAGUUCAAAAACACUAGCCUACAACAAUUGAAUAUAUUUACAUCCCUUAAAAAUCUUUCUCUAAGACGGAACUAUGAUGGAGGAUUUUUUCCGAUCCAAGGUAUGUGUAAUUAUUAUUAUUAUUUUUAAUGAUAAAAUAUUAGAAUUGUCAACAUCUUUUAUCUUUUUUCCCCUCAAUGGUGUUGCAGAAUUAUGCACUCUAGAAAACUUGGUGAUGUUGGACCUAAGUGGGAAUUUCUUUAUUGGCAUGCAAGGUAAAUACAAAGUGAAGUUUUGGUUAUAUAUAUAUAUCAUGUAAGAACAUAACUAAAAUCAACAUUCUUUGCCUAUCAAUUUGUGCAUGACUAUUAUUUAGUUAUUCUUCGUAACAUAAUUGAAAGAAUGUUUAGGUGUAUAACAUUUAAGAAUUUUACAUGGCACAAUGAAAAACAUGGUAAUCAAUGUAUGCAAUAAAAUUCUAAUAGUUGAAAAAGAAUUUUCUUGUAAUUUUAUGUUCGUGUAUAGUAAUCAAAGAGAAAAUCAUGAAAAUGUAUAUUAGUUAGACUUUAUAUAUCAAUAGACAAAAAAGAAAGAAAAAAGAUUAGUUCCUUAACUUAUCCUAAAAUUUUCUAGAUAACAAGGAGUUUUUUUAUUUUGGGCUAUAAGAUUUACAACCUGAAAAGUGAAGAUGAUUAAUAUUAGUAAUAUAAUUUUGAAAUAUAAAAAUUAAUGAAAUAAUGUUCUCUAUAACUAUAACUGCAACUGCAACUAUUAAUAAAAGAUAAUAAAAGUACUUUAGACUUUGAAUCCAUGGUUAGGUUUGCAAUUUUUUGAUGAUCAAUAAAGCUACAACUUAUGCUGCAAAAGGCUAUACAAAAUGUAUUAGGAGCAUUGCUAAGCUCAUUUAUCAAUAAAAGAAAUCCAGUAAUACUUUGAUUGGAAAAAACCUAGAAUCAUGUUUGAUAUAUAUAAUAGGAGAAGAAACAAAAUAACAAUUCCAUGGUAUUAGUUAGUUUGAUAUCCCUUUUGUUAUAUGGAAUAACUAUUCCAUUUUAAAAUAAUUAUUUCAUCUUAUCGCUAGAACAAAAAAUUUCAAGCAAUUAUAUGCGCUUUUGGGUUUCUUAAGAAUUUAAGCAUUUAUGGGUCACCCAUAUAUACAUAUAUAUAUAUAUAUAUAUAUAUAUAUAUGUAGGAAGAAUAAAAAAAAAUAUUAUACGGAGACAAGGGUAGACACCCAUAUAUAUAUAUAUAUAUAUAUAUAUAUAUAUAUAUGUAGGAAGAAUAUAAAAAAAUAUUAUAUGGAGACAAGGGUAGACACCCAUAAAUGUACAUAUAAUUAUUUAAAUAAAAAAUCAAUAAGAAACAAUAUACAACAAAAUAGAAAAUUUUAAUCUUCUUAAAUUUUAAAAAUAAAAACUAAAUGAAAAAAAAUUAAGAAGUAAAAAUAAUAAUAAAAAGGUCAAGAAUACAAAUAGAGAAGUAAACAAAAAAAAUACAUAAAUUAAAAUUAAAAUUUAAAAGAAAAAAUACAUAGAUUAAUAUGAACACUAAAUGAGGUUUUUUGAGAUAGACUUAGUUAGACCUGAACCAGAUGGAUAUUAAAAAAAAUAAAAAAAAAUUGAAAGAAAUAAAAACUAAUUAGAUGCUAAAUAUUGGAUUAAAAUAACCAAAUGAAUAAAGAGUAAUUAUUAAUUUUUAACAUUUUUUAUUCCCUAGAAUUAUUAUUUUGUGUAUUAAAUGUAUUCUGAGUGUAGUGGUAUAAAAAAUGUAGUUAAGAAUACUAUGAAGAAUAAUAAUGGUGAUGAUAAUGGUGACGACACUUAAUACCUUUUAUUGUACGUUUAGAAAAAAUGAGGUUCUUGAUCUUUAUGGAGAUUAUCAUUACUCAUCCGCAAGCAUGUUGAUAGUUGAAACUACUCAAUUAUCAAAAAUUGAAUUUCUAACCUUCAAUUUUUCUCUCUCAAAUGUAUAUGUGGGUGAGAAAGCACUAGGAAGAUUAUAAGGUCUCACAUGUAUAUGAGUCAUAGGAUAAAAAAUAUAGAGACAAUACUAGCAUUUAUUUGAUCUAGUGGCAAAUAGAGAAAUAUAAAAUAACCAUAACCAUAAUGUUCUAACCUUAUAUAUACCAGAACCAUGUUUCCUUCAUUCAAUGUUGCAACUUUUUCUUUUCAAAUUAGAAUGUAACUUGUAGGAUCCAUUGCCCAUCAAAAUUUUGAAUCGAAUAUUAUAAGAUAUUUCACAUUUCUACCUACUAAAGCAUGAGCUUCAAUGUUCUCAUGCACUUUUGGCUACUAAGUUAAAGAACCCUUUGAGGAUUAAUGGAGUUUCUAUGAGUAGCAAAGCAUUAUAAUCAGAAAGUCUUAUCAGUGAUAUGCAAUUUGACCAAGAACUUAUUCCCAACUAUUUUAUGAAUUUUAUGACUUUUCUUGGCUACUUGUAGGCAAGCUAAAGAAAUUUUCUGGUUUGUUCAAGUCUAAAAAGUGGUUUCAAGUUUAGGGCCAAGCUUGGGCUGCACCUAGGUCCUUGGGCCUUGUUCAGCUCCACGUUUAAACCAACCUUGAGUCCAUCUUUGUAAUUUUUCUCCCAAUUCAUUGAUUAAUAUUAGGAUUUUAUAGAGCCUAUAAAUUGACCAACUAAAUAAAGUAGGUUCAUAAACUUUUAGGUGAAAAUUUUCUCUUUAAUAAAUGUUAAUUCAAGAGUCUCCGUAAUCUUUUUAUAUUCAUAUUAAUUGGUAUUUAAACCGACCUUACUAUAUUAAAGUCAAAUACCAAAUAGUGAACACUAUAUCUACUACUACCACUAUGAUGGUCACAAACAUAGAAUGCUCCAUUUUUUAGAGUCAAUUGAUGCUUAUAAACAACUUUGUUUGAAAAUAAAACACAUCGAGUGAUUGCAUCAAGAGAUUGAUGUAAUAAUUGCAUACUUGAUCUAGAUAAUGUUAAUAUGAGUUGACUAAAUAAAUGAGUAUUUACUUAUAAGGUAGCCCAUAGAACAUUAUUUGUGGAAAUAUUCAUGCACCUCUACAUAUGUUCAUGAUAACUUAGGUUGAUAAAUUUAAGAAGAACAAAUUCAUAACCUUGGGCAUAGUUAGUAAGAAAUUUCACCAAUAGAGUUUGGUAUCAUGAUUCUAAUUGUUCAAAUUGUUUUAAAGGAGUAUUUUAAAUUGCAUGUUAAUUUGCUUCUAAUAAAUGGAGAGAAACCAAUUCAAGAAGAGAAUUGUACUCAAGCUAUGUAUAGCAUUCAUGAAGAUGUAGAAAAUAUUGAUGAACUUACUUUUGAGCAAGUUGAAAUCAUAAUUAAAUAAAAUAACAAACCCAAGGGUUAAGAUUGUCAAGUAAAACUUUAAUUAAAAUUUAUUGAUUUUUUAAAUGCCUAUUAGAGGAGCAAUAGAAGUUCUAGAUAGAAAGUAAGAACUUUUCUAAGGAAUCACUUGUUAGAUUUUAAGUGAUCAAUAAAUAUAAUGUCCAAUUUAAAACUUUUAUAAAAGCAAUGGUUCUAAAGAAUAACUUGAUUUGAAUUUAAAGUUAUUAUUGAUAUUUAUUUAUAAUGGAUGUAGUUAAUCAAUUGAACAUAGUAAAAAACACAUAAUUUUUUCAAAAUACCUUCUAAUUGUUGGGUAUAUUUAAGUAGUUAUUCAUAUCUCAUUAUCUUUUUACUCACAUACUAAUCUCCUUAUUGAGUAUUUACCAAUUACAAGUAGGUUGAAAGUUACUUGAAUUUAAGUCACUAAUCAAUGUUAACUUGAUGACAAAUAAGUCUCCCUUUGAAACUUGUUUUAUAACAUAGCGAAAUGUAGUCGAUCAAUCAUCAAAACAAUGUUUAAGCAUUGGGAUUUAGUUGUUAAUUUUUAUUUUUUAUUUUUUGUGCUUAAACAAAGACAAAAAUUAUAAAAACUCCUGAAAAGUACAUAUUAAUUGAAUUUAAUUUAUACAUCAAACAAGAACAAACUAGUCUUGGAUUUAAAAUUCAAUAGGUUUUGUAAUUAUAAUUCCUAAAAAUUUGUAAGACAACAAAAUUAUUGGACACUAGGCUAUUGGGUGUGUAUGACUAAGAGGUGAAGGAGGGUUCAUCUUAUACAAAGGAUGAUUUGAUUAAUUUUAAAGAUUGAAUAAACAAUAAUUGCAUAUUCAAGUAAAAAUAACAUUGCUAAAAAGGAAAAUAAGUAUUUUAGUCCUCAAACCUAAAAUGGCUAAAAAAUUUAAUUAAUACAAUUACAACUUCACCUACAAAAAAAAAAAAAAAAAAAUACCCAAAACUUUUCAAUAGCACAACUAAGUCCAUUUAUCAAAAGCUCUAUGAACAACAACAACUAUCAAAUCACAUAAAUCAUGUUGUUUACAAAGUGCCCUUGAUGUUUUAAAACAUAAGAUAUUACAUAAAAAUCAACCAAUAGUGUAUGACAUUAUAAAAAACAUAUCCAAAUCCAUUGUCGAACUUAAACUAAAUUCAACUUUAUAUACAUAGUCGCAAGUGGGUCUUUUUGUCUUUCAAUUUGGGUCAAAUUCAGAUGUUAGUUUUUUACACAACAAGGGAUUAUCAAGGUGAUAAUUCAUGCAUAUAAAUAGUAUUACUUAUAUAAAAAAAAUGGUAAAUGCAAUUUUUUUGUAUUCACUCACCAUUUGGCAUAUCAAUAAGAAAAAAAUAUAUACAAUAGGUGCUAUCAAUAAUAUUAUGCAUCACUAGAAAUUAUAAUUUUUCAUUUGUUAUCACUACUUGUGCACUUUGGAAAGCUUGCUAGGUACAACAAAUUAGCUCAGUGAAGAAAUUGAUCAAUUCCUUCAUUUCUAAAUAAAUUUGCAUAUACACUAGAAUAAAAACAACUUUUUAACUUAACAAGUUGACUGAGUCUCAGAACUUAGUAGGUUGAAGGCAUAGACUUCCAUCCAAGCUCAUUUACUGGCACCACAUGUUGGAAAAAUAAAGAAAAAUCAAAACACUUGAGUAUAGUUGCAAACCAAUCUAAAUAUAGAGUGAGAUCUACCUUUCUUUGAAAGUUUAGAACAAAUUUUUAUUUUUAUGAUAAGACUAUGCAGUACUUAUCCCUCUCUAACAAGUCUAUAAUCAGUCCAAAGCAUGGGAUAUUGCAUAUUUCUUGAACUCAAUUAGCCUUUAAUCCAUGCAUUUCAAGUAAAUUUAAAACCUGGUGUACUUGUUCUUGAUUCACAUCCUUGUCACUAUUAUCAUUACUUGUUCUUGAAUAUAGAACCUUAUUGUCCAUUAACAAGCGGGCCUAUGUUCCUCCAUGAUUCAAGAGUAUUAUGUUUUGUUCAUCAUCAGUUGGUCUUGCUCUAAAGCUUCUUUUUUAUGACUAUCAAUAACCAGACUUAGAUACCAAAAUUUAUGCAAGAGAGCAUGUACUUUAUACAGUCAAGAACUUGUGAGUCUAGACUUUGUUAUCUAGGUAAAAGAAUAAAUUGGUUUGUUAAAAUAGCUAGCAUUAGGUAUCUAUUCAAUUCCUAUCUUAGACAAUAAAGAUACAAAUGAUCAAAUACAUUCUUAUUAAGAAACAUUUGAUACCAAAAGUGAUGUAAGACAACACAGUUCCUCUAUUCAAUCAAGUUUAAGGCUUAGAUGAACCUAUGAAUUUAUAUUAAUUAAUUGGGAAAGAGAAUAAAUAGGCUAAGUAGAAGUGAUAGGAUUGUAAUAGCAUUAAGUUAAUGAUCUUGUUUAGGUCUUCUACUAAAUUAGAGAAGAAACAAACAAAAGUAAUCAAACGUGUUAGUGAUAAUUAUAUCUACUUAACAUUGAGACAAUAGUUGUACUAAUGGUAAUUAUAUUAUUUCUUGAGAGUUUAAACAAUAUAUAUUGAAAAUAUUUUUAAAGGUUUAGCAACUACCAAGGUUAUAAUCAACUACGAGCUUUUUAUUUUUAAAAAUAUGAAAUAUUAAUAUCUUUACUUUCUUUGAUCUUCUUGUAGGUUUUAAAAGUUUGUCUAAGCUGAAAAAGCUGGAAAUCUUAAACCUUCGUGAUAAUCAGUUCAACAAGACCAUUAUAAAACAGUUGAGUGGACUCACAUCCCUUAAAACACUAGUUGUAAGCUACAACUAUAUUGAGGGACUUUUUCCUUCCCAAGGUAUUGCUUAUUCUUUUAAUAUCCUUAGUAACCACUCUACCAUGAUUUUUUUUUUUUUCAAUUUUAUUUUCUUUCUUGAACCAUACAGAAUUAUCUAUUUUUGGAAACUUGAUGACACUGGAUUUAAGAGAUAAUAGACUCAAUGGCUCCCUAUCAAUCCAAGGUAAAUUCUAAUCAGAAUUAUCAUUAUAUUUAGGGCAUAUAAUAAAUUAAUUAAAUUAUUUUAUCUAUUAUCAUUACUUGGUUAUUUGGAUUUUCUUGAUAUUGUUUAGCAUUUUACAUAGGAAAAUGAAAUGGAAAAAUCAACCCAUGCUUAGUGUUUAAGCACUGGGCUAGAAGUAUAUUUGUCUUCCCAAUUUAAUCAAAGAGAAAAGUCAUAAAUAACAUAAUUUAACUUAUACCUUAUAUUGAUUGAAGAGGUUAGACUACUUUUGGAUUUAAUGGUCAAUAUUUGUUGAAGAUAGGGUUUCCUAAAUUUGAUAAAAAGAACUUCAAUUUAAAUUACCAUAACUACAUAAAGGUGUGACUAGCAUAAUUAAACUCUUUUAUUAAUAGAUGUUCAUAGACUAGUAUUAUAAUCCCACAUGCACAAAUAAUCAAAUUUUGAAAUUAGACUUCAAAUAACUAUGCAAUAUACGAAACUACAAAAUGAAUGGUAGGUCAUAAUUAAUUAAAUUCGUACUAUAUUCAAUGUUGGUCAACACGUGUCAAGUAAAAGUUUUGGCCUAAGUGUAAGGGCUCACUUGCUCCAAUAUAUAUGUUAUUCACUUUGGGUCAAGGCCUACUUUAAAAUAUCUAUACAUUUAUGAGAUAUUUUAAAAUGUAAAAUGAUAGGUUUUGAUCAUUUUUAAAGGUAGCAAACAUUUUAUUUUAUUUGUAUUUAAGAACAACGUCUUUUCUUAUACAAUGUUUAUUUAAUUUUCUUUUGAUAGAUUUUGCAAGCUUAAGCAAUUUGGAGAUAUUGGAUUUGAGUUAUAAUUCCUUCAAUGGAAUUGUUUCAUCAUCUAUAAGAUUAAAGUCUUCUCUCAAGUCUUUAUCCUUGGCUGGAAAUAGACUCAAUGGUUCUUUACAAUGUCAAGGUAGGAAACAUUUAAUUUUAUUUGUAUUUAAGAACAAUGUCUUUUCUUAUAUAAUGUUUUUUUAAUUUUCUUUUGAUAGAUUUUGCAAGCUUAAGAAAUUUGGAGAUAUUGGAUUUGAGUUAUAAUUCCUUCAAUGGAAUUGUUUCAUCAUCUAUAAGAUUAAAGUCUUCUCUCAAGUCUUUAUCCUUGGCUGAAAAUAGACUCAAUGGUUCUUUUCAAUAUCAAGGUACAUAUGUUAUGCUUUCUUUGUUUCAUAAAGAUUAGACAAGAUAAACAUUGUGAAAAAAAGGUUGUCAUAGUUAAUGUAAAAUGAUAGGUUUUUGAUCAUUUUUAAAGGUGGCAAACAUUUUAUUUUAUUUGUAUUUAAGAACAAUGUCUUUUCUUAUACAAUGUUAUUUUAAUUUUCUUUUGACAGAUUUUGCAAGCUUAAACAAUUUGGAGAUAUUGGAUUUGAGUGGUAAUUUCUUCAAUGGAAUUGUUUCAUCAUCUAUAAGAUUAAAGUCUUCUCUCAAGUCUUUAUCCUUGGCUAGUAAUAGACUCAAUGGUUCUUUUCAAUAUCAAGGUACAUAUGUUAUGAUUUCUUUGUUUCAUAAAGAUUAGACAAGAUAAACAUUGUGAAAAAAAGGUUGUCAUAGUUAAUGUAAAAUGAUAUGUUUUGAUCAUUUUUAAAGGUGGCAAACAUUUUAUUUUAUUUGUAUUUAAGAACAAUGUCUUUUCUUAUACAAUGUUAUUUUAAUUUUCUUUUGACAGAUUUUGCAAGCUUAAACAAUUUGGAGAUAUUGGAUUUGAGUGGUAAUUUCUUCAAUGGAAUUUUUUCAUCAUCUAUAAGAUUUAAGUCUUCUCUCAAGUCUUUAUCCUUGGCUGUAAAUGGACUCAGUGGUUCUUUACAAUAUCAAGGUACAUAUGUUAUGCUUUCUUCGUUUCAUAGAGAUUAGAGAGGAUAAACAUUGUAAAAAAAAAAAAGUUGUCAUAGUUAAUGCAAGCUAAAACUAAAAAACUUGCUUUUUCAAUUAUGUAAGCAUGUUUUGUUCUUGAUGAAUCUUUACAACAUUCAAAGUUACUAAUAUUUAUAAUUCAUAGAGACCUCAUUAACAACCACUAACAACUAAUUGUAAGUAACUAUGAAAAAAGUAAGGACAAAAAUGAGGGAAAAGCAAGGAAAGUGACAAAUUUUUUCAUCCCCAUAAAAAAUGCUAAGGAAGAAAAAGGUGAAGAAAAUUUAAAGAAAGUAUAUUUUUCAAAAAUUAAAUUUUCUUUCCCUUAAAGUUGGUAUGGACAACCAAACAAGAAAAUGAUUUUGAAAUUCUUUUUUGACUUUUUUCUUUCAUUUUUUUUCCUACUCUAUUUUCUUUCCCUCAAACUUUCUAGGUAGUAAACAUUACCUAAGACAAAUAGGGAAGAAAAUAUUUUAUCAUUUAUUUAUUUAGCAUUUUUCUUACAUUUUUUGUAUUUUAUCCAAAUAUAAGAAAACUAUUUUUCUUUAUUUUUUCUUUUCCUUGUUGCGUUUCAAGAAUCAAGCAUACUUUAAACUCUAAUUAAGAGUUACAUAGAUUUACGAAGAAACGAUGCAACUGGUAACAAAAAAUUAAGGAAAUUUAAUUUUUGAGAGUAAGUAUAAUGAGAUUGGUUUGUUUGAUACAAAAUUUGAAUAAAAAUUCUUUUAAUGAAAAUUCAAGGAAAGGAAAAAAAAAACAACUUUAUCUCUAGACUAUAAUACUAAAUCAAUUAAAAAAAAUCUCCUAACAUCGUUUAUGUUCAUCUUUCUUUUUAUGGAUUUGAAAAACUCAAUAAUUUGGAGAAAACUGAUUUAAGGAAGAAUAUUUUUUAGAGUAAAAGAUUAUUAUUUAAGAAUAUCAUAAAUAUUAUAGUCAUUGUUGAAUAUGAUAAAUGAUAAAUAAAAAAUAAAAAAUAAAUAAAAAGUCGUUGGAAAUUUAGAUACUUUUAUGGAAAGAUAGACAAAGUGCUCUAGUUUAUAAUACUAAUGCACUUUUCUAAUUUGAUAUGAAAAAAGGUAAAACGAUAGGUUUUGAUCAUUUUUAAAGGUAGUUUGUUUAAAUCAUUUUAAUUUAUUUUGAUUUAUGAACAAUAACUUUUAUUACACUAGUUAUUUUGAUUUUCUUUUGAUAGAUUUUGCAAGCUUAAGCAAUUUGAAGGUAUUGGAUUUGAGUUAUAAUUCAUUUAGUGGGAUCGUUCCAUCAUCUAUAAGAUUGAUGUCUUCUCUCAAGUCUUUAUCUCUGGCUGGAAAUGACCUCAAUGGUUCCUUACCAAAUCAAGGUACAUAUAUUGAGAUUACAGGUUUUUCUGUUUUCUUUUUUAAUAUCUUGUUUGUUCUUUAUGCCAAUGAAGUCAUGCAUGUCUAUUAAUUUUUGGUAUUUAAUGAAAAACUUUAUUCUUAAUUCAUAAAGACCUCAUCAACUGUGAGUAACAGCUAGUUGUAAGUUUGGGGGCAUUGACAAGACGAGGAGAUGAUUGGUUACAUGUCUUAUUCUCUUUUGUAGGCUUUUUCCAAUUGAAUAAGCUUCAAGAGUUGGAUCUUAAUUACAACUUAUUCCAAGGGAUCCUUCCUCAAUGUUUGAAUAAUUUGACAUCUCUAAGGUUAUUAGAUCUCUCUUCCAACCUAUUCUCCGAAAAUCUUUCUUCCACUCUGUUACCUAAUCUCACAUCCCUGGAGUACAUUGAUCUCAGUUACAAUCAAUUUGAGGGUUCAUUCUCUUUCAGCUCUUUUGCUAAUCACUCCAAGCUUCAAGUGGUCAUACUUGGAAGUUAUAACAACAAAUUUGAGGUAGUUGGAAGGGAUAACAACAAAUUUGAGGUAGAAACUAAAUAUCCAGUUGGUUGGGUUCCCCUGUUUCAGUUGAAACCUCACCGGUGACCUUCCUGGUUUUCUUCAAUACCAAUUUAGAUUAACGGCAGUUGAUCUCUCCCAUAAUAACUUGACAGGAAGUUUCCCCAAUUGGCUGCUUGAAAACAAUACGAGAUUGGAAUUUCUGCUCCUGAGGAAUAACUCUUUAAAGGGUCAACUACUUCUCCUAGGACCUAAUACCCUGAUCAGUUCGUUGGAUAUCUCACACAAUCAGUUGGAUGGACAACUUCAAGAAAAUGUGGCCCAUAUGAUUCCAAAUAUUUGGAAGUAUUCCCAAUUCAAUCUCUAGACUUCUAGAGCUAAGGAUUCUUUUGCUAAGAGGAAACCUUUUAAGUGGUUUCAUUCCAUAUCGACUUUGUCAUUUGACUAAAAUAAGCUUGAUGGAUCUUUCAAACAACAAUUUUUCUGGGUUAAUUCCUGGAUGCUUUGGUCAUAUCGGAUUUGGAGAUUUCAAAACUGAGCACAAUGUGUAUAUACCGAUGUUGGAUUCAUAUUCAGAAAGCAAUCCUUCUAUAUAUACGGGUUACUUAAUAAAAUAUUUAUUUUUCUCUAGUGAACUCCCUGAUAAAGUAGAUGAAGUUAAGUUUGUUACCAAGAAUAGGUAUAGCUCCCACAUAGUAGAUAAAAAUAUUUGUUCGGAAUUUAGAUAUUUUUAUAGAAAAGUAGACAAGUAUUCUAAUUUAUAAAAACAAUGCAUUUCUUUAGUUUGGUAUAAAAAAAUGAAAUGAUAGGUAUUGGUAAUUUUUUUUAAAGUAGCAAACGUUUUAUUUUAUUUGUAUUUAAGAAAGAUGUCUUUUCUUAUACUAGUUAUUUUAAUUUUCUUUUGACAGUUUUUGCAAGCUUAAGCAAUUUGGAGAUACUAGAUUUGAGUUCUAAUUCCUUAAGUGGGAUUAUUCCAUCAUCUAUAAGAUUGAUGUCUCAUCUCAAGUUUUUAUCGCUGGUCGGAAAUCACCUCAAUGGUUCUUUACAAAAUCAAGGUACAUAUGUUAUGAUUUGUUUGUUUCAUAUAGAUUAGAGAAGAUAAAUAUUGUAAAAAAAAAAAGUUGUAGUUAAUGUAAGUUAGAAAAAAGUAUCUUGCCUUAUAAAUUAUAUAAGCACGUGUUUGUUCUUAAUGAAUCUUUACAACAUUUAGAGUUACCAAUCUUUAUAAUUCAUAAAGACCUCAUAAACACUGAGUAACAACUAAUUGUAAGUAAUUGUGGAAAAGUAAGGAAAACAAAUUGCUUCAUUUGAUACAAAAUUCGAAUAAAAAUUCUUUUAAUGAAAACUCAAGGAAAGGAAAAAACAUUUUUAUCUCUAGAUUAUAAUACUAAAUCAUGUAAAAAAUCUCGUAACAUCAUUUAUAUUCAUAUUUCUUUUUAUAGAUAUGAAAAAUUCAACAAUUUGGAAUAAACUUAUUCAAUGAAGAAUAAUUUUUAGAUUUAAAGAUUAUUAUUUAAGAAGAUCGUAAAUAUUACCAUCAUUGUUGAUGUCUAAGAAGAUCAUAUUCAACAAUUUUUUUAAUAUGUUGUUUUCUAUGGUAAUUAAUUGAUGUCUUGUAAUUUUUAAUAUUUAAUGAAAAACAUUAUUUUAAUUCAUCUAGAGCUCUUAAUUCAUGAAGACCUCAUUAACGGUGAGUAAUAGUUGGCUGUAAGUUUGGAGUCAAAGACAUUUCAAGGAGAUGAUUAGUUACAUGUCUUGUUCUCUUUUGUAGGUUUCUGCCAAUUGAAUAAGCUUCAAGAGUUAGAUCUUUCUUACAACUUAUUCCAAGGGACCCUUCCUCCAUGUUUGAAUAAUUUGACAUCUCUGAGGUUAUUGGAUCUCUCUUCCAACCAUUUAUCCGGAAAUCUUUCUUCGCCUCUGUUACCUAAUCUCACAUCCCUGGAGUAUAUCGAUCUCAGUUACAAUCAUUUUGAGGGUUCAUUCUCUUUCAGCUCUUUUGCUAAUCACUCCAAGCUUCAAGUGGUCAUACUUGGAAGUGAUAACAACAAAUUUGAGGUAGAAACUGAAUAUCCAGUUGGUUGGGUUCCCCUGUUUCAAUUGAAGGCUCUUUUCCUAUCCAACUGCAAGCUCACCGGUGACAUUCCUGAUUUUCUUCAAUACCAAUUCAAAUUAGAGGUGGUUGAUCUAUCCCAUAAUAACUUGACAGGAAGGUUCACCAAUUGGUUGCUUGAAAACAACACGAGACUAGAAUUUCUAGUCCUAAGGAAUAACUCUUUAAUGGGUCAACUACUUCCCCUGAGACCUAAUACCCGUAUCCUUUCAUUGGAUAUCUCACACAAUCAGUUGGAUGGACGACUUCAAGAAAAUGUGGGCCAUAUGAUUCCAAAUAUUGUGUUUCUAAAUUUAUCCAACAAUGGUUUUGAAGGUCUUCUCCCAUCCUCAAUAGCUGAAAUGAGUUCCUUAAGGGUGUUGGAUUUGUCUGCCAAUAAUUUCUCAGGAGAAGUACCAAAGCAGUUGCUUGCAACAAAAGAUUUGGUGAUUCUAAAAUUAUCAUAUAAUAAAUUUCAUGGUGAAAUAUUUUCAAGGGACUUUAACAUGACUGGGUUGGAUAUUUUGUAUUUAGACAAUAAUCAGUUCAUGGGAACUCUGUCAAAUGUAAUCUCCGGAAGCUCUCAGUUAAUGGUGUUGGAUGUGAGCAACAACUACAUGUCAGGUGAAAUUCCAAGCGGGAUAGGUAACAUGACAGAAUUGAGAACAUUGGUCAUGGGCAACAAUAAUUUUAGAGGCAAAUUACCACCUGAGAUUUCUCAAUUGCAACAGAUGAAGUUUCUUGACGUUUCUCAAAAUGCUCUUUCAGGAUCUCUUCCUUCUUUGAAGAGCAUGGAGUAUUUAGAGCAUCUACAUUUGCAAGGGAACAUGUUUACAGGAUUAAUACCGAGAGAUUUUCUCAAUUCCUCAGAUCUAUUGACUUUGGAUAUGCGAGAUAACAGGUUAUUUGGAAGUAUUCCCAAUUCAAUCUCUGCACUUUUGGAGCUAAGGAUUCUUUUGCUAAGAGGAAACCUUUUCAGUGGUUUCAUUCCAAAUCAUCUUUGUCAUUUAACUAAAAUAAGCUUGAUGGAUCUUUCAAAUAACUCUUUUUCAGGGCCAAUUCCCAAAUGCUUUGGCGAUAUCCGAUUUGGGGAGAUGAAAAAGGAGAAUGACGUGUUUAGACAGUUCAUUGAUUUUGGGUAUGGAGGGGAUUCUCGUAAUUUAUAUGUUGGAUUCACGGUGAAAAAAUGGGAGUUCGAUAGUGAUGUAUAUGAUGAAAAAAAUGAAGUUGAGUUUGUCACCAAGAACAGGCAUGACUCCUACAGUGGUGACAUCCUUAAUUUCAUGUUUGGAUUGGACUUGUCAUGUAAUAACUUAACCGGUGAAAUCCCUCACAAACUUGGAAAGCUAAGUUGGAUUCAUGCAUUGAACUUGUCUCACAAUCAAUUGAAGGACUCCAUUCCAAAGAGUUUCUCCAAUCUUUCUCAAAUAGAGAGCUUGGACCUUUCUUAUAAUAAAUUAAGUGGAGAAAUUCCUCUAGAGCUAGUUGAACUCAAUUUUCUAGAGGUGUUCAGUGUGGCUUACAACAACAUCUCUGGUAGAGUUCCAGAUACAAAAGCACAAUUUGGGACAUUUGAUGAAAGAAGCUAUGAAGGUAAUCCUUUUCUCUGUGGGACAUUGUUAAAGAGAAAAUGCAACACAAGUAUCGAGCCACCAUGCGCACCAUCACAAUCUUUUGAAAGUGAGGCAAAAUGGUAUGAUAUCAAUCAUGUUGUUUUCUUUGCAAGUUUUACUACUUCAUAUAUCAUGAUCUUGUUAGGAUUUGUUACCAUCCUUUACAUCAAUCCUUAUUGGCGUCAUAGAUGGUUCAAUUUUAUCGAGGAAUGUAUAUAUUCCUGUUAUUAUUUUGUUUUUGAUAAUCUUUCCAAGUUAUCAGCAUAUUUGUAUAAUUAGAUACUUUUAAUUGGAUGAUGUUUGCAUAAUUAACUACUAUUUGUUUCCACUAGAUAGAAAGAAAUGGGAUGUAUAAUUGCUACAAGUUGAAACUUACAUACUUUGCUCAAAUUUUGACAUCUUUUGAUUUUAUUUUCAAGUUCCGUUAUUUUUUAUGUAUUGUUUAAUUCAAGAUUUAACCAUAUUUUGUUACUCUUAUAAAAACAAAUUCAAAUUUUUAGGAAGUUUUAGCAUUAAAAUAAUUUCAUAGUCAUAUUUUAAAAAAUAAAGAAGAAAGAAAAUAAUAAAUAAUUGGAAAAACAAUUCAAGGGAGUAUUAAAUUAUCAUCUUAGAAUUGUUUGGCAUAGUAUGGGAAUUCAAAAAUAAUCUUUCAAUUUGUUAGAAGCGUUUAUUUAUUUAUUAUAGCAAUGAUUGAAAUAUCAAUCACAAAGCAAUGUUUUCUUUUCUUUUGUAGGGCACUAACACUUUUUCUUUGAUCGUAAUAAUUGAUAAAUAUAUUACACAAUUAUUUGUUUUUAAAAAGGGAGGGAUGACAAAUAUAAUAACAUGUGAAAUAUUUCUAAAUGAUGGGAAAUAAGCCAAUCUAAUUAGGGUGCAAUAUUAUUCAUUUUAAUUUAUAUGAAUUUACUUAUUUUUAUUUGUAUCAUAUUUUGAACCAUUUUAUGAAAUUAAGGGAGAUUAAAACAUCGAGUUUCUUAUUUUAAUUUAUAUUUUUAAUAAUAAAGCAUGAAAUAUUUUUUUUUUUAAAAUCAUGAAUUUCUUUAAUUCCUUAGGAAACCAAUAUAUAAAAAAAUUGAAUAUAUUAUGAUUUUAUGUCCUAAAUCUCUAAAUUUGUUCAUCACGUAUUUAUUUUUAUAUUAAAUUUAUUAUUAUUAAUUAUUUAUUAUAUAUUAUUAUUUUAUGUUUAAAAAUGUCCAUAAAUAAUUAAAAUUAAUAAAUAAAAAAAAUGAAAUAUUAAAAAAAUUAAAUUAAAAAGAUUUCAUCAAACUAACAUAUUUAAAAAAAAAAAAAAGCAAAAAGAAGAUGGGGAUAUUAUAGAUGAGGGGAAAAAGAUAAAAAAUAAAUAAAAAUUAUGCGGUAUGAUAAUUGCCUCGUGUUAAAGUUAUUUUCUUUUAAAAAUAAUAAUUGUAAUGAUGAACUCAUUUGUCUUAUUAAAGUAAACAAAAAUGAAGAAAAAAAAAAAGUUGUAGUUGGCUAGAGGUGAGAGAGAGAGAGGAGGGUUUGAGUGUAAGUUUGAAAUAUUAAUUAUUUUCACUAAGUAGAUAUUUUGAAGGUUAUUUUCCCCAAAACACAUAUUCUUUUAAUAAAAAAUCAAAAUUUUAGAUUAUUUGUUCCUUUAAACUUUAGUUUGAAUAAAAUUAGUUUUAAUUAUUUUCUUUUUGGAAUUAUAUUUAACACAUUAUUAAAAAUAUAAAAAAAUAUUAUUAGGUUUUUAUGUGCUGAUUGGGUUUUUUAAAUACCCAAUAUGCCCUCCAAUCUACCACUUAAGCAUCCGAUAUGGCUAAAAAUAAAUUAAAAAAAAAAAAAAGGAAAAAAAACAAAAGUGUAUGAUCCUCUUUCUCGAGUCUUCACAUUUUCAGACACUGAACCCAAAUCAAAAUUAAUCCUCCAAAUUAAUUUUCACCUCGAACCCAAACCCUAACUGCUGCCCCGUUUUCUCCUCAAACAUAGCUAUCCGAAAAACCCUAACCUCUGCCUCGUCUUCCUCUUAUCCCGGAAACCUAAAUCCCGUGACCCUAACCCCUUCUCUUUCCGAAAACCCUCCGGAAUAGGAAGAUUCAUAAUUCUUCAGAAUUAAUUUUCACCUCGAAGCCAGACCCUAACUGCCUCAUCUUCCUCUCAUUCAUAUCCUAAAAGUAGCUUCAACAGUCAGGCCUGUAGCCAUGAAAGCCGUAAUGAUCGCCACUUCCGGUGAUCCCCAAGUUCUCCAAGUGCAAGAAGUCGAAAACCCUAAAAUUGGAGAUGAUGAAGUUCUAAUUAGAGUGGACACCGCUACCAUUAAUCGAGCAGAUACGCUUCAGGGAAAGGGCUUGCACCCUCCCUCAAAGGCGGCAGUCCCUACCCCGGCCUCGAAUGUUCUGGAAUCAUCGAAGCUGUUGGAAGGGUCGUCGUUCGAUGGAAGGUUGGCGAUCAGGUAUUUCAAUUACUGAAUAUUUUUUCCUGUUCCUGUAUUUUUCUCGGCUAUCAAACACCAGGAACGCGUAAAUAAGGAGGUUAGCUGAUUGCGAAAACGGAAAUUUUUUGUUCGUGUUUGUGUUAAGGAGUCUUUGUUGAGAAUUUUGGGGAAAUUUAUGAUAAGUUUGUGAUUUUAUGAUUAAUUUUGUGUAUCAAUAAAUGUUAAUUAUUGAGCUUAUUGGUUUUUCAAAUUUAUGGUUGUAAGAAAAUUGGUCAGUGUAAGGUUAUGGGUUCAUUACCAAUUUGCUUACUGAAAAUUUUUCCAGAUAUUGUGGGCUGGUUUGGUAGCAGAAAUAAGAACUGUGUUUUCUUUUCCAAAACGGAAAUAGAUGUAGAAAACAUGUUUGGUAGCCUACUUUCAGAACUUGUUUCUGAAAAUAUUUCCUGAAAAUAUUUCCUGAAAAUGAAUUAUUUCAGAACUUGUUUUUAAAAACUGCAAGCACUUUAUCAAUUUAAAAGGUUCUGAAAUGGACAUGUUCAUGGUCUUCAUUUUGUAAAAUGAAAGCUUUUAUGAAAAAACCAUUUUCCAUUCUACUAAGCAAACAGGCUUUAUAUUGUAACGGAUCUAUUGGCCAUCUCCUUUGUCAUGUUUUGUGAAUCAUGGCAACACUGGAAUCCACUCCAUUACUCUCUAUUAGUGAUUAGGAGAGAAAGCACCGAUUUUAAUGCUAUACUUUAUGUGAUUUUGCUUCCUCCUGAGUACAAGUUCAUAAUAUAUAUGGUACAUGGUACAUGUCUGUAUGACAGUUUGUGGUAUACAGAUGUGUGCUCUUCUUUCUUGUGGUAUACAGUUUGUGGUGGAGGGUAUGCUGAAAAAGUGGCUGUUCCAGCUGGGCAAGUUCUUCUUGUCCCAUCUGGUGUUUCUCUAAAGGAUGCUGCCGGUAUUCCUGAGGUUGCAUAUCCUGUUUGGUUUUAAUGAUGAGCCGACUGUCUGCAGGAGAAACAUUCCAGGUGAAUUUUCAUUUUUUUUUAUUUUCUGAUGCCUGAUAUAUUUACCAGUACAUAACUUAGCUUAAUGGGGUUGUGCAUAUUCUAAUGGUUUAAAAAGUCCAAUGCGCACAAAUUUACACUGUUGGUGUUUAAUGUGUGUGCAUCAAUAUUGGAUUAGGGAGGCAGAAGAGCCAUGGUUUUUAUUAAAACAUUACAUCAUCAUAUUCUUAUUUAGAUACAUCGCGUCUCACGAUUUCAUUGCAUCCAAGGCCAUGUUGUUUUUGAUUGCAUGGUUUGUCAUGAUAAUUUCUCAACCCUUCUCUGGAAAAUUAUGUUGGAUGGCUGAUAUUAAUUACCCCAAAAGAAGAAAUUUUAUGUUGAAGUAAGAUGAGUACCACAAAGAGUUACUUUUGGUUGUUCCUAUCAUCAAAUAGGUGAUUGAUGCACAAUCCAAAUGGCAAACACUUUUUCCCCCUUUAUCCAGAUGGAAUUUUUAUGCAUGGAUGAAUUGUGAAAUGAGGACUGAUAAUAUUUCAGGUUCAUGGGGGUUCAAUUGGAAUUGGUACGUUUGCUAUUCAAAUAGCGAAAUACCGAGGAGCAAGGGUAUUUGUUACAGCAGGUUUGCCAUCACUAUUCUACCUCAUCUCAUGGCACCAAUUCCUUGUCUUCACAUGUUUUCGACCAUUUUUUACAACUGAAAACGAGGAAAAAUUAGCUGUUUGUAAGGAUCUUUGAGCAGAUGUGUGCAUCAAUUACAAGACAGAAGACUUUGUUGCUUGGGUGGAGGAAACAGGAGGGAAAGGUAUAUUCUAUUGUAUCCUAACAAUAAUUUCAGUUGAAGAUGGAAUUGCUUUUAAUUUUUUAGUGCACCAAAUCCACUAGUCUGGUAUGUUUGAAAAGAUAAGUAGUCAUCUUCCACUUGAUUCCGAUUGUGAAGAUCUAACUCCAAAAAUGUUGAAUGACAGGUAUUGAUGUUAUACUGGAUAAUAUUGGACGGGCCUACUUUGAGGGAGACAUCGAUAGUUUAAAUGUUGAUGGAAGGCUUUUUAUUAUUGGUUUUUAAGGGUGGAACAGUUGCAGAAGUAAAUCUUUCAGGUUUACUUGCAAGGUGCCUUACAGUGCAAGGUACCACUUUCUCUAUAGAAGAUUUUUCUGUAGUUUUGGAGUUGAUUCAAUUUGAUUAAUCUCAUCCAAGUUCAGAACUGAGGUGGAUUCUGGCAAGCCAAGGAAAAACCAAAUUACCAUAAAUUCUUUUUUUUCUGGAUUGUUUUACUUCUUGGAAAUCCUGUUUCUUGAUCUGGUCAGGUAUAUGGAAAUUCCAAGGAAAAUAUGUUUUACAUUUUCCAUAAUUGGAAACACUCAGGAAUUUAAUAUUUUCCUCUGAAAUAGCAAUGGUUUUCUAAUUACGACAUUUGUUUUUCUUGUAUCAUCCCAAAAUAUUUUUUAGGUGUUUGUUCUCUCUUGACACAGCUUUUAAUUGGGUCUGUCUUGCUUUUUGAUAGAUCUCUUGACAAGUUGCUUGUAUAUCAUACUUUCUUUAUUGUUUUCGGAUCAUGAACCUUGCUUCUGUCAGCCCUGUUAUCACUACCCAAACUAGUAAAUUUAUGCACAAAACUCCAUGUGUCAGUAACAGUGGUUAUUUGAUUGUAUUAAAUAAUUUGUAAAUACAUUGGAUAAGUUUGUACUAAAUGGCAAUUGUUUCUGCAGUGGCUGGUUUGCAAAACAGAAGUCUGGAAAAGAAAUCUGUAAUUGUGAGUGAGGUGGAGAAGAAUGUUUGGCCUACAAUCACAGGCGUACAAGUAUUUUCCAUUGACGGAAGCAGUAGAGGAUCACCAGCUCAUGGAAAGCAGCAAGCAUAUUGGGAAGAUACCACAUAUUCCAUUAUGUUAUGGUUAUGAAUGAUCUUAUGCCUCAGAGGGGGAUGACAUGAUUUUAAAACUCUUAAUGAGCAUCUACUAUCUGAUACAAUGUGUGAUGCGCGCAGGCCUAGAUGGUCAAUGCUUAGUUUCUUAUGUAGCCCUGUCAUUUGAGAAUAAAAACCAGCCUUCCCGUCCAAACAUUUAGACUACUGGAAUCUAAAGCCUCAAGAUGGUUGACAAUGAAUUUUCAUGUGGAAACAGAUCAUAACUCUCCAACCUCCACAGACGAGCUUACCUUCCUUAUCUGAAGUUUGAACAAAACUGUAUAAAACUGUUAGGUAGGUAGAACUGUCUAAGAAACCAGAGCUUGGCUAGUUGAUCACCUUAUUUACAGAGCUUGGAUGUGAGAGAAACCAGCGCCCCUAAAGGUCAGGACAAGAUCCAUUCCACCAAAGUUGAGCCUUGCAUGUAGUCACCUGGUAUUUUCUUUUAUUGGAGUCUUCCCCUCUACCCUGGCACUGGGAUUGAAAGCGAAUGAAAAACGUGCACAGAUUGAAGGUGUGCUGCUUGAGUUGAUUGUGGUUUGAGCAUGAAAAUUUGAAGAUCCAGAACAGCAAAUGAGGAAUGCCUAUCAAUUUGAAACCAGCAUGGGUGGAUGAAUGGAGAGGUUCUUCACUGAAUUUGUCCAUGAAGCUUUUUAGCACUCUAGGGCAAGGGUCUCCAAGACUAGCUGUUGAUUGCACAUCCCUCCUGCGCAAUACGAAGAACAGAGUGAAAUGCAAAUGCAGGAAAGGGUGUUUCUUAGCUGUUCAACAACUGACAAUACAUUGGCAUGACAAUUCCCUGGAUCGAUGCCCUCUUGGAGUUCCAAAGCUUGUUCACAGGUCAAUUGAACUUGAGGGUUUUGGGACAUGUACUCCAAGUUUGGUUGCCAAGAAUCUCCAGGUGGAGGAUCAGCUUCUGACACGUGUGCACACACCUCUUGGCCAGUUUGUGUUAUUGCAAUUUUAAUAAAUUGCAAAAAAAAAUUAUUGCCAACAAUUUUUUCUUUUUUUCUUUUUUCUUUUUAAACAAACUGCAAAAAUCCUUUUUUUUUUUUAUAAAAAAAAAAAAAAAAAAAAUUUCUCCAACAAAGUGAUUUUUUUUUUUUUGUGGCAUGACUCGGUUUGACCACUAACUCGGUGAACUGGUCUACCGGCUCAAGUUUGGAUCCCUUAAUUUUGUGGCAAAUUGGGCCUCAAGCCCAACAACCUAACUUCCACGCGGGCUAUCUAUAAUAGGUUAAUAUUGCAAACCAAAAUAAUAAUAGACAUGAUUCUUUUCAAAAAUUUUAUAAUGUAAUAUUUUUUAAAAUUAUAAAAUAAUAGGUUAUAUAAAUUUUAAUAUAUAGGUAAAAUUAAUUAAAUUUUAACAAAUAUCUUCACAUUUAGACAUUACAUAUCUUUUAUUUAAUAAAAUGUUAAAAUAUUAAUAUAUCUAAAUAUAAUAUUAAAAAUGAAAAAUAAAAUAGUAAUAAUUUUUAUUUUUUUUAUAUAUUUAAAUUUAUAUAAUUAUUAUUUAUUUUAAAAACAUACAAAUUGUAUAUUUAUAAUAUUAUUAGUUCAACUGUGAUUCAACCAUCGCUCCGAUUAUUCAAUUGUGAAUUAAUAAAUUUUUUAAUUCAAUGAUAGGUUUGAUCAUAAAAAUAUUAUGUUUUUUUUAUGAAAAGUACUCAAGAAAUAUCAUUAAUCACUAAGAUCACGUGGUUGGGUUAGGUGUAUCCGAAACAUAGGUAUUACUCUCUUCCUUAGUUAGGGCUUAGCUUUUGAAAAUGUAGAUAGGUAAAGUGGAUGGAAAGUCUAUAACUACGUAGAGAUUGAGCUUGGAGGCCAAUCUAGCAAAUGUGGAGAUUAGAAAUAGUUUACCAUCUAGAUAGUCAAGCAUAGCAAUUUACCAAACCCUUACCAACCAUCCAUACUAACCAAUUGUGGUUAAAUGUUUACAAAAAUGUACAUUAAAUCAAAGAGAAAAAAGAUUAAAAACGAACAAGAGAGAAGAAGUACGUCACCUAAUUUUGGUAAUAAAUGAAAUUAAAAUAAAUUCAUAAAUUUUUUAAAUUAAAAUGAAUUUGAACUUUAGAGAUUUGUGUAGAUAUCUUAUUAAAAAACCAAAAAGUUUGUUGCAUAUAUAAUUUCAACAAUGCAUAAAUAAUUACAACAUACGCAAUACAAUAAUAUUACACAAUUAUAUUUUCAAAUAUAAUAUAAGAUCAUUAAAGUGAUAAAUUGUAGUUGUAUAAAAUAUUUAUACAAGUAAAGAAGAAAUUAUGAGAUUAAAAUGCUUGUUGGAUUCUAAGUAAAAAAGAAAUGAGAUAUAGAAAUUGUCCCAUCAGACAUAUAAAAUUUCAUAUACAUAAUUUUCCCUUCAAGAAAAUUUAGGGUCAAAUUGAAAAAAUUUCAUUCAUAGAUUUUGGUAAAACCUCUAUCUAGUCCCCCAAGUCUUGUAUACAAAAGGAAAUAACAUUGGUAUGAGGGGUUUGAAUGCUUAAUUUUAGAUUGAAAAUGGUUGAGAUAAUUUUUGAUCGACUUCACAUGUGUUUUUGAUAAACUUGGAACAUUCAAACUUGUAUUUGAAGAAUCUUCAAAUCUUCAAUUUGCUCUUAAAUAAUGUUGAAACCUUUGAAAUUUGAAUAGAAGAAUCUUUAAGCAUUUGAAUUUUGGUUUAAAGAAUUUUGAAAUUUGAGAUUGAAGAAUCUUCAAAUUUGGGCCUGAAGAUCGAAGGCUAAGCUUGAAGAGUUCUUGAAGCUUGAGUGGUAUCUCUGAUUUUGUAUUGUAUUUUAUAAAAACUUUUAAAUAUAUUAUAUUUAUAGGUUUGAAGAGACAUUGAGAUUUUGUAUACAUGUUUGGAGUUUUAAACCUUGAAAUAUUACUCUUUUAUGAAAUUAACAUUUAUAAAAUUUGGAAGAACAUAAUUAGAUAAUAUUUUAAGUUAUUUUUAAUGAAAAUUGAUAAUUACCUUUUAAUUAUCAAAUUCACUAUUUCUAUUUAUUUUUGUAAUAUAUAUUAAUUACUAAAAUCAUUUAUUUCCUUUAUUUAGUUUGAAAGCAAUUAUAUAUCUUUUGUUUGUGUAGAGCUCAUGUGACACGACAAAUUUUAUUUUGUAACUUGCUCUGAAUGAAUGGCCAUUAUAAACUUCAUUUUAUCCUCAUCUGAUUUUGACGUGGGAAUAGGAGAGAUGAGGAUUUGACAUUUGGACCUAAGCCUCAGAGGGUUUUAACUCCACUCAACUACUUUAUGCCUUGUAUUUAAUAUUGCAAACCAAAAUAAUAACAGACAUGAUCCUUUUCAAAAAUUUUAUAAUAAUAGAAGUGUAAAUAAUAUAAGUAAAAAUAAUGUAAUAUUUUUUAAAAUGAUAAAAUAAUUGGUUAUAUAAAUUUUAAUAUAUAGGUAAAAUUAAUUAAAAUAUUUAAACAUUACAUAUCUUUUAUUUAAUAAAAUGUUAAAAUAUUAAUAUAUUUAAAAUUGUAUAAUUAUUUUUUAUUUUAAUACUAUAUAAAUUGUAUAUUUAUAAUAUUACUGGUUCAACUAUAAUUCAAUCACCGGUCCAACCAUUGAACCAUGAAUUAGUAAAUUUUUUUAUUCAAUGAUAGGUUUGAUUCUAAAAACAUUAUGUUUUAUAUAAAAAGUAUUUAAGAAAUAUCAUUAAUGGAUUAUCACUGGUUGGGUUAGGUGUAUCUGAAACAUAGGUAUUACUCUCUUUUUUAAUCGGGGCUUAGCUUUGGAAAAUACAAACAGGUAAAAUGGAUGGAAAGUCUCUCAUAUUAAGUUGAUUAAUUAAGUCAAAACGUUGUUACAACCAUGGAAGAAAAUAUCGGUAAUCACGGAUAUAUCGAUACUUCGAUUUUACGGAUAUAUCGGAUAUAUCGGAGAUAUAUCGGAUAUAUCGGAGAUAUAUCGGCGGAUAUUCUGGAAAAAAAUAUCGGUAGACUUAAAAUUGUUAAAAACUCAUGGAAAUGCAAGAAAAACCUCAUAAUAAUAUAAUUAGAAGUAUAAUUGACAUUUUAAAGUUGUUUUAUUGAAAAAUUUGAUAUAUAUAUAUGAUAUAAUUUACGAUAUUUGAUGUAAUUACAUCAUGUCGAUCUAUAAGAAAUGUUAAUUUUGUAAUUGUUCUCAUUAUAAAGUCACAUAAAAUAUUUCAUUUUAUUAAAUAUCAAUAAUUUGUACACAUUAAAUUCAUUAAAUAAACAUAUUUCAUAUUCAAAAUAUACUAUUUCAUGUUAAUUAAAUUAAUUAAAUAAUUUAGCUAAGUUAACUAGUUUAAUUUAAUUCUAAAUGUGAAAAUAAAUCACAAAUAAUCAUCUAAAAUAAACAUAUCAAUUUAUAAUUAAAUAAUCAAAUUAACCUAAGUUAAUUCAAUAAAAAUAUAAAAAUUAAUUACAAUUGAAUGUAAAAAUAAUAUUAAAUCAUCCAUAUUGCAAACAUACUAAUUAAACAAUAUAAAAUAAAUAAUGAUAUAUAUAUAUAUAUAUAUAUAUAUAUAUAUAUAUAUAUAUAUAUAUAUAUAUAUAAUUUUUUAAUAUUUAAUUAAUUAUUAAUGAUAUUAAAAACAUUAUGAAGAAAAUUAUAUAAUUUUUAUAUUUUUGGUAAUUAAUUAAAAGACUUUGCAUUUAAUUAUAAAAUAAUUAUAAUUAAUUUGCUAUUUAAAAUAUUCUUAUAUUUUCUUUAUAUAAUGAAUUUAAGUAUAUAUAUAAUUGUUGCAUAUUAUAUAUCAAGGGCAACUUAGCUCAGGUGGUAAGCGGAUGAACCCCAAACCUUUUGAUUUGGGGUUCAAAUCCUCUCAGCAGCAAGAAAAUAGAGGCACUGUAGCGCGUUGACGGGCACUGUAUUGCCGAAAUAUCGUGACAUUUUCUACUACUUCUUUGACUGCUUUAUGUGAAUUGGAGUAAUUACUUGCUCAUUGUGAAAUGUUUUCCAAUAGACUAUCAUUUAAUGGAUAACUAUGGAAGAGGAGUUUGGUUGAAAGAAAAAGAUCAAUAAAGUCAAAAUAAAUUAUUAAAACUAUUUUUUUUGAUGGAUUAUAUCAAUCUAGAUAAUGUCAAAGAUAUUACCAAUUUGAUAUCACCAAUUGAUAACACAAUUAAAAAAUAAUAUGAAUUUGAACAUAUUUCAAUUCAUUGUAAUCAUAUCCAUGACCUAAUUUUACACAUCCUUAAAUCAUGGUUGAGUUAUGAAACAAAUCUAUACCAUCAAUAGAAAAUAAAUAAAUAAAUAAAUACAAAAAAAUAUAUAGAUAGUCAAGCAUAGCAAUUUACCAAACCCUUAGCCACCAUCCAUACUAACCAGUUGUUGUUAAAUGUUUACAAAAAUAUACAUUAAAUCAAAGAGUAAAAAGAUUAAAAACAAACAAGAGAGAAGAAAUACAUCACCUAAUUUUUGUAAUAAAUGAAAUUAUAAUAAAUUCAUAAUUUUUUUAAAUUAAAAUAGAAAUUCAAAUACAUGUAACUAUUGUUUUUGUCUUGUAAAUCAUCCAAUUUUUCAAUGAAUUUAAACUCCACAGAUUUGUGUAGAUAUCUUAUUAAAAAAAGCAAAAAGUUUUCACUAAAAUCAUAAAAUUUAGAUUAGAAAUGAUUUACUAUAUUAGUUCAAAAUUCAUCUCCACAAAAAUUGAAAUAAAUUAAUUAUCUUCAAUUCAAAUAAAAUUUCUCCAAUUAAAUUUCCAAAUAUGUGCCUUAAUACCUAUAAUGUAAUUUGUAAUUUUAAUUAAAAAAUAAAUAAAAAUAAGGAUUUGAUCUUUUUCUUACCAUUUGAUGAAAAUUAUAAAAUAUAUUAAAAUUACAAGUGAUCAGACAUUUGAAAUUUGCAUCAUUUCUACCAUUGCAAACACCACCAACUCCAUAUUUCCCAUUUUUCUACCUGCUGCCAAUUCACUCAUCUCUCUAGGAAGAUUUUUGAGGUUAUCGUCAUGCUUGAGAUAAUCCAGAAAGUUGAUUUGGAAAAUUUCUUUUGUAAAAUUCCCCAUUAUCAUGCCCUAAACCAAGACAUAUCAUGAUUGGAUGGCCCCUUCACCAAUUUCACAAUAUCCAAUAGCAUAUCAUCUACUUCCAUUUUGUCAAUGGGAAUUACCAUUUUGCAUGGGAAGCACCAACGAAGAUGGGGGUUUUCAAAUUGGAUCACUAGCAAGGAAACCCACCGCAACAAUCUGAAUUAUUGAGCACAACAUCGGCUUUAGAGAACCCCUCCUGAAGGCGAAAUCGUCAUCUUGGCUAAACGUAGUCAUAGUUGGGUUGUGAGAAAUGGAGAUGAAUCACAGAAGGCUUUCAGUUUGACAGCAACGAAAAGGUAAAUGUACUCUAGAGAAGUUUUGACCUUGGGAGAAGUGCUUUUGAAUCCAAGUCAAGGUCUGUUCUGGAUCCCUUUUUGACUCUUUCUAUUAAAGGAAGAUAAUCUGCCUAGGAUUUGGAUGCAAGCCUGCAAGGCCAUGUUUAGGAGACUUAUGCAAAAUAUUUAUCCAUAGCUCCCCGCUUGAAACAUCUACAUAAAGCGUCUUCCAAGUGUGAACCAUCGUCUUGGGUCCUUGAGAUGAACCCAACUAUUUAGCAAAUUCUAGAGCUCUCAUUCCAAAUCCAUCAGUUUUCCUAGAUGAUUGGCCAGUGGAGAUCCAUGGAUAUAACAUAUGAAAUGUGCACAAUAAAAGUAACCAAACGGUUGGUUGGUUUGGCUGAAUCCCACAAUCGCAAAGACUUAUCAUACGAAACUGUUACCAACUGAGUUGAAUUUGGCAUAAAAAGGAUAUUCGUUACUACAAACUAGCGUUCUUUCGUGGUGCUCUCUUUUUGUAGGCUAUCCAUGUUCCAAAGAAAAACCCUCGUCAUGUCUGGCAUUGGGUACUGAUUAGAGUGUGGGAUGUUCAUUCUCCAUUAUCACCAAACAUAUGCAGGAUAUAUAUAUAUAUAUCCUGCAUAUGUUUGGUGAUAAUUCAAAAUAUGCCUUCAUUUUAUGGAACAUACCCGAAUCCAUUUUGUUUGUGUUGAAGAGGUGUAGAUCUUCUAAGGCUAUGAAGGGCACCACAUUUUCUAAGAAUUCUCUCUGACGAUGGGAAGUCAGAGAGAACAGGUUCUGUUUUUAUUUUGAAAACGUUGUUAUCCUUAAAGAACAAACACUAUUCUUUGGAUUUAUACCCUCCUACCUUAGGGAUCAUACCGUUUGGCUAUUGGGCCUCACGAGUCUUAGGCCCAUCAUCUAAGACCCGUGAUGGCAUUGGGCUCUACACAUAAGGUGGCCCAUACUCUAGAACGAAUAGAAAUCAUAUGUAUAUAUAUGGAUAGCUAAAUCCUGAACAAUGGUUAAUAUGAUGUCGGUCCACAUUUUUUCUAUCAAUCUCCCACUUGGACCACAUAUAUUACAAAACAAUGUUCAUGAUAGUACUUUAUUGAGCUCAUAUUUGCUAUCCUAUCCUAAUAUCCUUAAACAAUCCGGUCUACUAGUUAUGCUAACAUAGGAUCAAAGUGGCCUUCAUUAAUCAUAAUUAUAACUAGACCCAUCAAUGCUCACAACAUUAACAAAAUUAGUAACAUGGAUCAAGUAUGGAUGUGUAGCAUGGAAAUUACAUAAAAUGUGAUCUUUAUUAUGUCUAUUUCCAAUUGGUCCUACUUUAUGACUAAAAAAUAGUCAAAUUCCACUUUCAACACUUGAUGCUAAACUGCUUCUGAAAGUCAUCAUUUCAAUUCAGAGAAUUCAAAUACAAUAGUCUUUAAAAUCAAGGUUUGUACAGAUAACACAACAUAAUAUCAUAUCAAGAAAAUAAACACAAAAUCUAAAUACUAACUCCCACUAUACUAGAACAUCAUCAAUAUGUACAACACCCAUAUGUGUGACAUGCUCAUGAUAUACUUUGGGUGGCAAACCCUUAGUGAGCGGAUCCGCAAUCAUGGAGUUUGUGCUUGUGUGUUCAAUCGAUACUUGAAGACUCUGAACUCUUUCUUUCACAACCAAGAACUUGAUGUCAAUGUGUUUGGACUUUGACAAACUUCGGUUGUUCUUAGAAUUACAAUUCUGUGGCUUUAUUAUCAUAAUUUAUUCUUAAUGGUUUCUCAAUCUCAUCAAUGAUUCACAACUGAGUGACGAAAUUCCGCAGCCAUAUCCCAUGGUUUGAUGCUUUGUAGUAGGCUAUGAAUUCUGCCUCCAUGGUGAAAGAAGCAAUAAGUAUUUGUUUAACACUUUUCCAUGAAACUGUUCAUCCAACCAACAUGAAAAUGUAGCCUGAAGUGGAUCUCCUGCUGUCAAGACACCCCGCAAAAAUGGAGUCCGAAUAUCCCAUGAUCUCUAAAUGACUAGAUCUACGGUAUGUGAGCAUAUAAUCUUUAGUUCUUUGUAAAUAACGCAUAACCUAUUUUGCCUUUUUCCAAUGAUCCAUACCUAGGUUACUCGAAUAUUUGCCUAACAUUCCAAUAAUGUACGCAAUAUCCGGACGUGUACAAACUUGUGCAUACAUGAGACUUCCUAUUGCUGAGGCAUAGGGAAACCUCUUCAUAUCCUUCUUUUUAAGUUCAUUUUUCGGACAUUGGUGCAAACUAAAUUUAUCGCCUUUUGCUACAAGCAUGUCUCCUGGUGCACAAUUGCUCAUGCCAAAUCUACUCAACACCUUAUCGAUGUAGGCCUUUUGUGAUAAUCCAAGUAAAACGAUCCCUAUAGAUCUGUAUACCCAACAAAAAAGAUGCAUUACCAAGAUCCUUCAUGUCAAAUUUACUAGACAAAAAUCGUUUGGUUUCAUGCAAAAGUCCCACAUCACUACUUGCAAGUAGAAUAUCAUCAACAUAUAGCACCAAGAUACUGAAUUUGCUCCCACUGAACUUGAGAUAUAUGCAUUGAUCAAUGGUGUUUUCCUUAAAACCAAAUGAAGUAAUCAUCUGAUCAAACUUUUGGUACCAUUGUUAAGAUGCUUGCCUUAAACCAUAUAUGGACCUUUUUAAUCUGCAUGCAAGUUGCUUUGAAUCAUUAGACUCAAAGUUCUCCAGUUGCAUCAUGAAUAUUGUUUCAUCAAUGUUACCAUUAAGAAACGCAGUUUUAACGUCCAUUUGAUGCAGCUCUAAAUCAUAAUGAGCCACAAGUGUCAUGAUGAUUCUAAAUGAGUCAUUUGAUGAAACCGGUGAAAAGGUCUUGUAGACCCUCAAUUUUGUCCAUUUAGCACAUGUCUUUAAAUUCACAUCCAGUGCUCCACGGUAGUUCCUUGGUGGCCCAUUACUACUCAUAUGGCUUACCUUUUUUUAAGUCACCUCGGAGACUUUGGUUGAGGGAUUAUCUGACCCCUUAUUGUGAUCCUUGGCAAUCCUAAUUUAGAUUGGGCUUGAAUUAGAUACACUUAGCCCAUUUAGGCACCUUAGGCCCACUUAGGCAUCUUAGGCCCGUUUAGAUACACUUGGCCCACUUAGGCUCACUUAGACCCACUUAGGUCAUCUUUUAAAUAUUUUUUUUACAUAUUUGCAUGAUUGCAUUUUUUUGUAUGACUUGCACGGUUGCAUGGCUCAUGGGGCCUAAUUUUUGUUAAUUUGUUUGUUUUAUUUUUAGUUUUAGUUUUAUCAUUAUCAAUCACUCGUUUAUUUAUUUAUUUAUUUUAUUUGUUAUCUCAUUCUUUAUAUUAUUUUCCUUAAUUUAUUUAUUUAUUAUUGUUUUAUUGUUUUCUAAUUUGUUUGCUUAUUUAGUUAUUCAUUCAAUUAUAUAAUUUCAAAAAUUUCAUGUUUUUGCAAGGAAACUUACCAUUGGAGACUAAGGAAAGCGGGACUCUCCUUGGAAAGUUUUGGAGGGGAAUUUGAAGUUGGGAAGAUUGCUUUUGAAUUAGAAGAUUUAGAAAAAGGGAAAAAGGAAGAAGAGAAGAAGAAUGGAAAUAGGGGAAUUUUCUUUUUUUUUGGAAACAAAUUUAGGUCUUGAGGGAUGAUAUAUAUAUGUGAGAAAAGAAAGAGAAAGGGGGAGUGAACAAGCACGCAUUGGAGGAUUGGGAGAAAUUCUGGGAAAAGGUGGAGAGACGUAUUGGAGGCAUUGGAGGAAACCAUUUAAGAGGAGAAGAAGAAAGAAGCACAGAAAAACCAGUGGAGAUUUUCUGAGGAUAGAAACCAGUGCAGAUUUUUUUUUUUUCGUCAAAAGGAAGCAUUCCCAGGUAUGUCUACUGUAGAUUCCUUCUUCAUUCCCAUUAUCCUUUUGUUAUGUACUAAUCUUUGCCGGGUUUUGAGUCUUGCUUGGAUGCUAGGGGGGCAGAAUGACGGAGGUCACAUGUUUGUCUACAUUGAUACUUGCUUCUAUAGAUGUUAUUGAUUUAUCCCUUAGGAGUUCUCUAAUUUUGAUUUAGUGUUGCUAGGUUCCAUUUAUUAUUAUUUCCUGUGCAUUACAUGAGAACUGUGGUUGUAUUCGUUUGUUGGAAUCUGCUCGUACUUAUCCCAUCAUUCCAAACCCAUUGAACCUAACAUGAAAUGGGUUUUCAUUUAAUGGAUCACUUAUUUGUUCAUCCAUUUUUUUUUAUCAAACUCUAUUUUGGCGGGGUUGUUUUUCUACAGUUGAGCAUGCUUCAAAUUGCUCUGUUUUGCUUCCCGGGUGUGUCUUCCUAUAUUUAUGAAUGAAUAAGGUAUAGAUUUGUGGGCUUAUGAGCUGUAAAGGUGAUUUCAGUGGGGUUGAGAUUCUGGGUCCACAAGAAAAAAAUAGAAUAGCAGAAGAGAAAAAUCUGUAAGAGAGUUGGGAAGUCCAGAGUAGUGCAAAUCCUCUUGGGCGUCUUUGGUUCAGAAAUAUCAGAAAAGUUAGAAGGAUGAGAAAAACAAGAAAGAUUGUUUGCCUUUGAACUUUUGAUUGCUUAAAGAUGUUUGACAAUGACCACUGUAAACAACCUGCUACUUUAAUGGUUGUGAUAUUUGAAUGUCAGUAUGAAGAUGUGAUUGGGGUGAAAGUGCUGAAAUCAGAGCUCAGGAGAAGAUCAUUGACUAUUGAGUCUGAUAUGGAAUACAAUUGAAAUGCCAACAUUGAGAUAUUUGGAAGAAGGGGUCUUGCUCCAGGAGUUAGACUUGGUGGGGUGGUUGGUGACUCACUUACCAGAGUUGUAGGAAUGCAAGCAGAUGCACUUUUGUUUGCAGAGGCCAGAAAAUAGGGUUUUGAUUCUUUGGAAAGAGAAGAUGACAAAUAUUUGGAAAGAUUUAAAUUGUUUCAGUUGGAAGCUACUGAAUUUUACCAAGUCUUGAUCAAGAAAAUAAGAAGAUGUAGUGGGCGUCCAGAGGAGCCAUUGUUUUAAUGAAAGUCAGAGUUCUAUAGUUCUAUUCUACCAAUAAAAGUGCAUGAUUUUUGUUUGUCUUAAGGAUCUUGCUAGGUGCAGAGAGCUCUAUAACAAACCUGAUGUUCAGAGUCGCAAUUGGUCAAUUGCUGCUACCUGUUAUAGAGAAGUAACAAUAAUUUGGCACUGGUGCAACUGAAAGAAGAGUACAUGAGGAAAUUCCCUUUCUGGAAUGAUCCAUAUGUUCUAGUGAGCUUGCUUUCUGCUAGCCGACUGCGUGGAGAUGUUGUAAUUGGGGAGUGUUUGGCUAAAUGGCUUCUAAAACUUCAGCUUGUGACUACUUCUCCUUAUGUAUUAUUAUCAAACUUGUAUGCUUCAGAUAGGAAGUGGGCAGAUUUAAAGAACCUGUCAUCAGCGGAUAACAACUUCUCUGACUCAACUUUAGACUCAAUUUCGGGGUUAGAAUCAAUCAAGUCUUUAGAUUUAAGUCGCAACCCCUUUUCUGGUGAUAUGGCAGCAUCAUCGACAAAACUGACUAAUUUGGUAUCCCUUAAUUUAUCGUUAAAUGAGUUCGAAAGUAAAAUUCCAAAAGGUCUCGAGCUGUUUUCAAAACUUGAAAUUCUUGACUCGCAUAGGAAUAUGCUCAGUGGACUUCCAGACGAGGAAUUCUUGUAAUUUUCAGGUGCCAUUCGUGUUGACUUUAGUGGGUGCUAGCAGAGUACUAUCUAUGUUAUUCAUUAUAGCAGAUUCUUAACAUCCACAUUUAUUUAGGAAUAGAUGCUUCAGUUUGGAUGAUAAACAGAUUACAGAUUUAAGGCAUUCUAUUGAUAAGAUUCUAAGUGACAAGUCUUCUUGGAAUGAAGAUCUCUUUGUUGCUACAGUCAAAUUGCUUACUUCUGCUGCAGUUGAUCAGCCUGUUUUUUCUUGUCACCAUAAUUUCAGCCAAAGACAAUCUAGGUUUGAUGCAGCCAAUAAAUGAAGCUUCUUUUGGAAUAUUGGGGUCUGUCAAAGCAAGUUUGGUAGAUGCACUCUUGCAAGUUAUUGAAAGAUUUCAAUGAUCUUAUCAAAUAGCAAUCCCCGUUUACUACUGAAUGUGCUUGACUUACUGAAAACAUUGUGGCAAGGGGCUGCUCAAUAUGCAGAUAUUUUGGAAUGGCUGAAAAACUCUGAAAAGUUCUGAAAACUAUUUUUGUAACUCUAUUUCUCUAAUUGUUAGAAUGAAAGCUCCCCUGCCUGAGAAUCUAACCAAAAUGGAGGCUCUAAGCUUGGCAUACAAAUACCAGUGUCAAACAGCUGUAUUGGAAAUAAUGGCAGAAGUCUUGUUCCUGUGGAAGAAGUUACUGCAUGCUGAAUUUCUUGAAAUGCUUGCAAAUCUGCACAGUUCACCAAUUGAGCCUAGGAAUUCUGAUAUAUCUUCAGGAAUGGAUGACGAGUCCAAUAAUAGUGAGAUGCUCGCAGCUACUAACAUCCACCCUGGACAAGAUUCAUGGAGAAAAUUGGAAGUUGAAUACAAGGAAUUGCCGCAAGUGCACAAUGGUACAUUGCAGCAGAGCAUCUCUGUCGAUGCAAAACUAAUCAAAGAGGAUGUAAUUAGCUUAGUAGAUAAGGAAAGAAGGCAAGCUCUACAGACACCACAAGUGGUUAUGAACAUGCUCGAUGCGACUAUGCCUGGUACUCUAAUGGAAGAACAUAAGAAGAAGGUCCUGGCUGCCGCAGGACAAGGAGAAACAGUUAUGUAAACUUUGUGUGAUGUUGUCCCAGGGGAUAUUUGUGGAAAGCUUUCUACUGUUGUUUCUAGAAUUUUGGCAUACUCAAGGCGUAAAUUUAAACUUUGAGGGUCUUCUGAUGAUUGACCAGACUCCUAAUGUUUCGUCAGGAUUGAAAUCUAAGAUCCAAAAAGAAAUUGGAAUAACAUCAAGUGAAGAAGGUGGGACCGAAAGCUAGGAUACAGUUGAAGAUUACAAAGGUAUAGUUCUUGGAGGUUCCGAAGCCGCCAAACACUCCUUGGAGAAAUUAGGGAAAAUAUCAGAUGGAAGUUCUUGCUCCGGUGUAGAGAAUUCUUGUAAUCAUUCACAGAGAAUCGGUGGUCAAAUUAUAAGUGACUCGGAUGAAGAAGUGGACAUUGAUGAAUAAGGAGGUGGAAAUGAGUUAUUUGAUUUUGCUGCACUGGCUGCUCUCACGAAAAUAGUAGCAAGUGCAAGUUCCGAUAGUGGUAGUAUCACAAUAACCUCUCCAAAGGGAUCCAAGCUUCUCUCUGAUUGCCCCCCCUGCUGGAUUGGGAUCUACAAACCAGUCUCUAAGACCUGCUCCCCAACAAAACCUGUCCAAUCUUUUUACCCAUUUUCCAAUCUUGCAGGGAGGCAAACUGGUGAAGAAUUUAAUCUUGAUAUUGCAGAGAGAGUUGUUUGUGAUCUUAACACUACUGAAGCGUUUCCAAGUGUGUUAGAUCUAAAAUGCAGCCUGAAGUUCUCUGGCCAACUAAACUCGAGCCACUUGAUCGCCAGAUUGUCGAAGAACAAAUCCAGUUCAGUUCUUUCCUUUUACUGGUUUUCUGGCUCAUCCCUACCUCAUGAAUACACCCAGUUAGGCAGUGUUAUUAAAGUACCAAGGGACCUUAUUGAUCCCUACAUCCUGGUUAGCAUCCUUGCUUACGGGCAAUCCUGAACAUGGUGCGCAGCUGUACUGAUAAUCCGUCAUCUGAUAAGUCUUGGAGAUGUUCCCUGCUGCUAUUGCAUUCAGAAAACUCAGAUUGCAUAAGGAAGCUUGCUGAAAGUAUCUCAUAAAUGCUACAACAAAGGACAACUAAAAGGCAAUUUCCCAAGACUUAAUGCCUCAUUUCUGAAACCUGCAAGGGGAGAUGAAGUAUUAUCCAAAGAACCUAAAUGACGAUAUGGAGCUUCAUUAAAAUCUGUCCAGAGAAUUCAAACAGAUCAAUGAAGAGCUGUCUCUAAAGUCAUUCAUGAAAUCGAAAGGACAAAGCCGCGUCAAAAGCUGUUGCUGCUCGCGGUCUUGGACGCAAUGCAAAGAUUGGUUCUGGGAGGGGUCUCAGUGUUGUAGCUAUGGCAACAUCUGCGCAAAGAAAGGAAAUGACAAAUUCGAACAUGAAAUGGAAGUAGGGAUCUUCGCCAAGGUUCAUACUGAGAGAAUGGUUUCAUCUUCAAGAUUUGGAAUCCCAUCAAGACCUCUUGCCAAAUGUUCUCCUCAUGUUUGUUUUCGUUUGCUAUUAUAGUUACCUACGGUGUCGGAUUUCAUUCGAAUUUUUCAGACAAGUCUCCGCAUUCAGCCCAUGGAAAUGACAACCAGAAUUCCAAAACAACAGCGAUCAGACCAGUUCCCAGAUUCCAAUUGUUGGAUAUGUUGGUCAGCCAUAUGGAGCCCCGUCACUACCAAUCUCCCCUCUCUAAUAUCUGUAGCUGAAUUAGCAUCACCAGCUUCAUACGAUUGGCAUCUGGUCUACCUCUUUCAUUAUACUUUCCUCAGAAUUUGUUUUCCAGACAGCAAUGGCAGGUUCCAAUUUGGAACCCAAUAGCUAAAUAGAACCCACCUGGUAGUAAAGGUCAGCAAGCAGGGCUUCAAAACAGAGAAAAUCGGAAGUGAGGAGACCAAAAUCUUGUGCAAUAAGUAAAGAACACUUCAAAUGCCAUAUCCUUUUUCAUUAGAUGCAGAAGGAGGACUCUCUCUGGGUAGGAAUUGUAAUGAUAUGGAAAGGAUGGGAAGUCAUGAUACAAAGCUGUUUUAUCGUUUUAGCUUGGGAAUUGACAACUUCAUCUUCAAACGGUGGAAUUCCAUGAAUAAGGAGCUUUAAGACAUGCCAACAAAUUGCCAAGGAAUAGUCAACUUCUUCACCCAACAGUGAAACUAAAAGUGGAAAGAGCAGAGUAGCAUUGUUUUUUUUGGACCUUUUAUGAUCAUCAUGCAGAAAAAAAACAGCUCAGUAGCUGAAGUUGAGUAUAUUGGCAAACCUGAGAAUGCACUUCCAACCGAUGGAACUGAACAGCAGCAUAAGAAAUCUGAUUUGGAGUUAAGACCUACUACCACAUUACAAGCUCUAGUUGAUGAUUCAAAUUGUGAUCUCGAGAAACUAAAGUUGAAUCCAAACGACAUUGCUGAUGAAAUCAUGUAUCAAACCCUAUGAGCUUUGACUCUGAAAUGAAUAUGGACAGUUCGUUUCCAGUCACGCCAGCAGUAUACGGAGAUCUCUUCACACAACCACCAGCAACGUAGUCACAGCCAAACCCCCAAACCCCCAAACCCCAUUCUCCAUGACCGAUCUGGUGCACACUACUCUUUUCCUUUCACACCCCUCUUGCUUUCCUCGUGAUUUUAUGUGUCUUGAAUUGUGUUUUCAAAAAUUGUUUUCAUCCAAAUAAAUCUAAUUUUAGAUAAUCAUCUUUAGACCUUCUCUAGGCAUUGAAAUCUAAAUUUCAACACCCUUUUGCUGCCAUUUUCCUUCCGGCAUGCGUCUUCACUAUUUUAUUUGAUUUUCAACUAAUUUUCUUGAUUUUCAACAAGCAUGAACAAACUUCAUGAUUCCAAACAAUGGAAUUCAUUGAAUUGACUCAUGCAAAAUCAACUAGGGCUUUGGUGGGGGCCCGACAUUCAUAACACUCACUUCAAUACUGUUUACUUGAUAUGUUGAUUUUUGAUUCUUCUUGAUGAAAUACUUGAAUUCACUUAAUAUUUAUUGUUGAGAUGCUCUCGUUUCCCAUAGAGGAGUACUAGCUUGCUAUCCAGGUACGCUCUCUUCUCAUCUAUUUUUUUAGAACUCUAUGGACUUGUAUGUCAUUGAUGACCAUAUCCAUAUUUGAUGUGAUUCUUGAAUCUCUUGAUAUAUGCCUGAUUUGCUUGAAUAAAACAAAUGUUGUGUGAUGUAUCUCCAAACUAAUCUCUUAUGUUUUAUGAUAGCGCUUGGGAAGCCGUCCAGGUACGCAUUUUUAACUCUUCUUAAUUGUGAUCUGAUCUUGUUUGAUAUGUUAUGUUUUUGGAAUCACCUAGCCUACUUAGGUAUCCAUGAUCAACCAUUUAAUUGCCACGCUUCCCUUAACUUAGUCAGUAGAGACCUCUUUAGGGCUUAGAGGGGUGCUACCUCCUAGAGGUACCUUUCCAAUAAGUAACCUGAUCCCCGGACCUAAACUUGGGUUUCUCAAAGACAUGCUUUUUCCAAAACUAGAGAGUCACUUUUUAGGGUUUUUCUUUCUUGUUUUAUUUUCCCUUUAAAAUAAAAAUAAAAUAGGUGGCGACUCCAACUUUUUUUCCAAAAAUAAUAAAAAGCGAGUCUCGCCGAUCGAGUGGGGGCGCACGUGAAAAAUGCGGGUCCACAAAUUGGCGACUCCGCUGGUGAUUUUGAGGAUCAAGCUUGAACACUAGUUAAGGAAAAUGUGGCGUUUAAUUGGUCGAUUAGUGGGUACCUCUUUUUUUUAGGCAAGGUGAUUCGAUUUGCUUGCUUGUUUGGUUUGCUAUCUUAACAUGUUUGAUUGCCUUGGAUGAUCACUUGAUUGUUUUGCUCACUUUAGCAUGAUUCACUAUCACAUAUGUUAGAUAGGACUUUGUUUGUUUGAUAUUUAUUUGCUUCGCAUGACUGUUUGAAUGAUCACUUGAUUGUUUUGCUCACUUUAGCAUGAUUCACUCUCACAUAUGAUAGAUAGGACUUUGAUUGUUUGAUAUUUAUCUGCUUCACAUGACUGCUUGUUGCAUGACAACCCUUUCUCUUGCAUGUUCGUAUGAUUGCUUGUCUUCAUUCACUAUUUCACUUUAGAUCUUAGGUUUUUUUCGGAUGCACCCACAUCCUUCAUUGUGCACUUUAGAUUAUCCUUGAGUGUUGAGAGAUGGGAGAGCCUUCACCAUUAAGAAACCCCCUGAGAACGCGAGGAAGUGCAUGUGUAGAGGUGAUGACCACCUUGCAUGGAAGCACCCCAUCUCUUUGGAGGCAUGCAGAGGGUUGCGUACCGCCGGAGGGUACGAUCGCUUCUGCUAGGGAUCCUUUGACCCACCCAUUUUACCCUAUAGAACCACCUCAACCUUGUAGGUUAGCCUAGACCCAAUUAAGAUCUCAUUCCUACACGUGGGUGCAUCUGUGGACCUUCAGAACUGCCUUGGUCACAAUUGGAUUCGGUUAUCCCUUCCUUAGUCUCCUUUUGGUGUAAUCAGAGGAGGGUAUCAGAUUGAGUACAUUUGGGCUAUUCUCUUGCACACUUAUCAGCUGAUUCAUACAGAGUCACUUUCGUAUCGCAACUUAUCCAGUGUUUCCAUACUUGUAGGAGAGUUUACCGUGACCAGUCUGGAUUCACCUUCGUGGAUUAGAGUUAGAGGCAGAUUGACCAGAGCAUCAGAUCAGUCAGACCGGAAAUCAGAUCAGGGGGAUAUGGAUUCUCAGAUAGUUAUCGUUGACCAGUUUGCUGCAGCCAUGGCUUCGAUCCAAGAGGCUAUAGCUAGCCUUGGCCAGAGGAUAGAUGGGCAGCAGGCCCGACAGGUCCCAGUUCAGGAGGAUAUCCAGUUUGAUACCACAGUACCACCGCCACCUCCGCACAGUCAGCCAGCACCACAGACUAUACCUUUUACUCUGCAUAGUCAGACUGAGGUUGCACCACCUCCUGCCAUAGUGCCUACUCCGAUCUCAGAGGACCCACAUGCUCGUAUGGAUAAACUUGAGCAGAAGUUGAGACAGAUGAGGACUUCAGAGGGAACUAUUACUUGGGAGGAUUUUGAUGGAGCACCAGUGGCCAGUCUACCGGCCAAGUUCAGGAUGCCUGAGAUUGAGAGAUACAUAGGCAUAGGAUGCCCUCACAUCCAUUUGAGACUCUAUAGUACUGUUAUGAGGGCCCAUGGACUGGAUGAUGCCCAGAUGGUUAUGCUCUUCCCUAUGUCAUUGAGUGGAGCUGCACAGCGUUGGUUCGCUUCAUUGGAGGUAUCACGCCGUAGGACUUGGGAUGACUUAGCCCAGGAGUUUUUGAGACAGUUUGCAUUUAACACUAUCAUUGAUGUUUCGAGGAGAGAGUUGGAGGCUUUGAGACAGAGGCCGGAGGAGUCAAUCACUUCAUUUAUCUCCCGCUGGAGGGAGAAGAUUUCACAGAUUAUAGACCGUCAUUCAGAGAGAGAUCAGAUUAGCAUGAUCAUGAGGAGCUUGCAGCCUAGAUUUGCGAGACGCUUGAUGGGAUUUCCCCAUACGGAUUUCGGAUCUUUGGUACAGGCUUUGUAUGGUAUAGAGGAGGGCAUUGCUAGAGGAUUAUGGUCUGAGUCUUCCCCUACUGAUUCUAAGGGGAAGAGGCCUUUAGGAGGACAGAGAUCAGGAGAUGUUGGUGCUAUCAGUUCAGUAGGGAUGAGACCUUCUAGACGCUAUCAGACAGUUGGGCAGACUCCUGGGUACUACUAUCCACCUUCACCUCAUGCGCAUUACAGACUACCUACUCCUUCCAGACCUAUGACUCCUACUUAUCUGCAUCCGGACUUACAGCCUGUUUUUGCUGCACACGUCGCAGAGAGGUCUCCUGCCCCAUAUACUCGACCCCGAGCUCCACAGACCACUACUUAUGUGCAGAGGCCACCACGUCAGUUUGCUCAGUUGGAUAUGCCUUUGAGUCGAGCUUUUCAGAAGCUCACAGAUGGUGGAUUACUAAUUCCAUUAGCAUCCAGGACUUUACCCCAACCCAUACCACCUCGCUUCAGGAUGGACUUACAUUGUUCCUACUAUCAGGGACCAGGGCAUGACACGGACCAUUGCACUGCUUUGAGACAUGCUAUUCAGGAUUUGAUAGAUCAGGGUUUGGUCAACUUGGGGCAGCCAAGUGUGACCACCAACCCUCUUCCUACUCAUUCCACACGCGCAGUGCAUCCAUCUUCAGGAGAUAUUCAUCACAUGGACCUUAUAGAGGGUUGACAGUAUACACAUGUUGAGUUGGGAUGAUGGAUUACCCGAGCCUAUUGUUCUACAUGACAGUUAUGAGGUCGAUGGGGUUUCAGUGGUCCCUCAAACUCCUGCACCAUUUAGUUUGAUCCCGGACGAGGCACCAUUCCAGUUGACUCAUCUUACACCUUUAGUUAUCGGAUGUCAGGAUGCUUUUGUCCCAUUCACUUUAUGGCCUGAGGAUGAUGAUUCAGUAGGGAGAGAGAUACAGAUUGUGACUCGUAGUGGGAGGAUAGCUCAGCCACCACCACCAGCAGUCAGACCAUUUGAGGGUACAGCCUCUCAUGAGGAGGUUAGGAGAGAGGAUGAUGAGGUUUUGAGACAGCUACAGAGCACUCAGGCUCGCAUUUCCAUCUGGAGUUUAUUAGCAUCAUCCAGUACUCAUAGAGAUGCUUUGAUUCGAGCCUUGAGUCAGAUCAGAGUAGAGACUACCACCACUCCAAAGGGAUUGAUUCAUAUGAUGACGGCUAGCAGGGCCACUUGCAUUGUAUUUUCAGAUGAUGACUUGCCACCUGAUGGUUUAGACCACGUGCACCCUCUAUACAUCACAGUUGGAUGUUCAGGCCGUAGAGUCCCGUCUGUCCUACUGGACAACGGCUCAGCCCUGAAUGUUUGCCCUUUAGCCACUGCUAUAGCCCUUGGUUUCGCGCCUUCAGAUUUUGGUCCUUCUACUCAGACAGUCAGGGCGUAUGAUAGCACCAAAAGGGAGGUUAUGGGUACCUUGAUGAUUGAUUUGCAGAUUGGUCCAACCAUAUUUUCCACUUUGUUCCAGGUUUUGAGGAUUCCUACAUCCUUUAACCUACUACUAGGCCGACCAUGGAUUCAUGUACCUGGAGCUAUUCCUUCUUCCCUUCAUCAGAAGGUGAAGUUUAUUCAUGAUGGGCAGGUCAUCACAGUUCGCUCUACCAGGGAUAUAUUUGCCGCUUCUGAGCCAGUACUUCAGAUCAGUCACAGUGAGGACGACCUACUUCUGACUGGGUUUACUUUUGAUGAGAUAUAGACUCUCAAGAUUGAGGAUUUUUGUAGAGACUUUGUGGCUAUGUCAUUUGAUCAGCACAGUAGCACAGUGGUCCUUGAUAUGAUGAGGGGUAUGACCUUUCUACCUGGCAUGGGGUUAGGACGACGUCAGCAGGGACCGAGCGAGUUCAUAGCUGGCAUGGACCAUGAUACGACAUUUGGACUUGGAUUCAUCCCUACUGAGGCCGAUUACCGUCACAUGGCGCGGCUACGCAAGAAGAAGGUGAGAGCCCGUUUAUCCCGCACACCAUUUGAUUAUCCUAUUCAACCCUAUAGGAUGAGUUUGGCUGACCACUUUGUCAGAGGAUCAGAGACUCGACCUCGUCUAGAGGGGAUUGAUAGUGUGGUUCAUACAGAUAGAGAGACUGACCUUCAACAUCUAUUUCACCAGCUACAGUUGAGUGAUGGGGCUCCCGACUCUUUUUUCCCUUUGACGAUUACUCCCACAUCUCCAGAUCGAGCUAGCAUGUUGUCUCUAUGCUUUCCAGAGGAAAUCACUGGUGAUGGGGUGAUUGUUGAUCCUACUGAGGUGAUUGAUGGAGUUGUUCCCCAUGAUGAGUACCGUGAUGAGAUGGACAUGAUGACCGUGAGCCAGAUUACUGGCAUUGUUCAGCUUCAGCCUGUUUCAGCAUUUGAUAUGUUUGGGGUGUCUACCAUUGAGGUUUUUGAGGGGACUCAGACUCUUCCUGUUCCAGAGCUUCUAGAGGAUGAUAGUUGUUUGUUUGAGGGCAUUAUUAGCCCAGUUGAGGGAGCGUCCGACCUUGUGGACCCACCUCUUUCUUUUGAUGUUUUAUCGGGAUUUGUCUCCCGCUCUAACGAUGUUUCUGUUGCUUCAUUUAUGGAUUUGAGCAUUUUUUAGUAUUCGCCUGUCUCUUGUGAUAGUAUCUUUAUAUCUGCACCCCACCUACCCACUUCACAGAUAUUUGAUAUAGAUGAUGAGAUUGCACAGCCCAGUUCGGAUAGGGACUCUUUGGAUCAUGACUCUGGUCCCAUAGAUGAGAGAGUUUCACCUGCUGUAGGGGACAUUGAGAUUGUUGAUUUUGGCACAGAGGAUCAGCCUAGAGAGCUGAAGAUUGGUUCACCCCUAUCUACAGAUGAGAGAGAUAGACUCAUCCAUUUACUUAGGUCAUACUUGGAUGUCUUUGCAUGGUCUUAUGAGGACAUGCCAGGUGUUGAUCCCUCUAUAGUCCAACACCAUUUACCUACCCUACCACAUGCUAGACCAGUUAAGCAGAAAUUGAGACGGUUGCAUCCACGUUGGAGUCUACAGGUAAAAGAGGAGAUUCAGAAACAACUCAGUGUUGGAUUCAUAUCAGUAGUUGAGUAUCCAGAGUGGUUGGCUAAUGUCGUCCCUGUUCCUAAAAAGGAUGGCAAAGUUAGGGUUUGUGUUGACUUCAGAGAUCUCAAUAAAGCCAGCCCUAAAGAUGACUUUCCCCUUCCACACAUUGAUUUGUUGGUUGAUGGCACCGCAGGCCAUUCGAUGUUGUCUUUCAUGGAUGGGUUUUCAGGGUAUAAUCAGAUUUUGAUGGCUCCAGAGGAUAUGGAGAAGACAACCUUUAUUACUGAGUGGGGUACCUACUGUUACAGAGUUAUGCCAUUUGGGUUGAAGAAUGCAGGAGCCACUUAUCAGAGAGCCGCUACCACUUUGUUUCAUGACAUGAUGCAUAGGGAUGUCGAGGUUUACGUGGAUGAUAUGAUUGUGAAAUCCCGAGGUAGAGCAGAUCACCUAGAUGCUUUAGAGAGAUUCUUUAAGAGGAUCCGGAAGUUUAGAUUGAGGUUGAAUCCUAAGAAGUGCACCUUUGGAGUGACUUCUGGGAAAUUAUUGGGGCAUAUGGUCAGUGAGCGAGGCAUAGAGGUCGACCCAGAUAAAAUCAAAGCCAUAUUUGACAUGCCUGCACCAAAGACUGAGAAAGAGAUUAGAGGUUUUUUGGGCAGAUUACAGUACAUUAGUCGGUUCAUAGCCAGAUUGACAGACAUAUGUGAGCCUAUCUUUCGUCUUUUGAGGAAGAACCAACCAACAAUUUGGAAUGACGACUGUCAGUUUGCAUUUGAGAAGAUCAAGGAGUAUUUGCUUUCUCCUCCUGUUUUAGUGCCUCCUACGCCAGGACGUCCACUUCUUCUAUAUUUGUCAGUUUCAGACAUGGCCUUGGGAUGUAUGUUAGCUCAGAUUAAUGACUCAGGGAAGGAACGGGCUAUUUACUACUUGAGUAAGAGGAUGCUGGAGUAUGAAGUGAAAUAUGUUAUGAUUGAGUGCCUAUGCUUAGCACUAGUUUGGGCUACCAGGAGGUUGAGGCAUUACAUGACAGAGUACUCAGUACAUUUGAUAUCCCGCCUGGACUCGUUGAGAUACUUGUUUGAUAGACCUGCAUUGACUGGUAGAUUGAUGAGAUGGCUUGUACUUUUGACAGAGUUCGAUAUUCAGUAUGUUUCUCAGAAGUCUAUUAAGGGAAGUACUGUCGCUGAUCACUUAGCCUCACUACCGACAUAUGAGGAUAGACCAAUUGAUGAUGAUUUUCCAGAUGAGGAGUUUGUUGCUAUAACCAGCUUAUCAGAAUGGUGCAUGUACUUCGAUGGUGCAGCCAAUCAGUCAGGGUAUGGGAUAGGUGUUCUAUUGGUAUCCCCUCAGGGUGAUCAUAUUCCGAGGUCCGUUCGUUUGGCAUUCUCUAAUUGACAUCCUACCACGAAUAACAUAGUUGAGUAUGAGGCUUGUAUCCUUGGUUUAGAGACUGCAUUGGAGCUUGACAUUAGACAGAUAGAGGUAUUUGGUGACUCCAAUCUGAUACUCAGGAAGAUUCAGGGGGAUUGGAAUACUAGGGACGUGAAGCUUAGACCAUAUCAUGCAUAUUUAGAGUUAUUGGUUGUGAGAUUUGACGACUUGAGAUAUGUUCAUCUGCCUAGAGCGCAGAACCGAUUUGCUGACGCCUUAGCUACUUUAGCUUUCUCCAUGGACAUUCCGAUUGAUGUAGUCAUAUGUCCAUUAUUGAUUGAGUUGAGGCUUGUACUCGCCUAUUGUUGUUUGAUUGGAGAGACAGAGGUCCAGGAUGACCUACCUUGGUAUCAUGAAAUUUAUCAGUUUCUUAGAUCUGGCACAUACCCUGAGGUAGCCACUGCCAAGGAUCGGAGAGCACUAAGGAAUUUGGCCACUAGAUUUGUGAUUUGUGGAGAUACCUUGUACAGACGAUCAGCUGAUGGUAUGCUUCUAUUGUGUUUAGAUCGAGCCUCUGCAGAUCGAGUGAUGAGAGAGGUUCAUUCAGGAGUUUAUGGUCCGCAUAUGGGAGGACACAUGCUAGCCCUUAAGAUUAUGAGGACGGACUAUUUCUGGUUGACUAUGGAGACAGAUUGUUGUCAGUUUGUCCAGAAAUGCCCAGAGUGUCAGAUUCAUGGUGAUCUCAUUCAUGUACCGCCAUCAGAGUUACACGCUUUGACCUCGCCAUGGCCAUUUUCAGUAUGGGGUAUUGAUAUUAUUUAGAAGGUUUCACCAAAAUCUUCCAGUGGUCAUGAGUUCAUCCUAGUUGCCAUAGAUUAUUUCACCAAGUGGGUGGAAGCCGCAUCAUAUGCGAGGUUGACAUCUGCUAGGGUUGCCAGUUUUAUCAGAUCACACAUCAUUUGCCGCUAUGGGGUUCCUCAUGAGUUGAUUUCCGACAGAGGGGUGCACUUCCGAGCUGAGGUAGAUACUUUGUUGCAGAAGUAUGCCAUCCGACAUCAUAGAUCUUCAGCAUAUAGGCCACAGACCAACGGGGCAGUAGAGGCUGCAAACAAGAAUAUUAAGAGGAUUUUGAGGAAAAUGGUUGAGACUUCUCGAGAUUGGUCAGAGAAGCUUCCUUUUGCGUUGUGGGCAUAUCGUACAUCUUUUCGUACUUCUACAGGAGCUACGCCUUACUCUCUAGUGUAUGGUAUGGAGGCUGUUUUGCGAGUCGAGACAGAGAUGGGUUCAUUGAGAGUAGCCAUUGAGCAGCAGAUUUCUGAGACAGAGUGGGCUCAGGCUCGAUUUGAUCAGCUUAACCUUUUAGAUGAGAGGAGAUUGAGAGCGGCAGAUCAUGUUCAGGCCUAUCAGAGAAAGAUGGCUCGUGCCUUCAAGAAACGGGUUAAGCCUAGACCAUUGCAAAAAGGGGACUUAGUUUUGAGGAUUCUCAGAGGUUUGAUUGGAGACCCUAGAGGAAAGUUUAGACCUAGUUGGAGUGGGCCUUAUGUUAUCCGAGAGUUGACUCUAGAAGGGGCUGCAUGGUUGACAGACUUAGAUGGAAACCAAUUUUCAGAGCCUACCAACGUGGAUCAGCUAAAGAAGUAUUAUGUUUGAGACCGUGGUCGCAGGAUGGGUGGCCAUCAUUUCGGUUAGCCUCAUACUUUAUCACCUCUAUAUAUUAGACCGUUGCUAGCCCAUUGAGCUUCGCAUGGUAUGUUAUAGCCUUAUUUCUUUCUUAUAGCUUUGAUUACCAUUUCUACACCCGGGUUGGGGCCCUUUGAUGUAUAUGCAUGUUUUGCUAGGAAAGUCUCAUGAGCUUUAGACUUAUAGGUCUAUCUUCUCAUUUUGUUACCAUCCUCUUAUCACCCUAUUUGUUCUAUUUUAUUAUCAUCAUAUAUUCAUUCUCUUUCUUGUCUCUAUCAUUAUUUGCUUCAUCUUAUCUAUUCUCUUCCUUGGGUUGAUGAUUCUUCACGUCUUAGUGCAAAGAGGGCAGUCAUAGCACUUCAUUCAUCCCAUCAUUUGGCAAUGAUUCGGAGAUUUUAGUUUGAGAGGUUGUCUCAUGGGUUAGGGUUCAUGUAUUCAUCAAUGAUUUGAGAGAGUUUAUUCAUUUUAUUGUAUAUUUCCCAUUGGAGUUUGACUUAUUGAUGAUCAGAGCAUGCGCAAAAAAAAAAAAAAAAAAAAAAAAGCGCAAUGACAUGUUUGUGUAUGGUAUCUUGCUCCAUUGGGUACUUAUAUCACCUUUUGAGGUAUGUUUACUGGGUAUAUUUGACAUUGUGGGUUCUUGUGAGAUGUUUAUAUGAGUUUUCACUCCUUGAGCCACUCUUGUUAUGCAUUUGGAGUGUUGGGGGUUCAUGUGAGAGUUCUAUGGUAUCCUAUGCUUCUUGGUCAUGGUUGAUACAUAUUAGGUAUGAGAGAUGAAUGACCUUUUACUAGGGUCUCCAGAUCAUUGUCUUAUCCACCAUUCCAUCAUUGGUGAUAUGACUUUCCUUUAUUGUACUAACAUGGGUUGAUCAUCACUCGUUCCACUUUCUCAUUGCUUUCUUUUGUAUCCCAUUACCGCUUUCCAGAUCUUUGUUCCACCUUUUAUUCAUUCCCUACAUAUUGAUACCCAUUACUGAUUUGAUACUUUUUUUUCACAUCAUUCACAUAUUUCAUUGAUGGUUUGACCAUUCAUCAUUUCUCUCAUUUCGUUAUCGACAUUCCCUUUGGUUACUUCUAAGUCCAUGACUCAUGAGAUUUUUCUAUGCAUUACAUCUUGUACACGAGGGUACGGGUUUGAUCAUUGGGUAUUUGAGCCUAGUUUCCCUUCAUUUCUUUCACCCUAUCACCUUGGCCUACGUUACGUCCCGUGUCUUAAGACCACCCUGAGGCCACGAGAUCAGACGUUAUCUUUGAUAGUCUUCACUUGGACAGGCUUUUGUAGAUUGAUUGAAGUAUGGUCGUUGCUAUGUUCUCUUUUAUGGAAGAUACUUUUGGAAGCAUUUGGUUUCUCUCUCGCUUGGCAUAUUGAUGUUUGAUGGAUUUUUUUGGGUUUGGAGACAGUUCAUUGAGGAUAUUGGAUUCAUCCUUUGGUUGUGCAUUAGAUGUCCAUAUUGGGGAAUAUUCCCCUUUCAUUUGGUUGAGAUGAGCCCCUAGUGGAGCACUUUCUUUGAGUCUGGGUAUUUUCACCGAUCAGAGAUUCCUAGUGAGGUAUGUUGAGGCUAUAUCAGUUUUAGUGGAGCAUCGUUGAGCCCCUAGUGGUUCCAUUCGCGGAGUACUUCUGAGAUAGACUAGGGGAUUAUUAUUGAGUUGGAGGCAGUUUUCAGUGCAGUGUAUAGAUCAGGCAUACUGGGGCAUAUUUCCCCAUUUUGAGGUUACCAGAUCCCUAUCAGAUUCAGUCAGGGAUUCAUCAGAGACAUGUUUCUACUUUUGAGAUUACCACAUUCCUCAUCAUUUUGGCUAUUCAUUUGAGAUUAGAUUUAGAGUGUCUCCCUUGAGGCAUUGGUCGAUACUUCACUCCGACUUCUUAGCAGAUUAUUGUUGAGCUGAGGAUAGUUGAUUGAUGAUGUUGGAUUCAUCCUUUGGUUGUGCAUCAUCUAUUCACACUGGGGCAUAUGCCCCCCUUCCUCCGAGAUUCUUAUCUGUUAUUGUAUACGGUACGAGGAUGGAUGAUCAUUGUUAGUUUGUUUACCUCACGACUUCGACAUUAGAUUAUCCACACUGGGGCAUAUUCCCCUCUCCUUGAUGAGAUUGUGUUUGGACAGCGGUACGAGGAUGGAUGAUCAUUGUUAGUUUGUUUGCCUCACGACUUCAACAUCCGAUAUCCAUACUGGGGCAUAUUCCCCUCUCCAUUAUGAGAUUUAUUUGAGCAGUGAUAUGAGGAUGGAUGAUUGGUGUCGGUUGUUUAGCUUAUGACUUUGACAUCAGGUCUCAUACUGGGGCAUAUUUCCCUACUUUUUGAGUAUCCUUGAGAUUGAGACAGUGACCAGCUUGGUUUUAGAUUGAGUACUAGCCUAGAGCUUCCGACGAUCGACUGUAUCAGGGCCUCCCUACAUGGAUUUGUUGAGAUAGAGAUGGAUCGUAUCAGGUUUCACCCGAGGAGCGUGGGUGGAUCCUUUAGCCAGAUGCUCAUGAGACAGAUUUGUUUUCGUCAUUGUUACCUUGUCGAUUGGGUUAUUUGAACAAGCAUCAUUUUGUGCACUUUGAGAUUUGCUUUUAGAUGAGCCACGAUAUACACGCUUUGAGAUUUACCUUUUGACAUUCGUCGGUAGAGCAAUUUUUCAGACACAGAGGCCUCUUUCAGUUUUGACUUUUCAGAGGUUUGUCAUGGUGUAUUGGUUUUUGACUCAUUGAUUCUAGCAGAUGAUUGGUUUACUGGUUGUUUCAGCAGUGUGAGCACCUUGGAUACUAGGGCAUAUUUCCCUUCUUGGUUUCAGUAGUCCGACCCUUGACAUUUUGAGUAUAUGGCUUUGAGCCAAUUUAUUUCAUGUCCACUUUCAAGUUGGUCUUCUCUAUUAUUCCCUUCUAGGCCCUGAGCCUUAUAGCCCUAAGUUAUUCAUUCCUUCUAGACCUCGAGUCUUACAGCCCUGAGCAUUCUUUUUCCUUUAGGCCCUAAGCCUUGUGGCCCUGAGCUAUCAUUUCCCAUAGACCUAGAGUCUUUCCAGCUCUUAGCUGAGCUUUCAUCACUUGGUCGCCCAUGAGUGGUUUGACAUGGAGUUUGCGUAUCGCAUUCUCCUUCUAGCCGAUCAGUCAUAGAGCCCAAAGCUCAUAGCCCUGAGCUAUUCAUCGACCCAGAGUCAUUUUCCAUCUUGACCCAGAGUCAUUCAUAGCACCCCGAGCCCUGAGCUCACGACCCGGAGUCAUUUGCAUCAUUCAUAUCCCUGAGAUGUUUCGUUUUCAUCAUUCUAGCCACUUGUGAGUGGUCUCGACCCGACAUCUUGAGUCGGAAAGUAUCUUGAUCGGCUAUCUAUUAGAGCCUGGAGCUCUCGACCCAGAGUCACUUUCCAUUUCGACCUAGAGUCAUUAUUUCCUAUUUUAGAGCCCGGAGCUCUCGACCCAGAGUCAUUUUCCAUUUUGACCCAGAGUCAUUCCUAUCUAUUUAGAGCCCGGAUCUCUCGACCCAGAGUCAUUUUCCAUUUUGACCCAGAGUCAUUCCUAUCUAUUUAGAGCUCGGAGCUCUCGACCUAGAGUCAUUUCCCAUUUUGACCCAGAGUCAUUCCUUUCCACUUAGAGCCCGGAGCUCUCGACCCGGAGUCACUUUCCAUUUUGACCUAGAGUCAUUAUUUUCCAUUUUGACCCAGAGUCAUUUUCCAUUUUGACUUAGAGUCAUUCUUUCCUAUUUAGAGCCUAGAGCUCUCGACUCAGAGUCAUUUUCCAUUUCGACCUAGAGCCAUUCUUUCCAAUUAGAGCCCUGAGCUCAUGACCCGGAGUUUUUUAUCCUAUUUCAGAUCCAGAGUCGUUCAUCUUGUCCCUGACCCAGAUUCAUUCAUCCCAUCCAUGACUUUGAGUCAUCAUUUUCACCUCUUUCCAUCUUUGUGCUACUCGUCACAUACUGUUCUCUCUUUAUUGUCAUUCCCCCCACAUAGAGUUGUCCCAUCCAUGUCAUUGAGACCCCAUCUUUUGAUCUUACCUCUUCAUGUGCUAGGACAAAAUCUCUGGUCCUUCUUUAAUUCUUCGGUAUAGUUCACUUCAUUCUGCUCAUUACUCGUGUUUCUACUCACAUUCUCUACACUCGUGAUCUAUACCAAAGAGGGGCAUAUUUGUAGACCCUUAAUUUUGUCCAUUUAGCACAUGUCUUUAAAUUCACAUCCAGUGCUCCACGGUAGUUCCUUGGUGGCCCAUUACUACUCAUAAGGCUUACCUUUUUCUGAGUCACCUCAGAGACUUUGGUUGAGGGAUUAUCUGACCCCUUAUUGUGAUCCUUGGCAAUCCUAAUUUAGAUUGGGCUUGAAUUAGAUACACUUAGCCCAUUUAGGCACCUUAGGCCCACUUAGGCAUCUUAGGCCCGUUUAGAUACACUUGGCCCACUUAGGCUCACUUAGACCCACUUAGGUCAUCUUUUAAAUAUUUUUUUUACAUAUUUGCAUGAUUGCAUUUUUUUGUAUGACUUGCAUGGUUGCAUGGCUCAUGGGGCCUAAUUUUUGUUAAUUUGUUUGUUUUAUUUUUAGUUUUAGUUUUAUCAUUAUCAAUCACUCGUUUAUUUAUUUAUUUAUUUUAUUUGUUAUCUCAUUCUUUAUAUUAUUUUCCUUAAUUUAUUUAUUUAUUAUUGUUUUAUUGUUUUCUAAUUUGUUUGCUUAUUUAGUUAUUCAUUCAAUUAUAUAAUUUCAAAAAUUUCAUGUUUUUGCAAGGAAACUUACCAUUGGAGACUAAGGAAAGCGGGACUCUCCUUGGAAAGUUUUGGAGGGGAAUUUGAAGUUGGGAAGAUUGCUUUUGAAUUGGAAGAUUUAGAAAAAGGGAAAAAGGAAGAAGAGAAGAAGAAUGGAAAUAGGGGAAUUUUCUUUUUUUUUGGAAACAAAUUUAGGUCUUGAGGGAUGAUAUAUAUAUGUGAGAAAAGAAAGAGAAAGGGGGAGUGAACAAGCACGCAUUGGAGGAUUGGGAGAAAUUCUGGGAAAAGGUGGAGAGACGUAUUGGAGGCAUUGGAGGAAACCAUUUAAGAGGAGAAGAAGAAAGAAGCACAGAAAAACCAGUGGAGAUUUUCUGAGGAUAGAAACCAGUGCAGAUUUUUUUUUUUUCGUCAAAAGGAAGCAUUCCCAGGUAUGUCUACUGUAGAUUCCUUCUUCAUUCCCAUUAUCCUUUUCUUAUGUACUAAUCUUUGUCGGGUUUUGAGUCUUGCUUGGAUGCUAGGGGGGCAGAAUGACAGAGGUCACAUGUUUGUCUACAUUGAUACUUGCUUCUAUAGAUGUUAUUGAUUUAUCCCUUAGGAGUUCUCUAAUUUUGAUUUAGUGCUGCUAGGUUCCAUUUAUUAUUAUUUCAUGUGCAUUACAUGAGAACUGUGGUUGUAUUCGUUUGUUGGAAUCUGCUCGUACUUAUCCCAUCAUUCCAAACCCAUUGAACCUAACAUGAAAUGGGUUUUCAUUUAAUGGAUCACUUAUUUGUUCAUCCAUUUUUUUUAUCAAACUCUAUUUUGGCGGGGUUGUUUUUCUACAGUUGAGCAUGCUUCAAAUUGCUCUGUUUUGCUUCCCGGGUGUGUCUUCCUAUAUUUAUGAAUGAAUAAGGUAUAGAUUUGUGGGCUUAUGAGUUGUAAAGGUGAUUUCAGUGGGGUUGAGAUUCUGGGUCCACAAGAAAAAAAUAGAAUAGCAGAAGAGAAAAAUCUGUAAGAGAGUUGGGAAGUCCAGAGUAGUGCAAAUCCUCUUGGGCGUCUUUGGUUCAGAAAUAUCAGAAAAGCUAGAAGGAUGAGAAAAACAAGAAAGAUUGUUUGCCUUUGAACUUUUGAUUGCUUAAAGAUGUUUGACAAUGACCACUGUAAACAACCUGCUACUUUAAUGGUUGUGAUAUUUGAAUGUCAGUAUGAAGAUGUGAUUGGGGUGAAAGUGCUGAAAUCAGAGCUCAGGAGAAGAUCAUUGACUGUUGAGUCUGAUAUGGAAUACAAUUGAAAUGCCAACAUUGAGAUAUUUGGAAGAAGGGGUCUUGCUCCAGGAGUUAGACUUGGUGGGGUGGUUGGUGACUCACUUACCAGAGUUGUAGGAAUGCAAGCAGAUGCACUUUUGUUUGCAGAGGCCAGAAAACAGGGUUUUGAUUCUUUGGAAAGAGAAGAUGACAAAUAUUUGGAAAGAUUUAAAUUGUUUCAGUUGGAAGCUACUGAAUUUUACCANNNNNNNNNNNNNNNNNNNNNNNNNNNNNNNNNNNNNNNNNNNNNNNNNNNNNNNNNNNNNNNNNNNNNNNNNNNNNNNNNNNNNNNNNNNNNNNNNNNNNNNNNNNNNNNNNNNNNNNNNNNNNNNNNNNNNNNNNNNNNNNNNNNNNNNNNNNNNNNNNNNNUAGGUGCAGAGAGCUCUAUAACAAACCUGAUGUUCAGAGUCGCAAUUGGUCAAUUGCUGCUACCUGUUAUAGAGAAGUAACAAUAAUUUGGCACUGGUGCAACUGAAAGAAGAGUACAUGAGGAAAUUCCCUUUCUGGAAUGAUCCAUAUGUUCUAGUGAGCUUGCUUUCUGCUAGCCGACUGCGUGGAGAUGUUGUAAUUGGGGAGUGUUUGGCUAAAUGGCUUCUAAAACUUCAGCUUGUGACUACUUCUCCUUAUGUAUUAUUAUCAAACUUGUAUGCUUCAGAUAGGAAGUGGGCAGAUUUAAAGAACCUGUCAUCAGCGGACAACAACUUCUCUGACUCAACUUUAGACUCAAUUUCGGGGUUAGAAUCAAUCAAGUCUUUAGAUUUCAGUCGCAACCCCUUUUCUGGUGAUAUGGCAGCAUCAUCGACAAAACUGACUAAUUUGGUAUCCCUUAAUUUAUCGUUAAAUGAGUUCGAAAGUAAAAUUCCAAAAGGUCUCGAGCUGUUUUCAAAACUUGAAAUUCUUGACUCGCAUAGGAAUAUGCUCAGUGGACUUCCAGACAAGGAAUUCUUGUAAUUUUCAGGUGCCAUUCGUGUUGACUUUAGUGGGUGCUAGCAGAGUACUAUCUAUGUUAUUCAUUAUAGCAGAUUCUUAACAUCCACAUUUAUUUGGGAAUAGAUGCUUCAGUUUGGAUGAUAAACAGAUUACAGAUUUAAGGCAUUCUAUUGAUAAGAUUCUAAGUGACAAGUCUUCUUGGAAUGAAGAUCUCUUUGUUGCUACAGUCAAAUUGCUUACUUCUGCUGCAGUUGAUCAGCCUGUUUUUUCUUGUCACCAUAAUUUCAGCCAAAGACAAUCUAGGUUUGAUGCAGCCAAUAAAUGAAGCUUCUUUUGGAAUAUUGGGGUCUGUCAAAGCAAGUUUGGUAGAUGCACUCUUGCAAGUUAUUGAAAGAUUUCAAUGAUCUUAUCAAAUAGCAAUCCCCGUUUACUACUGAAUGUGCUUGACUUACUGAAAACAUUGUGGCAAGGGGUUGCUCAAUAUGCAGAUAUUUUGGAAUGGCUGAAAAACUCUGAAAAGUUCUGAAAACUAUUUUUGUAACUCUAUUUCUCAAAUUGUUAGAAUGAAAGCUCCCCUGCCUGAGAAUCUAACCAAAAUGGAGGCUCUAAUCUUGGCAUACAAAUACCAGUGUCAAACAGCUGUAUUGGAAAUAAUGGCAGAAAUCUUGUUCCUGUGGAAGAAGUUACUGCAUGCUGAAUUUCUUGAAAUGCUUGCAAAUCUGCACAGUUCACCAAUUGAGCCUAGGAAUUCUGAUAUAUCUUCAGGAAUGGAUGACGAGUCCAAUAAUAGUGAGAUGCUCGCAGCUACUAACAUCCACCCUGGACAAGAUUCAUGGAGAAAAUUGGAAGUUGAAGACAAGGAAUUGCCGCAAGUGCACAAUGGUACAUUGCAGCAGAGCAUCUCUGUCGAUGCAAAACUAAUCAAAGAGGAUGUAAUUAGCUUAGUAGAUAAGGAAAGAAGGCAAGCUCUACAGACACCACAAGUGGUUAUGAACAUGCUCGAUGCGACUAUGCCUGGUACUCUAAUGGAAGAACUUAAGAAGAAGGUCCUGGCUGCCGUAGGACAAGGAGAAACAGUUAUGUAAACUUUGUGAGAUGCUGUCCCAGGAAAUAUUUGUGGAAAGCUUUCUACUGCUGUUUCUAGAAUUUUGGCAUACUCAAGGUGUAAAUUUAAACUUUGAGGGUCUUCUGAGGAUUGACCAAACUCCUAAUGUUUCGUCAGGAUUGAAAUCUAAGAUCCAAAAAGAAAUUGGAAUAACAUCAAGUGAAGAAGGUGGGACCGAAAGCUAGGAUACAGUUGAAGAUUACAAAGGUAUAGUUCUUGGAGGUUCCGAAGCCGCCAAACACUCCUUGGAGAAAUUAGGGAAAAUAUCAGAUGGAAGUUCUUGCUCUGGUGUAGAGAAUUCUUGUAAUCAUUCACAGAGAAUUGGUGGUCAAAUUAUAAGUGACUCGGAUGAAGAAGUGGACAUUGAUGAAUAAGGAGGUGGAAAUGAGUUAUUUGAUUUUGCUGCACUGGCUGCUCUCACGAAAAUAGUAGCAAGUGCAAGUUCCGAUAGUGGCAGUAUCACAAUAACCUCUCCAAAGGGAUCCAAGCUUCUCUCUGAUUGACCCCCCCUGUUGGAUUGGGAUCUACAAACCAGCCUCUAAGACCUGCUCCCCAACAAAACCUGUCCAAUCUUUUUACCCAUUUUCCAAUCUUGCAGGGAGGCAAACUGGUGAAGAAUUUAAUCUUGAUAUUGCAGAGAGAGUUGUUUGUGAUCUUAACACUACUGAAGCGUUUCCAAGUGUGUUGGAUCUAAAAUGCAGCCUGAAGUUCUCUGGCCAACUAAACUCGAGCCACUUGAUCGCCAGAUUGUCGAAGAACAAAUCCAGUUCAGUUCUUUCCUUUUACUGGUUUUUUGGCUCAUCCCUACCUCAUGAAUACACCCAGUUAGGCAGGGUUAUUAAAGUACCAAGGGACCUUAUUGAUCCCUACAUCCUGGUUAGCAUCCUUGCUUAUAGGCAAUCCUGAACAUGGUGCGCAGCUGUACUGAUAAUCCGUCAUCUGAUAAGUCUUGGAGAUGUUCCCUGCUGCUAUUGCAUUCAGAAAACUCAUAUUGCAUAAGGAAGCUUGCUGAAAGUAUCUCAUAAAUGCUACAACAAAGGACAACUAGAAGGCAAUUUCCCAAGACUUAAUGCCUCAUUUCUGAAACCUGCAAGUGGAGAUGAAGUACUAUCCAAAGAACCUAAAUGACGAUAUGGAGCUUCAUUAAAAUCUGUCCAGAGAAUUCAAACAGAUCAAUGAAGAGUUGUCUCUAAAGUCAUUCAUGAAAUCGAAAGGACAAAGCCGCGUCAAAAGCUGCUACUGCUCGCGGUCUUGGACGCAAUGCAAAGAUUGGUUCUGGGAGGGGUCUCAGUGCUGUAGCUAUGGCAACAUCUGCACAAAGAAAGGAAAGGACAAAUUCGGACAUGAAAUGGAAGUAGGGAUCUUCGCCAAGGUUCAUACUGAGAGAAUGGUUUCAUCUUUAAGAUUUGGAAUCCCAUCAAAACCUCUUACCAAAUGUUCUCCUCAUGUUUGUUUUCGUUUGCUAUUAUAGUUACCUACGGUGUCGGAUUUCAUUCGAAUUUUUCAGACAAGUCUCCGCAUUCAGCCCAUGGAAAUGACAACCAGAAUUCCAAAACAACAGCGAUCAGACCAGUUCCCAGAUUCCAAUUGUUGGAUAUGUUGGUCAGCCAUAUGGAGCCCCGUCACUGCCAAUCUCCUCUCUCUAAUAUCUGUAGUUGAAUUAGCAUCACCAGCUUCAUACGAUUGGCAUCUGGUCUACCUCUUUCAUUAUACUUUCCUCAGAAUUUGUUUUCCAAACAGCAAUGGUAGGUUCCAAUUUGGAACCCAAUAGCUAAAUAGAACCCACCUGGUAGUAAAGGUCAGCAAGCAGGGCUUCAAAACAGAGAAAAUCGGAAGUGAGGAGACCAAAAUCUUGUGCAAUAAGUAAAGAACACUUCGAAUGCCAUAUCCUUUUUCAUUAGAUUCAGAAGGAGGACUCUCUCUGGGUAGGAAUUGUAAUGAUAUGGAAAGGAUGGGAAGUCAUGAUACAAAGCUGUUUUAUCGUUUUAGCUUGGGAAUUGACAGCUUCAUCUUCAAACGGUGGAAUUCCAUGAAUAAGGAGCUUUAAGACAUGCCAACAAAUUGCCAAGGAAUAGUCAACUUCUUCACCCAACAGUGAAACUAAAAGUGGAAAGAGCAGAGUAGCAUUGUUUUUUUUGGACCUUUUAUGAUCAUCAUGCAGAAAAAAACAGCUCAGUAGCUGAAGUUGAGUAUAUUGGCAAACCUGAGAAUGCACUUCCAACCGAUGGAACUGAACAGCAGCAUAAGAAAUCUGAUUUGGAGUUAAGACCUACUACCACAUUACAAGCUCUAGUUGAUGAUUCAAAUUGUGAUCUCGAGAAACUAAAGUUGAAUCCAGACGACAUUGCUGAUGAAAUCAUGUAUCAAACCCUAUGAGCUUUGACUCUGAAAUGAAUAUGGACAGUUCGUUUCCAGUCACGCCAGCAGUAUACAGAGAUCUCUUCACACAACCACCAGCAACGCAGUCACAGCCAAACCCCCAAACCCCAUUCUCCAUGACCGGUCUAGUGCACACUACUCUUUUCCUUUCACACCCCUUUUGCUUUCCUCGUGAUUUUAUGUGUCUUGAAUUGUGUUUUCAAAAAUCGUUUUCAUCCAAAUAAAUCUGAUUUUAGAUAAUCAUCUUUAGAUAUUCUCUAGGCAUUGAAAUCUAAAUUUCAACACCCUUUUGCUGCCAUUUUCCUUCCGGCAUGCGUCUUCACUAUUUUAUUUGAUUUUCAACUAAUUUUCUUGAUUUUCAACAAGCAUGAACAAACUUCAUGAUUCCAAACAAUGGAAUUCAUUGAAUCAACUCAUGCAAAAUCAACUAGGGCUUUGGUGGGGGCCCAACAUUCAUAACACUCACUUCAAUACUGUUUACUUGAUAUGUUGAUUUUUUAUUCUUCUUGAUGAAAUACUUGAAUUCAUUUAAUAUUUAUUGUUGAGAUGCUCUCGUUUCCCAUAGAGGAGUACUAGCUUGCUAUCCAGGUACGCUCUCUUCUCAUCUAUUUUUUUAGAACUCUAUGGACUUGUAUGUCAUUGAUGACCAUAUCCAUAUUUGACGUGAUUCUUGAAUGUCUUGAUAUAUGCCUGAUUUGCUUGAAUAAAACAAAUGUUGUGUGAUGUAUCUCCAAACUAAUCUCUUAUGUUUUAUGAUAGCGCUUGGGAAGCCAUCCAGGUAUGCAUUUUUAACUUUUCUUAAUUGUGAUCUGAUCUUGUUUGAUAUGUUAUGUUUUUGGAAUCACCUAGCCUACUUAGGUAUCCAUGAUCAACCAUUUAAUUGCCACGCUUCCCUUAACUUAGUCAGUAAAGACCUCUUUAGGGCUUAGAGGGGUGCUACCUCCUAGAGGUACCUUCCCAAUAAGUAACCUGAUCCCCGGACCUAAACUCGGGUUUCUCAAAGACAUGCUUUUUCCAAAACUAGGGAGUCACUUUUUAGGGUUUUUCUUUCUUGUUUUAUUUUCCCUUUAAAAUAAAAAUAAAAUAAGUGGCGACUCCAACUUUUUUUCCAAAAAUCAAUUUUUCACAAAAAUAAUAAAAAGCGAGUCUCGCCGAUCGAGUGGGGGCGCACGUGAAAAAUGCGGGUCCACAGGUCUCCUUAUAAUCAAUGCCUUCCUUUUGAGUGAAACCUUUUGCGAUUAGGCGUGCCUUAUACCUAACAAUGUUGCCUUUUGAAUCCCACUUGAUCUUAAAAAUCCAUUUACAACCAAUCGGUUUUACACCUUCAGGCAACUUUACUAGGUCCUAAACACCAUUGUCUUUCAUUGAUUUCAUCUCAUCCUUCAUGGCUUCUAUCAACUUUUCAGAGUCAGAACUUUGUUUGACUUGACUAAUUGAAAUUGGAUCGUCUUCCAAACCCAUGUCAAACUCAUGUUCCUGGAGAUGUACAACAUAAUCAUCUGAAAUUGUACUUCUCCUUUCUCUAGUGGAUCCCCUCAGUGGCACUUGUACUUGAGGUUCUUGAGGUUGUUGAGUUACCUCUUCAUGAACUUGAAUCGGUUCCAUAACUUGAGCAGGAGGAAUCUCAGGUGUGUUUUGAAUCUCUGUUAUUGACUGUACAUUUUGGAUAGUGUCAUCAAACAUAAUAUGACCAUGUCCAGUCGUAAUAAUAGGAAUACUAACAGAUUCCUCUUCAAAUACCACCUUUUUUAACUGUUCUCUCCCACUUAACUCAACAUCCUCAAUAAAUUUAGCAUUGCCCAUUUCAAAAAAUGAUCUAGUUGAGGGGUCAUAAAACUUGAAACCUCUCGACCUUUCAGAAUAUCUUACAAAGUAGCAACUCACUGUUCUGGAGUCUAAUUUCUUUUUAUUUGGUUUGUAAGGCCUAGCUUCAACUGGACAACCCCAGACAUGCAAGUGCCUAAUACUAGGUUUCUUGCUAGUUCAUAACUCAUAUGAGGUUUUGGCUACUGCUUUGCUUGAGACUCCAUUCAAAAUAUAAAUUGUUGUUUUGAUGGCUUCGCCCCAAAGUGAUUCUGGUAAGGUGGAAUGACUGAUCAUACUUCUUACCAUAUCCUUAAGAGUACAGUUUCGCAUAUUUGCUACACCAUUUUGGCUUGGAGUUCCCAGCAUGGUGUAUUGAGGAAUAAUACCACACUUCAUCAAAUAUUUGGCGAAUGACCCUAGACGUUGUUCACUGGAUCCGUCAUAUCUACCAUAAUAUUCACCUCCACGGUCAGAUCUGACGGCCUUUAUUUUCUUGCUUAGUUGGUUCUCAACUUUAGCUUUGAAAUUCUUGAACACAUCUAAUGAUUGAGACUUCUCAUGAAUCAAAUAAAGAUAGCCAUAGCGUGAGUAAUUUUCAAUGAAAGUGAUAAAAUAUUGUUGUCCAUUCCAAGAAGGAGUAGGAAAUGGACCAUAAAUGUAUGUAUGUAUCAAUUCCAAGACGUCACUGCACUUGUUAGCAUCAUUUUUUCUCAUAUUUGUUUGUUUACCCUUAAUACACUCUAUAUAGACUUGAAAUUCUGAGAAAUUAAGUGGAUCAAGAAUUCAUUCUAACACAAGCCUUUGAUUUGAAAUAUGACCCAAACGCCUGUGCCAUAACAUCGAUGAAUUCUCAUUUGUUAAUUUUUGUUUAAUGUCAUAAUUACUUAAAUGCAAGGUUUCAUUUCCAUUAGUGGUCUUUAUGUUUAAUUUGUAUAAUUUGUCUGUUAGACUACCUAUACCAAUAACAUUUGAAUUUAGAUAAAGACUAACCAUUCCAUUUCUAAAUGAACAAUAAUAUCCAAAUUUUUCCAGACAUGAAACAAAAAUUAAAUUCCGUCUAAACGAUGGUACUAUAAAAGUCUCUUCCAAAUCCAAAGUACAUCCAGAGUCUAACUGUAAUAUAAAAAGACCAAUAGUCUUGAUUGCAACCUUGUUGCCAUUUCCCACAUAGAUGUAUCUUUCACCAUCAGUUGGCAUUCGGCUCCUUAGGCAACCCUACAUCGUGACACUUAUGUGAGUAGUUGCACCCGUAUCUAUCCACCAAGUGUCAGUAGGCACUACGACUAAAUUAAUUUAUGAACAAACAAAGUUGAGAAGUGUACCUUUCUUUUCACGCCAAGCAGCGUAUUUGGUACAUGUCUUUUUCAUAUGACCAACUUUCUUGCAAAAUAAACAAGUCAUCUUCUUAUCUUGUUUCUUCUGCACCUUUUGCUUUGAUGUCCCAAAAAUUGCAGUUUGUUUUUCUUUAUUGUCCCUCUUUCUUUUCUUGUUGGUACCAAAUGCCUGAGAUGUGGAAGCCAAGUGAGCACUUUCUAUCUUUUCUUGUUUCAAUCUCUUAUCCUUUUGUGCACAUUGAGCAAUAAGCUCAUUCAAAGUCCAUUUUUUCUUUUGUAUGUUGUAACUGAUUUUGAAUGGACUGAAUUGUGUAGGUAAAGAGAUCAAGACCAAGUGUACGAGUAUGUCUUCCGAAAACUCUAACUUUAGUGCCUUUAGUCUAGUCACAAGAUUAGACAUUUCCAUAAUACACUUCCUUAUAUUCUCUUUCCCUUUGUACCGCAUAGAGACAAGCUUACUAAGAAUAGUGCUUGUCUUAACCUUUUCUUUUGCAGCGAAUCGGCUUGCUAUCUGGUCUAAGAAUGCCUUGGCUCGAGUUUUCUCAGGUAUUACACCCUUUAUAGCUUUUGGAAUUGAGUGCUUUGUUAUCAUUAACUCAUGCGAUUGGAUCGCUCUCAUUUUUCCAUAGUAGACCUUUGCUCAGCAGUGCUGGCACUAGUAAGAUCUGAAGAGCAAUCCUCUCUUAAUGCAUAGUCUAAAUCCAUGCACCCGAGCACAAUUAUAGCGUGCUCUGUCCAUUUCUUGAAGUUUGUGCCAUUAAGCGCAGGAAUGUUAUUAACAUUUGCAGAUAUAGAAUAUGUUGAAUUCAUAAUAAUAAAGCUCACAAUCAGUCACAUAAACAUCAUACAUACAUGAAAAACAUCAUACAAGAUACCUAGCACAAACAUUAAUAUUCUGUCUUUGGACAAUAAAUAUUAACUUGUAAUUGGUAUCCUUAUACAAAAUUAAUUCAUAAAUAUUUAUCGACAAUAAAACCAAAAACAGUAUGCCUAUCUUUAGACUAACAUAUCGAAUGCAAGAUAAACUUUAUAUGUCACAUAUUUAUGAUUACUUUAUUUAUUAUUAUAUUAAAAUAAUCUUCUUUUGAGCCGAUUAUUUUAAAUAAUAAUAAUAACAUGUUUAGAUAUUAUAAAAUAAAUAAAUUAUAUAAUAUAAGUUACUUUGGCAACUAACAUACAUAAUUCAUUUAUUUUAAAAUAUUAAACACAAACAUAACAAGAAAUAAUAAAUUCAAUUAAAAUUAUUUAUUUAUUUAUGCAUAAACCCAUGUAUAUAUAUGUAUAUAUUAAUUGAAGCAUAAAAAACCAUCUACAUGUGUAUAUAUAUCAAUUGAAGCAUAUAUACAAGCUUUAGUCUAAUGGUUUAAGCAAAAAAUAGGCCAUGGUAAAGGGUUUAAGCCAACCCACCCCUUUAGUUUGGUUUUUGUUUUUGUUUUUUUUUUAAUUUCUUUUGGGCUAUUGACCAUGCAUUCUCUCAUGGCCCAACGACCACUUGUGUUCACUUACAAGCCAAGCCCCUUCCAUAUAUAUAUAUAUAUAUAUAUAUAUAUAUAUAUAUAUAUAUAUAUAUAUAUAUAUAUAUAUAUAUAUGUUUUUUUUUAUUUUAUAAAUUUUGUCCAUUGCAGCCCAAAGUGACCAUCCCUUGAAAUGGCAUCAUCAACGGUGCCAGAGUUGUCCUCGAAUGACGCCUACAGUGAAACGCCGCUGCCAUCAUCGGAACGGUGAUUUCCCAUCGCCAAACGACGGUGUCACUACCGGAAUGAUGCUGUAACGGCAUCGCUGGGAAGCAGCCUAACCUGUGGCGUGACGUCGUGACAAGCAGUGCCGCCAGCGGUGAAACGCUGUCGCCAUCAUCGGAACGGUGAUUUUCCAUCUCCAAACGACGGCGCCACCACCGGAACAACGCUGUAACGACGUCACUAGGAAGUAGCCCCACCCGCGGCACCAAAAUGGUGCUUGGAUGGCGUUUGGAAAGCUUGGAACAACACUCAAAUCAGGGCUUCUCACUGGCAAAUGACGUUUGAACGGCGUCUGGAAAUAAUGCCUGUAGCGCCUAAAAAUUGUGCUCUUUUGAACACCUGAAACAACGUCGAAAUGACGUCUAACGACGUCUGGAAUUGCACUGUUGUCUAGAAUGAUGCCAUGAUGGUGUCUCACUCGCCUUAAAUGGCACCAACCACUGUGACUUGCAGCCCCAAAAAUGGCGCUUGAACAGUGCCUGAAGUGUGCUUGGAACGACGCAGCAAACGAUGCCUAAAAUGGUGCAUUUUGUAUGCCUGAAAACGGCACAGGAAUGAAGCCUAAACUACGUCCAUUUUGAACGCCUAAACGGCAUCCUAACGGCGCCUGGAACGGUGCCUGAAUGACGCCUGGAAUUGGCCCAGAUUUAUUUUCUGUUGUUUCCUUCCUCUUGUAUAUUUUGUUUGUGUUUUAAAAAAAAAGUGUUCUGGUGAAAAUGGGAAAUGCAACCAGGCUCUGAUACCAUUUUGUGAGACGUUCAUUCUCCAUUAUCAUCGAACACAUGCAGGAUAUAUUUUAUAUAUCUAUCAAUUCAUUCAAAAUAUGCCUUCAUUUUAUGGAACAUACUCGAAUCCAUUUUGUUUGUGUUGAAGAGGUACAGAUCUUCUAAGGCUAUGGGGAGGGGAGGGAGGGGAGGGGGGUACCACCUUUUCUGAGAAUUCUCUAUGACGAUGGGAAGCCGGAGAGAACAAGUUCUAUUUUUAUUUUGAAAACGUUGUUAUCCUUAAAAAACAAACACUAUUAUUUGGAUUUAUACUCUCCUACCUUAGGGACCAUACCCUUUGGCUAUUGGGCCUCACGAGUCUUAGGUCCAUCAUCUAAGGCUCAUGAUGGCACUAGGCUUUACACAUAAGGUGACCCAUACUCUGAAACGAAUAGAAAUCAUAUGUGUAUAUAUAUAUAUAUAUAUAUAUAUAUAUAUAUAUAUAUAUAUAUAUAUAUAUAUAUAUAUGAAUAUUUAAAUCCUGAACAAUGGUUAAUAUGAUGUCGGUUCACAUUUAUUAUAUCAUAGAGACUUCCUAUCUGAAGAAAAUCGACAGCAGAUAGCUUUGCCAUUCUUAGUCCGUAUACAACCAACCUUAGCAAGGGUUGAACCCUUUUAUGCUUAGUUGUGCCAUACAGAUCCUUACCAUUUGAUAAUGUCAUCUAGUGAACCAAUACCUCCAAAUGAGAGACCAUUGCCUCGGUAACUAGGGCUCAUGACUGAGAAUUGUGUGAACCCUUUUGCUUGGGAUGGAGCUUGACUGAUGAACAAAAUAUUCAUAGGCCUCUUCCCAUAACUGGCACCUUGUGUUUGCAACAUAAUUGAACAUGUAUUGAAGUGAGUUUUUUUGCAUCUUUUUGUAAGAAAAUUCUAAACAACAUAGACUACUUAGUGUGCCCAGCUCCUCGGGGAAUCAAGGUUCAUUCUUGUAGGGCCAAUUUUAUCACAGUCGAACUAGAUAACAUGGAGAGUAUGUUGCAAUGCUUCAAUGGGGUAUUUCUUAGGAAAAUCCACUUGAAGCUGGUACAAUUCGUUGGCGUACUGAGUUCUUGGAGCUUUAUUGACUUCAAUCACCCAUCUCUGUAGAUUAUCAGUGACUUUAUGCUCGGAUCCUGUAGGAAGAUUGACCUGACAUUCCACUAGCUCUUUCUGGAAGGUAAUCUUGUUUAACACCGUAUGAGAAGAGGCAGGGGAACUGGUCAUUGUUUCUUUGAGAAGAUCAAUGGCCGAGGAUGGGUUUGGACCAGAAUUGCUAUAUGGGUUUUCUUUGGGUGAACCAAUUAGCGGAGUGGGUGGCUAUAUAGCAACUGAAGGGUGGUCAUACUAGCUGACAUUCCACUAGCUCUUUCUAGAAGGUAAUCUUGUUUAACACCUUAUGAGAAGAGGCAAGGGAACUGGUCAUUUUUCUUCGAGAAGAUCAAUGGCCGAGGAUGGGUUUGGACCAGAAUUGCUAUAUGGGUUUUCUUUGGGUGAACCAAUUAGUAGAGUGGGUGGCUAUAUAGCAACUGAAGGGUGGUCAUACUAACGAGGAGCUAUUAUUUCAUGCAAGUGGACAGGAAAUGAGUAGCUUCUUCAAGGAUAUAUGAUUAUUCAUCUUUAGCUUACGUUGAAUAUCUCCUAACAAAUUUCUGCUUUGAAGCUCCCUUAGUUUCACUACAGCUAACUUGGCUAACUUGGUUUCAUCAUGUUUCCUACAACCUCUAAGCAAAGCACGCCAGAUCACCGGAUUAGGUUCUAUUCGCAUUUUGUCCAUAAACUCCUUUGCCUAUUGACAAUAGACUGCCCCUCAAAAUUUGAUGAGAUAACAUCAAUGCUGACAUGUUGGCCAUCGCCAUAAGCAUCUUUAUAGAGAUUGAUUCUAUGUUUACAUAUUUCUCUCUCCUCAAGUGAGUUCAACUUUUCUGUAACAUCCUUCUCCUUCUCAACUAACAGUCUUAGUUGAACAUCCAACCUAUGUUCCCAAAGUGCCAACAUCUCAUAUCUGAUGACAAGCCAACAACCUUGUCCUUGCUAAGACCCAAAUAAGUAUCUAGAACCAUCAGCAUCAACCCUUUCAUAGGCCUUUGUAUUUGAAGGUCGGAUUAGGAUUGCUUUGAAUGCAUUGGCAUUGCAAUACACAAUUGUUUCUUCUCCAAUAAAAACACCACAAAGAGGUGAGAGGACUGGUAUUAGCAAAGAAGUGUUGUUAUCUAUAUUGUUCUGAGCCCAAGUACCCUCAACAAAAUCCUCAUCCUCAUCUGUACUUUUCCAUUACAUCCUUAGGCGUUUCAAUGUGAUCCACAUGGCUUACAGGAAUCCAGAAAUACCGGUCUGUAUAAAAGUUGUUCUUAAGGGGCUCUCCUAGAAAACAUCCCAAUCAAGAUGAUCAACCUAGCUUAGAUGCUCAACACCCCAAACUUACCAUAAAUAGAGGAAUAAAAAGCAAGGAUAGGAGCCAGAGUAAAAACUGAGGGAAGAGCAAAUAGGAAAUCAAGCAAAACAUGAAUGUAUAGAGCCUCAUUUCAGGUGACAUCUUUGGGCUAAUAAUAGGUGGAAUUAGCAAAGUAGAUAAGCAUGAUUGUUAUAAAUAUCAAGUUCAAGGAUGAAGCCGUGCAUCAGCUACUUAUAGGGGGAGUCAAGGAAACCAAGAUAAGAUCAAAGAGAGCAUGUAUGCAAAUAAACAGAUUCGACAAAAUAGACCAAACAGAUCAUGAAUAUCCUCCUACAAAAAACUACUACACGUGGCAAAAAGUGAUGAAACAAAAAGAGUCGGGUCCGCAUAUACAUAUCCUAUUCUAUCCUAUUCCUUCAAAUCCAAAGCAACCUAUAUUUUCAAUGGGAUUUGUUGUGAUGAAUUUUACUGGAUUGUAACAUGUAAAUAUGUUAAAAGAGGCUUGGGACAUUCCUAUAUAGUAACGCAUAAAGGUACUUCCAUUGUGAAGUUAUCAAAAUUGCAAAUUUAAAUUACAAAAUUUGAAAACAUAGAGAUGAAAGAUGAUGAAACCUUCUUUGAAAUUUUAUAUUGAACUCAUUAAUAUUAUUAAUUUUCAUUUCAGUCUAGGGGAUAGAAUUCUUUACUCUAAAGUGGUCACAAAAAUAUUAAAAUUCCUUGUCGAGAGAUUUAGACCUAAAGUGAUCAAUAUAGAAGAAAGUAAAAAUCUUCUAAGUGUAGGUAAACUUGUGACUCUACCAUUUCAUAAAAAAUCCUCAAUUUUAUAAAUUAUAUAGAUUUCUUCAUUUGAUACAAAAUUUGAAUAAAGAUUUUUCAAAUGACAACACAAGGAAAGGGAAAAAAAAUUCUCUCCAAAUCAUAUUAUUUAAUCACUUAAAUUAUUUAAAAAUAAAAAUGCUUACUGCUAACAUUAUUUAGUUUCAUCUUUCUUUUGAUGGAGGUUAAAAUUCAUAAUUUUGAGGAAAAAGAUGAGGAUUCUCAUUUUUUUUCCAUGUAUGAAUGGGAUUCUCAUUGUGUAUAUGUGGGUUACUAAAUGGCAAAUUUGCGGGCCACCAGAGUCUGCAAUAUGAGUGAAAAAAUGAAAUUGAGUUUGUCACCAAGAAUAGACAUGGUUCCUACAAAGGUGGCAUCUUUAAUUUCAUGUUUGGAUUGGACUUGUCAUGUAACAACUUAACAAGUGAAAUCCCUCAUGAACUUGGAAUGUUAAGUUUGAUUCAUGCAUUGAACUUGUCUCGUAAUCAACUAAAAGGCUCCAUUUCAAAGAGUUUUUGCAAUCUUUCUCAAAUAGAGAGCUUAGACCUUUUUAAUAAUAAACUAAUAUAAUAAAAAAUAUUUAGGUAGAUCACAUUUAAAUAUAGCUAAUAUAAUAAAAAAUUAGUAUUAUUAGAAAGACAUGAUCAAUUAAAUUUUUUUUCUUAUCUAUGACACGACUUUAUUUUUUUACAUAGUCAAUAUAAUUUAUUACAACUUAUAUGUCAUUAAAUUAUACACGUUUAUAUUAAAUAUAAUAUAAUAUCAUUAAUGGAAUAAUUAUGCAAGUAAUAUAAAUUGUAUAUAAUAUAAAAAAUUUAAACUCCAUCAAACUAAUGGAAUCUAUUAUAAUAAGUAGACUAGACACCAUGUUGGCCCGAGUUGGAAGCCUGGGCCAGAUUUUAAAGGCUGGGCUUUGAGUUGCCCGUGGGCGUGAGCCAAGGUCUUCUCUUGGUAUCAUCAUUUUGAAGAAAUAAAUUGCUGAUACAGAGAAAAAAACUAUACUAAAUAGAAAAAUAAAUAAAAGCAUUGACUAAAAUGAAGGUCAAGGUCCUUGAAAAAUAAUCUUUAAAUUGUUGCAUAUAUAAUUUCAAUAAUGCAUAAAUAAUUGCAAUAUAUAUGAUAUGAUAAAGAAUUUGGAAUUAAAAGAAGAUUGAUCUAUUUUAAAUGUGGUUGGAAUAUUUCUAAAUUUGUGAUGGGAAGUUAGACAGCCAAUUAGGGAUCCAUAUUAUUUAUUUUCAAUGAUAUGAAUUUAUUUAUUUUUAUUAAUAUUCUUAAUGCAACAAUAUAAAAUAUGUCAAUUUUCUAAAAUUUAAAAAGUAAUUGUAAAAGAAAUUUUUUAAUUAUUUUUCUGAAAUUGAGUUUAUUAUAACAUUUUUCUUUACUUAAAUUUCUUUUUUAUUUUUAUUUUUUUAAAAAAUAAGAUAUGAAAAAAAAAGAUCAAUAUUAGUAAAAGUAAAACCCAAUAUAUAAAAAAAAAUGAAUAAAUGUUUAUGAAAUAAAAUUUAAAAGUGAGAAGGUAAUAAAUUUUUUCUCUUUUAAUUCCCAUUCAAUUCAUUACAAAAAAUAUUUUUGGUUUUUAUGCUAAAAUUUAUUGUCUAUUAAAAAAUUCUAGUAUAUCUAGCUAUCAUAGAAGAGCUAUAAAAUUUUAUUGUUUAAGAGAAUAUGUGUUGCUACUUUAAAAGAUUUAUAUGCAAAAGGGAUUGAUAUUUUUUUCCUUUGGAUAUGUUUAGUUCCCGGAAAAUGUGAGGGAAGAAAAAUAGAGAAGAAAAGUAUAACAAAAUAAAAAGUGAAGGAAAAUGAAAAAUAGAUUUAAAGUUAAUAAAUUAUUUUCAUUGGUUUUUUCAAACUUAUUUUACUUAUUUUAUUCUAUUAAAUAAAGAUUAACUAAUUUUAAUUAUAUUUGGUUUGAUUUUUAUUAUUUUUCAAAGCAAAACCAAAUAUGAAAAAAAAAAACAUUUUUUUUUGUUAUUUUUUUUUUCUUUAUUACUUUUCUGGACUCAAACAUAGCUUUUAGAUUUGGAGCAUGGAAAGAUAAGAGUAUUGAAUAAAGGUUCUAUAUAUGCUCAUGCCCAUGCCCAUGAUACCAUUGAAAAAAAUGGAGAGAGGGUGAAACCUUUACUAGAUGAUAAAUUAUUCUCUUCAAUGGAAAUCAAAUAUAAUUAUUUUUAUCUUGUAUUAAUUGAAUGUUAUACUCCAUAAACUCAAAAUUAAAAUAAAUAAAUAAUUUAAAAACUAGGACAAUCCCAUUUUUUUUUCAAUUUCUUAAAAAGAAAUUAAAUUAUAUUUAUUUAUAUCUAUUUUCAUCCCUACCCAACAAAAUAAUAAUAAAAAAAAAAAACAAGGUGGGACAUGUAUGAGAAAUUCUCACACUAACUCUCCCUAGUUUAUUUUUUAUUUUUUUUAAAAAAUCAAUUUCUUUUAAAAAAAUUAAACUACAUAAAAAAUAAACAAAUUUUACAAAAUUUUUUUUAAGAAAAGUAAAUUUCUUAUUUUAUAUAUGUUAAAAAUAAAUAUAAUCUUUUAUUUUUUAUAUAUAUAAUCGGGAGUGGGACAAAGAAAUAAUCCCCUUCGAUUCCAAUCCAAAAUUUUAAAAUAUAAAAUAAAAAUCUUAAACUCAUCCCUAAUCCAUUUAUUUUUAAUCCUAAACUUGUCUUAUUAAGAAUAAGACAAAGUGAGCACAUGAAAACACUUCUUUUAUCAUCAUCUCUACAAGUUCUAAUGUUUAGAUUGCAAUCCAUAUCAAAGAUUUAUAAAGAAAGAACAACGAUGAAUUUCAUAAACAUUUGAAAGCAUAUACAAAGUUUUAAAUAAUAUUGCUUGAGGUGCAAAUAUUAUUUGGCGCACAUGUUGAGGGACUUCAACUGGUGUAGUCUAGGUUUUUUACACUAGUAAGUAAUCUUGAAUAUCUAGAGUAACUUGAUCAAAAUCUCUUUAAUUUUAUUUUCUUUGAUGGUUGUAUGAUGAAUUAGAAUGCUUAUAUAACAGGAUUAAAAAUUUUAAGAAAAAAAACCAAGAAGAAAGAAAGAAGCACCGAUCUUCCAAAUAUUGCUUCCACUUUAAUAUCUAGAAGGCUCUAAGAAAAUAACUUUAUUCAUGAAUCAUAACCCAAGUCGAAAAUAAAUUGAACCCAUUUUCUAAGUUAAAUUUUGAAUUUUUUACUAGUGAAUGCAAAUUGGGAAAAUGUAUAUAAAUAUAAUUAAACUAGAAUAGUAGAUUAGGUUUGUAGGUGGAGUUUGUUUGAAUUGUUGGAACUUCCAAGUCGUUGUGGGUCUAGUGGUCCCAUAGCUCUCUAUUAAUUUCCACCAUCAAUUUUCUACAAUAAAGUCAAGUCAUUCCUAACCCCUAUAUUAAGUUGGCCUUAAAAGUCAAGUCAUUGAUCAUAGUUACAUUCAUGAAUCACAACCCAAGUCGAAAAUAAAUUGAACCCAUUUUUCAAGUUCAACUUUGAAUUUUUUACUAGUGAAUGCAAAUUGGGAAAACAUAUAUAAAUAUAAUUAAACUAAAAUAGUAGAUUAGGUUUGUAGGUAGAGUCUGCUUGAAUUGUUGAAACUUCCAAGUCAUCGUGGGCCCAGUGGUCCCAUAGCUCUCUAUUAAUUUCCACCAUCAAUUUUUUUGCAAUAAAGUCAAGUCAUUCCUAACCCCUAUAUUAAUUUGGCCUUAAAAGUCUAGUCAUUGAUAGCUAAAUCCUAACCCAAGUCAAAAAUAAAUUGAACCCAUUUUCUAAGUUCAACUUUGAAUUUUUCUUAAUUGGAAAAAUGUAUAUAAAUACAAUUAAACUAGAAUAGUAGAUUAGGUUUGUAGGUGGAGUCUGCUUGAAUUUGUGAAACUUCCAAGUCAUCGUGGGUCUAGUGGUCCCAUAGCUCUCUAUUAACUUCCACCAUCAAUUUUCUGUAAUAAAGUCAAGUCAUUCCUAACCCCUAUAUUAAUUUGGCCUUAAAAGUCUGGUCAUUGAUAGCUACGUUCAUGAAUCCCAACCCAAGUCAAAAAUAAAUUGAACCCAUUUUCUAAGUUCAACUUUGAAUUCUUUUAAUUGGGAAAAUGUAUAUAAAUACAAUUAAACUAGAAUAGUAGAUUAGGUUUGUAGGUGGAGUCAAGCUUGAAUUUGUGAAACUUCCAAGUCGUCAUGGGUCUAGUGGUCCCAUAGCUCUUUAUUAAUUUUCACCAUCAAUUUUCUGCAAUAAAGUUAAGCCAUUCCUAAACCAUAUAUUAAUUUGGCCUUAAAAGUCAAGUCAUUGAUAGUUACGUUCAUGAAUCACAACCCAAGUCUAAAAUAAAUUGAACCCAUUUUCCAAGUUCAACUUUGAUUUUUUUACUAGUGAAUGCAAAUUGGGAAAACUUAUAUAAAUAUAAUUAAACUAGAAUAGUAUAUUAGGUUUGUAGGUGGAGUAAGCUUGAAUUGUUGAAACUUCCAAGUCAUCAUGGGUCUAAGGGUCCCAUAGCUCUCUAUUGAUUUCCAUCGUCAAUUUUUAUGAAUUAAGAUUUAAAAGUGAGAAGGGAAUAAAUUUUUUCUUUUUCAAUUCAUUACAAAAAAUAUUUUUGGUUUUUAUGCUAAAAUUUAUUGUUAUUCAAAAAAUUAAAGUAUAUAAAUAAUAUAUAUAUAUAUAUAUAGAUAUAUAUAUCUUGCUAUUAUAGAAGAGCUCCAAAGUUUUCGUGUUUAAGAGAAUAUGUGUUGCCACUUUAGAAGAUUUAUAUACAAAAAGGAUUGAUGUUUCUCCUUUGACUAUUUUUGGUUCCCAAAAAUUCGAGGGAAAGAAAAUAAAAAAAAAAAAAGUAGUAAAAAAGAAAAAUAAAGGAAAAUAAAAAAUAGUUUUAAAGUUAAUAAAUUAUUUUUAUAUGUUUUUUCAAACUUAUUUUACUUUUUUUUUCAUUAUAUAAAGAUUAAAUAAUUUUAAAAAUGUAUAAAUUUCUAACUAAUUUUAAUUAUAUUUAAUUUUUGUUUUUAUAUUUUUUAGACGGGAUCCGACACAUGAAAAAAUCCUUUUUUUUAGCAUCUUUUUUUCUUUUCUUAUUACUUUCCAAUAACCAAAUAUAACCUUUAGAUUUAGCCUUUAGACUUGGAGUAUGGAACGAUACUGACUAUUGAAAGAAGGUUUUGUAUAUGGCCAUGAUACCAUAGAAAAAAUGGGCGAGAGAGAAAAAACCUUUAUUAAAUGAUAAAUUAUUUUUUUCAAUGGAAAUCAAAUAUAAUUAUUUUUAUAAUAAUUACUUUAUUUUUAAAAAAUAAUAAUAAAACAAAUAAUUUGUUGUUGCAUUAAGUAUUCUUGCAUUUGGAGAAGCAUGUUACUACUUACUACAUAAAUAGAUAUUCAUGGAGUGCAUUCUCUAAAAAGCUCCAGUCUCAUGAAAAUGGAAAGAUGGACCGGCCGGUGAACCGGUUCGAGUUUGGAUUUAUGGGCUGCCUCAGCCUUACACGCAUGAUAGACGGUUGCAGGUGAAGAACUAAUUAAUUUAAAGCCUUCUUCUAUCCUCUCCUAUUCCUCUAUCACUCCAAAUGUUCCACAUGAUAAUGACAAUUCUUUUGUUAAAUGGUAAAAAAAAAAUUUAACAAUUAAUUUUUAAAAAUUUUAAAUUCUAAAUCCAAUUGAAAUUUGACUCUAAUUUGAUGAUAGUUAAAUUACCAUUUUGGGAGAUUCCACUCACUAGUAUUCUCAUUUAUAAAAUCAUGAACUUUGGCAUCCUAAUUAAUGCAAUUUAAACUUUUUUUUUUGUUUACAAAUGAAAUAAGAGGCAACAUAAAAACCCAAAAGUUAAUUUUCCUACCAUCUCUAUGCACCAUUUUAGCUUUACUCCAAUAUAUUUUCUAUGAUUAAUUAUUUUCAUUCAAACAAUAAUAUCAAAAUAUUUUAAAAUUAGACAUAUCAUAAUCAAAUAUCAUUAUAUUAUUAUCGAAUAAUAUUUAAUGUAAUUUAAUAAUCAACUUAUACUUAUAAAAUUUAUUUUUUUUAUUAAUGCAUAUAAUAUUAUUAUCAAAUAUCAUAAAUUAUAUAUAUAUAUAUAUUUCUUUAACAAAACAACUUUAAAAUAUCUAUUAUACUUCUAAUUUCAUUUCUAAGAGGUUUUUUUUUUUUUUUUUUUUUUUUUUUUUUACAUUUUUAUAAGUUUUGAUCAAUUGUAGGCUAACCGAUAUUUUUUAUCAAAAUAUCCACCAAUAUAUCUCCGAUAUAUUAGAUAUAUCCGUAAAAUCGAAAUACCAAUAUAUCCAUGAUUAUCGAUAUUUUUAUCCUUGAGGGAUAACAACUAAUCUAGUUUUUGCACUUAUUGAUAUUCCUCAACAUUUAGAUUGAUUUGACCAAAAUCUUUUUAAUUUUAUUUUCUUUGAUGGUUAUAUGAUGAAUUGGAAUAGUCAUAUAACAUUAACAUAUUUAAGAAAAAAUGAUAAAAAAGAUCGCAUUUUUCAAAUAUUGGUUUCAACUUUGAAUAUUUUUAUUGGUAAAUGAAAAUUGUGAAAAACCUACUAAUGCUAAUACUUUUCACCACAUAAUUAAAUAUAAUAAACUAGAAUAGUGAUUCAUUGAUGUCUCAUAAAGCUACAUGCCUUCUUUGACUUGUUAGUUGAUUUUUGUAGGCGGAGUCCAUUUCCAUUUGAAUUGUUGAAACUUCCAAGUCCUUGUGGGUCUAGUGGUCUCUCUAAUAAUUCCCACCAUUAAUUUUUUGUGAUGAAGUGCAGUCAUUGAUAGCUACUAUAUCAAUUUGCUAUUAAAAGUCAAGUCAUUGAUAACUACUAUUCAAUCUUUUUCAAUAUGGAAAUUGGAAUCGCUAGCACUACUCUUCUCAUUGUUCAUUUUUAAAUUUUAGGUAAUGUGAGAAUGUGUGAACAUAAAUGUCUUCUAAUCAACCAAUUUUUUUGAAAAAAACAUGUACAAAAUUGUAAAACUUGCAAAAUCAAACUUUCUUGUUGAAUAACCAUAGCUUGAUGGUUUUGAAGAAUCAAAGGAUGAAUCCUAAAAGGGUAUUUGAUAAAAAAUAAAAUUUAAAAAAUUAAAAGACAACUACUCCCUUAAGUGUAAUAAGUGUUGUAGACCCCCGGAAGCAGGGACUUUUUUUGAAUUUUUAUUUUUAUUUUCCCGGGGCCCGACAUGAUGGUCAGGAGCUGAUUUUUGGGGCAGAGAGGGGACUCAAGUGGGCGGCUCUCGGGGGGGCAGAUUGGACGGGAUACGGCUGGCUUGCUGAGGAAGACAGGAACAGAAGAAAAACAGAGGAGAAAAGAAGAAAAAGAAAGAGAAAGGAGAGGGGGAUUUCAGACAAGAGGGAGGGAGAAAAAGAAAAGAAAAAGCUGACUGGAGAGGAUUUUGUGGACAGAGGAACCUUCGAGGUAUGAACACUAUCGAUNNNNNNNNNNNNNNNNNNNNNNNNNNNNNNNNNNNNNNNNNNNNNNNNNNNNNNNNNNNNNNNNNNNNNNNNNNNNNNNNNNNNNNNNNNNNNNNNNNNNNNNNNNNNNNNNNNNNNNNNNNNNNNNNNNNNNNNNNNNNNNNNNNNNNNNNNNNNNNNNNNNNNNNNNNNNNNNNNNNNNNNNNNNNNNNNNNNNNNNNNNNNNNNNNNNNNNNNNNNNNNNNNNNNNNNNNNNNNNNNNNNNNNNNNNNNNNNNNNNNNNNNNNNNNNNNNNNNNNNNNNNNNNNNNNNNNNNNNNNNNNNNNNNNNNNNNNNNNNNNNNNNNNNNNNNNNNNNNNNNNNNNNNNNNNNNNNNNNNNNNNNNNNNNNNNNNNNNNNNNNNNNNNNNNNNNNNNNNNNNNNNNNNNNNNNNNNNNNNNNNNNNNNNNNNNNNNNNNNNNNNNNNNNNNNNNNNNNNNNNNNNNNNNNNNNNNNNNNNNNNNNNNNNNNNNNNNNNNNNNNNNNNNNNNNNNNNNNNNNNNNNNNNNNNNNNNNNNNNNNNNNNNNNNNNNNNNNNNNNNNNNNNNNNNNNNNNNNNNNNNNNNNNNNNNNNNNNNNNNNNNNNNNNNNNNNNNNNNNNNNNNNNNNNNNNNNNNNNNNNNNNNNNNNNNNNNNNNNNNNNNNNNNNNNNNNNNNNNNNNNNNNNNNNNNNNNNNNNNNNNNNNNNNNNNNNNNNNNNNNNNNNNNNNNNNNNNNNNNNNNNNNNNNNNNNNNNNNNNNNNNNNNNNNNNNNNNNNNNNNNNNNNNNNNNNNNNNNNNNNNNNNNNNNNNNNNNNNNNNNNNNNNNNNNNNNNNNNNNNNNNNNNNNNNNNNNNNNNNNNNNNNNNNNNNNNNNNNNNNNNNNNNNNNNNNNNNNNNNNNNNNNNNNNNNNNNNNNNNNNNNNNNNNNNNNNNNNNNNNNNNNNNNNNNNNNNNNNNNNNNNNNNNNNNNNNNNNNNNNNNNNNNNNNNNNNNNNNNNNNNNNNNNNNNNNNNNNNNNNNNNNNNNNNNNNNNNNNNNNNNNNNNNNNNNNNNNNNNNNNNNNNNNNNNNNNNNNNNNNNNNNNNNNNNNNNNNNNNNNNNNNNNNNNNNNNNNNNNNNNNNNNNNNNNNNNNNNNNNNNNNNNNNNNNNNNNNNNNNNNNNNNNNNNNNNNNNNNNNNNNNNNNNNNNNNNNNNNNNNNNNNNNNNNNNNNNNNNNNNNNNNNNNNNNNNNNNNNNNNNNNNNNNNNNNNNNNNNNNNNNNNNNNNNNNNNNNNNNNNNNNNNNNNNNNNNNNNNNNNNNNNNNNNNNNNNNNNNNNNNNNNNNNNNNNNNNNNNNNNNNNNNNNNNNNNNNNNNNNNNNNNNNNNNNNNNNNNNNNNNNNNNNNNNNNNNNNNNNNNNNNNNNNNNNNNNNNNNNNNNNNNNNNNNNNNNNNNNNNNNNNNNNNNNNNNNNNNNNNNNNNNNNNNNNNNNNNNNNNNNNNNNNNNNNNNNNNNNNNNNNNNNNNNNNNNNNNNNNNNNNNNNNNNNNNNNNNNNNNNNNNNNNNNNNNNNNNNNNNNNNNNNNNNNNNNNNNNNNNNNNNNNNNNNNNNNNNNNNNNNNNNNNNNNNNNNNNNGGCCCGCCAUACGUGCUUUCCUCAUGAUUGAUUGAUUUGAUUGAUUGAUUGACUUGGCUAUCAUACAUGAUUUAUUUAUCCUGCUCUCCGACAUGCAUGCUAUUAUUUCUUACUUGUGCACUAACCUCUCUCUUGAUAGCGCAUGGUGGCUCGUCGCCCAAGUACGCACCUACUUUCACUCUGGUAAUUGCCCAAGCAUAUUUUGAUUCUCACGUGUGCAUGAUUUAUUCUGGGUACUCAUUGAUCUACUCGUCCAUUGCCAUGAUUGCUUCAUUUUAUUAGUAGAGACCCGACUUUAGGGACUUAGAAGGGUGCUACGGUCCUUACCGUACCUUCCCGAUAAGUAACCUGACCCCCGAACCCGACCCGGUUUUUCGCAGACCGCCUUUUUCAAAAUAAGGAGUCACACUUAGGGUUUUUCUUUCUUAUUUUGUUUACCCUUUAAAAAUAAAACAAAAAUAAGUGACGACUCCAAGUCAUUUUUUUUUUCUUAAUCAAAUAAAAUCAUUUUUCUAACAAAAAUCGAGUUCGUCAUCGAGUGGGAAACACAUGAGCCGAAAUGCGGGGUCCACAAAAUGGCGACUCCGCUGGGGAUUUUUAGAGGGUCAAACUUGAACUUAGAAUGAAGCAAGCGUGGCAUUCGAUUGGACGAUCAGUGGAUGCCCAUUUCUUGAUGGCACAUUGAGGAUAUUUGAUGUAUGCUCGGAUUUUAUAUCUGUUCGAGACUUUUGACAUGUUGAUUAUGGUGAUUGAUUUUAUCCUAAUUGAGGCUUUCGAGGCCAUGUUUUUUCGUGCCUCACUGAUUAUAUCUGUUUGCUACAUCGACAUUGUUGAUUUAUUGAUGAUUGAUCUUAUUGCAUUGAUUAGCACAUUGAUUCUGAUUUUGCCAUGUUUGUUCUGAUCACUUCACAUGCAUACACUCACCACUGUAUAUCACUCGACUUGACAUGUUGAUUCUCUGACUUGUAAUACUGUUUUGACCGUCUUUGAGCAUGAUGUUUGUAUCACUAUUCGUCCCGAUCGUCGUAUUCUCGCUUAUCUUGCGUGUAUAUGAGUGAUAUAUCCUGCUCUGCCUGACUGUAUGAUGCAUGACUGCCCUACCUCUGCAUGAUUGCAUGUCGUCUGUCUAUGUGGGUCUCACUUCUAUCCCCCUACCUCCAAAUCUCUUGGUCUCGGUCAUUCUUUUCAUCUCGGUUCUCACUAUUGCAAGUGUGAGACCUUCUGUGUGCUUGCUCUCUGACCGAGCCAGAGAUUAGGAGUAGGGUCUAGCGACGGGCUAUAUCGAUGCACGGGAGCAUUCUGGAGGAGAGCGACACUUUGAUGUCGAUUGGAGUCCGAUCAUUGAAGACCUGUAUAGCCCCGAGCUAGGUUUCAUGGAUAGUCGUGCGACCAGUGUGUUUCCUCUUCUGCUCUAGAUUCUUAGGGUUUUCGGAUGUACCCACACCUUUCACUGUGCACUUUAGUUGACCAUUGAGCGUCAAGAGUUUGAGAGGUUUCACCAUAGGAAACCCCCUGGGAUGUCGAGGUAGUGCAUGUGUGGAGGUGAUGACCACCUUGCAUGGAAGCACCCCGUCUCUUUUUGAGGCGUGCAGAAGGUUGCGUACCGUCGGAGGGUACGAUCGCUUCUGCUAGGGAUCUUUUAAAGUCCACCCAUAUCCAUUUAGAGUCACCUUCACCAUGCAGGUUGAGCCAUAGAUCCUUUCAAUCAGGACUCCCUCCCUACACGUGGGUGCAUCCGUGGGCCUUCAGAGACGGUUCAGUAGCAACAGGUUUGGUUACCUUCGCAGUAGUCUCUUAUAUAUCUGCUCAGGGUUGGAUAUCAGUUUGUUCGCUUCCAGGCUACCUUUUGACACAUUUGAUAGACAUUCUUUGUGAAGUUUCCCUUACCCCGCACCUUAUCUAGUAUUUUCACUAUUGUAGGAGUACCGAUACGUUCAGUCUGGGUUUGACUUCUUGGAUCAGAGUUGGGGGUAGAUUGAUCAGGGUAUCGGACCAGUUAGGCCAGAGAUCAGAUCAGAGGGAUAUGGAUUCACAGAUAGUUACCGUCGAUCAGUUCGCUGAGGCCAUGGCUUCGAUUCAGGAGGCUAUAGCUAGCCUUGGCCGAAAGAUAGAUGGGCAGCAGGCCCAGCAGGUCCCGCCCCCGGUUGGUGCCCAGUAUGACCCUACAAUGCCACCACCUCCUCCACCCAGUCAGUCAGCGCCACAGGCCAUGCCGUUCACUCUGCAUAGUCAGACCGGGGUUGCCCCACCUCCCAUCACCGCGCCCACCCCGACCUCAGAGGACCCACAUGCUCGCAUGGAUAGACUUGAGCAGGGUUUGAGACAGUUGAGGGCUUCAGACAGAGCCACUACUUGGGAGGGUUUUGAUGGAGUACCGGUAGCUAGCUUGCCGGCUAAGUUCAGGAUGCCUGACAUUGAGAGGUAUACCGGCAUUGGUUGUCCACGCCUCCAUCUCCGAUUAUACAACACCGUGAUGAGGGCUCAUGGACUGGACGAGCCUUAGAUGAUUACUCUUUUCCCACUAUCUUUGAGUGGGGCGGCCCAGCGUUGGUUUGCAUCUUUGGAGGCCUCGAGGCGCCGCACAUGGGACGACUUGGCCCAAGAGUUCCUACGACAGUUUUCGUUUAACACUGUCGUAGAUGUAUCGAGGAGGGAGCUCGAGGCUUUGAGACAGAGGGCGGAGGAGUCUGUUUCUUCUUUCAUUUCUCGCUGGCGCGGGAAGAUAGCUGAGAUUAUCGAUAGACCAUCAGAGAGGGACCAGAUUCAGAUGGUUUUGAGGAGCCUGCAGCCGCGGAUCGCCAGACAUGUGGUAGGGGCCCCGUUCACAGAUUUUGGGUCUCUGGUUAUGGCUCUGUACGAUGUCGAGGACGGCAUCUCGAGAGGCUUAUGGGCAGAUUCUUCCCCUAGUGAUAUUAAGGGGAAGAAGCCCUUCGUAGGAUCGAGGCCAGCAGAUGUGAGCGUUAUCGGUUCUUCCAGUCAGAGGCCUCUCAGGCGCCAUCAGUCGAUCCCACAGUUUCCCGAGCCUCAUUCAUCCUAUGCAUCUCAUCAGUACAGACCACGGGCACCUCGUCCAGCUUAUGAUCAGACAUAUACUCCGCAGACUCUGGCUUUGCCUUAUUAUGCCUCCCAGGGCAUUGAGAGACCCUCAGUUUCCUACACGGCUACAGGACAGCCAUGCUAUGCUGCUCAGUUCACUACGAGACCCGCAGCGUCUUAUCCCCGACCCAGAGCUCAGCAGACUUCUGCUCCCUUUGCUUUGAGGGCGCAGAGGCAGUUCUCACAGAUAGGCAUGCCGUUGAGCCAGGCUCUUCGGAAGCUUACAGAGGCUGGGUUAUUGACUACUCUCACCCCUCGGUCGCCGCCUCAGCCGAUUCCACCUCAGUUCAGGAUGGAUCUACACUGUGCAUACCAUUAGGGGCUUGGACAUGAGACCGAUCGAUGCACCGCUUUGAGGCAUGCCGUUCAGGAUUUGAUUGACCAGGGUUUGGUACACUUGGGUCAGCCGAGUGUGACCACGAACCCGUUGCCUGCUCACACCACACAUGCAGUCCCUCCACCAGCCGAUGACAUUCAUUUCUUAGAGUUUGAUGAGAUCGAUGAUCACAUCCACAUGCUGAGUGAUGUUGAUUCAGACCCAGAGCCCAUCAUGCCAGAUGUGAUUUAUGAGACGAGUGGGGUGACUCUGGGUCCUCGGAUGCCUGCUCCAUUCCGAUUAGUUCCCGAGGCGGCGUCCGUGCAGGCUGCCACAGUUGAGCCAUUGAUUUUGCCGCAUUACAGUGUCCAGACGCCUUUCAUCUUGAUCCCGGAUGUUGAGGGGGUUCAGGCUCCGUAUGUUGAUGAUUCUCAGACUCUGGACAUUCAGUACGUUCUCCGAGGAGGUAGAGUGAUGAGAUAGCCACCUCCAGCUGCUGCCGCUAGACCCUUAGGGGGUGCGUCAUCCCAGGAGGAGGUUAGAGUAGAGGAUGACGAGAUUUUGAGGCAGUUGCAGAGCACUCAGGCUCGUAUUUCUAUCUGGAGCCUUUUAGCGUCCUCCAAUACUCACCGGGAUGCACUGACUCGAGCUCUGAGCCAGAUUAGAGUUGAUACCACGACGACUCCUGAGGGACUCAUUCAUAUGAUGACGGCUGGCAGAGCCACUUGUAUCAUCUUCUCCGAUGAUGACUUGCCACCAGAGGGUUCUGGCCACGCGCGUCCUCUCUAUAUAUCUGUUGGUUGUUCAGGUCGCCGAGUUCCAUCUGUCCUUCUGGACAAUGGCUCGGUCCUGAACGUAUGUCCUCUGGCCACCGCCAUCGCUCUUGGGUACGCACCAUCCGACUUCGGUCCAUCCACUCAGACCGUUCGAGCUUAUGACAUCACCCGUAGAGAGGUCAUGGGUACAUUGGAGAUUGAGCUCCUGAUAGGUCCGACCACAUUUAUCACUAUCUUUCAGGUUUUGAGGAUUCCUACAUCCUUUAACCUGCUUUUGGGCCGACCGUGGAUUCAUCGAGCUGGAGCCGUUCCUUCUUCACUUCAUCAGAAAGUGAAGUUCAUCCAUGAGGGCCAGGUAGUCGUCGUACAGUCGGCAGGGGACAUGUUCAUUUCCGCUGAGCCCGUGCUCCAGAUCAGCCACAGUGACGAUGAUUUACUACUGACCGGGUUCACUUUUGAUGAGGUACAGACUCUUGAGCUGGGAGACUUUUGCCGGGACUUCAUCGCUAUGUCCUUUGACCAGCAUGGGAGCACAGUGGUGCUUGAUAUCAUGAGAGGCAUGUCCUAUCUACCCGGCAUGGGGUUGGGUCGACGUCAGCAUGGACCGAGCGAGUUCAUCACCAUUCCUGAUCAUGACGUACCAUUUGGGCUUGGGUUCAUCCCCACCGAGGCUGACUAUCGAUACAUGGCGCGUUUGCGCAAGGAGAGAGCGAGGGCUCGGCUGACCCACACGCCUUUCGACUAUCCUCUUCGCCCAUACACCAGGAGCUUAUCUGAUUACUUUGUGAGGGCAUCGGAGUCACAUGCACCAUCUGAUGGGAUCAUCGGAGGACUCAGCACCACCCAGGAGGCCGAGCUUCAACGCCUUGUCCAACAGUUACAGUUGAGUGACGGAGCCCUUGGCCCUUCGGCUUCUGUGUUGAUUGCUCCUCCUUCCCCAGAUCGCACGAGCCUUAUGACGCUUUGCUUCCCGGAUGAGAUUGAUGAUCACGGGACUUUUGCCGAGAUUGGAGACGUAGUGGAUAGAGCCGUGCCGCGUGACGAGUACGUUGAUGAGAUGCUCGCGAUGAGUUUGAGCCAGACCGAGGAGAUGGCCCCGCCGGAGCUCGCUUCACCUUUUGAUCUCUUUGGGGUGUCCGUCCUCGAGAUCACUGAGGAUAUCCAGGUUGCCCCCACUCCAGAGGCCGUCGAGGAUGUUAUAGUUGUUGUUGAUUUGUUUGAUGGCCCUGUUGGCCUAGUUGAGGGAGCGUCCGACCUUGUGGACCCACCUCUCACCUUUGAUGUUUUAUCGGGAUUUGUCUCCCGUCAUGACUAUGUUUCUGACUUUUCAUCUAUGGAUUUGAGCACCUUUGAGUAUUUGCCUGUCUCUCAUGUUAUUGAUUUAUCUGCACCAUCUUCACCCACAUCACAGAUUUUUGACAUUGAUGAUGAGAUUGCGCAGCACGACUCAGACGAUGAUUCGUCUUCUGCUUCCGAUUCAGACCCCGUUGAUCAGAGAGUUUCACCUGCUGUAGGGGACACCGAGAUUGUUGACUUUGGCACAACAGAUCAGCCUAGGGAGUUGAGGAUCGGAUCAGAUUUGUCUACAAAUGAGAGAGAUAGCCUCAUCCAGCUACUCAGAUCCUACUUGGACGUUUUCGCAUGGUCCUAUGAGGACAUGCCAGGCCUUGAUCCAUCUAUCGUCCAGCAUCGUUUGCAACUUCUGCCCCGGGCCCGACCGGUUAAGCAGAAGUUGAGACGAUUGCACCCUCGUUGGAGCUUGCAGGUGAAAGAGGAGAUCCAGAAGCAGCUCAGUGUAGGAUUCUUAUCAGUGGUUGAGUACCCGGAGUGGCUGGCCAAUGUCGUCCCUGUUCCCAAGAAGGACGGCAAGGUGAGAGUCUGUGUUGAUUUCCGAGAUCUCAACAAGGCCAGUCCUAAGGAUGAUUUUCCUCUUCCACACAUCGACAUGCUAGUUGACAGUACGGCAGGUCAUUCGAUGUUGUCCUUUAUGGACGGAUUUUCCGGGUACAGUCAGAUCUUGAUGGCUCCAGAGGACAUGGAGAAGACGUCCUUCAUUACCGAGUGGGGCACUUAUUGCUAUAGAGUCAUGCCAUUCGGAUUGAAGAACGCAGGAGCCACAUAUCAGAGAGCAGCGACCACACUCUUCCAUGACAUGAUGCAUCGGGAUGUCGAGGUUUACGUAGACGACAUGAUAGUGAAAUCCCGAUAUAGAUCAGAUCAUUUGGCAGCUCUUGAGAGGUUCUUUGAGAGGAUCAGACAGUUCAGAUUGAGACUGAAUCCCAAGAAGUGCACUUUCGGAGUGACUUUCGGGAAGCUCUUGGGAUACAUGGUCAGUGAGCGAGGCAUAAAGGUAGAUCCGGACAAGAUUAGAGCCAUUCUUGACAUGCCUGCGCCGAGGACAGAGAGAGAGGUCAGAGGCUUCCUGGGCAGACUUCAGUACAUCAGUAGAUUCAUAGCCAGAUUGACAAACAUCUGCGAGCCCAUAUUUCGACUCUUGAGGAAGAGUCAACCUACUGUUUGGGAUGACCAGUGCCAACGUGCCUUCGAGAGGAUCAGAGAGUACUUGUUGUCACCUCCUGUUUUGGCGCCUCCUACACCAGGCCGUCCUCUACUCUUAUACUUGUCUGUAUCAGACGUGGCCUUGGGUUGCAUGUUAGCUCAGCUCGAUGAUUCGAGCAAGGAUCGAGCCAUUUACUAUUUGAGUAAGAGGAUGUUAGACUACGAGACGAGGUAUGUCAUGAUUGAGCGUUAUUGUUUGGCAUUGGUUUGGGCCACUCACCGGUUGAGACAUUACAUGACCGAGUAUUCCGUGCAUUUGAUAUCUCGCUUGGAUCCUCUGAGAUAUUUGUUUGACAGACCCGCUCUGGUUGGUCGCCUUAUGAGAUGGCUGGUACUUCUUACUGAGUUUGACAUCCAUUAUGUCACUCAGAAGUCCAUCAGAGGGAGCAUUGUAGCAGAUCAUCUAGCCUCAUUACCAGUUUCUGAUGCCAGAGCUAUUGACGAUGAUUUUUCAGACGAGGAUGUCGCUGCUGUGACUAGUCUGUCAGGUUGGCGCAUGUACUUUGAUGGCGCGGCCAACCAUUCCGGAUAUGGGAUAGGCGUCUUGUUGAUAUCCCCUCACGGUGAUCACAUUCCCAGAUCAGUUCGUUUGGCAUUCUCGGAUCGGCACCCUGCCACGAACAACAUUGUUGAGUAUGAGGCUUGUAUCUUGGGAUUAGAGACGGCCCUUGAGCUUAGGAUUAGACAGAUGGAGGUGUUUGGUGACUCCAAUAUGGUAUUGAGACAGAUUCAGGGUGAGUGGAAGACUAGAGAUGUGAAGCUUAGGCCUUAUCAUGCAUAUUUGGAGCUACUGGUUGGGAGAUUUGAUGAUUUGAGAUAUACCCAUCUGCCUAGAGCGCAGAACCAGUUUGCUGAUGCUUUAGCUACUCUAGCUUCCAUGAUCGAUAUUCCCGUUGACGCCACUGUUCGAUCUUUGUUGAUCGAGUCGAGAUCUGCUCCUGCUUACUGUUGCCUGAUCGAUGAUGUAGAGCCAGAUGAUGGUUUUCCAUGGUAUCACGACAUAUAUCACUUUUUGAGACUCGGCAUAUAUCCUGAGGCCGCCACGGCCAAGGAUAAGAGAGCAUUGAGACAGUUGGCCACUCGAUUCGUGAUUUGUGGCGAGACACUGUACAGGCGAUCACCUGACGGGAUGCUAUUAUUGUGUUUGGACCGCGCCUCUGCCGAUCGGGUGAUGAGAGAGGUUCAUGCGGGAGUCUGCGAACCACAUAUGGGAGGACAUAUGUUGGCUCGUAAGAUCAUGAGGACAGGAUACUUCUGGUUGACCAUGGAGACAGAUUGCUGCCAGUUUGUUCAGAGGUGUCCCGAGUGUCAGAUACACGGAGAUCUCAUUCACGUGCCGCCCUCCGAGCUGCACGCACUAACUUCACCAUGGCCAUUUUCCGUCUGGGGUAUUGAUAUCAUCGGGAAGAUUUCACCGAAAUCUUCCAGUGGUCAUGAGUUCAUCCUGGUCGCCAUCGAUUACUUCACCAAGUGGGUGGAGGUCGCUUCGUAUGCGAGAUUGACAUCGUCUGGAGUUGCUAGUUUCAUCAGAUCACACAUUAUCUGUCGCUAUGGAGUCCCUCAUGAGUUGAUUUCAGACAGAGGAGUACAUUUCAGAGCAGAGGUUGACACCUUAGUACAGAGAUACAGCAUCCGGCAUCAUAGAUCGUCUACGUACAGGCCGCAGACGAAUGGGGCAGUAGAGGCCGCGAAUAAGAAUAUCAAGAGGAUAUUACGGAGGAUGGUCGAGACUUCUCGGGAUUGGUUAGAGAAGCUCCCAUUUGCAUUGUGGGCUUAUCGAACUUCUUUUCGCACCUCUAUAGGCGCCACACCCUACUCCUUGGUAUAUGGCAUAGAGGCGAUGCUACCCGUUGAGAUUGAGAUGGGUUCGUUGAGAGUAGCACUAGAGCAGCAGAUUCCCGAGGCAGAUUGGGCUCAGGCUCGAUUUGAUCAGCUCAAUCUCCUAGAUGAGAGGAGAUUGAGAGCAGCAGACCAUGUUCGUGCGUAUCAGAGGAAGAUGGCCCGCGCUUUCAAAAAGCGGGUCAAGCCCAGACCAUUACAGAUAGGUGACUUAGUUCUGAAAGUCAUCAGGGGAUUGAUCAGAGAUCCUAGAGGGAAGUUCAGACCCAACUGGAGCGGACCUUAUUUCAUCAGGGAGUUGACCCCAGAGGACGCUGCAUGGUUGAUGGAUUUAGAUGGAAACCGAUUCUCAGAGCCAACCAAUGUGGAUCAGCUAAAGAGGUACUAUGUUUGAGACCAUGGUCGCAGGAUGGGUGGCCAUCAUUUCGGUUAGCCAUUUACCUUGUUACUCCCUUUUGAUACAUAGUCCAUUGCUAGCCCAUUGAGCCUCGCAUGCGCAUUAUAGCCUUUCUUUUUUAUCGCCUUGCUCACAUUUUCACACCGGGAUAGGGGCCCUUUAAUGUAUGCAUGCAUUGUUUGGUAGUUUCAUGAGCUUUGGACCUAGAGGCAUGUUUUUUCUCAUUGUCUUUUUCUAUCACUACACCUUUGCAUUUUCAUCUCAUCUUAUUGGUUAUGUUAUUCAUCUCUUCUUCCUUAUCCUAUCUACUAUCUGUUUGUUUCAUAUUUCGCUUCACCCUGGGGGGUGAUCCUCCUCAGUUCAUCACAUGGAGGGUAGUCACAUCAUUUCUGCCAUCUAUCUCGCGGACACUGAUUUAGAGAUCCUUAGUUUGAGAAGGUCAUCUUGUCAAAGAGAGUUUGUUUGUUACCUUAGCACUUGGGGGUGUGUCCAUUUGUUAUCGAUAUCAUCUUUGGGGUUCAUUUGUUCAUGUUCAGGGUACGCGUAUUUGUAUAUAUGUAAAAAAAAAGAGAAAAAGAAAAUUAUUAUUAUUAUUAUUAGCACAUGUGUGUAUGUGCAUAGUGUUCUCGAUCAUUGGGUAUGUAUAUUGAUGUUUGGGGGUCAUUUUUAUCGAGUAUGUUCGUUAUUGGGAGUUCGUAUGUGAACUCUCUGAGAUCCCACGCUAUUUGUAUUGCUUCGUCAUAUCUAUUUGUGAGAGAGACGAGUGACCUUCUCCUAAGGACUCCGAGUCAUUGCCUUUUCCAUCAUUACCUUCAUUAUUGAUGUGACUUCACUUCAUGUUUGAUCUGAGUCGUUCACCACCUUUCUUCACAUAUUCAUUGUUUCGCCGUCGUUUUUAUCAUUGCUUGUGAUUCAUCUCAUUCCCUUCGCGUCUUAUUCCCUCCUUAUAGCGACCCAUCUCGGUUUCGAUGCUCACUUCGCAUCAUCAUUACACAUGUCACUAUCAGUUCAUUUUGCUCCAUUUGUCUCCUUAUCGAUAUCAUAUUCACGUUAGGCAUCCUCAGGUCCAUGGCUCAUGGGGUUCACUAUACAUGUUGCAUUUCAUAUAUGAGGGCAUGAGUUUUGAUCAUUGGGUAUUUGAGCCUAGUUUCCUUUCGUUUCUAUCACCCUAUCACCUUGGCCUACGUUACGUCCCGUGUCUUAAGACCACCCUGAGGUCAUGGGAUCAGAUGUCGUCUUCGGCAGCCCCUACUUGGACAGGUGAUUGAGAUCUGGUUGAUAUUUAGAUAUUGUCAUGCUUCUUCUUCUGGGAGUCGCCCCUUUGAUGUGUAGGACUGAUUCAGUUGUGUUCGGAUUACCAGGAUCGUGAGUUUGACGAUGAUUGACUUGGUGUCACCUGUUUUUUUGACCUAUCAUACCUCUGGUACCACACUGGGGCAUAUCCCAUUUCAUUUGGAGGUUCAUGGAUCCUCACGGAGUUGCGCGAUCAUCACUUACUGGAUGCUCAUCGAGACGUGGACAUGAUCGUUACCUUACGAAGCCUCUGAGACCCAUCCAGCCAUAUGAUUUCUUGUCGCUUGAUUUCUGGCCUAUCGUGCGCCCGAUGCCAUACUGGGGCAUAUUUUCGUUUCGGAUGAGAUAUACGGAUCUUCACGGAGGUCACGUGCUCGACGAUAGAUGAUUUCAUGUCAUUUGUUCUGCAGACCUAUCGUGCGCCCGAUGCCAUACUGGGGCAUAUUUCCGUUUCGGAUGAGAUUUACGGAUCUUCACGGAGGUCACGUGCUCGACGAUAGAUGAUUUCAUGUCAUUUGUUCUUCAGACCUAUCGUGCGCCCGAUGCCAUACUGGGGCAUAUUUCCGUUUCGGAUGAGAUAUACGGAUCUUCAUGGAGGUCACGUGCUCGACGAUAGAUGAUUUCAUGUCAUUUGUUCUGCAGACCUAUCGUGCGCCCGAUGCCAUACUGGGGCAUAUUUCCGUUUCGGAUGAGAUAUACGGAUCUUCACGGAGGUCACGUGCUCGACGAUAGAUGAUUUCAUGUCAUUUGUUCUGCAGACCUAUCGUGCGCCCGAUGCCAUACUGGGGCAUAUUUCCGUUUCGGAUAAGAUUUACGGAUCUUCACGGAGGUCACGUGCUCGACGAUAGAUGAUUUCAUGUCAUUUGUUCUUCAGACCUAUCGUGCGCCCGAUGCCAUACUGGGGCAUAUUUCCGUUUCGGAUGAGAUUUACGGAUCUUCACGGAGGUCACGUGCUUGACGAUAGAUGAUUUCAUAUCGCUUUUCUUCUGACCCGUCCCACGUUCGAUGCCAUGCUAGGGGCAUAUUUCCGUUUCGAUUGAGAUUUACGGAUCUUCAUGGAGUUGCAUGCUCAUCCCCACUUACGAGAUACACACUGACAUGGUUGUUUCCUCCGUGGAGCCUCUCAGGAGUUACCCAGUUAGGCCUACACUUCGCGACGCCUCGAUGUCAUCAUGUUUUCCUUCCGGGAGACGCCCCUUUUGAUCUAUGGGUUUGAUUCAGUUGUACACGUGGAUGAUUUGGAUCGCGCAUUUGAUGACGGGUGAUCUGAGCUCAUCUGGUUCUUCUGACCUAUCACACAUCCGAUGUCAUACUGGGGCAUACCCCCAUCCUUGAGUCCACCAGGUAUUUUGCGAUUUUUCUCAUCACUUGAUCCACAUCUGGAUCUUUGCGGGUCGUCAUGCUGGGGCAUCCCCCCACUGUCAUUUACGUUUGGGGCAUCCCCCCACUGUUAUUUACGUUUGGGGCAUCUCCCCAUUGUUAUUUACGUUUGGGGCAUCCCCCCACUGUCAUUUACGUUUGGGGCAUCCCCCCAUUGUUAUUUACGUUUGGGGCAUCCCCCCACUGUCAUUUACGUUUGGGGCAUCCCCCCAUUGUCAUUUCGUUAGGGGCAUCCCCCCGCUGUCUUUACGUUUGGGGCAUCUCCCCACUGUUAUUUACGUUUGGGGCAUCCCCCCACUGUCAUUUACGUUUGGGGCAUCCCCCCAUUGUUAUUUACGUUUGGGGCAUCCCCCUAUUGUCAUUUCGUUAGGGGCAUCCCCCCGCUGUCUUUACGUUUGGGGCAUCUCCCUACUGUUAUUUACGUUUGGGGCAUCCCCCCACUGUCAUUUACGUUUGGGGCAUCCCCCGCUGUCAUUUUCGUUUGGGGCAUCCCCCCACUGUCAUUUUCGUUUGGGGCAUCCCCCCACUGUCAUUUACGUUUGGGGCAUCCCCCCAUUGUCAUUUCGUUAGGGGCAUCCCCCCGCUGUCUUUACGUUUGGGGCAUCUCCCCACUGUUAUUUACGUUUGGGGCAUCCCCCCACUGUCAUUUUCGUUAGGGGCAUCCCCCCGCUGUCUUUACGUUUGGGGCAUCUCCCCACUGUUAUUUACGUUUAGGGCAUCCCCCCACUGUCAUUUACGUUUGGGGCAUCCCCCCAUUGUCAUUUCGUUUGGGGCAUCCCCCCACUGUCAUUUUGUUUAGGGCAUCUCCCCAUUGUUAUUUAUGUUUAGGGCAUCCCCCUAUCUUCAGUUUGUUUAGGGCAUUCCCCUACCGUCAGUUCGCUUAGGGCAUCUCCCUUUGUUUCAGAUUUAUCACCACCGUAGGUCUUCACCUAUGGGCCUUAUAGUUUAGUGUUUAGAGUUAGCUUUUUGGUUUGACUUUCAGAGCUAUUAUUUUCUCAGUUUAUCAUUUAGAGUUAGUUUUUUUUUGUUUGGCUUCCAGAGCCAUUAUUCUUCUAGUUUAGUGUUUAGAGUUAGCUUUUUUAUUUGGCUUCCAGAGCUAUUAUUGUUUUUUUCCAGUUUGACGUUCAGAGUCACCAUCAUCACUUUUCAGUUUCGGCGUUCAGAGCCAUCACCGUGUUUUCAGCUCCGGCAUUCAGAGCCAUCAUCGAUUUUCAGAUCGACAUUCAGAGUCGCAUCCUCGGUUUCGGCGUUCGGAGUCGUUAUCACUCCUCGGUUUGACGUUCAGAGUCAUCAUCAUCACUUCUCAGUUUCGGCGUUCAGAGCCAUCAUCAGUUUUCAGAUCGACGUUCAGAGUCGCAUCCUCGGUUUGACGUUCAGAGUCAUCAUCAUCACCUUUCAGUUUCAGCGUUCAGAGCCAUCAUCGGUUUUCAAAUCGACGUUCAGAGUCAUCAUCAUCACUUCUCAGUUUCGACAUUCAGAGCCAUCAUCGAUUUUCAGAUCGACAUUCAGAGUCGCAUCCUCGGUUUCGGCGUUCGGAGUCGUUAUCACUUCUCGGUUUGACGUUCAGAGUCAUCAUCAUCACUUCUCAGUUUCGGUGUUCAGAGCCAUCAUCAGUUUUCAGAUCGACGUUCAGAGUCGCAUCCUCGGUUUGACGUUCAGAGUCAUCAUCAUCACUUCUCCGUUUCGGCAUUCAGAGCCAUCAUCGGUUUUCAGAUCGACAUUCAGAGUCGCAUCCUCGGUUUCGACAUUCAGAGUCGUUAUCACUUCUCAGUUUGACGUUCAAGAUCAUCGUCAUUACUUUUUAGUUUCGGCGUUCAGAGCCAUCAUCGGUUUUUAGAUCGACAUUCAGAGUCACAUCCUCAGUUUCGACGUUCCAAGCCAUCAUCACAUCUUCGUUGACGUUCAGAGCCAUCAUCACUAUUUUCAGUGUGGCGUUCAGAGCCAUCAUCGCUUCUCAGUUUAGGCUUCCAGAGCCAUUACUGUCAUCUUGUUUAGGCUUCCAGAGCCACUACUGUCAUCUUGUUUAGGCUUCCAAAACCACUACUAUCAUCUUGUUUAGGCUUCCAGAGCCAUCAUUGUCGUCUCGUUUAGGCUUCCAGAGCUGUUAUUUUCUAGUUUAGCUUUUAGAGUCAGUUUUUGGUUUGGCUUCUAGAGCUUUUACUUUCUUGGUUUAGUGAUUAGAGUUAGCUUUUCGGUUUGGCUUCCAGAGCUUUUAUUUUCUCAAUUUAGUGCCUAGAGUCGGUCUUGUCAUCCAGAGUCACAACUCCUGGCGUUCAUGUCCACUGGCAUUGCACAUCUUACCUUCAGGGUUUUGCAUUCGUCCUCGGCUUUCCUCACUUCGUUACCCGGUGCUUAUCCCAUAUUCAUCUCGUACUCCAGGGUGGUUCGACCGUUACUCAUCUUUGACAUUGAUCUCUUGAGUCACCUGUAGAGAUGUCUUAGAGGGAAUCUGGGUCCUCGAUGCAGCUUUCGAGGCGCCUUGAGCCUCUCUUAGAAUUUUAGAGCCUCGAGCGAGUUUGUGUUCUACUUGUACCUUUCGGGUUCGGGGGUCUUUCUUUGUUCUUCGAUAGAGUUCACUUCAUUUCACUCUCUUUUCACACUUCUUUUUCACUCUAGUGUUCACAUUCCUUACACUCGUGAACUCUAUCAAAGAGGGGCAUAUUUGUAGACCCCCGGAAGCAGGGACUUUUUUUGAAUUUUUAUUUUUAUUUUCCCGGGGCCCGACAUGAUGGUCAGGAGCUGAUUUUUGGGGCAGAGAGGGGACUCAAGUGGGCGGCUCUCGGGGGGGCAGAUUGGACGGGAUACGGCUGGCUUGCUGAGGAAGACAGGAACAGAAGAAAAACAGAGGAGAAAAGAAGAAAAAGAAAGAGAAAGGAGAGGGGGAUUUCAGACAAGAGGGAGGGAGAAAAAGAAAAGAAAAAGCUGACUGGAGAGGAUUUUGUGGACAGAGGAACCUUCGAGGUAUGAACACUAUCGAUCUCUCGUUUUCUUCCACAUUUUUUUUAGUCUUCAUGCAUUUUUGCUGCUGUUUCUAGCUCCCUUUCAUUGCUUGGACAUGGAUAUUAUUGGUUAUGUGCCCAUUUGUUAUUGUUCCUCUGAGAUUUCCAUGGCUGCGUUUAGGUUAUUCAGGUUGCUCUUUCUAUGGUUUUGGAUUCUACCUGUUCAUAAGUUCAGUGGUUUUCAUCAUGACAUGGGCAUUGGUUUAUAUCACCCGCCGAUUUGUGUUCCAUGUUGUGUUCUAUUUCUAAAGUUAUUUAUUUUUUUUCUUUCUUUCUUUGUUAUUAUUCUCCCCUGCUUCCAUUUCUUAUCUGGACGUGUGGCUUCUUUUGGGUGCAUUGUUUCAUCACGACAUUCCCACUCCAUUAACUUUCAUAUUCAACCUCAUGCUCUCUCUCUCUACCCUUUACUCACACCCACCGAACCCAUUCCUCCCCGCCACUUUCCAUCACCUGCCCCAAGCAUCACCCAUUCAAUCAUUUCAUUCCUUCUCCGUGUACAUGAAGCUCCAUGCAUGCGUGCAUGGGAGCCAUGCAAAGGUGGCACGCUCCUGUAAAGGCCACAGCUGCCGGAUCCGUCCUCGGACACAGACACCAGGCCGCAGCUGCAGGUUCCACUCCCGAACGCCGACGCUGGAACGCGAUGGCGAAGGCGGCAUGGGUGGCGAUAAUCGAGGCGGCGGCGUGGAAAUCGGGCAUCCUGGACAGAUUUCGAGGCCCUCCGGCGUUGCCUCUCUCACCUUCAUUUCCUCCGUCGCCGUCUUCGGAGGUGAGGAAGAAGAUGAAGUUGGCUUUUGGGCUUGCCCAUGGUGUUGGGUUUGGGCUUAAGUGGGAGCCCAGCCCAAGCAAGGUGAUGGAAGUCAAUGUCUUCUCAAUGAAUGGGUUGAGACAGGGAUGGGCUUGGGCUUGGGCUUUGCUAGUGGACUUGGAGGCUUGGAUUUGGGCUUGAGGCUUGCUGAUGGACUUGGACUGAAAUAGGGUUGAUAGGGUGAUAUUAUUAUUAUUAUUAUUAUUAUUAUUAUUAUUAUUAUUAUUAUUAUUGUUAACGAAUAUUAUUAUCAUUAUUAGCAAAAUAUUAUUAUUAUUAUUAUUAUUAUUAUUAUUAUUAUUAUUAACGGAUAUCAUCAUUAUUAAUUAUUAUUAUUUCUAUUAUUAUUAUUAUUAUUAUUAUUAUUAUUAUUAUCAUUGUCAUUAUUAUUAUUUGCUCAGUUUUUUCAAAUCUUUUCAUCGUUAUUAUUUAUUAUUAUUAUUAUUAUUAUUCAUUCAAAUUUUCAAAAUCUAUUUAUUAUUAUUAUUAUUAUUAUUAAUCCAAACUUCCAAAAAUCUCAUUAUUAUUAUUAUUAUUAUUCAUUCAAAUUUUCAAAAUCUAUUUAUUAUUAUUAUUAUCAUCAUUAAUCCAAACUUCCAAAAAUCUCAUUAUUAUUAUUAUUAUUAUUAACUCAAUUUUCAAAAAUCUAUUUAUUAUUAUUAUUAUUAAUCCAAACUUCCAAAAAUCUCAUUAUUGUUAUUAUUAUUAUUCAUUCAAAUUUUCAAAAUCUAUUUAUUAUUAUUAUUAUCAUCAUUAAUCCAAACUUCCAAAAAUCUCAUUAUUAUUAUUAUUAUUAACUCAAUUUUCAAAAAUCUAUUUAUUAUUAUUAUUAUCAUCAUUAAUCCAAACUUCCAAAAAUCUCAUUAUUAUUAUUAUUAUUAACUCAAUUUUCAAAAUCUAUUUGUUAUUAUUAUUAUCAUCAUUAAUCCAAACUUCCAAAAAUCUCAUUAUUAUUGUUAUUAUUACCUCAACUUUCAAAAUCUUAUUAUUAUUAUUAUUAUUAUCAUUAUCAUUAUCAUUGAUUAAAGCUUUCAAAACCAUAUUAUUAUUAAUUCAAACUUUCUAACUUCCAAUUUCCAAGCCCAAUUUAUAAAAAUUCAACCUUCAAAUAAUACUUCAAAAUUCCGAUCUUUAAAACUCAAUUUCGAUUUCCGAAAACACUCAUACUCACUUUAAUCUAUUUAAUUAUUGUUAUUUUGAUAAUUUAUUUCAAAACUCCAUUUUAAAUCGAAUUCUCUAAAACUUCUGAUUUUCCGAAUUAAAUUCCUAAUCCCAAAAAUUCUCAUGUUCCCACUAAAUUAUUUGAUCAUUGGUAUUUUAUUUAUUUCAAAACUCCGUUUUAAAUCAAAUUCUUUAAAAUUGUUGAUUUCCGAAUUAAACUCCUAAUCCCGAAAAUUCUCAUGUUCUCAUUAAUUUACUUAAUCAUUAGUAUUUUAUCUCCAUUUUAAAUCAAUUCUUUAAAACUUCAGAUUUACAAAUUAAAUCCCUAAUCUUGAAAAUUCUCAUAUUCACAUUAAUUUAAUCACUAAUAAUUUGUUUAUUUAUCUUAAAAUUCUAUUUUAAACAAUUCUUUAAACUUUCUGACUUCUAAAUCUAAUUUCCAAUUUCAAAAAUUUCAGCAUUCCCAUUCAUUUAUUUAAUCAUUAUUUUCGUCCUUAUUAUUAUUAGUUCAUUUAUUUAUUUCAAAAUUCCAUUUUUAAACAUUUUUUUUGAAUCCCAACUUUCGAACUUAAUUUCCGAUUUCUAAGAUUCUAAUUUCCUUCAAGUUUGACAUCCCAAAAUUCCAACUUUUAAAUUUAAUUCUCAAGACUCCAAUCUUCAAAUAAUUUUCGAGACUCCAAUUCCCAAAUAAAUUUCAAAAAUUCAAUUUUCUCUCUAACAGUUUUAAUUCUCUUCGGGUUUCAAAUAAUCUUCGAUUUCUCUUGGUUUUAUAUAAACAUGAAUGCUAUUUUCAUAAUUCCAGAAUAAUGGGAUUUGUGAUAUUAAUUCCUGCAAAAAUGAAUGGGCUUUGGUGGGGGCCCGCCAUACGUGCUUUUCUCAUGAUUGAUUGAUUUGAUUGAUUGAUUGAUUGAUUGACUUGGCUAUCAUACAUGAUUUAUUUAUCCUGCUCUCCGACAUGCAUGCUAUUAUUUCUUACUUGUGCACUAACCUCUCUCUUGAUAGCGCAUGGUGGCUCGUCGCCCAGGUACGCACCUACUUUCACUCUGGUAAUUGCCCAAGCAUAUUUUGAUUCUCACGUGUGCAUGAUUUAUUCUGGGUACUCAUUGAUCUACUCGUCCAUUGCCAUGAUUGCUUCAUUUUAUUAGUAGAGACCCGACUUUAGGGACUUAGAAGGUGCUACGGUCCUUACCGUACCUUCCCGAUAGUAACCUGACCCCCGAACCCGACCCGGUUUUCGCAGACCGCCUUUUCAAAUAAGGAGUCACACUNNNNNNNNNNNNNNNNNNNNNNNNNNNNNNNNNNNNNNNNNNNNNNNNNNNNNNNNNNNNNNNNNNNNNNNNNNNNNNNNNNNNNNNNNNNNNNNNNNNNGGCUGCGUUUAGGUUAUUCAGGUUGCUCUUUCUAUGGUUUUGGAUUCUACCUGUUCAUAAGUUCAGUGGUUUUCAUCAUGACAUGGGCAUUGGUUUAUAUCACCCGCCGAUUUGUGUUCCAUGUUGUGUUCUAUUUCUAAAGUUAUUUAUUUUUUUUCUUUCUUUCUUUGUUAUUAUUCUCCCCUGCUUCCAUUUCUUAUCUGGACGUGUGGCUUCUUUUGGGUGCAUUGUUUCAUCACGACAUUCCCACUCCAUUAACUUUCAUAUUCAACCUCAUGCUCUCUCUCUCUACCCUUUACUCACACCCACCGAACCCAUUCCUCCCCGCCACUUUCCAUCACCUGCCCCAAGCAUCACCCAUUCAAUCAUUUCAUUCCUUCUCCGUGUACAUGAAGCUCCAUGCAUGCGUGCAUGGGAGCCAUGCAAAGGUGGCACGCUCCUGUAAAGGCCACAGCUGCCGGCUCCGUCCUCGGACACAGACACUAGGCCGCAGCUACAGGUUCCACUCCCGAACGCCGACGCUGGAACGCGAUGGCGAAGGCGGCAUGGGUGGCGAUAAUCGAGGCGACGGCGUGGAAAUCGGGCAUCCUGGACAGAUUUCGAGGCCCUCCGGCGUUGCCUCUCUCACCUUCAUUUCCUCCGUCGCCGUCUUCGGAGGUGAGGAAGAAGAUGAAGUUGGCUUUUGGGCUUGCCCAUGGUGUUGGGUUUGGGCUUAAGUGGGAGCCCAGCCCAAGCAAGGUGAUGGAAGUCAAUGUCUUCUCAAUGAAUGGGUUGAGACAGGGAUGGGCUUGGGCUUGGGCUUUGCUAGUGGACUUGGAGGCUUGGAUUUGGGCUUGAGGCUUGCUGAUGGACUUGGACUGAAAUAGGGUUGAUAGGGUGAUAUUAUUAUUAUUAUUAUUAUUAUUAUUAUUAUUAUUGUUAACGAAUAUUAUUAUCAUUAUUAGCAAAAUAUUAUUAUUAUUAUUAUUAUUAUUAUUAACGGAUAUCAUCAUUAUUAAUUAUUAUUAUUUCUAUUAUUAUUAUUAAUUAUUAUUAUUAUUAUUAUUAUUAUUAUCAUUGUCAUUAUUAUUAUUUGCUCAGUUUUUUCAAAUCUUUUCAUCGUUAUUAUUUAUUAUUAUUAUUAUUAUUCAUUCAAAUUUUCAAAAUCUAUUUAUUAUUAUUAUUAUUAUUAUUAAUCCAAACUUCCAAAAAUCUCAUUAUUAUUAUUAUUAUUAUUCAUUCAAAUUUUCAAAAUCUAUUUAUUAUUAUUAUUAUCAUCAUUAAUCCAAACUUCCAAAAAUCUCAUUAUUAUUAUUAUUAUUAACUCAAUUUUCAAAAAUCUAUUUAUUAUUAUUAUUAUUAAUCCAAACUUCCAAAAAUCUCAUUAUUGUUAUUAUUAUUAUUCAUUCAAAUUUUCAAAAUCUAUUUAUUAUUAUUAUUAUCAUCAUUAAUCCAAACUUCCAAAAAUCUCAUUAUUAUUAUUAUUAUUAACUCAAUUUUCAAAAAUCUAUUUAUUAUUAUUAUUAUCAUCAUUAAUCCAAACUUCCAAAAAUCUCAUUAUUAUUAUUAUUAUUAACUCAAUUUUCAAAAUCUAUUUGUUAUUAUUAUUAUCAUCAUUAAUCCAAACUUCCAAAAAUCUCAUUAUUAUUGUUAUUAUUACCUCAACUUUCAAAAUCUUAUUAUUAUUAUUAUUAUUAUCAUUAUCAUUAUCAUUGAUUAAAGCUUUCAAAACCAUAUUAUUAUUAAUUCAAACUUUCUAACUUCCAAUUUCCAAGCCCAAUUUAUAAAAAUUCAACCUUCAAAUAAUACUUCAAAAUUCCGAUCUUUAAAACUCAAUUUCGAUUUCCGAAAACACUCAUACUCACUUUAAUCUAUUUAAUUAUUGUUAUUUUGAUUAUUUAUUUCAAAACUCCAUUUUAAAUCGAAUUCUCUAAAACUUCUGAUUUUCCGAAUUAAAUUCCUAAUCCCAAAAAUUCUCAUGUUCCCACUAAAUUAUUUGAUCAUUGGUAUUUUAUUUAUUUAUUUAUUUCAAAACUCCGUUUUAAAUCAAAUUCUUUAAAAUUGUUGAUUUCCGAAUUAAACUCCUAAUCCCGAAAAUUCUCAUGUUCUCAUUAAUUUACUUAAUCAUUAGUAUUUUAUCUCCAUUUUAAAUCAAUUCUUUAAAACUUCAGAUUUACAAAUUAAAUCCCUAAUCUUGAAAAUUCUCGUAUUCACAUUAAUUUAAUCAUUAAUAAUUUGUUUAUUUAUCUUAAAAUUCUAUUUUAAACAAUUCUUUAAACUUUCUGACUUCUAAAUCUAAUUUCCAAUUUCAAAAAUUCCAGCAUUCCCAUUCAUUUAUUUAAUCAUUAUUUUCGUCCUUAUUAUUAUUAGUUCAUUUAUUUAUUUCAAAAUUCCAUUUUUAAACAUUUUUUUUGAAUCCCAACUUUCGAACUUAAUUUCCGAUUUCUAAGAUUCUAAUUUCCUUCAAGUUUGACAUCCCAAAAUUCCAACUUUUAAAUUUAAUUCUCAAGACUCCAAUCUUCAAAUAAUUUUCGAGACUCCAAUUCCCAAAUAAAUUUCAAAAAUUCAAUUUUCUCUCUAACAGUUUUAAUUCUCUUCGGGUUUCAAAUAAUCUUCGAUUUCUCUUGGUUUUAUAUAAACAUGAAUGCUAUUUUCAUAAUUCCAGAAUAAUGGGAUUUGUGAUAUUAAUUCCUGCAAAAAUGAAUGGGCUUUGGUGGGGGCCCGCCAUACGUGCUUUCCUCAUGAUUGAUUGAUUUGAUUGAUUGAUUGACUUGGCUAUCAUACAUGAUUUAUUUAUCCUGCUCUCCGACAUGCAUGCUAUUAUUUCUUACUUGUGCACUAACCUCUCUCUUGAUAGCGCAUGGUGGCUCGUCGCCCAAGUACGCACCUACUUUCACUCUGGUAAUUGCCCAAGCAUAUUUUGAUUCUCACGUGUGCAUGAUUUAUUCUGGGUACUCAUUGAUCUACUCGUCCAUUGCCAUGAUUGCUUCAUUUUAUUAGUAGAGACCCGACUUUAGGGACUUAGAAGGGUGCUACGGUCCUUACCGUACCUUCCCGAUAAGUAACCUGACCCCCGAACCCGACCCGGUUUUUCGCAGACCGCCUUUUUCAAAAUAAGGAGUCACACUUAGGGUUUUUCUUUCUUAUUUUGUUUACCCUUUAAAAAUAAAACAAAAAUAAGUGGCGACUCCAAGUCAUUUUUUUUUUCUUAAUCAAAUAAAAUCAUUUUUCUAACAAAAAUCGAGUUCGUCAUCGAGUGGGAAACACAUGAGCCGAAAUGCGGGGUCCACAAGUGUAUAUGGUAGCACAAAUUUCCUACCACUUAUUAUUUUUUCCUUUCUUAAAAAAUCAUUUACUCUAUUAAAUAAACUAACCUUGGCUUAUCACUUAUAGCAAAAUAGGUUAAGUAGUUUUUAAAAUUUUAUAAUAUUAGAUUUACAUUUUUAUCCUUCAAAAUUUCAUUAAUGCUAGAUUCUUCUAUAUGCUUAACUAAUAAAUAAUUUUUAGCAUUUUUCUUUUCUUAUAAACAUAAAAAAAUAAAAAUAUUAUUAACUUAUUGGUAUAUUUUAAAUUUUUAAUUAGAUUUAAGCUUUUAUUUGUUUGGAUUACCAAUUAUACAUAUAAAUCCUUUAUUAUUAUUGUUAUUAUUGAAAGAAAGGGGUUGAAUAGGUAGUCCCUGAAUCCCCAAAUUAAAUUCUUUAUUGCCUACUUUUGGUUUAUUCCUUUACAUGAAUUCCUUGGUGAGAGUAAACAUUUCAUUAAUAGAUAAAUAAAAUUGAUUCCAUAUCAUAGGGUAUAAUGUGGAAAAAUCACCAGUCUCAUGUGUUCCUUAGUGGAUCCUUUGGAGCCCUUAUCAAAGUUUCAUGAUGAAACCAUUGACUUUUGUUUAACCCAAAUGUGCUUUCAAGACAAAUCUUGAAAGAUUUGAGAGAUGGAGGUUCAAGUCUUUUAUGAACGACCAUGUUCUCUUAGGGUUCAUGAAAAUUCACACCUUUUGAUAAAUAAAACUUAUCUAUUUAUACAUCUAAAACCCAGUAUUUAUUUAUUUAAUUAUAGAAAGUUUCUUAGUUUUAAAAACAUUACAAAAAUCAUUUUUAGAAUCAAAUAACAAUUUUAGAGAUAAACACAAUAUUAAAAUUUAACAAAAACAAAAUUUCGAAUUAAAAACACAAUAUAAACUAAAUUACAAAAUAUAAAGUAAUUUUUAUCCUAAUUUCUUGUUUCAAAACCAAAUGGAACACCUAGAAGGGGAGUGAAUGGGUGAUUUUAAAUUUUUUCAAUAAUGAUUUAUAAGUUAUACCCAAUUCUUUUACCUUGCGAGUUGUUAGGGACUAUCAAUUCUUUUCUUUUGGCAAUUCAAACAAUAUAUCAAAUAAUAAAAAGAUAUAAAUAAUGAGACAUAAAGAUUUUUAUGUGGAAAACCCCCCACACUAACCAUGGAGAUAAAAAGUCAUGGAGUCUAAGACCUAUUAAUCUAAAUUCACUUUACGAAAUCAAGUUACACAAAUUUAUUUGGCAACUUUACCUUAAAGACUUACUCUUCGGUACUGACAACUUGAUUCACGUCCACGACGUAGCAACCCUCGAUUACUCCAAUGGAUCACUUCAAGCUUACUAAAAGGAUGAAGGCCUUCAAACCAAGAUUCAAAAAUCAAUUCCUUGAAUGAGAGAUCAGGAAUGGUGUGCCACUUUAGGCUUUCUCUCUAAGAACUCUAAAAUGAUCUCCUCAAUGAAAACCUCUUAAACAAAAUGAGAUAUUUUCCCACAAUCUCUAAUCCUUAAGGGGUUAUAAUGAGAUAUUUAUAAGCAACUAAGUUGAAGAGUUUCAGUUUUGGAAGGUUUCUCAAUUGAAUUUGUGUGAAAAACUCGGCAGAAUCAACAUGACUGCUCGAGCCAACACACUUCCCACUUGAGCGUUUCGGGCACUUGAGCGGUAAGGCUCGCUUGAGUUGUCCCAAGCGCUUGAGCAUUCCAGGCUACUUGAGCAAUCUUGCUCUAUUUCAAAAGUUAAUUUUAAAUCAUUUUAAGUUCAAAACAAAAUUGAUUCCCUUUAUACCUCAAAGGAGCCUAACUUGCCACAAACCAAACCUUUUUAGAUAUACUUGUGACUUCCUGGUUGGACGAAUAACAACUCUUAAUCUUCAAUGGAAAGCAAGUCAUUAUCUAAAAAGAUUUAUAUGGUCAAAUAUAAAAAAACAAAAAAAUUUCCAACAUAACAACAAGACUCAAUGUCCUAACAAUCUCCCCCUUUGGCAAUUUUAUGACAAAAACAACGUUACAUAUACCCACCUGAACUCUCAUAAUGGAGUUUAAUAAUACACAUUAACGUUCAAUUAAAAAUAAACUAAGGGAAUACUUUGUAUCACUUUGUAGUAUUUGUCUUCCAACUUUGUAACCUACACACAUAUAGAAAACUAUGCCAAAGGUAAAGCAAUGUGCAAGAUAAGAUAUGAUCAAGAAAGCAAAAUAGGAUAAUUGGAAAUUUUGCUUGAUGCCUUGUGAAAGCAUGAAAAAAGAACAAAUUCAUAUAGUAAUACCAAGGGACAAAGCAAAACUCGAGAAGAAUAUAUAUGUAUGCAAAUCAACCAAACAUAAUUAAAGCUACAUAAGAUGCAAUAGAUCAAUAAUAAUGCCUAGGGGUCUAUCUCCAACCAGAAAAUAGGGAGUGAAGAUCAUAGGAAGAACCUUCUGUGACUUAGAAAGGUUCUAGAGAGAUAGUCAAUUCAAAUAUAAAUAUCUUGCUGGAAACAUCUAUGUUAUGUAUCUCUCUAAACCUUCUAAGUUAUGCUUUCAUCAGUUGAUUUGGUUUUUCUCCAAUGUCUUAGGUUUAAUUUCCUCUAAUAUUUCAAUUAGAAAGAAAUUGGUAGUCAAUUGACUUAGUGGGUGUUUGGUAAAACUUAAUACUUAUUAUUUAAUGAUUAACUUUAAGUUAAAUUGUUCUUAAGUUCUUAAUUUAAAAUUUAUUACUUAUUCUGUAUUUAAGUAUUAAGGUUAUUUGAAAAAAUCGACUUAAAAUUUAUUCUAAAUCAUCAAAUUGACACAUUUACCCUUAUUAAUUUUAAUUAUAUUUAUUUUCAUUAAUUUUAAACAAUAAAUUUAUUCAUAAAACAUCUAUAUUUUUGUAGAUACAUAAUAACCAUAAAAUAUUUACUAUAAAAAAUGAGUCAUGGAUGUAGAAUUAUAAUUCAAAAAUAUACACUUAUGAGUGUGGGUAAAUAAGGCAAAAAUGAUUUGAGAUUAAGAGUAAAGUUAAUUAUUUUGACUUAAGACUUCAAGUUAAAAAUAACUUUAAGUUGCAAUAUUAAGUUAUUUUAUCAAACAUGGUUAAUUUACUUAACGACUUAAAUUAAGUUAUUAAGUUGAUUUAUCAAACACCCCACUAGUAGUAUGUUGAAAAUGAAGAGCAUCCAUAGUAGAUAAUGUAUAUGUAUUUGUGUUUAGAGUAGAAGGGCACUACAACAAUGGACUUGCAUGUGAUUUGGUCGCGAUAUGAUUUUGGUGAGAAUAUUUUAUUGUCUUUAAAAUAUUGUUAUAUGAAAUGCCAGACUAUGUUAGUAAAUAAUAGUUAUGUUAGUAGAAAUGAAAGUUUGUUUUAUAAUGCAUUGACCAUCCUAACACAUGUACUUAAUUAUCAUUAGUAGUUAGACAUGUAUUCCCUUUUUUCAAUUUUUUUCUUCUUUUUAAAUACAUUCUAGUGGUACUUUGCCUUAUGACUUAAUUUUUGUUACACUUACUACUUUUGGUUUUAGUCAUAUUUCGUUUUAUUAGUAUUUUCAUUUUGUGUUACAAUUUUAUUUAGUUUCUCUAUAUUCUCUUUUGGAUGGUGAUUUCACUUCAAAAUUUAAUUCAAAUUAGGCUUAUUAUCCCCUUAGUAAGCCUUUUCUAGGCGAGUUGUUAUAGAAAAUUAAACAAACCUCUCCUAAGGUUGGCCUUGUUACGUAGACUUCUUUUCUAUUUUGAAAUAUUAUAUUGACCUCCCUUGUUAGAUAUUGGUUUUUACAAUUACUAAGAAUAAUGCUUCUUAAUCAUUAUUAACGACGUCUUCUUUCUCCAAUUUUCUUCUUCUUCCUCCAUACAUGCUAAUUUGCAAAAAUUUAUACCCAUUAUUUAAAUGAAAUUUUUUGAAAUAAAUUAAAACCUUCCUUAUUUGAUAUUAUAGAAACCUAAUUUAAAUAAAAUAUUUUGAAAUAAAUUAGAUAAAAAAAAAAAAAAAAAAACUUGUCAUCAUUCUAACCCAAAUCAAAUUUUAAAGAAUAAUUAAAUAUUUCAAGUCUCAUUUUGUCUCAAUAUCACCUUUGCUAAUCAACCUAUCCAAUCUUAGAUCAAACCCAAAUUGCAAUCAAAUUUUGACAAGAAAAAAUCAACUUAAGACUGAAUAAGAAAACUUGUGGAAAGAGUCUCAUCAAGAAGGUGCAUGAAACCCUCCGUUCAAAAACUUCUUCUAAAAUAAAAUUAAAAAAGAAAAGAAAAAGAAAAGAAAGAUAUUCAAUGUUAAAGGACUUUUAAGAUAAAUCAAAAUUUGAAAAUGAAUGUUAAUACUUGCAAUAGAUUCCACAUUCAUGAACAAAUUACCAUUGCACCACUUAUUUUCAAUUCACACUUUAAUUUACUAUCCAUAGAAACUUUCAUUAAAUUUUCCAUAAAACAAACAAAGAGCCUUAACCCCCAAAUAUUUUAAUUCUUAAAAAUACAUCAUUUCAUCAAUUUUUGAAACCCUCAUUUUAACACAAAUUAUUUUUUUUACAAAUAAUUAAAAGAAUAAAAAGAAAAUUAAGAAGAGGUUGUCAUUAUUAUUCUUGCAAAGUCACCACAAAAUAAAUUAUAACAAAUAUAGAAAAUAAAAUAAUAUGACGAUGAAGAUAAUGCUUAGAAAGUUAGAAUGAGGAAGAUAAUAUCAUUUAGAUGAUUUAGGUUAAGAUGAGGACUAGAUAAGGAAAGUGACAUCAAUUGCCUAAUUAUUUGGGGUUUUAGAGAUACAAAAUGAGGGAGAUGACUAAAAUUAUGGUUUAAUUAUUUUUGGUUAAGGAUUAUUAAGUUAUUUUAAGGAAUUAAUUAAUUUAUUUAUAAUAAAUUUAGAAAUUAAUUAAAAGUUAAUUAUAAUAAUUAUUGAUUCAUAGUUUAAUUUAAAGCUAAUUUGAAUAAAAGAUGAAAAACUGAAAGUCCAUUAGGGUUCCACCUAGAGAGGGGAGAGGAGGUGGAUGAUUUAAAAAAUUUCAAUAAAGAUCUAUAUGUUAUAUCCAAUUUUAUUUUACCCUGUGAGAUGUUAGGGAUAACCUUUUCUAUCAAUCUUAGGCAAUUCAAACAAAAUAUCAAAUAUAAAAGAUAAGAACAAUAAGGUAUGCGAUUUUUAUAUGGAAAAUCCUCACACUAACUGUGACGAUAAAAACCACGAGGUCUAAGACCUAUUAAUCUAAAUGCACUAGAUGAAAUCAAGUUACACAGAUUUACUUGACUGCUUUACCUUAAAGAUUUACUCUCCGGUAGGUACAACUUGAUUCAUAUCCACAACAUAGCAACCCUUGAUUGCUCCAGUGGAUCACUUCAGCUUCCUUGAAAGGAUGAAGGUCUUCAAAAUAAUAUUUAAAGAACAAAUCCUUGAAUGAGAAAUUGAGAAUGGUGUGGCAAUCUAGGUUUUGUCUCUAGGAGACCCUUUUUAGAGAAUAAAGUCUCUCAACAAUCUAUCUCGAAUCUCUUCAAGAUCUCUAACCCUCAAGAGGUUAUAAGGGAGGUAUUUAUAGACAAAAGUUUGAAGAGUUUCGAUUUUGGAAGGUUUCUUAAUUGAAAUUUCGUGAAAAACUUGGUAGAAUCAACAUGAUUGCUCAAGCGCCUCAAGCACUUGAGUGGUAUGGCUCACUUGAGCGGUCCUAAGCGCUUGAGUAGUCUUUAGUGCUUGAGCACUCUAGGCCACUUGAGCAGUCUUGCUCUAUUUCAAAAAUCAAUUUUAAAAUCUUUUUAAGUUCAAAACAAAAUUGAUCCUCUUUAAUACCUCAACAUAGCCUAAUUAACAUAAGUCAAACCUCUUUAAACAUGUGACUUCUCAAUUGGACAAACAACAACCCUUGAUCUUCAAUGAAGAGUAAGUCACUAACUAGAAAGACUUCUAUGACCAAACAUUACAAAGAACAAAAUUGCCAACAUAUAGGCAAGACUUACUGUCUUAACAAUCUCUCCCUUUGACAAUUUUGUGACAAAAAAUCGUUACAUAAACCCACUUGAACUCUCAUAACGGAGUUUACAUAACACACUUUAAUGCUCAAUUAAAACUAAAUUAAGGGAAAACUUUGUAUUAGUUUAUAGUACUUAUAUUUCAACCCUGUAACCUACACACAUACAAAAAACUAUACUAAAGGUAAAGUGUUACGACCGCCUCUACCACGGCUUCCAGCACGUUUGCCACGAGGAGCUAUGGUGAUUCUUUGUUGUAACAAACCUGAUCAAGAGAAUAAAUAUGGUUUUAAUUCGAGGAAAAACCAGACCUCCCAAUAGCAAACUGCUAUAUAAUAUUCUGAUUGUUCCCCAUUGAUAUGCCGUGAAGCUCUAUAAAUAGCUUUACAAAGUUAAACAACUCCAACAUCCCUAAACUACUCAUCACCUAGAUAAGGAUAAACACUAUUCCUAACCAAACUCCUAAUACUUUAAUCUGAUAACAAUUCAGAUUGCUAUUAUUAUCCUAAAACAAAUAAAAAUAAGAUAAUUAAAUAAAAAAUGAGAUAAUCCUAACACAAUCCUACUCAGCAACUCCUAUGCCUCAUGAAUACAGCAACUCCUCUUGCUAGUGGACAUAACAUUUCCUACCCCUUUAGAUUCGACCCUUGUCCUCAAGGGUGAUAUCAGGAAAACGAAGCCUCAUGAAUACAACAACUCCUCUUGCUAGUGGACAUAACAUUUUCUUCGAUAUCUCCAAUUCCGUCACCGUUAUCCUCCUCUGGCCAGCAUCCUUCAAUCAAAAAAAGCUUCUUACACCGAUGCCCAGGGGCAAACUUUUCGUCACAAUUGAAGCAAAGGCCCUUAUCUCUACGUUCUUUCAUCUCCGUUGGUGACAAUCUUCGAAUGGCGGGAGUAGAUGAAAGUGGGCGACUGGUGACUGUUGAGUUCGUUGAUACAGUCUUUUUUGGCUCAAGGUUGAAACUGGAUCGCUUAUGAUAUUUAACCUCAUAGAGCCGAGCCAAACCUAUUGCUGCAGACAACGUUGGUGGUUUCAUGGCUUGAACAUCUAUCCUCACAUCUUCGUUUAGACCACCAAUGAAACAAGCAACCUGUUGAGACUGAUUUAACUUCCCCACUCGGCUGAGGAGUUUCUCGAAUUGGCUUUGAUACUCCCGUACUGAACCAACCUGUUUGAGCCUUAUAAGAUCUCCAAAAAAAUCAUCAAAUUUCGUUGGCCCAUACCUGGAAUUCAGCCCUUCCUUGAGCGUGAGCCAUGCAACUUCCCCUUCUUCCUUCAGUAUUUGAUACCACAAUUGUGCCUCGCCUUCUAGAUGAUACGUCGCUAGCGGAACCUUCUCUUCCUCAGCAAUUUUCUGAAAUUCGAAGAAUUGCUCUACUCGACAAAUCCAACUCGUUGGAUCUUCACUGCCAUUAAAGCGAGGAAAAUCAAGUUUAGUGACCCUUGGAAUUACCGCACCAUAAGACUCAGUGGAGUCACGAGGGCCUCUAUAAUUGAAUCGCCGAGACCCCCCACCAUUGUGUGAACUCUCUCCUCGUUCCAAACUUUGGUUGCCCGAUAUUUGAUCUAAUCGGGUAUUCAUUGACGUUAUUACUUGCAUCAGUGUUUCUUGUAACUCCUGGAACUUCCUAUCUUGCUCUGCUGCUAUAGAGCCUAUCUCUGUCUCCAAACGAUCAAUGCGUGAUUCAUCCAUAACCUGCUCUGAUACCAAGUUGUUACGACCGCCUCUACCAUGGCUUCCAGCACGUUUGCCACGAGGAGCUAUGGUGAUUCUUUGUUGUAACAAACCUGAUCAAGAGAAUAAAUAUGGUUUUAAUUCGAGGAAAAACCAGACCUCCCAAUAGCAAACUGCUAUAUAAUAUUCUGAUUGUUCCCCAUUGAUAUGUCGUGAAGCUCUAUAAAUAGCUUUACAAAGUUAAACAACUCCAACAUCCCUAAACUACUCAUCACCUAGAUAAGGAUAAACACUAUUCCUAACCAAACUCCUAAUACUUUAAUCUGAUAACAAUUCAGAUUGCUAUUAUUAUCCUAAAACAAAUAAAAAUAAGAUAAUUAAAUAAAAAAUGAGAUAAUCCUAACACAAUCCUACUCAGCAACUCCUCUGCCUCCUCUUGCUAGUGGACAUAACAUAAAGUAGUGUGAGGGAUAAAGUAAUGUUGAGAAAGCAAAACAGGAUAGUUUGAGGUUUUGCUUGAUGACUUGUGAAAACAUGAAAAUGGAACAGAUUUUUGUAGAGACACUAAGGCACAAAGCAAAGCUUGAGAGGAAUAUAGAUACACACAAAUCAGGAAAACAUAAUAGAAGCUUGAUAAGACAUAAUAGAUCAAUAAUAAUGCUUAGAAGUCUAUCUCCAACCAGAUAAUGGGUAGUGAAAACCAUGGAAAGAAGCUUCUAUGACUCAGAAUAGUUCUAGAGUGAUAAAUAGUUCAAACAUAAAUAUCUUAUAAGAAACAUUCGUGUCAGGUAUCUCUUUAAACCAUCUAAGUUAUGCUUUCAUCAGUUGAUAUGGUUGUCUCCAAUUUCUCAAGUUUAAUUUCCUCUAAUAUUUCAAUAAUUUCCCUUAAUGGAUGAAUGAAUGAAUGAAUGAAUUGAAUUAAAGAAUUCAAAAUUUUUAACUCAUAGUAACUCCCCUUAAAUUACAAUCAAUACAAUAAUUCAAAUCAAGUAUACCAAAACAUAAAUAAUAGAACAUUUAUGCAUUAGGUGGCGGUAGAGGGAUAGAGCUUGAAGCGCCCUGAGAAUGGAUACAGGAAAAGAUGUAGUUAAGUUAUCCCUAAAUCUCUCAGAGUUGGAGAUCCUAAGAGUCCAUCUUCUGAUGAAGUCGAGCCAUGGAAUUUAGAGCCUCAUGGGCGUUGGGUCUACAGAAGUAAAAGCCUUGUGUGUAGCUCGGGAAGAACUAACACAACCUCAACUCUAGAGUGAGUCCUCGGAGCAGACUCUAAAUAGUCUGUCUCUAGAAUUCCACUCUACUCCAUAGCUCGAAGCUCAUCCUCCUGGACAACUGCCUCUGCAUGCUGGCCUACAUCAUGCAGUUCAUAAGCUGGAACAACCAUCAAACUGUAUACAUGAAUGUAGUGCUUGGCCCAGGAACUCCCAUCCAAAAAGGCAUGGGUAGCUUAGACCCCUAGUGUAGGAUCAAUCUUAAAUCCCACAUCCUCGAGUAUCCGCGUGAUGAGGAGGGUAAAGGGGAGAGUGCCUCCUCUAAAGGAUAAACCACGAAGGGGAAUGAUUGUAUCCAGGAUGACCUAGCCAAUGUCAAAUUGUUGGCUUGAGAGAAUGGCGUGAAUAAAGUGAGCAGAUGGUCAACGGAUUUGGGUGCAGUGUGUAAAUGGGUAGAAGGAGUAAGUGAAUAAUGUUGCAAACAACCAUGUUUGCUUGGAGAAGCCAACAAUCAGGAUAUAAGAAGGAAAGAGGCAAAGACUGCCAUAAAGAGAAGUCAGAAUGGUGUCAAGUUUCUCUCGGGUGAGAGCCUGAACCUCUGGGGAAAACAAAGGAAUGAGAGCCUUAAUUUGCGACUUGCUAAGGACACAUUGAAUGGAAUGAGAGGAAAUAAGGAAAAAUUGACCAUGCAUGGUCACCUGAAAGCUGACUCCGACCAUAAUAUAAUGCAUGUUCUCAUAGAACAUGUGAACAAGAUGGGGAUAGGAAGUCCCCUAGAGAGAAAACAGUCUCCUAACCCUACUCUUGAAUGAUGAUAGGGAAGACAGUGUCCUGAAAAGCUUAGAGGUUAAUGGCAUGCUCAGGCUCGACACACCGAUAUGUGAAAGAAGCGUAAUUAUGGUCCCGUGCCACCUGGCAGUGAAAGCGCUCAACCGGAAGUGCAUCUAGGUUAAAAAGACCCUGGAGUGGGAUGCCCUAGACGGUUUCAGUGACCUAGGAAAGGUCACCUCCCUUUGACAUCUAUGACUAGCCAUAUCUAAGGUAUAUAAUAUGAAAAAACAAAAGCUAAAGAAAAACUAAAGAAAAUCCAGAGAAAAGCUAAACCACUAAAAAUGUUAAACUCAAUGCGUCGAACAAUACUAUACAAAUGGAAAUGAAAAAUAUGAAGCGAACUGACCUCAGAAUACAAAAGGACAGUAACCCAGAGGGCUCGAAGAGGAAUAGGAAAGUUUGAAAUGAAUAUGGCGUCCUGGAUGACCUUUAUAUAGCUUAUAGGAGUGCUUGAUGCAGAUUAGCACUCGAGCGUCCUUACUAACUUAAAUCAAAUUAUUUAUUAAUAUGUAAAUAUUUUAAAAGUUUCAAAGGAAGUAUUCAAUUUAGAACCUUUUUAGAUUUUUUUUGAAAGAAACAAAAAUAAAGCGUGAAAUAUUAUGUGUUUAAGGUGUUAGAAGACAAUAUUGUCUAAUCCAAAGCCUUACACAUUCCCACAAAAAAAAAAAAAGGAAAAAGAGAGAUAUUAUAUAAGAUUUUGAUCACAUCUAAUAGAAACUCAUAUUUAGCAACAUAUCACCAAGCACUAUCUUAUCUGAAAGCUCUAACAUGUUGGAAAUUUAUUUAAGGUUCCAUAACAACUAACAACUUUUUCUGACGACUCAGUAGUGGACCAUUUGCACUUUAACUGCAUUAUUGAAUUUAAAUCAUAUUAGAAUAGUAAUUGACUUCUCUUUUGUGAGGCUACAUAUCUUGUAGGAUGGGAUAGGUGAUUCAUUUCAUAUAUGAAAUUUAGUUAAUUUAGUAAUGCAUCCAAGUUCAUUAUGAAUCUAAUGGUAUCACAACUCCUUGAAUAUUUGUAAUCUGUAAUCUUUGAUUCAACUUCUCAAGUCUAGUCAUUUUAUCGGCAUAACUAGUUUGCUUCAAUUAUCUCUCAACUUUAUUAUAAAACUAAGGGAAAAAAUUAUCACGGAUUUUAUAUUAACUUAACCAAACAUCUUUAUAUAUAUAUAUAUAUAUAUAUAUAUAUAUAUAUAUAUUGUAAAUUUAGGAAAAUUUCAUCCAUUAGCCAUAGUAAGUAAGAAUCAAAUAAGGGAUAUGUAAGCCAAUGGUGAUAUUGAUGGCGUCAAAUCAAUGACAUAGUAGAAAAGUGGAUUGUCUAUUUUCAAACCUUUAUAUUUUCAUCCAAUAGUAAAAAGGUUUAGGCAUCACUUGAAAAGUAGUUCGUUUUUUUACCUUGGACUAUGAUUUAUGAAUAAAGUUCUUCUAUUGUAUACCUUUUGUGAUGCCCCAAACCUAAUUUAUGGGUAAAAAAAAAUAAUUUAGAAAAAAAUAAAUAAAAAGUUAAAUAAAUUUAAUUAAGGUAAAAAUGUAUUUUCGUAUUUAAAAUUCCUAGGUAUCAAUUAUAUAUUUCUUGUCUUCUCUAUUCAAAAAACCCUAUUACACAAAAAUCAAAUAUUAGAGAACAUAGGACAACGCAGGGUUGAAGAUUUGGAGGUUUAGGGUUGAAGAUUAGUUUUCCGGGUAAGAUUCUAACCCUUAAAUUAGUAUUUUAGAUUCGUUAAUUAGUUUAAACACUUCAGAUAUUCUUUGAAAAUCUGAAUCUAUGUUAGGGUUUGUUAAUUUAAUUUUUAAAUAAAAAAGAUUGAAAAUUUAUGAACAUAAGUAGAGUUAUUAUUAAAGAUUGAAAUUUUUUGAAUAUUUGAAUUAAAAAUCUAGAAAAAAAGAAGAAAAUAAAUUAUAGCUUUGGAUGUGGAAAAAAAUUAAUAUUAAUAAAUAAAUAAAACCUAUGAGUAUGGAGGUAGAAAAAUAUGAGAGUUGAAAGCAAAGAAAAAAAAAAAGAAUAAGGUUUUGUGGUUGUACAUGCCUCCUUAGUGGAAAAAAAAUACAAGGUUGCUUGCAAUAGGAUAUGACAAAGAGAGAGAGAUAAAUGCUUAGAUGUUGAUUUUUGUGGGGAAAAAAAGAUUGGGUAAUGUAGGAGAGAAAUAGGUAGCACUUGUAGAGUUGGUGGAGUUGUUGUAAAAGCUCGUAGGGGUAAUUGUUAGGUAGUGUAGGGUAUGAGAUUAAUUGUUAGGAAACAUUAGGACUUGAAAUAAUAAUAAUUGCUUCUAGUAAAAGUUUUAAUUUAGUUUAAGUAUAUAAAAGAAAUAGAUGAUUAGAAUAAGAUUUGGAAGGAAUAUGAAUUCAUAAAAAUUUCGAGAUUUACUAAUUUAGAUUAUUAUUGUUUUGGAAGUUGAAUAUAAUAUAGGUGAUAAUAUUAUUAAUAUAGGAAAUGAUUCAGAUUCUCAAACCUACAAUUUUAGAUAAAUAGUUAAUAGUAAUAGAUGAUUUUUUAUUUUUAUUUUAUUUUUAUUUUUUAUGUUAUGUUAAGUGAAGAAUGGAUUCUUUGAGAUUAAUUCUCUAAGGUUUCUAAGUGUUUCUUUAAGGUAAGGGAUGUUAAUACUGAUUUUGUAAAUGAAAAUAUUUCUUUUUAUAAGUUAUUUUAAAUUAUGAAAAAUUUUAUUUUUAUUUAUGCAUGGAUCAAAUAUAUAUUUUUUCACGAGAAACAUGUUUGGGCAAUUUCUUUGUUUAUAAAUAAAUAAAUAAAUAAUGAAAACUUUGGAAAUAUAAUGUUUUGUUUUGUAAGUUUAAAAUAAUGAAAUAAAGUUUUUUGACUCUAGUUUAUAUGACCUUAGUUAAUGGGUUAUAAUUGUUGACAUUUUCAGCUCCAGUCAAUGAUUAUAAUUGUUGACAUUUUUGGUUCCAAUCAACGAUUAUAAUUGUUGAGAUUUUCAACCCUAGCCAACGGGUAUAAUAGUUGACCUUAUAGCCCUAGUCAACAGAUAUAAUUGUUAACCUUUGGUUUUGCCCAUCUUAAAAAGAACAAAUUUAAGGCUAGCCAUUUAUUUGUAAAGUCCCACUUAACUAAGUACCAUUUGUUAUUUAAUAACCAGAGUAAAGAUAUUUUGAAUGUAUUUGAUAUGAAAUUGUUUUGAUAUAAAUAUGAAAAUGUUUGGUUGAAAAGUUCAAAUGUUUAAUGCAUGUUGAAUUCAAAAGUUUUUAUGAAAAUGAUUAUAUGUUAUAUCCCCUAUUUGUAAGUUUGAUCCAUGAAACUGUAUUAAUAUUCCUUAUUGGACUUUGAGCUCAUUCCCCUUUGUUGAGAAUUUUUUUUGGUAUUCUCAGUUUGGGUAAGGAGUGAUGACUGGGUUGGGGAAUUUUCUUUGCUAUGAUUUUGGUUCAAUCUUUAUUUUGGACAUUGUUUAGAUGUUAAAAUUUAAUUGCCAUUUAAAUUAUUUGAGUUUGGAGUUAUUUGGACGAUAACACUUUGAUUGAUGUGUUAGUUUUAAAGUUGAGAAUUGAAAAUUAUAGAAUUUAUUUAUCUUACUACUUUGAACAGAAAUUUAGUAGUUGGAGAUCAUCCAGUUACAAGAUGAAUAUUUGUGUCGUUUCCACUUUGAGCGUUCAGGCUUAGGGUGUGAAAUGACCGUUAUGCCCUUGGAGUGGGUAUAUUGUUUAUUUGAAUUUAAUGGUCCCUGAACUCCUUAAUUACUCAUAACUUUAUAUCACCUUCUCAAAGUAAGUUGUUUUACAACUACUAUCUAGCUACUUAUCUCUACUAUGACAACUUUAUUACAUAGUGAUUAAUUGAAAGAAUCUACAUGUCUUAUUUCAUAGGAUAGUUGAUUUUUUCACUCAAUGAAUCUUGCUUUUAUUAUUGAAAUUUUCAAAUCAUUGUAGUCCAACAAUUUCCUAUCCAUUGGUAAUUUCAUAUUACAUUUCCAAAGUCUAAUCAUUUAAAAACACUUGUAGUUAAUAUAUUGGCAAUUGCAUUGUGGGAAGUUGUUCACUUGAUUUUAAUGUUGAAACUUUCAAAUUGUUGUAGUCCAACAAUUCCCUAUCCAUUGGUAAUUUCAUAUCACAUUUUCAAAGUAUAAUCAUUUACAAAUACUUGUAUAUAGUAUAUUUGGUGAUUGUAGAGUGGAAAGUUGAUCGUUUUUAUGAAGACCUCUAAAAUAGAAAUUUUUUUCAUUCCAUUUAAUAAAGAAUUUCAUUAAUUGAACAUAUAUGUUUUUUAACCGGAAAGUAAAGGCCACAUUAGGCCUUAGGUGACAAUACUAGGUGAGGGUUUUUCUUAAAAUUUAUUUAUUACGAAAUAUAAAUAAUAUUAUUUAUUUUAUAAUAAAGAUUAUUAUAAUAUAUUUUUUAUAGAUUUGAAAAAAAUAUUAAUUGAGUUUUAUUUAUUUUUAAAUAAUUGUUUUCAAUAAAUAACUUAUUUGUAAAAAUAAAACUAUUAAAUAUAUGCAUUUGAAAAAUAUUUAAUUUUUAUUUGAUUUAGUAUCAAUUAAUAUUUGUAAUAUUUUUUAAUAUUAUAGAAGUUAACAUACCCAAUUAAGAUAUUCAAGAUCAAGAGAAUAUUAUAGAAGUUAACAUACCCAAUUAAGAUAUUCAAGAUCAAGAGAAUAUUUGAGAUUGAAUUAAUUUCUUUAUUGUUUAUGUUUUAGUAAAUUUUUAUAUCCAUAACAAAAUUUUUAUUGUUUAUUUUUCAUUCAAUGUUUGCAUUUUGUAAUAGAUAUUAAAACAAAUUUUUUUCUUGCAUGUUAAAAAAAUAUUUCAAUGUCUUUAAAAAUAAAAUAUUGCAGUAAAAUCAAAAUUACAUUGUGAAACUUUAAGCAAAUGUUUUAUACUUAAGAAGUGCCAAUUAGAGUAAGCAUGCAUCUACAAUUGUGAUUUAGAUGUCAUAUUGAAACAAUAGUUCUCUUUGACUAUAUCAUAAAAUUUGGUUCGAAUUACUUUAAGUCAUCUUGUAGAUUUUCAAGUUCCAAUGAUAUGCAUCAAGUAUGUGCAACAUACUUGAUAUAACUAAUAUUUUCUUAAGUAAUUGGACACUUUUUUCUAUAAAUUUACUUGAUUAUCAAUGAAUACUUUUAUGUAGGGUAUUGAUAUAAUUCGAUAAAUAUUUUAAAAUAGUAUUAGAAUAGCUUUGCUCUUUCCCAAUUAACAAAUUUACUAAAUUAACUUAUAUAUAUUUGUUUAUUUGAAUUUACUGGUAUUUGACGCAAAUUGUUAUUAUUUUUAAAAUUAUAGGAAAACCAUUAUUUAUAGAGUUUAAUUAUAUUUGGUAAAUUAUCUUUUUAAGUUUGACUAAGAUUAGGAAACUAUUAAUUUAAUAUUAAUCCAUAAGGCUCUAUAAAUUUGUAGUUUUAUAUAGGAUUUAAAAAAAGAAAGAAAAAGUAAGAAAAAGUAAGAAAAAGUGAAGAGAGAUAGGCAAAGAGUGCAUUGGGUUUUAGAUAGAGAAAGGUUGAGAGAGUUUUGAUUACUACUCAAAAAGAACAUAUUUUAGAUAGUAAUUCUCAUGGGUUUCACAUCUUUUGAGCAUUAAUUAUGCCUAAAAAUGCUCAAUUAACAUGUUGUUGCCCUCGCAAGAGUUACUAACAAGUUUUAUAAAGUUUUGGAGUCAUUUCAAGUUAUGAUUUUAAUAAAUUGAUGACAAAAGAGAUGAACUGAUUUGAAGAAGGCAAAUAAUAUUGAUGAUGAUCCAAAUGUAAAAUGAAAGAAGCAAUAUAAUUAGAUUGAUCGGGAUUUGCUGCUAAUUUGGAGGUAGUUAAGGUGGAGUCAAAAGAAGAAAAUGGAAGAAAUGACAAAGAGGACCUUAAAAACCAAAUGUUGCAGAUUUGUAUGAUCAUGCAAAAAUUUUACAUGACUAUGCGAAAUGGAUUAGAGAAGGAAAAUUGACUAUGGUAUAAGGAGGAUGCUUAAGUUGAUUUCACAUGAACAUGAGAAAAUUUCGCAUGAACAUGUGAAAAUUUUGCACAAUCAUGUGAAAUGGUCCAAAAAGCUCUCUAAUGUUGUUGUUGCUCCACUAAUUUCUCACCACCAUGCGAAAUCGAUCUUUUCAUGCAAAAUGGUUGAAGCUCAUGUGAAAUCAUGAUUUUGAUGCUAAACUCUAGAUUUGUGAAUUUGGAAGGUUUUAGAAGACCAAUGAGAGGUUGCCAAGUGUCCACUUGACCUUGGUCUAUAAAUAGAAACUGGAAUUUCCCAUGUAAAGGGCUUUGAGAUACUUUUGAUUUUAGAUUUUUCUAGAAACUCUUUCUCUAAAUAGAAUUCUUUAUUUUCUUUAAUUUUCCCUCAUUUUCUCAUUAGCCAAACAUGCCUAGUGAGACCAAAUCUCCAAGUAUGAGUGGCUAAAUCUCGUUUUUCUCAGAGGAAUGAGGAUCUAGAGGUAAGAUCUAUGGUGAAUUAUAGAAAUGAGUUUUAAUUGCAAAUGUAAUUUGAUCCAAUUGAUUGAUUAAUUGAAAUUUGAGGAUUUUUCUCUUUAAAUUGUCCUGAAUGACUAUUACAUUGCAAACUAGGUAGAUUCAUUAAAUUCUUAAAGCUAGAUUUAAUGAGACUGAAUAGUUGCAUUUGUAUGAAUCAUUGGAAAAUGAUUUAAGAUGAAUUGAAUAUAUAAUUUAAAUUGAUCUCUUGGAUUAAAUAACCUAAUUUGAAGAGAAAUUAGGUUUAGACUUAAAGGUAAAUCUAAAAUUGGUUUAGAUAAGAAUUUAGGUUUUCAAUCUAACUUGAUGAAAAAUAAAUCUCAACAUCUAUUCGCCAUGGAAAUUUUUUUCUAAAAAAUAUUAACUCCAAGAAUUCCUUUUCCUUAUCAAUUUUCUUAUGUCAUCUAUAAUGUUCUGGUUUUGUCCUCUGUAAUGUUCUUUAUUGUAUUGUGGAAUUAUUCUCUCUCAUCUAUGUAGGCAAGUUGCUAAACCACGUUAAAACCUCAAAUACCAUUUGUGUUGAUUUUUUUUUAUCUUUGUGUUCUUGAUUAAUGAUGCUUGCAUCAAAGCUUCUACCAACGUAACAAUGUGCAACAUAUUUGAUAUAACUUAUAUUUUCUUAAGAAAUUGAACACUUUUUUCUAUAAAUUUACUUGAUAUCAAUGAAUACCUACAUAUACGGUAUUGACAUAGUUUGAUAAAUAUUUUAAAAUAGUAUUAGAAUGGCUUNNNNNNNNNNNNNNNNNNNNNNNNNNNNNNNNNNNNNNNNNNNNNNNNNNNNNNNNNNNNNNNNNNNNNNNNNNNNNNNNNNNNNNNNNNNNNNNNNNNNUUCUUUUUCCCAAUUAACAAAUUUAUCAAAUACACACACACACAUAAUACUCAUUAGUAUGUCUUUUAUGAAAAAACUAUAUUGUUUAUUUGAAUUUAGUAGCCAUUCAACUCCUUAGUUACUCAUAAACUUUAUAUUACCUUCUUAAAGUCAAGUCAUUUACAAUUAUUUCUAUCUAGCCGGCCUUCUCCAUUAUGACAACUUUAUAAGAUAGUGAUUGAUUGGAAGAAUCUACAUGCCUUUGUUGAUAGGAUAAUUGUUUUUCUUUUUUUCGUAUUCAAAGAAUCUUGCUUUUGUUAUUGAAACUUUCAAAUCCUUUAUGUCUGAGAUUUGAUGUAAAUUUGCUUAGUUACCAAUGAUUUCAAAUUUCAUUAAUUAGUACCCCUAUAGAUGUAAUUUGUGUACAAAAUUUAUUUUUUAAAAGAAUUUAGGGAAAAAUAUUUUAGGUAUAUGUCUUUAACAAUUCUCUAAAAUAAAUUUUACUUGCUAAAAAAUAACUUAUAUAGAUAGAAUACAUCUACAAGAGUUCUAACUAACGAAAUUUAAAACUAAUGGUGGUUUAGCGUAUUUAAACUAAACAUUAGGAAGGGUGACUGAAAUUAACCCUCUAGGUAUAUAUGUUUAACAAAAUUUUUAUUGUUUAUUUUUCAUUUAAUUUUUGCAUUUUUCAAUAAACAUUGAAAAGGAAUUGUUUUUCCAUAUGUUAACAAAAAGAAAUUUGAACACCUAUAAAAAUAAAAUCUUGUAGUAAAAUUGGAGUUACAUUAUCAGACUUUUAACGAGUGUUUAUGUUUAGAAAGGCCAAUUAAAGCAAGCAUGCAUCUAGAAAUUGUAACUUAGAUGCAUCAAACAUGAGCAACAUAUUUGAUAUAACUAAUAGUUUCUUAAGUAACUAAACACUUCUUUUUCUAUAAAUUUACUUGAUUAUCGUGAAUACUUACAUAUAUUUACAUAGUUUGAUAAAUAUUUUAAAAUAAUAUUAGAAUAACUUUGUUUUUUCUCAAAUAUUAGAAAAUAAUAUAAAGUUACUUAUAAACUUUAUAUCAUUUUCUCAAAGUCAAGUCAUUUACAAUUAUUUCUAUCUAGUCUUCUCCAUUUUGACAACUUUUAUAUGAUAGUCGUUGAUUGCAAGAAUCUACAUGUCUUUUUUGAUAGGAUAGUUGUUUUUAUUUUUUUUAUUUUUUUUAUUCCAAAAAUUUGCUUCUAUCAUUGAAACUUUCAAAUCUUUUAUGUAUAUUACCAAUCAUUUUACAAGUGAGUUAAUUUCACUUAGGGUAGAUAUACUUAGCCACACCCCUAUAGAUGUAAUUUGUGUUUAAAUUUUAUUUUUUAUUUAGGUAAAAAUAUCUUAGGUAUAUGUGUUCAACAAUUCUCUAAAAAAUAAAUUUUCUUAUCUAAAAGUUUAUAUAGAUAAAAUACAUUUAUAGAAGUCCUAACUAAUGAAAUUUAAAAUCAAUGGUUGUUUAGUGUAUUUACAUUAAACCUUAUCGGGUAUGAUUGAAAUUAACUCUUUUACAAGCACUUGUAGCUAAUAUGUUUGUAGUUGUAGUGUUGGAAAUUGAUCAUUUUCUUGAAGGCCUCUAAGAUAUUGGAAAUAUUGCCAUAGUUUUAGACUUUUUUUUAUUACACCUAAUAAAAAAUAUUAUUAAUUUAACAUAUAUAUUCUUAACUUAAAAGUAAAGUCUCUCCAUAUUGUAUGAGCCCUUAGGUGGCAAUAUUAGGUGAAGUUUUUCUUUCGUUUAUUACAAAAUAUAAAUAAUUUAUUAUUGUAUGAUAAAAUUUUAUAUAAUAUAUUUUUAUAGAUGUAAAAUUAUUAUUGGGUUUUAUUUUAUUUUUUUACUAAAUUGUCAUUUCAAUAUAUAAAACUUAUUUGUAAAAAGACAAUUAUAAACUAUAUGAAAUACAUUUAGUUUUUUUAUUUAAUUUAGAAUUUUAUUUGGAUUAAUAAUUGAUAUUUGUAAGAUUUUUUAAUAUUAAAAAAAGUUAGCAUACUUAAGAAAGAUAUUCAAGAUCGGGAGUGUUUGAUAUUGGAUUAAUUUCCUUAUUUUCCUAUUUUAAUAAAUUUUCAUGUCCAUUACAAAAUUUUUGUUGUUUAUUUUUCACUUCAAUAUUUUUAUUUUGUAAUAGACAUUUGAAAAGAUUUUUUCCUACAUGUGAAAAAAAAAAAGAUUUGAACACUCCUAAAAAAGAAAUAUUGCAAUAAAAUUAAAGUUUACAUUGUAGGACUAUUAGCAAGUGCUAUAUACUUAAAAUAGACCAAUUAAAGUAGAAAUACUUCUAAAAUUGUAAUUUAGGUAACAAUAAUAUAAAAAGAUAAUAUUUUUGAAACAAUAGUUCUCUGGAGUUUUGGGUACGAUGGACUAGACUUUAUGUAACAAUAGAUAUACGAACUUUCCAUUAACAUCUUGAGAGACAUGAUGAGGAGCAAAGUCAUCCAAGAAGGUACCAUAGAGGUACCUUAGCUCCAUUCAUCUAGACUACAUAAUGUUUAAAGAUCAAAUUCAAUGACUAGAUUUCAAAAAUCAAUAUAAGCUUUCUCAUAUUCUACUCUAUAUAAGACAAUGGUAUCAUUUUAACAUCAGUUUGAAACUUAGAAGUCACUUAGCACAUUCUAGUUAUUAAUUUAAGAGCAUUAAAAGAAAAUAUAAAAAAAGUUACUUUAUCCUUGUGAUUUUGAUCUAGGACUUUUAAUGAUAUUAAAAAAAAAAAAAACAGAAAAAUAAAUGGAAAUAAAAUCAACAAAUUAAACAAUUGAAUUAUGUUAGUUUAAUUUUUGCAUCGUUAAAUGGGUAAAUAAAGACUCUUAGAUUUGAUAUUAAUAUGAACAUCAUGACUUCAGUGAAUCUUACAAGAAAAUUUUAGUUUGAAAGACUUCAUUCAUUAAACGUGUGGCACAUAUUAAAGUAAAACUAAGUCUUCUCUAUAAUUUGUACCUAUCAUAGUUUCUUUCCUCAUAAAUAGCCUUUUUUGAAUAUAAUAUAGACUUCAACAUGCAUGGUGGGGCCGAUCAAACUACUAGUCAAGACAACUCAUGGGCAACAACGAUGUACCAACUACAUUUAAAUACUCUUCAUCUAUUUGCAUAUCAAGAGUAAUUUAGUAGUGUCUUUCUUAUGUACCUCAUAUCUAGAUUUUCAAUGGAGAGUUCUUCAUCUAAAAUUUUGACUUGGGUUUUCAUACUAGUUUUGGUUUAGACAUGUGGAUGCAAAGGUUGCAUCAAAGAAGAGAAGUGGGCUAAAUCAUCUUACAAAUUUUCAAGUUCAAAUUAGAUGCACCAAACAUAUGCAACAUAUUUGAUAUAAUUAAUAUUUUCUUAAGUAAUUGAAUACAAUUUUUUUUUUAAAUUUACUUGAUUAUUAAUGAAUAACUACAUGUAUGGUAUUGACACAACUUGAUAAAUCUUUUAAAAUAGUAUUAGAAUAACUUUGCUAAAAAAAAGUAAAAAUAAAAAUAAAAAUACAUCUAUAUAUAUAAAAUUAAAUAAAAUUAAAAAUUAAAAAAGAAUAUAUAUAUAUAUAUAUAUAUAUAUAUAUAUUCUGUGUGUGUGUGUGUGUGUGUGCAUGGUCCCACAACUCAUUAGCUACUCAUAAGCUUUAUAUCACUUUCUCAAAAUCAAGUCAUUUUGUAAUUAUUUCUAUCUAGCCUUCUCCAUUACGACAACUGUAUAGGAUAUUGAUUGGUUGGAAAAAUUUUCAUGUCUUUUUUUAUAAGAUAGUUUUUUAUUAUUAUUAUUAUUCAAAGAAUUUGCUUUUAUUAUUGAAACUUUCAAAUCCUUUAUGUCUAGUGGUCCUACAAUUCCCUAUUCAUUGGUAUUUCAUAUUACCAAUCAUUUUAAAAAUAAGUUUAUUUCACCCGGUAAAUAUACUUAACUACCAAUGGUUUCAAAAUUAAUUGAUUAACACACUUAUAGAUGUAAUUUGUUUUUAAAUUUUAUUUUUUUAGAAGAAUUGUAGGUAAAAAUAUUUUAGGAAUAUGUGUUCAAUAAUUCUCUAAAAACAAUUUAUAUAGAUGGAAUACAUUCAUGGAAGUUCCAACUAAUGAAAUUUAAAACCAAUGACGAUUUAAUGUAUUUGCACUAAAUCUUAGGGGAGGUGUACUAAAACUAGCCCUUAUACAAAUAUUUGUAGCUAUAAUAUUUGUAGUUAUGGUGUUGGAAGUUGAUCAUUUUCUUAAAGGCCUCUAUGAUAUUGGAAAUAUCGCCAAAGUUUUGAACUUUUUGUUUCACCUAAAAAAAAUAUCAUUAAUUUAAUAUAUAUACUCUUCGCUUGAAAGUAUAGUUUUUUCAUAUUGUAUGAAGUUGUAGCUAGGUGACAAUAUUAGGUGAAAUUUUUUUGGUUAACUACAAAAUAUAAAUAAUAUAUUUAUUAUAUGAUAAAAUUUUAUAAAAUAUAUUAUUAUAGAUGCAAAAUUAUUAAUGGAGUUUUAUUUUUUACUAAAUUAUCAUUUCAAUAAAUAAGAACUUAUUUGUUAAAAGAAAAUUAUAAAAUAUAUGCAGUUGAAAAAAAUUUAAUUUUUUUUAUUUAAUUUGGUAUUUUAUUUGAAUUAAUAAUUGAUAUUUGUAAGAUCUUUUAAUAUUAAAAGAAGUUAACAUACUUAAAAAAGACAUUCAAAAUCAAGAGAGUAUUUGAUAUGAAAUUAAUUUAUUUAUUUUUCUAUUUAAAUAAAUUUUUACAUCCAUUAAACAAAUUUUAUUGUUUAUUUUUCACUUCAAUAUUUUUAUUUUGUAAAAGAAAUAGAAAUAAAAUCAACAAAUUAAACAAUUGAAUUAAGUUAGUUUAAUUUUGUCACCGUUAAAUUGGUAAAUGAAGACUCUUAUAUUUGAUAUUAACAUGAACAUCAUGACUUCAUUGAAUCUCACAAGAAAAUUUUAGUUUGAAACAUUUUAUCCUUUAAACAUGUGGCACAUAUUAAAGUGAGACCAAGUCUUCCCUAUAAUUUGUAUCUAUCACAAUUUAUUUCCUAAUGAAUAGCCUUUUUGAAUAGAAUAUAGACUUUAGCAUGCAUGGUGGGGCCUAGCUAUCAAACUACUAGUCAAAACAACUCAUGGGCAAGAAUGAUGUGCCAACUAGAUUAAGUAUUCUCCAUCUAUUUGCAUAUCAAGAGUAAUUUAGUAGUAUCUUUCUUGUGUACCUCAUUUCUUGACUUUCAAUGGAGAGUUUUUUAUCUUAAAAUUUGACGUGGGUUUUCAUACUAGUCUUGGUUCAGAUAUGUGAAUGCAAAGGUUGCAUCGAAGAAGAGAAGUAGGCUGAGUCAUCUUACAAAUUUUCAAGUUCAAAUUAGAUGCAUCAAACAUGUGCAACAUAUUUGAUAUAACUAAUAUUUUACCAAGCAACUAAAUACUUUAUAUAUAUAUAUAUAUAUAUAUAUAUAUAUUAGUGGUCCCACAACUCAUUAGCUACUCAUAAGCUUUAUAUCAUUUUCUUAAAGUCAAGUCAUUUACAAUUAUUUCUACCUAGCCUUCUCCAUUGCAACAACUGUACAAUAUAUUAAUUGAUUGAAAAAAUCAUCAUGUCUUUUUUGAUAGGAUAGUUUUUUUUAAUUCAAAGAACUUUCAAAUUAUUUUUAUCUAGCCUUCUCCAUUAUGACAACUGUAUAAGAUAUUGAUUGAUAUGAUAGUUUUCUUGUAUUCAAAGACUUUGCUUUUAUUAUUGAAACUUUCAAAUCCUUUAUGUCUAGUGGUCCUACAAUUCCCUAUUAAUUGGUAAUUCAUAUUAUCAAUCAUUUUAUAAAUAAGUGAAUUUUUCACUCCGUAAAUAUACUUAACUACCAAUGGUUUCAAAUUUAGUUGGUUAGCACACUUAUAGAUGUAAUUUGUUUUUAAAUUUUAUUUUUUAGAAGAAUUUUACGUAAAAAUGUUUCAGUAUAUGUGUUCAAUAAUUCUCUAAAAUAUUUAUAUGGAUGGAAUACAUUCAUGAAAGUUCCAACUAAUAAAAUUUAAAACCAAUGACGAUUUAAUGUAUUUGCACUANNNNNNNNNNNNNNNNNNNNNNNNNNNNNNNNNNNNNNNNNNNNNNNNNNNNNNNNNNNNNNNNNNNNNNNNNNNNNNNNNNNNNNNNNNNNNNNNNNNNGGGGGGGGGGGGGGGGGUGUAUACUGAAAUUAGCUAGUAUAUUUGUAGUUGUGUUGUUAGAAGUUGAUCAUUUUCUUAAAGGCCUCUAAGAUAUUGGAAAUAUUGCCAAAGUUUUGAACUUUUUGUUUUACACCUAAAAAGAAUAUCAUUAAUUUAAUAUAUAUACUCUUCACUUGAAAGUAUAGUCUCUCCAUAUUGUAUGAAGUCGUAGCUAGGUGACAAUAUUAGGUAAAGUUUUUUUGGUUUACUACAAAAUAUAAAUAAUACAUUUAUUAUAUGAUAACAUUUUGUAAAAUAUAUUAUUAUAGAUACAAAAUUAUUAAUUGAGUUUUAUUUUUUACUAAAUUAUCAUUUCAAUAAAUAAGAACUUAUUUGUUAAAAGACAAUUAUAAAAUAUAUGCAGUUGAAAAAAAAUUUAGUUUUUUUAUUUAAUUUAGUAUUUUAUUUGAAUUAAUAAUUAAUAUUUGUAAGAUCUUUUAAUAUUAAAAGAAGUUAACAUACUUAAAAAGACAUUCAAAAUCAAGAGUCUUUGAUAUGAAAUUAAUUAAUUAAUUUUUCUAUUUAAAUAAAUUUUUACAUCCAUUAAAAAUUUUUUAUUGUUUAUUUUUCACUUCAAUAUUUUUAUUUUGUAAAGGAAAUAGAAAUAAAAUCACCAAAUUAAACAAUUGAAUUAAGUUAGUUUAAUUUUGCCACCGUUACAUUGAUAAAUGAAGACUCUUAGAUUUGAUAUUAACACGAACAUCAUGACUUCAUUGAAUUUCACAAGAAAAUUUUUGUUUGAAAGAUUUCAUCCUUUAAACAUGUGGCACAUAUUAAAGUGAGACCAAGUAUUCCCUAUAAUUUGUAUCUAUCACAAUUUAUUUCCUAAUGAAUAGCCUUUUUGAAUAGAAUAUAGACUUUAGCAUGCAUGGUGGGGCCUAUCAAACUAUUAGUCAAGACAACUCAUGGGCAAGAACGAUGUACCAACUACAUUAAAUACUCUUCAUCUAUUUGCAUAUCAAUGGUAAUUUAAUAGUGUCUUUCUUAUGUACCUCAUUUUUAGACUUUCAAUAGGGAGUUCUUUAUCUAAAAAUUUGACGUGGGUUUUCAGACCAGUCUUGGUUCAGAUAUGUGGAUGUAAAGGUUGCAUCAAAGAAGAGAAGUAGACUAAGUCAUCUUAUGAAUUUUCAAGUUCAAAUUAGAUGCAUCAAACAUGUGCAACAUAUUUGAUAUAACUAAUAUUUUAUUAAGCAAUUGAAUACUUUUUUUGAAAAAAAUUUACUUGAUUAUUAAUGAAUACCUACAUGUAGGUAUGGCAUUGACACAAUUUGAUAAAUCUUUUAAAAUAGUAUUAGAAUGACUUUUCUAGAAAAAAAAAAGUAAUAAUAAAAAUAAAAAUACACAUAUAUUAGUGGUCCCACAACUUAUUAGCUUCUCAUAAGCUUUAUAUCACUUUCUUAAAGUCAAGUCAUUUACAAUUAUUUCUAUCUAGCCUUCUCCAUUACGACAACUAUAUAAGAUAUUGAUUGAUUGCAAAAAUCAUCACGUCUUUUUUGAUAGGAUAUUUUCUUUUUUAAUUCAAAGAAUUUUCUUCUAUUAUUGAAACUUUCAAAUCCUUUAUGUCUAGUGGUCCUACAAUUCCCUAUUAAUUGGUAUUUCAUAUUACCAAUCAUUUUACAAAUAAGUUAAUUUUACUCGGUAAAUAUACUUGACCACCAAUGGUUUCAAAUUUGUAGCACCCUUAUAGAAGUAAUUUAUUUUUAAAUUUUAUUUUUAAGAAGAAUUGCAAGUAAAAAUAUUUUUGGUAUAUAUGUUCAACAAUUCUCUAAAAACAAUUUAUAUAGAUGGAAUACAUUCAUGGAAGUUCCAACUAAUAAAAUUUAAAACCAAUGUCGAUUUAAUGUAUUUGCACUAAAUCUUAGGGGGCGUAGACUAAAAUUAGUCCUUUUACAAAUAUUUAUAGGUAGUAUAUUUGUAGUUGUGGUGUUAGAAGUUGAUCAUUUUCGUAACGACCACUAAGAUAUUGGAAAUAUCGCCAAAGUUAAGAACUUUUUGUUUUACACCUAAAAAGAAUAUCAUUAAUAUAAUAUACAUAUAUAUAUAUAUAUAUAUAUAUAUAUAUAUAUAUAUAUACUCUUCACUUGAAAAUAUAUCUCUCCAUAUUGUAUGAGGUCUAAGGUGACAAUAUUUGGUGAAGGUUUCUUUUUUUGUUUAGUACAAAAUAUAAAUAAUUUAUUUAUUAUAUGAUAAAAUUUUGUAAAUAUAUUGUUAUAGAUGCAAAAUUAUUAAUUGAGUUUUAUUUUUUACUAAAUUAUCAUUUCAAUAAAUAAGAACUUAUUUGUUAAAAAACAAUUAUAAAAUAUAUGCAGUUGAAAAACAUUUAGUUUUUUUUUUUUAUUUAAUUUAGUAUUUUAUUCGAAUUAAUAAUUGAUAUUUGUAAGAUAUUUUAAUAUCAAAAGAAGUUAACAUACUUAAAAAGAUAUUCAAGAUCAAGAGUGUAUUUGAUAUGAAAUUAAUUUCUUUAUUUUUUUUUUCUAUUUUAAAAAAUGUUCACAUCCAUUAAAAAAAAUUUAUUGUUUAUUUUUCACUUCAUAUUUUUAUUUUGUAAAGGAAAUAGAAAUAAAAUCAAUAAAUUAAACAAUUGAAUUAAGUUAGUUUAACUUUACCACUAUUAAAUUGGUAAAUGAAGACUCUUAGAUUUGAUAUUAACAUGAACAUCAUGACUUCAUUGAAUCUCACAAGAAAAUAUUAGUUUGAAAGACUUCAUCCUUUAAACAUGUGGCACAUAUUAAAGUGAGACCAAGUCUUCCCUAUAAUUUGUAUCUAUCACAAUUUCUUUCUUCAUAAAUAGCCUUUUUGAAUUGAAUAUAGACUUUAGCAUGUAUGGUGGACCCUAUCAAACUACUAGUCAAGACAAUUCGUAAGCAAGAAUGAUGAACCAACUAGAUUAAAUACUCUUCAUCUAUUUGCAUAUCAAGAGCAAUUUAGUAGUGUCUUUCUUAUGUACUUCAUGUUUGAACUUUCAAUGGAGAGUUUGUCAUCUAAAUAUUUGAUGUGGGUUUUUAUACUACUCUUGGUUCAAAUAUGUGGAUGCAAAGGUUGCAUCGAAGAAGAGAAGAUGGGUUUGCUUGAAUUCAAGGCUUUUCUUAAAGUGAAUGAUGAGCACACAGAUUUUCUUCUUCCUUCGUGGAUAGAUAACAACACUAGUGAAUGUUGUAAUUGGGAGCGAGUUAUUUGCAAUCCCACCACAGGUCGAGUUAAGAAGCUUUCCCUCAAUGAUAUAAGGCAACAACAAAAUUGGUUGGAAGUCAGUUGGUACGGUUAUGAAAAUGUCAAAUUCUGGUUACUAAAUGUCUCUAUAUUCCUUCAUUUUGAAGAACUUCACCAUCUAAAUUUGUCUGGAAACUCAUUUGAUGGGUUUAUUGAGAAUGAAGGUAUGUUACCUCUCACCUUUCAAAUUUCUUUUCACUUAUACUCCAAACAUUCUAAAGGAACUACUAGCAUAUGUUCUUAAGAGUGUUCAAAUGGAGACCAAAUGGUCACUAAUAACUAUUGAAUUUAAUAUAAAUUACUAAUGAUUAAAAUUUAAAAUAUGAAUUAACAUUUAAAUAGAACAAUAAAAAAUUAUUAUUUUAAAAUAUUAUAGAUUACAUUAGCCUUAUAUAUAUAAGCAUACUUGUUAUUUAUUAAUUAACAGGAACACUUAGGCUCCCGUAUUCUUAUCCUUUUUGCUUAAUUGUCUUUCUUUAUCUUCCAUUCCUAAAAAGUUUGAUUUCUAUAUUCCAAAUUGAUAGAGAUUGGUUAAAGAAAGGUGAUCACAAAAAUUGACUAUUGCUUUCAAAUGAGGAAUCACCAUUUUUAGAAUUUCACAUUUACAAAAAAAAAAAAAAAAACUUAGCCUUGGGUAGGGCCCAGGCCUCAUUGUUUUAUUCUGAUGUUGGGUUGGUUUAACAAUGAACAGAGUAAAGCCCAACCCAUGACUACUACGCAUUUCCAAAUUCCACCCAUCCACAACCCAUUGAUAUGACAUUUUCAGGGACUUAAUUUAAUCAAUUAAACCUAUUAGAUGGAUUCUACAUACAAUGUUAAAAUGAAUAUAAAAACUUUAAUUCAGAAAAUAAUUUCCUUUAUUUAGUUAGGAUUCAGAUUAUAGGGGCACAAAGCAUGAAAAAUUUCAUUUUAAAUUCACAAAGAUCACAAAAUCUCUUUGAAGCUCUAUGGACUUUUUUAUUUCUAACAUUUAAACACAAAAAUCACAAAAUUGAAUUAAUAAUUUGGAUACAUAUUCUUAUAUUAAAGACAUGUAAGCUUACAGAUUUAAAUAUGAAGAUCUCAACUUGUAAUUACAUGCUUCUAAUUAAAGUUAUAUUACUCUAUUUUAUAGGAUUUAAAGGGUUAUCAAGUUUAAAGAAAUUGGAGAUCUUGGACAUAAGUGGUAACGAGUUUGACAAAAGUGCCUUAAAAUCUUUGAGCGCAAUAACAUCACUCAAGACAUUGGCUAUUUGCAGCAUGGGACUGGCUGGAUCUUUUCCCAUUCGAGGCAUGUUAUAUGUUCACAUUGUUUCUUCAAAAUUAAGUAUAAUAUAUUUCUAACUUUUAAUGUUCCUUAGUUAAUCUCUCUUUUGAUUCAUGUUUGUUGCAGAAUUAGCUAGUUUGAGAAAUUUGGAAGUGUUGGAUCUAAGCUAUAAUGAUUUGGAAAGCUUUCAACUAGUGCAAGGUACUUCAAUAACUUGCUAAAAAAAACUUAUGAUAUUUUGUUAUUAAAUUAACAAUAUUAGCCAACAAUUUCAUCUCUCUUUUGAUUUGUAUUUGAUGCAGAAUUAACUAGUUUGAGAAAUUUGAAAGUGCUAGAUCUAAGCUAUAAUAAUUUGGAAAGCUUUCAACUAGUGCAAGAUACUUUAUUAACUUGUUAAAAAAACUUAUGAUCUUUUGUUAUUAAAUUAAAUGUAAGAUUAACCAACAAUUUCUUCUCAUUAGUUAUUUUUCUUUUGUAAUAUCAUUAAAUUUGAUAUAAAGUAGUCUAAGUCAUCCUUUCAAUUUUUUUAGUUUUAAUAAAUGCAUCAAGCAUGCACAAGAUGUUUGAUAUAACUAAUAUUUUCAUAUGUAAUUGAAAACUUUUUUUUAUGAAUUAAUUAACUCGAUUAUCAAUAAAUACUUACAUGUAUAAUAUUAAUAUAGUUUCAUAAGUAUUUUAAAAUUGUCUUACAACACACACACACACACAUAACAUACUUUUAUGCUAUGUUUGGUUCUAAGAAAAUUUGAGGGAAAAUGAAAGGUGUGUGAUACUUUUAUGCUAUGUAUGGUUCCCAAAACAAUUGAGGGAAAAUGAAAGGAGAAAAAGUAGAGAGGAAAAUUAAAAGAAAAGAAGAGAGUGAAGAAAAAUAUAAAAUUGAUUACAGUGAAUAAAUUAUUUUUAUGUGUUACUUUAAACUUGUUUCACUUAUUUUAAUUCUUCAAUAUAAAGAUGAAAGAUUUGAAAAUGCAUAAGUUUCUAAUUAUUUUAUAUUAUAUUAUAUUUUAUUUAAUAUUUUUUACAAUACAACCAAACAUAAAAUCUUAAUACUUGAGUUAUGUUUGGUUUGCACAAAAUAUGAGGAAAAGAAAAUAUAGAAGAAAAUUAGAAGGAAAGGAAAAGUGAAGUAAAAUAAAAGUAAAUUUAAAAUUAAUAAAUUAUUUUUAUAUGCUACUUUAAACUUAUUUCACUUAUUUUAAAUUAUUUAAACUCAUUUCUAGCAAAUAAUAAUGGAAAUUACAGAGAAGUUUGUGUUAUUCAAGCUUUACAAUGACUUUUCAGGUGAAAGAAAAUAUUUUUGUUGAAACUAAAAAAUGAAAUACCUUCCUAAAUAGCCUAUUGACUGAAAGCACAUUACCCUAACACAUACAUGCACCCUUAUUAUUUAUACAAUCAUGUAAUAAUUAAUAUAGUUAGUAGGAUUCUGAUGGUCGUUUCUGUCUUGGUUUCCAAUAUUUCUGAUUGAUAGUGUUUCGUUAAUGAAAUAUCAUAAAUUUUGACUCUAACAAGGACCUCAAUUAGACCUAAUCCUUGUUAAAUGUAACUAGGUGGCCUAAGACUAAAUAUUAGACCCAACUAAUAAAAACCCAUCUAUUUAUUGGAGCCUAAAUAACCUGGCCUUGGUUAGGGCCCACGCUUUAUUAUUUUAAGAUGUAGUCCACCUGGUUUGACACUAGAUUAAGUAAAGCCCAACUUAUGAGCAUCUGUGCAUUUCCAUCCAUCCACAACCUAUCGACAUGGACAAACUUUGAUCAAUUAAACCUAUUAGAAAUGUAUACAAAAUUUUAAGUUCAAAAGAUAAUUUUCCUUAUUUAGUUAGGAUUCAUAUUAAAAGGGCACAAAGCAUGAAUUUUCAUGUUUAAAUUCACAAAGAUCACGAAAGCUCCUUCUUGCUCUAUGGACUAUUUUAUUUGUAACAUUAUAUUACUCUUAAUUAUCAAAUUAACCAACAAAUUCUUCUCAUUAGUUAUUUUUCUUUUGUAAUGUCAUAAAAUUUGAUAUAAAGUAGUCUUGGUCAUCAUUUCAACUUUCAAGUUCCAAUUAGAUGUAUCAAGCAUGUGCAACAUAUUUGAUAUAACUAAUAUUUUUUAUAAGUAAUUGAAGUUUUUUUCUACAAAUCAAUUAACUUGAUUAUCAAUGAAUACUUCCAUAUAUGAUAUUGAUGUAGUUUCAUAAAUAUUUUAAAAUAGUCAUAGAAGUCUUUUAUCUAAUUCACUAGAAAGAAAAAUAAACUAUUCUAAUGAAAAUACUUGAUGAUUUGAAGUGAUUGCUUUUGAUUUUAUUUGAUUGCUACCAUUAUUAAUUGUUAGAAAUUUGCAACAAAUACCCAUUUUGCAUCACUUCUAUAUGCAUUGGAAUGAAUUAUAUUUCAUAAAGCUAACAAGUCAAAAAUCAUACUUUUGGAAUUAUGGAAAAGACUGCUAUAAAGCUAAUUAACCAUUUGUAAUCUAAUUAAGACUAGUUGGUUUCGAAAUAAUUCAUAUGGAGAUUAAAACAACUAUGUAAUUUAGUUUAGUAGCUUGGGUGCUAUUGUAAUGAUUAAUGAUCUACAACUUGAAAACAUCCACUAGUGCUUCCUAAUUGUAUAGCUAAAUUCAUGUUACCACUUUGAACUAUAGUACUUACAUGAGAAGAAAGCUUUUCCUUAAUGAUAAUGCAAAAGAAAUUAAGUAUCAAUUUUUGUUGAACUAACAAGUGAUAGUUUAGAUAUGGUUUGAAUACACUUCCUUUCUUCUAUUUUUUUUUUUUUUAUUUUGAAAAAAAAAACUCUUUAAUGAAAUAUAAGAACUCUUAUAUGCAUAAAAAGUAAAGACUUAUAUAAAAAAAUUAUUUUCAAAAAUUUUUAAAGCAAAAGAAUUUAUCUUCUUCAAAUUUUAAAAAUUUUGAGAAGUGUUUUUAAGAAUUUGUACUUUUAGUAUAAUAAUUCCUAUAUUUUAUAUAAAAGUUUUUGUUUAAAAAAAAUAGAAAUGUAUCCAAAAUACAACUUAUUUGUUAAAUUAAGAAUGUUUGUCAAAUCAAGAGAUAAUGAAAGUUGCAGAGAGUUUGCAUUACUCAACAUUUGCAAUUACUUUUUGAAGGUGAAAGAAAACACCUUCUUGCAUAACAUACAAUGGCAGGUUCUGGUUUGUAAGAAAUUAAUAUCUAAAUAAAAAUAUGAAUAAGACUUCCUUUAUAAUAAAUAUGUAGAAAAGAAUAGUGGAUGAUAGGAGGUGAAAAUCUUGUAAUAAAAUAUAAAUGUCGGUUAUAAGAUAAUCAACAUUUUCUCUAUUUCUUGUACCUAUGUGAUUAAGAAUCUUGUAGCUCCUUUAUUGAAAUAUAAUAUAAAAAUAUAAAUAAACUAUUUAGAAGUAAGUGCAUGUAGUUUUCAACAUGAGGAAGUUCAAAAGCAAGUUAAUUAUGAUAAUUUUCUAUAGUCUAUAUUGAACACAAAUUAUUUUUGCUAAAGGUUCAAUCGUUCUAUGAAGGUUAAAAGUUUGAAUUGUUUACAUAUGCAAAUGUGAAAUUUGAAAUUUUAUAAUUUUUUAUAAUUUUCUUGUAGAUUCAAAAGGCUUGUCCAUAUUCAAAAAGCUCGAGACCUUGAACCUCGAUGACAAUAAGUUCAAAAACACCAGCCUACAACAAUUGAAUAUAUUGACAUCCCUUAAAAAUCUUUCUCUACGAUGGAACAAUUUUGAAGGAUUUUUUCCUUUCCAAGGUUUGUGUAAUUAUUAUUACUUUUAAUGGUAAAAUAUUAAAAUUAUCAACAUCUCUUAUCUUUUUUCCUCUCAAUGGUGCUACAGAAUUAUGCACUCUGGAAAACUUGGUGAUGUUGGACCUAAGUGGGAAUGGCCUUAUUGGCAUGCAAGGUAAAUACAAAGUGAAGUUUUGGUUAUGUAUAUAUCAUCUAAGAACAUAACUAAAAUCAACAUUCUUUGUCUAUCAAUCUGUCUAUCAACAUAAUUGAAGGAAUGUCUAGCUGUACAACAUUUAAGAAUUUUGCAUGGCACAAUGAAAAACAUGGUAAUCAAUGUAUGCAAUAAAAUUCUAAUAGUUGAAAAAGAAUUUUGUUGUAAUUUUAUGUUCAUGUAUAGGUUAGAACAAAGAGAAAAUCAUGAAAAUGAAUAUUAGUUAGACUUUAUAUAUCGAUAGACAAAAAAAAAAAAAAAAAAAAGAUUAGUUCCUUAACUUAUCCUAAAAUUUUCUAGAUAACAAGGAGUUUACAACCUGAAAAGUGAAGAUGGUUAAUAUUAGUAAUAUAAUUUUGAAAUAUAAAAAUUAAUGAAAUAAUGUUCUUUAUAACUAUAAUUGCAACUAUGAAUAAAAUAUAAUAAAAUUACUUUAGACUUUGAAUCCAUGGUUAGGUUUGCAAUUUUUUGAUGAUCAAUAAAGCUACAACUUGUGCUACAAAAGAUUACAAAAUGUAUUAGUAGCAUUGCUAAGCUCAUUUAUCAACAAAAGAAAUCCAAUAACACUUUAAUUGGAAAAAACCUAGAAUCUUGUUUGAUAUAUAUAAUAGGUGAAGAAACAAAAUAAUAAUUCCAUGGUAUUAGUUAGUUUGAUAUCUCUUUUGUUAUAUGGAAUAACUAUUCCAUUUUAAAACAAUUAUUUCAUCUUAUUGUUAGAACAAAAAGUUUCAAAUAGUUAUAUGGGCUUUUGAGUUUCUUAAGAAUUUAAGCAUUUAUGAGUCACACACACACACACACACACACACACACAUAUGUAUAUAUAUAGGAAAAAUAAAAAAAUAUUAUAUGGAGACAAGGGUAGACACCCAUAACUAUACAUAUAAUUAUUUAAAUAAAAAUAUCAAUAAGAAACAAUAUACAAUAAAAUAGAAAAUUUUAAUCUUCUUAAAAUUUAAAAAUAAAAACUUAAUGAAAACAAGAAUUUAAGAAGUAAAAAAAAAUAGUAAGAAGGUCAAGAGUACAAAUAGAGAUGUAAACAAAAUAAUAAAUAAAUAAAUAAAAAUAAAAAUUUAAAAGAAAAAAAAUACAUAGAUUAACAUGAACACUAAAUGAAGAUUUUUGAGAUAGACUUAGUUAAACUUGAACUGGAUGGAUAUUAAAAAAAAAAACAAAUUUCAAAGAAAUAAAAACUAAUUAGAUGCUAAAUAUUGGAUUAAAAUAGCCAAAUGAAUAAAGAGUAAUUAUUAUUUUUUAACAUUUUUUUAUUGCCUAGAAUUAUUAUUUUGUGUAUUAAAUGUAUUCUGAGUGUAGUGACAUAAAAAAUGUAGUUAAGAAAACUAUGAAGAAUAAUAAUGGUGAUGACACUUAAUACCUUUUAUUGUACAUUUAGAAAAAAUGAGGUCCUAGAUCUUUGUGGAGAUUAUCAUUACUCAUUCGCAAGCAUGUUGAUAGUUGAAACUACCCAAUUAUCAAAAAUUGAAUUUCUAAUCUUCAAUUUUUUUCUCUCAAAUGUAUAUGUGGGUGAGAAAGCAAUAGGAAGAUUAUAAGGUCUCACAUGUAUAUGAGUCAUAGGAUAAAAAAUAUAGAGGCAAUACUAGCAUUUAUUUGAUCUAGUGGCAAGUAGAGAAAUAUAACAUAACCAUAACCAUAAUGUUCUAACCUUAUAUAUACAAGAACCAUGUUUCCUUCAUUCAAUUUUGCAACUUUUUCUUUUCAAAUUAGAAUGUAACUCGUAGGAUCCAUUGCCCAUCGAAAUUUUGAAUCGAAUAUUAUAAGAUAUUUCACAUUUCUACAUACUAAAGCAUGAGCUUCAAUGUUUUGAUGCACUUUUUGCUACUAAGUUAAAGAACUCUUUGAGGAUCAAUGGAGGUUCUAUGAGUAGAAAAGCAUUAUAAUCACAAAUGGGCUGCACUUAUGGUCUUGUCAGUGAUAUGCAAUUUGACCAAGAACCUAUUCCCAACUAUUUUAUGACUUUUAUGACUUUUAUGACUUUUCUUGGCUACUUGUAGGCAAGCUAAAGAAAUUUUCUGGUUUGUUCAAGUCUAAAAAGUGGUUUCAAGUUUAGGACCAAGCUUGGGUUGCACCUAGGUCCUUGGGCCUUGUUCAGCUCCACGUUUAAACCAACCCUGAGCCCAUCUUUGUAAUUUUUCUCCCAAUUCAUUGAUUAAUGUUAGGGUUUUAUAGAGCCUAUAAAUUGACCAACUAAAUAAAGUAAGUUUAUAAACUUUUAGGUGAAAAUUUUCUCUCUAAUAAAUGUUAAUUCAAGAGUCUCCGUAAUCUUUUUAUAUUCAUAUUAAUUGGUAUUUAAACCAGCCUUAUUAUAUUAAAGUCAAAUACUAAAUAGUGAACACUAUAUCUGCUACUACCAUUAUGAUGGUCACAAACAUAGAAUGCUCAUUUUUUUUAGAGUCAAUUGAUACUUAUAAACAACAACUUUGUUUGAAAAUAAAAUACAUUGAGUGAUUGCAUCAAGAGAUAGAUGUAAUAAUUGCAUACUUGAUGUUGAUAAUGCUAAUAUGAGUUGAUUAAAUUAAUGAGUAUUUACUUAUAAGGUAGCCCAUAGAGCAUUAUUUGUGGAAAUAUUCAUGCACCUCUACAUAUGUUCAUGAUAACUUAGGUCGAUAAAUUUAAGAAGAACAAAUUCAUAACCUUGGACAUAGUUAGUAAGAAAUUUCACCAAUAUAGUUUGGUAUCAUGAUUCUAAUUGGUCAAAUUGUUUUAAAAGAAUAUUUUAAAUUGCAUGUUAAUUUGCUUCUAAUAAAUGGAGAGAAACCAAUUCAAGAAGAGAAUUGUACUCAAGCUAUGUAUAGCAUUCAUGAAGAUGUAGAAAAUAUUGAUGAACUUACUUUUGAGCAAGUUGAAAUCAUAAUUAAAUAAAAGAACAAAUCCAAGGGUUAAGAUUGUCAAGUAAAACUUUAACUAAAAUUUAUUGAUUUUUUAAAUGCCUAUUAGAUGAACAAUAGAAGUUCUAGAUAGAAAGUAAGAACUUUUCUAAGAAAUCACUUGUUAGAUUUUAACUGAUCAAUAAAUAUAAUGUCCAAUUUAAAACUUUUAUAAAAGCAAUGCUUCUAAAGAAUAACUUGAUUUGAAUUUAAAGUUAUUAUUGAUAUUUGUUUAUAAUGGAUGUAGUUAAUCAAUUGAACACAGUAAAAAACACAUAAUUUUUUCAAAAUACCUUCUAGUUGUUGGGUAUAUUUAAGUAGUUAUUCAUAUCUCAUUAUCUUUUUACUCACAUACUAAUCUCCUUAUUGAGAAUUUACCAAUUACAAGUAGGUUGAAAGUUACUUGAAUUUAAGUCACUAAUCAAUGUUAACUUGAUGAUAAAUAAGUCUCCCUUUGAAACUUGUUUUACAAGAUAGCGAAAUGUAGUCGGUCAAUCAUCGAAACAAUGUUUAAGCAUUAGGAUUUAGUUGUUAUUUUUUAUUUUUUAUUUUUUGUGCUUUAAACAAAGACAAAAAUGAUAAAAACUCCUAAAAAGUACAUAUUAAUUGAAUUUAAUUUAUACAUCAAACAAGAACAAACUAGUGUUGGAUUUAAAAUUCAAUAGGUUUUGUAAUUAUAAUUCCUAAAAAUUUGUAAGACAACAAAAUUAUUGGACACUAGGCUAUUGGGUGUGUAUGACUAAGAGGUGAAGGAGGGUUCAUCUUAUACAAAGGAUGAUUUGAUUAAUUUUAAAGAUUCGAUAAACAAUAAUUGCAUAAUAAAGUAAAAAUAACAUUUCUAAAAAGGAAAAUAAGUAUUUUAGUCCUCAAACCUAAAAUGGCUAAAAAUUUUAAUUAAUACAAUUACAACUUCACCUACAAAAAAAAAAAAAAAACCCAAAACUUUUCAAUAGCACAACUAAGUCCAUUUAUCAAAAGCUCUAUGAACAACAUCCACUUUCAAAUCACAUAAAUCAUGUUGUUUUCAAAGUGCCCUUGAUGUUUUAAAACUUAAUAUAUUACAUAAAAAUCAACCAAUAGUGUAUGGCAUUAUAAAAAAACAUAUCCAAAUCCAUUGUCGAACUUAAACUAAAUUCAACUUUAUAUGCAUAGUCACAAGUGGGUCUUUUUGUCUUUCAAUUUGGGUUAAAUUCAUAUGUUAGUUUUUUACACAACAAGGGAUUAUCAAGGUGAUAAUUCAUGCAUAUAAAUAGUAUUACUAAUAUAAAAAAAGAUGGUAAAUGUAAUUUUUUUGUAUUCACUCACCAUUUGGCAUAUCAAUAAGAAAAAAUGUAUAUAUAAUAGGUGUUAUCAAUAAUAUUACUCAUCACUAGAAAUUAUAAUUUUUCAUUCGUUGUCACUAUUUGUGCACUUUGGAAAGCUUGCUAGGUACAACAUAUUAGCUCAAUGAAGAAAUUGAUCAAUUCCUUCAUUUCUAAAUAAAUUUGCAUAUACACUAGAAUAAAAACAACUUUUUAACUUAACAAGUUGACUGAGUCUCAGAACUCAAUAGGUUGAAGGUAUAGACUUCCAUCCAAACUCAUUGACUGGCACCAUAUGUUGGAAAAAUAAAGAAAAAUCAAAACCCUUGAGUAUAGUUGCAGACAAAUCUAAAUAUAGAGUGAGAUCUACAUUUCUUUGAAAGUUUAGAACAAAUUUUUAUUUUUAUGAUAAGACUAUGCAGUACUUAUCAUUCUCUAACAAGUCUAUAAUCAGUCCAAAGCAUGGGAUAUUGCAUAAAUUCUUGAACUCAAUUAGUCUUUAAUCCAUGCAUUUCAAGUAAAUUUAAAACCUGGUGUACUUGUUCUUGAUUCACAUCCUUGUCACUAUUAUCAUUACUUGUUCUUGAAUAUAGAACCUUAUUGUCCAUUAACAAGCGGGCCUAUGUUCCUCCAUGAUUCAAGAGUAUUAUGUUUUGUUCAUCAUCAGUUGGUCUUGCUCUAAAGCUUCUUUUUUAUGACUAUCAAUAACCAGACUUAGAUACCAAAAUUUAUGCAAGAGAGCAUGUACUUUAUACAGUCAAGAACUUGUGAGUCUAGACUUUGUUAUCUAGGUAAAAGAAUAAAUUGGUUUGUCAAAAUAGCUAGCAUUAGGUAUCUAUUCAAUUCCUAUCUUAGACAAUAAAGAUAGAAAUGAUCAAAUACAUUCUUAUUAAGAAACAUUUGAUACCAAAAGUGAUGUAAGACAACACAGUUCCUCUAUUCAAUCAAGUUUAAGGCUUAGAUGAACCUAUGAAUUUAUAUUAAUUAAUUGGGAAAGAGAAUAAAUAGGCUAAGUAGAAGUGAUAGGAUUGUAAUAGCAUUAAGUUAAUGAUCUUGUUUAGGUCUUCUACUAAAUUAGAGAAGAAACAAACAAAAGUAAUCAAACGUGUUAGUGAUAAUUAUAUCUACUUAACAUUGAGACAAUAGUUGUACUAAUGGUAAUUAUAUUAUUUCUUGAGAGUUUAAACAAUAUAUAUUGAAAAUAUUUUUAAAGGUUUAGCAACUACCAAGGUUAUAAUCAACUACGAGCUUUUUAUUUUUAAAAAUAUGAAAUAUUAAUAUCUUUACUUUCUUUGAUCUUCUUGUAGGUUUUAAAAGUUUGUCUAAGCUGAAAAAGCUGGAAAUCUUAAACCUUGGUGAUAAUCAGUUCAACAAGACCAUUAUAAAACAGUUGAGUGGACUCACAUCCCUUAAAACACUAGUUGUAAGGUACAACUAUAUUGAGGGACUUUUUCCUUCCCAAGGUAUUGCUUAUUCUUUUAAUAUCCUUAGUAACCACUCUACCAUGAUUUUUUUUUUUUCAAUUUUAUUUUCUUUCUUGAACCAUACAGAAUUAUCUAUUUUUGGAAACUUGAUGACACUGGAUUUAAGCUGGAAUAGAUUCAAUGGCUCCCUAUCAAUCCAAGGUAAAUUCUAAUCAGAAUUAUCAUUAUAUUUAGGGCAUAUAAUAAAUUAAUUAAAUUAUUUUAUCUAUUAUCAUUACUUGGUUAUUUGGAUUUUCUUGAUAUUGUUUAGCAUUUUACAUAGGAAAAUGAAAUGGAAAAAUCAACCCAUGCUUAGUGUUUAAGCACUGGGCUAGAAGUAUAUUUGUCUUCCCAAUUUAAUCAAAGAGAAAAGUCAUAAAUAACAUAAUUUAACUUAUACCUUAUAUUGAUUGAAGAGGUUAGACUACUUUUGGAUUUAAUGGUCAAUAUUUGUUGAAGAUAGGGUUUCCUAAAUUUGAUAAAAAGAACUUCAAUUUAAAUUACCAUAACUACAUAAAGGUGUGACUAGCAUAAUUAAACUCUUUUAUUAAUAGAUGUUCAUAGACUAGUAUUAUAUUCCCACACACACAAAUAAUCAAAUUUUGAAAUUAGUCUUCAAAUAACUAUGUAAUAUACGAAACUACAAAAUGAAUGGUAGGUCAUAAUUAAUUAAAUUCGUACUAUAUUCAAUGUUGGUCAACACGUGUCAAGUAAAAGUUUUGGCCUAAGUGUAAGGGCUCACUUUCUCCUAUAUAGAUAUUAUUCACUUUGGGUUGAGGCCUACUUUAAAAUAUCUCUAUACAUUUAUGAGAAGUCUACUAAAUAUAAAGUCGUAGAAACUUUUCUUCUUAGGUGAUAUGGAAUUUCACAUUAGGACCAACAUUUUAUAUAUUUUGAAAACAUAAUUUAAUUAACAUUUUAGAACUAAUUAUUAGUUAUCCAUUUAUAAUCCUAGAGGAAAUUCCUUUUACCUAUGCAAAUUAUAUACCUCUAGUAAUUACCUUUAAUUUCUCAUUUACAACUUCCUAAAAUAAUAUGAAAAAUGACAAAGUGUACAAUAUCUACCAAUAUGGGUGGAAUAUGCAGUGAGACCCACAAUGCUCAAUAUAGUACUAGCAUCUAUGUCAUCUAAUAGCAAUGAAAGUACUAAGUAAUAAAAACAAUUGUUUUGGGCACUUUAUGCAAUUGGCCUUGUAAAAAAAGAAAUCUAAGGUAGUUGGACUCAUUUACUAGUAAUUUAACAUAUGACUAGAACCUAUUGAAUCAUUUGCAAUAGCACUUACUUUGGUCAUGUCCAAAUUUAGUGCACAUGGUGCAAAAAGGGGUGUUGCUAGAGGAUGCUUUGUUUUCCCACUUAUGAAAGUCUCAAUCUUGCUAAUAUAUUUUAUGCCAUGUUUAUCAUAUACAAAUUUAGCCUAAGUGUAAGGGCUCGCUUGCUCCUAUAUAGAUGUUAUUCACUUUGGGUCGAGGCCUACUUUAAAAUAUCUCUAUACGUUUAUGAGAAGUCUACUAAAUAUAAAGUCGUAGAAACUUUUCUCCUUAGGUGAUGUGGAAUUUCACAUUAGGACCAACAUUUUAUAUAUUUUGAAAACAUAAUUUAAUUAACAUUCUGGAACUAAUUAUUAGUUAUCCAUUUAUAAUCCUUGAGGAAAUUCCUUUUACCUAUGAAAAUUAUAUACCUCUAGUAAUUACUUUUAAUUUCUCAUUUACAACUUCCUAAAAUAAUAUGAAAAAUGACAAGGUGUAUAAUAUGAGCCAAUAUGGGUGGUAUAUGCAGUGAGACCCACAAUGCUCAAUAUAAUACUAGAAUCUAUGUCAUCUAAUAGCAAUGAAAGUACUAAGGAACAAUUUAACAUAUGUUUUGGGUACUUCAUGCAAUGGCCUUGUAAAAAAAGAAAUAUAAGGAAGUUGGACUCAUUUACUAGCAAUUUAACAUAUGACUAAAACCUAUUGAAGAAUUUGCAAUAGCACUUACUUUGGUCAUAUCCAAACUUAUUGCACAUGGUGCAAAAAGGGGUAGUGGUCGAGGAUGCUUCCACAUAAGAAAGACCCUACUUAACUAUUACAAAGGUUAUUUUCCCACUUGUGGGAAUGCUAACCUUGCUAAUAUAUUAUAUGCCAUGUUUAUCAUAUACAAAUUUUUCUUUACUAAAUAUUUCUUUAAUGAUCUUGAACCUAAAAUUAAAUAUUUCAUUAGUAUUGGUCAUGUCGUUCCUCAACUUUUCAACUUUUAGAGUUAAAUCUUUAUCUUUAUCAUUGAUAGUUUUAUGUUUAGUCCCUAGAAACUUCACCUUAUUAACAAUAUGUUCAUUUAAUAUAUUGAUAUUUUUAAUUUUCAAAGAAUCAUAGAGCUCAUUAAUUUUAAUGUCUUUUUAUUCACUUUUAUGCUUUCAACCUUUGUUUUUAGUUUUCCUAUAAUAAUGCAUCAUAGACCCCAUGUACAUCAUUAAAAUAAAACUCAUUUUUUUCAUUAGGAUUCAAUUAACCCAGUGGAUCAUAAUCAAAAUUAGUUGCAUAUGAACAAAAACAAUAAGAUUAUCAUUUUGUACAUCUUUACUUUCAUUUGAGUUCUUAGCCCUACAAUCAUGAAACAUGGAAUUACUCCAAGUCACCUACAUAGCCUUCAUACCUAAUGUUUUUAAGGCAAGGACAAUCAACAACCAUGUGUCCCAUUCCCCCAAUGGUUCACUACAAAAUCAAGGUACAUAUGUUAUGCUUUCUUUGUUUCAUAGAGAUUAGAGAGGAAAACAUUGUAAAAAAAAAAAAGUUGUCAUAGUUAAUGUAAGCUAAAACUAAAAAACUUGCUUUUUCAAUUGUGUAAGCGUGUUUUGUUCUUGAUGAAUAUUUACAACAUUCAGAGUUACUAAUGUUUAUAAUUCACAGAGACCUCAUUAACAACAAGUAACAACUAAUUGUAAGUAACCAUGGAAAAAAAUAAGGAGAAAAAUAAAGGAAAAUCAAGGAAAGUGGAAAAUUUUUUCAUCCCCAUAAAAAAUGCUAAGGAAGAAAAAGGUGAAGAAAGUUUAAAGAAAGUAUAUUUUUCAAAAAUUGAAUUUUCUUUCCCUUAAAGUUGGUAUGGACAACCAAACAAGAAAAUGAUUUUUAAAUUCUUUUUUGACCUUUUUCUAUCAUUCUUUUUUUUCCCUCUACUCUAUUUCCUUUCCCUUAAACUUUCUAGGUAGUAAACAUUACCUAAGAUAAAUAGGGAAGAAAAUAUUUUAUCAUUUAUUUAUUUAGUAUUUUUCUUACCUUUUUUUGUAUUUUAUCCAAAUAUAAGAAAACUACUUUUCUUUAUUUUUUUUCUUUUCCUUGUUGCUUUUCAAGAAUCAAGCAUACUUUAAACUCUAAUUAAGAGUUACAUAGAUUUAUAGAGAAACAAUACAACUGGUAACUAAAAAUUAAGGAAAUUUAAUUUUUUAAUUUUUGAGAGUAAGUAUAAUAAAAUUGGUUUGUUUGAUACAAAAUUUGAAUAAAAUUAUUUCAAUGAAAAUUCAAGGAAAGGAAAAAAAAAACUUGAUCUCUAGACUAUAAUACUAAAUCACUUAAAAAAUCUCCUAACAUCGUUUAUGUUCAUCUUUCUUUUUAUGGAUUUGAAAAACCCAAUAAUUUGGAAAAAACUGAUUCAAGGAAGAAUAAUUUUUAGAAUAAAAGAUUAUUAUUUAAGAAGAUCAUAAAUAUUAUAGUCAUUGUUGAAUAUGAUAAAUGAUUAAAAAAAAAAAAGGUAGUUGGAAAUUUAGAUACUUUUAUAAGACAAAUGCAUUUUUCUAGUAUGAUAUGAAAAAAGGUAAAAUGAUAGGCUUUGAUCAUUUUUUAAGGUAGUUUGUUUAAAUCAUUUUAAUUUAUUUUGAUUUAAUAACAAUAACUUUUAUUACACUAGUUAUUUUGAUUUUCUUUUGAUAGAUUUUGCAAGCUUAAGCAAUUUGGAGCUAUUGGAUUUGAGUCAUAAUUUAUUUAGUGGGAUCGUUCCAUCGUCUAUAAGAUUGUUGUCUUCUCUCAAGUCUUUAUCUCUGGUUGGAAAUCUCCUCAAUGGUUCCUUAGCAAAUCAAGGUACAUAUAUUGUGAUUACAAGUUUUUCUGUUUUCUUUUUUAAUAUCUUGUUUGUUCUUUAUGCCAAUUAAGUCAUGCAUGUCUAUUAAUUUUUGGUAUUUAAUAAAAAACUUUAUUCUUAAUUCAUAAAGACCUCAUCAACUGUAAGUAACAGCUAGUUGUAAGUUUGGGGGCAUUGACAAGACGAGGAGAUGAUUGGUUACAUAUCUUAUUCUCUUUUGUAAGCUUCUGCCAAUUGAAUAAGCUUCAAGAGUUAUAUCUUUCUUACAACUUAUUCCAAGGGAUCCUUCCUCCAUGUUUGAAUAAUUUGACAUCUUUGAGGUUAUUGGAUCUCUCUUCCAACCUAUUCUCCGGAAAUCUUUCUUCCUCUCUGUUACCUAAUCGCACAUCCCUGGAGUACAACGAUCUCAAUUACAAUCAUUUUGAGGGUUCAUUCUCUUUCAGCUCUUUUGCUAAUCACUCCAACCUUCAAGUGGUCAAACUUGGAAGGAAUAACAACAAAUUUGAGAUAGAAACUGAAUAUCCAGU